rnacentral:lncRNA from 1 species
UGGUAUCUCAGUUGAGACGUCCCGGCUCUGAUAAUCCUUCUGAUCAGAAUCCAUCACCUUUGGAACCCCAGUCACAGGCCGAGAGUGGGCAGCCCCAGGAGGCAACUGUCAGACCUGAAAUUCCAGAUGAAAACGCCACUGGUAAUGGAGGUGCCAAUGUGUCUGCUCCCUCUAUCGUUUCGCCAGUUGCAUCUGCUACCCCGGAUACACGAGCCCCUGCUACUGAUUCUGUCUCAAGCUCGCGGUCUCAGUCAGUCGAAAUGCAAUAUGAUCCAAAUGAUUCAACUGUUCGGGAUGUUGAAGCGGUGAGUCAAGAAAGCGGUGGGAGUGGGGCAACCUUGGGUGAAAGCCUUAGGAGUUUGGAUGUUGAGAUCGGAAGUGCUGAUGGACAUGAUGAUGGUGCAGAAAGGCAUGAUGUACAGCCAGCUAUGCGCUCAAGAAGAGCAAAUUUGUCAGUUGUGCCAUCUUCAACUGGGCGAGAAGCUUCUCUUUAUAGUGUAACUGAGGUUCCUGAGAACUCCGGUCACGAGGCUGAGCAGGAUAAUCCACCAGAGGAGCAACCAGUUAACAGGGAUGUUGCUUCUAGUUCUAUUGAUCCUGCGUUUUUAGAUGCCCUACCUGAGGGACUGCGAGCUGAAUUGAUGAGAGCAAACAAGACAAGCUGCAAUCUGUUUUUGGCUCUCCACAGCUUGUUGAUGCUGACGAUCAGAAGAAGUUGAUUGAGAUUGCUUGUACAUGUAUCCGGAAUCAGCUUCCUUCUGAAACUAUGCAUGCUGUUUUACAACUGUGUUCUACAUUGACAAGGAAGCAUUCUGUUGCUGUCUGCUUUCUUGAUUUUGGAGGUGUGCAAGGACUGCUUUCUCUGCCGAGUAAUAGUCUUUUUCCAGGGUUUGACUCAGUUGCUGCUAGUAUCAUCCGUCAUAUUCUUGAAGACCCCCAAACGCUUCAGCAAGCCAUGGAAUCUGAGAUAAAACAUGCUCUUGCAACACUUUCCAACAGGCACUCAAAUCAGAGAAUCUCUCCACGCAAUUUUUUGUUGCAUGUGAAUUCUGUAAUUGCUCGGGAUCCAGUCACUUUUAUCCAGGCCGCUCGUUCUAUAUGCCAAGUAGAGAUGGUUGGUGAAAGACCUUACAUCGUGUUAGUCAAAGAAAAAGAGAAAUCAAAAGACAAAGAGAAGGAUAAGGAUAAGGAUAAGGACAGAGCUGACAAAGAGAAAUCUCAGACUUCUAAUGAAGUUGCAACUACCACUCCCCCUGGGAGCACCAAGGCUAAAGUUUACCGGAAACCUCCUCAGUCGUUCAUUGGUGUUGUUGAGCUGCUUCUGGAUUCUCUCUGUAAUUUCGUUCCUCCUCCAAAAGAUGACAUGGUUGAAGGUGAUUCUACUUCAGCAGACAUGGAUAUUGAUCAUGCCUCUACUAAGGGAAAAGGCAAAGCGGUUGCUACUACACCUGCAGAAAAGAAAGCUAUUUCACAGGGCAUGUCAGCUUCAUUGGCUAAAAUUGUUUUCAUUCUGAAGCUUUUGAGUGAGAUGUUGUUAAUGUAUUCUUCGUCAAUCCAUAUAAUACUUCGAAGAGAUGCUGAAAUUAAAAGUCUUAGAGGUCCUCAACAGAAGGGUGGUCAAGUUGGUGGAAUAUUUCAUCAUAUUCUUCGAAAAUUUAUUCCAUACUCACGGGUGAUGAAGGAAAAGAAAUCUGAGAGUGAUUGGCGGCAAAAGCUGACAAGUAGGGCUAAUCAGUUUUUAGUGGGUGCAUCUGUUAGAUCAGCUGAAGCAAGGAAGAGGAUAUUUUCUGACAUUAGCAGUAUCUUCAAUGACUUCAUAGGUACCUCCAAUGGGCUUAGACCUCCAGUUAAUGAAAUACACGUUUUGAUAGUUUUGUUGAAUGAUAUGCUCUCUGCUCGGUCACCUACUGCUGGUACAGUGACCAAGCCAAUUGUCUCAUCUGGAAGUUCGUCCAACAGAGCAGAGAGUGAAUGUGAUGUUCAUACUGUGUUGCUUAAUCUUCCCCAGUCAGAGCUGUGUCUGCUUUGUUCAUUACUUGCACGUGAAGGGUAUGUCAGAUGCUUAUAUGUGAACACCUCCUACUUUCUGUUCUUUCUAUCUGUCAGUUAAUGCUUAAAUUCUGUAAGUUCUACAACUAGCCUUACUAAUUGUUGUGCUGUUGAUUCAGUUUGUCAGAUAAUGCAUACACCCUUGUAGCGGAGGUGCUGAAAAAACUUGUGGCCAUUGCUCCAAGCCAUUGUCAUUUGUUUAUCACAGAGCUUGCAAACGCAAUACAGAACCUGACAAGAUCAGCGAUCAGUGAACUUCACAUGUUCGGUGAAGCCGUAAAAACGCUUCUAAGUACCACGUCAUCAGAUGGAUCAGGAGUACUGAGGGUUUUGCAGGCAUUAAGCUCCCUCGUUGAUUCGUUGUUAAUCACAAAAGAGAAGAAUUCCGAAGAGCAUGUUGCUGUGUUUUCUCAGCUAUCGAACAUCAAUUUAGCUUUGGAACCUCUGUGGCUGGAGUUGAGCAAUUGCAUAUGCAAAAUAGAGGGGCAUUCUGAUUCUGCUUCUGCUUCUGCUUCUACGACGUCUCCAACAGCCUCGACGAGUUCAGCAACAACAAGGGGAGCUGGAGUAAGCCAGUCACUUCCUGCUGGUGCCCAAAACAUGUUGCCUUAUGUAGAGUCGUUUUUUGUUACCUGUGAGAAAUUGCAUCCAUCAUCACAGUCUUGUGAUAUCUCGGUUCCCAUGGCUUCUUCUGAUGCUGAGGAGCAGCCCAAGGGUCCAGGACCAAGCAGCAGCUCCAAGGUGGAUGAGAAAUACGGUUCUUUUAUCAAGUUUUCUGAAAGGCACAGGAAACUUCUUAAUGCUUUCAUCCGACAAAAUCCUGCUCUGCUUGAGAAGUCCUUUUCGCUAAUGCUCAAGGUUCCACGUUUUAUUGAAUUUGAUAACAAACGUGCAUACUUCAGAUCAAAGAUAAAACACCAGCAUGACCAUCACCAUAGCCCUUUGAGAAUCUCAGUGAGAAGAGCCUACAUUCUUGAAGAUUCAUACAACCAAUUGCGAAUGAGGUCAACACAAGAACUGAAAGGUAGAUUGACUGUUCACUUCCAAGGAGAAGAAGGUAUUGAUGCUGGUGGGCUUACCAGGGAAUGGUAUCAGCUGUUGUCAAGGGUUAUUUUUGACAAAGGAGCUCUUCUGUUCACAACCGUUGGCAAUGACUCGACUUUCCAACCGAAUCCAAACUCUGUUUACCAGACAGAGCACCUCUCCUACUUCAAAUUCGUUGGCCGUGUGGUAAGCUCCUUUCUUUUUUUUUUUUUUUUUUACCUAAGUAAGUAGACUUAUUUGCAGCUGCGUUAAUUCCUUCCUAAAUUCUAUCUAUCCUGCCUGCACAGGUUGGAAAAGCUCUGUUUGAUGGUCAACUACUUGACGUCCAUUUCACUCGCUCUUUUUACAAGCAUAUCUUGGGAGUUAAGGUCACGUACCAUGAUAUUGAAGCUAUAGAUCCCGAUUACUAUAAAGCCCUGAAAUGGAUGCUGGAGGUAUAUAUAUACUGUAGACACACCUUUGUUUAUUUGUUUGGUCCAAAGCAUUUGUUACUCAUCUGUUUUUUUUUUCUAUAAUAAUGCAGAAUGAUAUUAGCGAUGUCCUAGAUCUCACUUUUAGCGUUGAUGCUGAUGAGGAAAAGCUAAUACUGUAUGAAAAAACGGAGGUAACAACUAUAACUUGUUCAGCCUUUUUUGACAGUGUCUUUGAAAUAAUUUGUUUUGAACGAACAUUAAAAUAAAAUAAAAAUUGCAGGUGACUGACCAUGAACUGAUCCCUGGAGGGCGGAACAUUAAAGUCACUGAGGAGAAUAAGCAUGAAUAUGUAGACCUAAUCGCCGAGCAUCGAUUAACCACAGCCAUUCGUCCUCAGAUAAAUGCAUUCCUGGAAGGGUUUAGUGAACUUAUCCUUAAAGAUCUAAUAUCGAUUUUUAACGACAAGGAACUGGAGUUAUUAAUAAGUGGUCUUCCUGAUAUCGACUGUAAGUAGUAUUUAUAAAAUAUAUCAUAAUCCUCCUGUACCAAGAAUUUUAUUGCCUCUGACCUUUUUUUGUUGGGUGUUUAUGUAUCAGUGGAUAACCUGAGGGCGAAUACUGAAUAUUCUGGGUAUAGUCCUGGAUCCCCUGUUAUCCAGUGGUUCUGGGAGGUUGUUCAGGGAUUGAGCAAAGAAGACAAAGCCCGUCUAUUGCAGUUUGUGACUGGAACCUCCAAGGUAAAGAAAACAUGUUUGGUCUGUUUCAUUAAGAUAAGAUUGUGUUUUUUUUUACAAAGUGGGAAACUGACGUUUUGAACUCAACAACACAAGGUACCUCUGGAAGGAUUUAGUUCCCUUCAAGGAAUUUCAGGGGCACAGAAGUUUCAGAUCCACAAGGCAUAUGGAAGCGCUGAUCACUUGCCGUCUGCUCAUACCUGGUAAAAAAAAAUCUCAAUCCUCCAAUGAAACUAUUAUCUGAUGGAUGAUGGAUGACCACAAAUAUUAAUAUAUAUCCAAAACUGUUUUGUUUGCAGUUUCAAUCAGUUAGAUCUGCCAGAGUACCCGUCUAAGGAGCAUCUGCAGGAGAGGCUGCUGCUUCCAAUCCAUGAAGCAAGCGAAGGAUUCGGAUUUGGUUAAAACAAAAACCAGCUUCCUUUUUUCUUACUAUUUUCAUUCUAUACAUAUGCCUUUUGGGUAAAACGAAUGAUUUUCUGUAAUUCUCACUCUCUACUCUAACGUCCGUUUAAAAGAGUAUGUUCAAUAGUUAUUUUUAUCCCUUAGUUUGCAGAGAAAUUUAUAUGGAAAGGCACUUCCUAGAACACAAAUAACCACUUCUCUAAGGCACUUCCUAUAACAGAAAUAACCACUUCUCUAUUAGAAAGCACUUCCACCCUUUAUUGGAUACAAGAAAUUCUUUAUAUGCUCUUUCAUUAAACUAGCUGUUUUGUCUAGUUGACAAUCCAAACAUUAGUUGUCUUUUAACGCUGAAAAUUUCAAGUUCAAAAAGACAACAUAGUGUUUCCUUGAUGAAAUACAAUAAUCCACCGAUAAAUGAUAUAAAUAACUCAAAUAUGCAUCCAAAAUAAAAGUUGAAAGAAAAAAACUGAGUGGUCGAAAUCAACACACCGAUUAAAUGUGACCAAGAAGCUAUGCAGCAGAGAUUCAAACACAAACACCCACUUUUUUACUCAGGAAAAGUGGUGCCAAGAUGGACCCCAAGAAGCAAUAGACCCCAAGAAGAAAUGGACGAGGCCAACACAUACCUCCCACAGCUACAUAUGACUGAAACUGAUGAUCUGGUGAUACUUUUUGCAAUAUCAUGACCACCUUGAACGGAAACAGAGCAUCUUCGAACCAACAAAUAGAAAAUGAUACAAUCUCGAACCAAAAACGAAAAAUGAAACGGUAUACAACCUAAAUUUGUUCAGAUAUUAAUGAUAUCAUUUAACCAACUUUUGCUAGGUAAUCUAAUUGGAUGAUAAUUUUUUUUCUUUACUCUAACUAGGUCUAAAAAGUAAUUAUAUAAUAAGUAAUACAAGUUGCCGAAGAACCACAAAAAAAUUUUUAUAUUAAUUAAUUGUGGAGAACCAUAAAAUGUUUGAAUUCUUUAAUUUUUUAAACAAUUAUGUAUUUAUAAACUAUAGAAAAUAAACUGUUUGAAUUCUAUAUGCAUUUUCAACAUUGUGCAAGGGCUCCUAGCUUUUCACUGGAAAAAAAAAACGGACAAACAACUUUCCUUUGUUCCUUGGGUGGAAAAUUUGGAAAAUGAGUAACAAGCAAUGCAGCUUUCUUGAAUCAGAAGGUGUGGACAGAGACGGUAACUCAAAAUAACCAGCAAAUCCUAGCUGCUCAUGCCUACAAACCAAUUCCAUCCAUGAGGUAUUACUCCCUGGUACUUUGGAAUAGUCUUUUGGAUACUUCCUGGAAAAGACCAACUGAUAUGUGUGGCAUUGGAUGGUCCUUAUUCAGUAAAGAAGACAUUUCUCAUAUCUAAGGAAGCUAUGCAUCCAGUCCUAUAAACUCACCAUUGAUAGCAGACUACAACUCUUUUAUCAGCAGUUGAUCAGUUAUCCUACAAGAGGGUGCUUUUCUUAGGAAAUUGUGAAAUAUUAAUGAAAAAGUAGCAGCAAUCAGCAGCACAAGGCAAGAAGCUAAAUGUGAUUGAUGCAACACCUGGACAUCUACGAGCUAUCAAAGGAUAAUAAUUUCACUUUCUCUUAUAUAAGCAGAAAUUGUACUCGAUAUGUUGAUCAACUUGCUAAGAAGGCCAUGAUUAGUCAUCAGAAUUAUGUAAUAUCCUGAGUGUUUUAAACAAUCUUCUUGUACUUACCUAUUAAUGGAAGAAAAAGUUGAAAAAAGAAUUGUUAUUGUCCACGUUUAUAUUUUAUUAUUUAAACAAAUCCUACAUAAUGUUAUUCAGACUUAUUCUUUGAAAAAGGGAGAAAAUAAUUAAAAAAACUAAAAUGGCAAUGACUCGAACCUUAACCACUUUGGCACGACAAAAUGUUGUGACUUGUGACUUGUGACGGUCUCUCAGUAUACAAUUAAUCUAAGCCUAAACUCUUUAAUAUAUGGGUUGCAUUAAGAGCAUCUCCAACCCCACUUUAUUUUCAACUCUAAAAUAGAAUUUAGAGUAAAAAAUGCUUCAAUAGUACUUUAUUUCUUACUCUAUAAUAAAGUAAGCUAUUAGAGAUGGUCUAAGCACAAUCGAUCCCUUCUCUUCUUUCUCCGGGUUUUCUUCUCUCCUUCUGCUGCGUUCGUUCUCGUCUCUUUCUAGGUACUCUACAUACAUACAUACAUACAUACAUACAUACAUAUUCUUUCAGAUUCGUAUUUUGGUUCUCUGGUCUGUUAAGAAUCCGAGAUUGAUUAUUUUCUUUCUCAACCCGCAGUUAGAUGGAGAUAAAAAAAAAAGAAUGUAAUAAAUAUCCAAGUUUUCGAUUUUAUUUUUAUUUUUUUUUACAAAAUAAUUUCAAAAUCAGUUUUGGUUCUGUUUUUUUUUUCUAUUUGGUUUUUGAUUUGAUAGCAUCGUUAGACCCAAAAACUGGUCGUAUGAAUUUUAUUCGGUGUGUCUAAAUUGACUGAAUAUUUAUAUGUAAUUUUUUUUAAUGAAAAUUGAUCGAAUAUAAAAAUAUCCAAAAAGAAGAUAUUGUUACCAAAAAGAGUGAGGAUAUUAUAGUAAUUUGAAUUGCAUUCAAAUGAUUAAAGGAUCUUGCUUUCGUUUGAUUCAAAUUCAAACGGCACUUUCGCAUUAGGUAACAAGAUGGAGAAGAUCUGUGUAGCAGUCAGAGUGAGGCCGCCGACGCCGGAAUCAUCAUCAUCGGAGAACGGAUCUUCUCUCUGGAAAGUCGAAGACAAUCGCAUCUCUCUUCACAAGUCACUCGACACCCCAAUCUCAACCGCUUCUUACGCUUUCGGUACCAAAUCUUUCUCAAUCCAUUUAUUCGGGGUUUCGAUUUCUACGUAUCUGGGUAACUUCAAAAUCUCAUCUUUGUAAUCUCUGUGGUGUUUGUUCUUUUGCAGACCAUGUGUUCGACGAAAGGUCUACGAACGCAUGCGUCUACGAACUUCUCACCAAGGAUAUCAUUCAUGCUGCCGUCGAGGGUUUUAACGGUAUUCGGAUCUGAUCCAAACCUUAAUAACAAAAAACGCGAGGUUAAUUUGGUUUUGAGUUUCUUGAUGUAUGGUUUUGUUCAGGUACUGCGUUUGCUUAUGGGCAAACUAGUAGUGGAAAGACGUUUACAAUGACGGGUUCUGAGACUGAUCCAGGGAUUAUUCGAAGAUCUGUCAGAGAUGUGUUUGAUAGAAUACAAAUGGUAGAUCAAUUGAAUGAUUCGGUGAGUUUUUAUAACUAAAGAGUUCAGUUUUUUAACUUGUGUGUGUGUUGAUGAUCUUUAGAUAUCGGACCGUGAGUUUCUCAUCCGGGUUUCGUACAUGGAGAUUUAUAAUGAAGAAAUUAAUGAUCUUUUAGCUGUUGAGAACCAGAGACUGCAAAUUCACGAACAUUUGGAGGUUGGUUUGAUGGAACGUCUACACAAGUGAUGUUACAUCAUUUAGUUUUGCUUAAGUGUUACUAAACCGGUUUGUUCGUCUUUGAUGUGCAGCGUGGAGUGUUUGUUGCUGGUCUUAAGGAAGAGAUUGUUAGUGACGCUGAACAGAUUCUAAAGCUUUUAGACUCUGGAGAAGGUUUUUAAGCCAAAGCUAAGCUAAGAAGUAUUUUGAUUAUGCAUAAUAAUGUGUACUGACAUGGUCUUCUUUAAUUAACAGUUAAUAGGCACUUUGGCGAGACAAACAUGAACGUUCAUAGUAGCAGGUCCCAUACCAUCUUCAGAAUGGUAAGGGUUUUCAAAUCUAUGUACGGAAACUUCUACUGUUUUGUAAGUGAUUAUUUUGAUCUGAUCUCUCUGGUGGGAUAGGUGAUUGAGAGCAGGGGAAAAGAAAACUCUUCUACGGAUGCUAUCCGUGUCUCAGUCUUGGUGAGUGAUAAUUUUACCAUCUUCCAAAAGUUUCUUUUGGAAGCUACAUUUAAAUGAUAAUUCUCUUACUGGUGUUCUGGAAUCUAGAAUUUGGUUGACUUGGCUGGAUCUGAGCGUAUUGCUAAAACCGGUGCUGGUGGAGUGCGCUUGACAGAAGGGAAGUACAUUAAUAAGAGCUUAAUGAUUCUUGGUAAUGUUAUCAAUAAGCUAAGUGAAAGUUCAAAGCUAAGGUACUUUCUUACCCUUUCAUUUAGCUACACGUAACAACGAUACAGCUCAGCUCAUUUCUUACAUUCUUGAUUAUAGGGCACAUAUUCCUUACCGAGACAGUAAGCUAACUAGAAUUCUUCAGCCUGCACUUGGUGGUAAUGCCAAGACUUGCAUUAUAUGCACUAUCGCACCAGAAGAGGUAAAAGAAGUUUUCUUUUUGUCUGGUUUUGCAUUUUCCUGGCUUUUGUUAAUCAUGUACACGAAAUAUUAGUCAAUUAAUGAGUAAUAGUUGAAUGCUCAUGUGUGUAGCAUCAUAUUGAGGAAUCAAAAGGAACUCUCCAAUUUGCAAGCAGAGCCAAACGCAUCACCAACUGUGCUCAAAUUAAUGAGGUCAGCCUGUCAAUGAGCGCAAGAUUCUUGGGAGAGAUUUAACUCACUUUCUUCUUUGUGUCCUGUUGAUUGGUUUUUCUUCUUCUUCUUUAUUGAAUAUCUGACAGUGUUUCAAUGCUUCAGAUCUUGACUGAUGCUGCUUUGUUGAAACGCCAAAAAUUAGAGAUAGAAGAACUAAGGAUGAAGCUUCAGGUAUAGUCAACUUUUAUUUCAAAUACAUCUAGGCAUGGGGACGACACUAACAUUACUAAAUUUUGUAGGGAUCCCAUGCUGAGGUGUUGGAACAAGAGAUAUUAAAGUUAAGCAAUCAGAUGCUUAAGGUAGUUUUUUUGCAUUUUUCUCUUGUGUAUGUAUUCUAUAGAACAUUGAGCAGACACAGUAUACUAAACAUCUACCCUUUUGUUUAAUUUCCAGUAUGAGCUAGAAUGUGAAAGGCUAAAAACACAACUGGAAGAAGAGAGAGGAAAACAGAAGGAGCAGGAGCAAUGCAUCAAGGAGCAACAGUUAAAAAUUGAGAACUUAAACAAUCUUGUCACUAAUUCAGACUAUAAGAAGAACCAGUCAGAGGUACAUAUGCAUUCAUUGGCUUAGAUAGAUUUUCUGAAUAAUGCCUCAACCAUAACACCCAGACAUUUUUCUGAGAAACAGGCUUUAAUUUGCAAACUCCUAACAUCUUAUUGAGAUUGUUAGAGAAGUUAAUUAUUGCUUUUAUGCUAAUGUGUUGGACUCAUGUAGUUUGGUUAUGUAAAGCUUUUGUUAAUGUAACAUCUCUACUGGCAGGACUUUAUUAAUUUAAGAAGGACUCAAGAUGGGCGAUGCAAUGUCAAUGAUAGCAGCGGUUUUCCUGGGACUCCUUGCUUCGAAUCAGCUGAACCUUCCUUUGUGGUUGCUCGGUCGAAGUACUCAGAACUAUCUGAUUUUAGUCCGAUGGUUGAUUCACUGGGGGACGUGGCCGAUGAAGACACUUGGACAAAACUAAACAAGGGUUUUGUCCCAGACCUUGAUCAACUCCAGUUUACACCUGCAAUUAAAAGACAACCCACUCCAUUAAUUGCUGCAACCACGGUUAGUAGAUACAAAUACUUGACCCAUGUUAUCUUCCAAUAGUAACAGAGUUGCAAUGAAUAGAGACAUGUGGAUGCAUAUGGUCUAACAACUCUCAUUCAUCUUUUCUUUGGGGUUCUAGUCUCUUUAUUCGCUCCCCUUCUCAUAUCAGCUUGCACACAAACACUCUGGUGUAUCAAUACUGGCUGGUAUCUAGCUCAUGUAUACUGAGAAUUACUAAAUUUUGAAACUUCAUAUAGAUGAAUACAGAAUACGCAUACAUUAUCCAAAACAUGUUCCUAAGCUGGCCAUAAUUUUUCGUUAACUUUUUUUUAGGAAUGCUCGCGUGAAAAUCAGAAAGUGGUGGACGAUCUCAAAAGUCAGAUUGAGUUGCUGACCAGCGAAAAGGACAGCCUGCAGGUUAGACAUAUUGGCUUUAUUGGUUGUUCAAGUGAAUAUGCUUUAGCCUUUAGCCAUAAAAUGAAUAUUCUGUUAAAAAUUAAAUGAAUGAUACCAGCUGAUUGUUUAUGCAUCAACUAUGCAUUCUCAGGUAAAAUUCAGCGAACAAGUAGUACUGAACAACAAACUUUUGGGAGAGAUAUCUGAGCUCAAAGAAGGAACGCUUCACAUGAAAGAAAUUCCAAAACUGUUAUCUGAGUCGGUUGCUAAUUGCAAGGAUGUAUACAAGGACGUGAUAGUCACAAUGAAGGUGAACAGCUUACCUUUUCUUAUGUGAAUGAUCAUCACUAAAAGGAAAAUUGAGUUUAAAGUCUUUUGUCUUGCAUUUUGUCAGACCUUAAUGGCUGAGAAAGAAUCUCCGACAGCAAAGCUACUCUUUGGUGUAACUGGAAUCUCAACAAGCCUUCUUUCAACUCUAGAAUCACAAUUCUCAAUGAUAAUGGAUGGUCAGAAAGCGGGUAGCAUCGUAGAUUAUCCUUUAUAUGAUCAAUGGGAAACACUUCGUGUUAGUCUGAAGAACACAGCCACAAGCCUGCUGUUAGACGCACAAGCAAAAGAUGAAAUUCUUAACUCCCACGACAAGGUAGAUUCCUUGUCACAAUCAUCAAGAUACGGAUCAGUUUUACUUAUUGUUUCUUUCGUUUUGCUUUUAUACUUUUGUCUCUCUUUUUAUACUUUUGUCUCUCUUGUUAGGACUUAGUCCAGUGAAACCUCUGCAUACGUUUAGUGAGGCCGCCGACGCCGGAAUCAUCAUCAUCGGAGAACGGAUCUUCUCUCUGGAAAGUCGAAGACAAUCGCAUCUCUCUUCACAAGUCACUCGACACCCCAAUCUCAACCGCUUCUUACGCUUUCGGUACCAAAUCUUUCUCAAUCCAUUUAUUCGGGGUUUCGAUUUCUACGUAUCUGGGUAACUUCAAAAUCUCAUCUUUGUAAUCUCUGUGGUGUUUGUUCUUUUGCAGACCAUGUGUUCGACGAAAGGUCUACGAACGCAUGCGUCUACGAACUUCUCACCAAGGAUAUCAUUCAUGCUGCCGUCGAGGGUUUUAACGGUAUUCGGAUCUGAUCCAAACCUUAAUAACAAAAAACGCGAGGUUAAUUUGGUUUUGAGUUUCUUGAUGUAUGGUUUUGUUCAGGUACUGCGUUUGCUUAUGGGCAAACUAGUAGUGGAAAGACGUUUACAAUGACGGGUUCUGAGACUGAUCCAGGGAUUAUUCGAAGAUCUGUCAGAGAUGUGUUUGAUAGAAUACAAAUGGUAGAUCAAUUGAAUGAUUCGGUGAGUUUUUAUAACUAAAGAGUUCAGUUUUUUAACUUGUGUGUGUGUUGAUGAUCUUUAGAUAUCGGACCGUGAGUUUCUCAUCCGGGUUUCGUACAUGGAGAUUUAUAAUGAAGAAAUUAAUGAUCUUUUAGCUGUUGAGAACCAGAGACUGCAAAUUCAUGAACAUUUGGAGGUUGGUUUGAUGGAACGUCUACACAAGUGAUGUUACAUCAUUUAGUUUUGCUCAAGUGUUACUAAACCGGUUUGCUUGUCUUUGAUGUGCAGCGUGGAGUGUUUGUUGCUGGUCUUAAGGAAGAGAUUGUUAGUGACGCUGAACAGAUUCUAAAGCUUUUAGACUCUGGAGAAGGUUUUUAAGCCAAAGCUAAGCUAAGAAGUAUUUUGAUUAUGCAUAAUAAUGUGUACUGACAUGGUCUUCUUUAAUUAACAGUUAAUAGGCACUUUGGCGAGACAAACAUGAACGUUCAUAGUAGCAGGUCCCAUACCAUCUUCAGAAUGGUAAGGGUUUUCAAAUCUAUGUACGGAAACUUCUACUGUUUUGUAAGUGAUUAUUUUGAUCUGAUCUCUCUGGUGGGAUAGGUGAUUGAGAGCAGGGGAAAAGAAAACUCUUCUACGGAUGCUAUCCGUGUCUCAGUCUUGGUGAGUGAUAAUUUUACCAUCUUCCAAAAGUUUCUUUUGGAAGCUACAUUUAAAUGAUAAUUCUCUUACUGGUGUUCUGGAAUCUAGAAUUUGGUUGACUUGGCUGGAUCUGAGCGUAUUGCUAAAACCGGUGCUGGUGGAGUGCGCUUGACAGAAGGGAAGUACAUUAAUAAGAGCUUAAUGAUUCUUGGUAAUGUUAUCAAUAAGCUAAGUGAAAGUUCAAAGCUAAGGUACUUUCUUACCCUUUCAUUUAGCUACACGUAACAACGAUACAGCUCAGCUCAUUUCUUACAUUCUUGAUUAUAGGGCACAUAUUCCUUACCGAGACAGUAAGCUAACUAGAAUUCUUCAGCCUGCACUUGGUGGUAAUGCCAAGACUUGCAUUAUAUGCACUAUCGCACCAGAAGAGGUAAAAGAAGUUUUCUUUUUGUCUGGUUUUGCAUUUUCCUGGCUUUUGUUAAUCAUGUACACGAAAUAUUAGUCAAUUAAUGAGUAAUAGUUGAAUGCUCAUGUGUGUAGCAUCAUAUUGAGGAAUCAAAAGGAACUCUCCAAUUUGCAAGCAGAGCCAAACGCAUCACCAACUGUGCUCAAAUUAAUGAGGUCAGCCUGUCAAUGAGCGCAAGAUUCUUGGGAGAGAUUUAACUCACUUUCUUCUUUGUGUCCUGUUGAUUGGUUUUUCUUCUUCUUCUUUAUUGAAUAUCUGACAGUGUUUCAAUGCUUCAGAUCUUGACUGAUGCUGCUUUGUUGAAACGCCAAAAAUUAGAGAUAGAAGAACUAAGGAUGAAGCUUCAGGUAUAGUCAACUUUUAUUUCAAAUACAUCUAGGCAUGGGGACAACACUAACAUUACUAAAUUUUGUAGGGAUCCCAUGCUGAGGUGUUGGAACAAGAGAUAUUAAAGUUAAGCAAUCAGAUGCUUAAGGUAGUUUUUUUGCAUUUUUCUCUUGUGUAUGUAUUCUAUAGAACAUUGAGCAGACACAGUAUACUAAACAUCUACCCUUUUGUUUAAUUUCCAGUAUGAGCUAGAAUGUGAAAGGCUAAAAACACAACUGGAAGAAGAGAGAGGAAAACAGAAGGAGCAGGAGCAAUGCAUCAAGGAGCAACAGUUAAAAAUUGAGAACUUAAACAAUCUUGUCACUAAUUCAGACUAUAAGAAGAACCAGUCAGAGGUACAUAUGCAUUCAUUGGCUUAGAUAGAUUUUCUGAAUAAUGCCUCAACCAUAACACCCAGACAUUUUUCUGAGAAACAGGCUUUAAUUUGCAAACUCCUAACAUCUUAUUGAGAUUGUUAGAGAAGUUAAUUAUUGCUUUUAUGCUAAUGUGUUGGACUCAUGUAGUUUGGUUAUGUAAAGCUUUUGUUAAUGUAACAUCUCUACUGGCAGGACUUUAUUAAUUUAAGAAGGACUCAAGAUGGGCGAUGCAAUGUCAAUGAUAGCAGCGGUUUUCCUGGGACUCCUUGCUUCGAAUCAGCUGAACCUUCCUUUGUGGUUGCUCGGUCGAAGUACUCAGGACUAUCUGAUUUUAGUCCAAUGGUUGAUUCACUGGGGGACGUGGCCGAUGAAGACACUUGGACAAAACUAAACAAGGGUUUUGUCCCAGACCUUGAUCAACUCCAGUUUACACCUGCAAUUAAAAGACAACCCACUCCAUUAAUUGCUGCAACCACGGUUAGUAGAUACAAAUACUUGACCCAUGUUAUCUUCCAAUAGUAACAGAGUUGCAAUGAAUAGAGACAUGUGGAUGCAUAUGGUCAAACAACUCUCAUUCAUCUUUUCUUUGGGGUUCUAGUCUCUUUAUUCGCUCCCCUUCUCAUAUCAGCUUGCACACAAACACUCUGGUGUAUCAAUACUGGCUGGUAUCUAGCUCAUGUAUACUGAGAAUUACUAAAUUUUGAAACUUCAUAUAGAUGAAUACAGAAUACGCAUACAUUAUCCAAAACAUGUUCCUAAGCUGGCCAUAAUUUUUCGUUAACUUUUUUUUAGGAAUGCUCGCGUGAAAAUCAGAAAGUGGUGGACGAUCUCAAAAGUCAGAUUGAGUUGCUGACCAGCGAAAAGGACAGCCUGCAGGUUAGACAGUAUUGGUUUUAUUGGUUGUUCAAGUGAAUAUGCUUUAGCCUUUAGCCAUAAAAUGAAUAUUCUGUUAUAAAUUAAAUGAAUGAUACCAACUGAUUGUUUAUGCAUCAACUAUGCAUUCUCAGGUAAAAUUCAGCGAACAAGUAGUACUGAACAACAAACUUAUGGGAGAGAUAUCUGAGCUCAAAGAAGGAACGCUUCACAUGAAAGAAAUUCCAAAACUGUUGUCCGAGUCGGUUGCUAAUUGCAAGGAUGUAUACAAGGACGUGAUAGUCACAAUGAAGGUGAACAGCUUACCUUUUCUUAUGUGAAUGAUCAUCACUAAAAGGAAAAUUGAGUUUAAAGUCUUUUGUCUUGCAUUUUGUCAGACCUUAAUGGCUGAGAAAGAAUCUCCGACAGCAAAGCUACUCUUUGGUGUAACUGGAAUCUCAACAAGCCUUCUUUCAACUCUAGAAUCACAAUUCUCAAUGAUAAUGGAUGGUCAGAAAGCGGGUAGCAUCGUAGAUUAUCCUUUAUAUGAUCAAUGGGAAACACUUCGUGUUAGUCUGAAGAACACAGCCACAAGCCUGCUGUUAGACGCACAAGCAAAAGAUGAAAUUCUUAACUCCCACGACAAGGUAGAUUCCUUGUCACAAUCAUCAAGAUACGGAUCAGUUUUACUUAUUGUUUCUUUCGUUUUGCUUUUAUACUUUUGUCUCUCUUUUUAUACUUUUGUCUCUCUUGUUAGGACUUAGUCCAGUGAAACCUCUGCAUACGUUUCUUAAGGGUUUGGAUCAUAACUUAUAUACUUUCCUGUUUCUUGUACAUUUACAUCUCAUUGGAGCUUCACUUGAAUCUCUAUAUACCAAUGUUUCAAUGGGAAAAGCAGGAACUGAUUCUUGUUUAGUUGAUUAGAUCUUGUGGUCCGAUUACUAUAUCUAAGACAGGUUUUGAAUGUGAAUUUUUAAGGGACAAGAAACGGGUGUAAUGGAGGAGAAGCUGAAGUCUGAGCUCAGCAUAGUCAAGGAAAGAUAUAACGAGCUGGAGAAAGAGUUGUGUUUGGAUAAACUGCUUCUAAAAGCUUCAAGAGAGAGCCAUGAGAGGCUGGAAAAGGAAGUACAAUUCCUGAAGGAAGAAAGAGAUUCAUUAGAUGUAGCAGUCUCUCAAUCAACUCAGAGGUUGAGAGUGAUUGCAAAACCCUCACCAAAUACAUAAAAAUAUAAUUCUUAUAGUUAGAGUAUUAAAAUAUAUAUAAAUAUAUAUAUUAUAAAAUAAAUAUUAACCGUAAUUAUAUGAUGAAAUAUGUUACUAUUGAUAGUUUAAUGAAUAUAUUUUUACGGGUUACUCAAACAGACAUGUAAUAUAUAUAUCAAAUAUAAACCAAUUGAACAAAUAUAUUAACAUAAAUAUAUCAUAAAACAUUACAUUAACAUAAAUCGAAGCGAGAGACAGAGAGUAAGAGUCAAUAUUUUAAUUGUUUAAAAAUAAAAUUAUAUAUAUAAAUUAUAAAAAUUAAGAACUAAAUAUAUUAAAAAUAUAUAUCAAAAUUAAAAUAAGAAAUAUUUACAUUUUUAAUGCGAAUAAUGAAAUUAAAUUUAAAGUUUAAAAUAAGCCAUAGACAAAACAUCAAAAAGUAUCUAAUAAUAUGUGAAUAACAAAAGUAAACUAACUAAACAAACAAUUAUAUUUUUUUGCAAACGUAAAUCAUUAAUUUGUAAUAGAUGUAUACACAUUAUUGAUGCUCAAAUCUAUUUUAUUUUUAGUAUGCAUCCACUCAAAAUAUUAAUCCAUUAACAAGAUGAAAUUUUAGUUGGACUAAAAUUGUAUUAAAAUUGGAAUAUCAAUUUCAUAAUAUAUUCACUAUUCAUCUGAACGUUCAUGAAUAUAUAUUACAAUACUCUAAAUAUAAUAAUAAAUCAAACCAGAUUACAUAUUGGGUCAUCUAUCAGUUCAACCGAUAACCAGAUCUCGGAUUUUAGCGGUUGUUACGGGUUUUAUAUAAUUUUUAAAUAACAGUUUUUUGUUUGAAAACUAAAAUGGAUUACAUAUGAACCACCGAAUUUGGCAAUUUAACUGCGGGCCGGGUCGGGUUUCAAAACAUUGAAUAUAAUGUUUCAUUUGUAAUAUCUAAGUGUAGAUACAAUUAAAAUACAAAUUUAUAUCAAAUAAAUUUGGAAUGUUUCGAAAAUAAUCCCGUGCUUUGAAAGCGCGGGUCAAAAUCUAGUAUUAUUUAAAACGAAAGUUUAACUUUGAUAGUACUAUAAUGAAACACGGAAAACAUGAAUCAUUUUUUUCUUUUACAUGUUUUUUCUUUAAUUCGGUAGCAUUUUUUCUUUAAUAUAUUUUCUCUUUUUUUGGUCAACAAUAUAUUUUCUUUUAAAAUCACUAAUUUAAACGAUGAAAAAAAUUAAAAAAUAACUUAUUCAAUAUAACGAAACUUUAGUUUAGAUAGGUAACAUGAAUUCCAAUUAGUACAACUAAAAAAACUACAUCAUAUAUUGAUGAUGAUGCAGAAUAAACUGUCCAAACAUAUAUUUAAUGGGAUGCACUCAACUUUCUAGCAUAUUAUUCACAUUUUCAUAAAAUAGUCAUUAAUUCAAAUUUGAAUUAAAAAUCAUAAAGAAAUUUACAUAGAUUCUGCUCUACACUUAUCUUAUAUAUUAAAACAGAAGUCACAACCUUAAUUUAUGUGUGAUAUUUUUUAAAAUGGACCCUUUAGAUAUUUCAUUUAUUUCUUAAUAACAUUUCUUAAUCAUUAAUGGAUCAUUUAAAAUAAUAUCAAUCGAAUAUCAUAACAACUCUAUAUUACUUAAUUAUAAUCUAACUAAACUAUAUAUUACUUAAUUUAAAUGAUCUCAUAUAUUACUUACCAAAUCAUGUUAUACACCACUGAUUAUACCAUGGCUCCAUUUUAUUAAAAUAACAUCUUAACAAAACGUGACUAAUGAAUCACAAUAUCAUAACAAUAGCGUUCCUUGGUACCCCAACGUUACAACAGUUCAAUCUACCAUUGCCAUUUACCGAACUUUGUUAAAAAAAUUGAAAAGAUCCUCUAGAUCUCUAUAUUAAAUAAACAAUUCUAUAUACAAAUAGUGUAAUAUCUUUUGCUAACGAGAUCUAUCAACAGAUUUCUAUAGAUGUGUUACUCAAUAAUUUCAAGAUUUGCACCAAAUUAAAUGUCUAAAAUAAUUAACUUUACUGAUUUUCAUCAAAGGUUCAUGAAAACUUAACUAAUUUUUUAAAUUGGUAAUAUUGUAGUAUUUAUAGUUGAUAAAAAUUCUUCAAAAAUACUUUUAAUAGAGUUCACGGAAAUUGUGGAUUUGUGGUCAAUAUCUAUAAAUUAAAAUGCAUAACAUAAAUACAAUGAAUUUAUUUUAUAUGACAAAUCAAAUAGGUUAUUCAGUUUUAUGUACUAUUAUAAAGUAUAUGAGAAGUAAAUCAAAAAUUUAAAAUAUUAUAAGAUUUUUCUGGGUUUUUGUCGGAUUAACCGAUGUUGGUUCACGGGUUAAUGGCAAAGUUUUGGAUUUUAUCAGAGCUUUAAAAAUUAAGGUACCCAUUUGAUUCUAGAUUCAGUUUCAAUUUUUUGGUUCCAGAGAUGUAUGAUCUACUCGGUUAUUUAUGAAAUUCAAUUCAAUUUUGGUUUCGGUUUCUUCAGUUUGAUAUUGUUCGGUUCGCGAUUCAGAAAAAUAUGCUCUAACCUAUACACUAUCUUAUAUAAAAAUUCAUUAAAAAUAUAUAUUUAAUUUUGAAAACAAACCCGCGCUUUCUAAGCGCGGGUCAAAAUCUAGUUUAUGUUAAAAUUCCCCUUGAUUUGUGGUGUUUCUCUGGGAUAAAAAUGAUAAUAAUUAACAACCUGUACGACAGUAUAGUUCGAACCCUGGUCUAUACACGGUUAAUUCGCAUAACGACUAUGACAAAUCAACUUAUUGUGUGAACUCUCAAAACUAAUUAAAUAAACUAGAUUUAGCCCAAACUCUAAUAUAUUAAGUUAAGCCUAGACGGUGUCUCUCUGCUCUGUAUCCCUCUCUCCUUUCUGGGGUUUUCUUCUCUCCUUCUGCUGCGUUCAUUCUCGUCUCUCUCUAGGUAUCUCACAGAUUCGUAUUUGGUUCUCUGAUGAUCUGUUACGAUUCUGAGAUUGAUUACUGUCAAACCUUUCUUGUAGAUGGCGACUGGGAGAUCCGCAAGUAUGCCGUCACGGUUGCGGCAGCUUCUUUCCGGCGAAGGCUCCAUCGGCCCUUCUAUUAGGCUCGACGCUGAGCCUGUGAGUUCUCUCAAAUUCGAGUUUUAGGGUUUUUUUAAUUGAUAUUGAUUGAAUUCAAUUAGGACUUUCUAAUUUGAUUUUGAUAUCCUUUCACAAGCUUUUGCCUUUUCUGAAUUUAAUUAGGGUUUAUUGUCUUGUCUUGUGUUGUAGCCUCCGGAGAUCAAAUCGUUUAUUGAGAAAGUAAUACAGAGUCCGCUCUCUGAUAUUGCGAUACCUCUCUCUGGCUUUCGCUGGGUUUACAGUAAGGUAACCAUUCUAAUACAUACACUCUCUCUCUCUCUCUCUUUUUUUUGGUGGGUUUUCUCAGAUGAUUGAUUUAUUGUUAUUAUUNNNNNNNNNNNNNNNNNNNNNNNNNNNNNNNNNNNNNNNNNNNNNNNNNNNNNNNNNNNNNNNNNNNNNNNNNNNNNNNNNNNNNNNNNNNNNNNNNNNNAUAAGUAAAUAUACUAUAUAAGAAAAAAAUAUUACAUUAAACAUAUAUCGUAAUAAAUCAUUUGAUAUUAAAACAAGAUAAUUAGAAUAAGUAAAUAUACAAUAUAAGAAAAUGUAAAUAAUAAGUAAAUAUACAAUAUAAGAAAUGAAAAACUACAUUAAACAUGAAAUGUAUUGUUCUCUGGUUUUUUCUAAGGAUAUAUAUGUAAAUAUAUAAUAUGUUUAGAUACGUUUUGAUAUAUGUUACUCCUUGUGCCAUUAUUUUCUAUAUCCAGAAAAAAAUUAAUAGUUAAACCUCAAUAUAACUUAGGUUAAGCAUACGAGCAACAACAAAAUUGAAACAUCGCAGAGAAUGCUCACGUCAACAUUAUAAUACAAUAAUUUUAACCUAAAAAAUAUGAAAACUUUUUAUUACGCAAAUCAUAAAUACUAGGGGUGGGCACUUUGGUUAUUUUCUCGGUUUGGUUCGAGUUGGUUCGGUUAGUUCGGUUCUACUAUUUUUCCAAUUAAAAUAAACUAUAGUUAGUUUGGUUUGGUUCGACUCGGUUUGUGUUCGGUUCAGUUUAUAUUCGGUUUGGUUUGUAUUCGGUUCCGUUGGAUUUAUUUUUUGGAUCAGUUUACUUAGGUUCUUCUUAGUUUAAUUUUUUUAAGAAAAAUUAUGUUUUAAAGCAUAAAUUAUGUAAACAUAUAUAAGAAUUAAAACAAAUGAAAGUUAACUAAGAAAAACCAACAUCAUUAGUAAUGUCUCUUACAUCAUUAUUAAAAAAACUAGCAAUGAAUCAUCUUUCAUGUGACGCUAUGGAGAAAAAGUUUUGUUUUUAAUAAAAUUUGCUUUACGUUUUAGGUUUAGAUUUAACAUUCAUGUUUACAUAUAUAAGAAUAUAAAGAUACAUACUUUUCUAUUUUUUAAAUGAAAUAUUUUAAUGAUUACAUAUUCGGUUAGAAGAAUAUAUGUUAAUAAAUGAAAAAUGGAAAAUACGUGGUAUGGUAUUAGAAUUUUACUAUAUUGGUAUUACUAAUAUUUUUAAUUUAAAUAAUUACAAAAAUACAUCGGUUUCUCAGUUUGGUUCGGUUUAAAACCGAACCAUUCGGGUUGGAGAAAUCGUCAACCGAAUGGUUUGAAAUAGACUUUGGUUCAGUUUGAAUCGGUUUCGGUUCGGUUUGACUCGGUUCGGUUCGGUUGUUUUGUCCACCCCUAAUAAAUACAAAUCGCUCAUGUCUUCACAUAAACAUAUAAUUCAUAACAAAAUAGCCAAAAUAAUACUCAUAUAAUACUCAUAUAUUUAGUUCGGAGUGUUUUUCUUAAAUCUGAAUAUACUAAACCCUAAAAAACAAAGCAAAAACCGAAGCGAAAAUGCCUAGUAGCUAGUUGCCACUAAUGUGAGCGUGUAAUACUCGUGCACUUGGGUUAAACAUUAUGAAGCUAUUGAAAACUCAUUCUUUAUGAGUACUUUAAUAAAGAAAAAUCGAUCCAAAUCUUUGUCGCACCAUAUGAGCACAAUAAGUACAUACGGAAUUGAAUUGUCGUCCAUUAUAGUUAUUGAACUUUCUUUACUUUCGGGAAUUCUCAUGAUAUUACGGAUUAUAAUUCGUUACUGCGUAGUACAAUACUUAGUGCACGGUUGCUUCAUGAUUACUACAUGUUAAAAAAAACAGUUGUGGGAUUGAAGAAAGAACUGUUGAAAGAUGCAACUUCUGCGAUACAUGUCGGAAAAAAACGGUACGUAAAGAUGCUUCUUUCUGUGAUGCAAGAUUUGGUUUAGAGAUUGGGAAAGCACCCAAUUGGCGCGGAGGAAUUGGAUUCGUGUGUGCAGUUUAGGUGAUGGACACCCUCGAUGAGACAAUUUCUUUUUUUUUUUUGUCUAAAUAAUCGUAUGAUUAAAAUUAACUGAGGCAACGUUAUCAUGUGCUAUGAGUACUAAUUCGUUUUUGCUUUUCAGGUUUUUUCACUCUUUGCUUUUUAGUGUGGUAGAAUAAAAGCAUCUUUGAUUUGGUGCAACGCAUCUCCACUCUACAUCGAGCCUUUGAUGCUUAGUUUUGUACCAAUGUGACAGGUUCUAUAUGUCUAAUCAAUGUAAUAUUUAAUGCUAGUGAUUUUAGUUGGUCCUUGUUUAUCAUUCCACUUUGUACGGUUCUCUACUGUAAAACUAUCGUAUUUUACAACUAUUAUCAAUUUUUUUUUCUCAAAAAAAAAACUAUUAACAUUUUUUUUUAUCAAAGAACAAGAGCAGUAGUAGUUGUAAAAGUUCCGUAAAAAAACAUGCGGUAGUAGUACUAAUUACAUAUAUACCUAUUUUCUUUCUUUUUGUCAGACACAUCUAAACUAUUAAAAUUAAAGUACAAAUAGUAUUUACCCCUAAUUUUUGCCAAAUAAUUACAUUUGAUUGCCACUGGUUUUAAAAAUCUAUCCUUUUAAAAUUUUCCUAAAUCACCGUAAACAAAUUGACGUUAUUUAUCCUAAAAUAACUUGUAACUAAACCGACCGUAUUAUGUGAUAUAUUUCCAUUUUGUAUUUCAUAUGUGUAUCAUGUUUAAAACCGGUACACUCCAUUAUUGAUACUUCCAAUUUAAUUUAAUUCAUACUCUAAGGACAUAGUUUUGAAACCGAUUCAAUCCAUGAUAAACAUAUUAUUUAAUUGUAGUAAGAUUCUAAAAACAUUCUGUUGCACCUUGCACCGAACCUGAAUUUGUAUUGGUUUGUUUCUUCUUCCCUACAGAAUGAUCCACUUCUACUUUAUCUCUCGACCUACGAAUGGUAUACACUAUACAAUUUAAAAUUUCCAAUUAUUAAACUAAACCGGGAUUGGAUAAAACUAAACCGGGAUUGGAUAAAAUAAACUGAAUCGGCCAUACCAAAUAAUUUUGGUAUAAAAUUUAUAAAUGUCCUUCGAAUAUGGUAUAUUUAGAGUAUCUGCUAAAAUAUACAUAGAUUUUGAAAAUAAACCGUUUUCGUCAACCUAAGAUCACAUCUAUUACUCAAUAUCACACCAAAAACCACACAUAUACUAACUUUAAGAUCGAUCUUCCAAAAUCACGUAAUAUCUAACUUAUUAUCUUUCCUAAAUCUCAACUUUUUUCCAAAAUUUAUCCUUUAGUUCAAAAAAUCUAGGUAUACUUGAUAGACAUCUUAAUAAUCAAUGUUUUUGGCCUAUCUAUAAAUAAGAGCAAUUCAUUACAAGCUACAGAAAUAAACAACGACAACGCAAGAUUAUAUUUCCUUAACAAAUUUAUUUUAAUAGAAAUUAAUUCUAAAUAUGUUUAUAUAUUUUAUGUAUUUGUAAUUUUAUUUUAUUUGUUUUUUAAGGGAUGCUAAUAUUUUGGAAUUAGAAAAAAUAGGAGAUUUAAAAUUUAUAUCAGAAUAUUUAUUAAUUUUUAAUUUUUAUUAUAACCUGCAAAUAUUAAUUUUCAAUCUAAAUUUAUGUUUAAAUACUACUAAUACACAAUUUAGUAUAAACAAAAAUCUAAAACAUAAAACAAAUACCCGUCCGGUCGGGCGGGUCAAGUUCUAGUAUACCUAUUACAAACAGAACAACAAAGUUGGGUAGAAAAUCAUGUUUUCGUGUAACAAUCAUUUUAAAAUAACAUAUCCUCUCUUAUAUAUAUAUACACAUUUUUUUCUUCUUUAGUUAAAAAUGAAAACUUGAAGAAAUCCUAGAUAAUCUUGUUCUUUGAAAUAUAAUUAUCAUCUGAAUAACCGACCAAGAAAAAAGUAGCAUAAUUAAAUUUGUUAUGAAAAAACGAAUAAUUUAAAUUUAGUUUGAAAGUUGAAAAAAGAAAUUCGAUAAAACUUAAAAACGUAAAGAAACAUUUUAUAUAACGGAACAUAUAGAGUAUGAAUAAACUAAAUUGAAACAUGUAAUAGAUUGUAACCUCAAACCGGGUUCUUCCCAAAUACUCAAUUCAUACCAUUAUUGUUCGUUGAAUGUAGGCAAAUGGACAUCACAUCAAUAUAUUUAAAGAAAGGUUCGCAUAUUAGGUGUGGCUUGAUUAGUUUUCCAGAAAUGUACAUUGUAUACCGCCAAAAUUUUAUAAAGUACGUCGCAUAGCUACAAAAACUAAAGAACGCAAACAUGCAUUAGGAAUAAUAGUUUUGCAUACCAAACAUUCGUUCUUUUUUGUGCUCAAUUCUAAACAUUCGGUUUUCCAAUCAGCAGAAAAUAAAAUAAUUAUUUGUUAGUUUCGAUUGAUAACGACGCUAAUUAUGGAAACUAAUAAUUGUGUUUGAAUAAAAUCAUAGCGUUCUAAUUGUUGUAUAAAGAAAAACCUCAAUGGAUACUAUUAGUAAAAAGUAAGGUUACAACUUACAAUCAUUGUAAAAUUAAAAAAAAAUGUUAAUCUUAAAUAUUGGCCUUUUAUGUUAUAAUAUUUUUAAUCAUAAAUAUUUUAAAUGCAUCUGUUAAUGAUUAUCAAAUCAAGAUUCAAUUUUAUACAUUACAAUUGGACACAAAUAAUAACUUAGUUAAAACGUAUUUUCAUUUGUCUUAAAUGAGUAAUUAGUCCGAUCCGUAGCCAUCGAUUAGCCCUCGGAUUAUAUGACCAAAAAUUAAAGAGCAGAACCUCUUUGACAUUUCAUUUGGUAUAGCGCCUCUGUAAAUAUUGGACCGGCCCUUAAUUCACUAAUGAAAAGGUUGAUAUGCAUUAUUGUGCAUCUAUAAUCUUUUGUUGUAACGUUUCAUCUUUAAAGAUAGAAAAUGCAUGAGAUCUUUUUUAUAUCAAUGUCACAACUGAAAAUGUUUUCAAAAUAUCAAUUUGUUUAAACGCAAAACGCUGCUUUAGUAGGAAUCGCGUAUGUACAACUUCAAAAAUUAAAAAAUAAGCUUUUGUAGUUGUCAGGAAACAAGGGAUAGUGUUCCAAUUUGGAACAUCCAGCAGGCAAAUAAUGGAAAUAUUCGGUCAUAACUUAUCACAAAGAGUGGCAGCAAACACAUAUAGUGGAUUCUGCGAAUUUGCUCCAUAAGCUUCUGGACAAUGUUUUUUUUUGUUUUUUAGUUUCUUUUCUCUUUGUUUUUAAUUCAUUUUAUACGUUUCUUUUCUAUCACUUCCACUAUUUUGACGUACACAUAUUUACUAUUAUUUAUUAGACUGCACUUGUAAUAUUUCACCCUUUUGAUAAGUCUUACACAUUGCAGUUUGAAUCAUUUAUUUUAUUUUAUUUUAUUGUGGCUGCUUUGUGAAGCCGACAGAAUCACUCUUCUGAUUUCCACUAUCAGAACAUUUGUUCCUUAUUAGAGAUAAGGAGGAAAAUAUAAUAUAGAAAUACGCAUCCAAACUGACAUGGCACUACGUGGUUACAACUCUCAUAAGGCUUCUCUUUCACAUUUUCUUAGACAAAAAAAAAACAUCUUCUUAGACAACCGUUCAAAUGUGGUAUAUGUCCAAGAUCAUACAAGAAGUAUGACGAAAUCUGUUUACUCAGUCUUAGCCCACUAUAAUAUCGCUUUGGUAUCUAACUUCAAUUUUUAAAAAGCCACCAGAUUGUUUCGAUAUAUGAGAAAUAUUUUGAAUGUUUUUCUCUUUUUUACACUGACCAUUCCUUUAAAAAGGAAUUGUAGUUAUACAUAAAGUUUUGUUUGUCACAAUGGUCCAGGAGAAGAGUGGAUAGAAAAUAAGAAAAUAGUGAAGAUAGUUGAUAAGGCAGCUUUUGUUUGUUUAUUGUUUUGUUUCUUUAUUAUAGUUUCGUUGAUUUUGUCUUGUAUCCCAGUAUGUUUUUGCCCCCAGAAGAAGAGGCAAAUGAAUUAGUCCAUCUCUCACAGUGAAACAAUUUUUUUUUUGUUCACAAUAAAAUAAUGGCUACUGGAUUGCAUUCUAUCUCUCUCCACUUGUCUUUGUGUUAAAUUAUAUAUGACACUAACUACCUACUUGGAAUGCAUAUCUCCACGUAAAAGUUAUCCUUUUCUAAUUGCUGUACUAUUGUUAUGAGGACUUACAUUUUUAUUGGUCUAGGUGUUUACGGUACCACAUGUAUUUUAGCACUUGGGUUGAGAAACGUAUUUUCAUUUGUCUUAAAUGAGUUAUUAGUCUGAUCCGUAGCCAUCGAUUAGGCCUCGGAUUAUAUGACCAAAAAUUAAAGAGCAGAACCUCUUUGACAUUUCAUUUGGUAUAGCGCCUCUGUAAAUAUUGGACCGGCCCUUAAUUCACUAAUGAAAAGGUUGAUAUGCAUUAUUGUGCAUCUAUAAUCUUUUGUUGUAACGUUUCAUCUUUAAAGAUAGAAAAUGCAUGAGAUCUUUUUUAUAUCAAUGUCACAACUGAAAAUGUUUUCAAAAUAUCAAUUUGUUUAAACGCAAAACGCUGCUUUAGUAGGAAUCGCGUAUGUACAACUUCAAAAAUAAAAAAAUAAGCUUUUGUAGUUGUCAGGAAACAAGGGAUAGUGUUCCAAUUUGGAACAGCCAGCAGGCAAAUAAUGGAAAUAUUCGGUCAUAACUUAUCACAAAGAGUGGCAGCAAACACAUAUAGUGGAUUCUGCGAAUUUGCUCCAUAAGCUUCUGGACAAUGUUUUUUUUUGUUUUUUAGUUUCUUUUCUCUUUGUUUUUAAUUCAUUUUAUACGUUUCUUUUCUAUCACUUCCACUAUUUUGACGUACACAUAUUUACUAUUAUUUAUUAGACUGCACUUGUAAUAUUUCACCCUUUUGAUAAGUCUUACACAUUGCAGUUUGAAUCAUUUAUUUUAUUUUAUUUUAUUGUGGCUGCUUUGUGAAGCCGACAGAAUCACUCUUCUGAUUUCCACUAUCAGAACAUUUGUUCCUUAUUAGAGAUAAGGAGGAAAAUAUAAUAUAGAAAUACGCAUCCAAACUGACAUGGCACUACGUGGUUACAACUCUCAUAAGGCUUCUCUUUCACAUUUUCUUAGACAAAAAAAAAACAUCUUCUUAGACAACCGUUCAAAUGUGGUAUAUGUCCAAGAUCAUACAAGAAGUAUGACGAAAUCUGUUUACUCAGUCUUAGCCCACUAUAAUAUCGCUUUGGUAUCUAACUUCAAUUUUUAAAAAGCCACCAGAUUGUUUCGAUAUAUGAGAAAUAUUUUGAAUGUUUUUCUCUUUUUUACACUGACCAUUCCUUUAAAAAGGAAUUGUAGUUAUACAUAAAGUUUUGUCACAAUGGUCCAGGAGAAGAGUGGAUAGAAAAUAAGAAAAUAGUGAAGAUAGUUGAUAAGGCAGCUUUUGUUUGUUUAUUGUUUUGUUUCUUUAUUAUAGUUUCGUUGAUUUUGUCUUGUAUCCCAGUAUGUUUUUGCCCCCAGAAGAAGAGGCAAAUGAAUUAGUCUAUCUCUCACAGUGAAACAAUUUUAUUUCUGUUCACAAUAAAAUAAUGGCUACUGGAUUGCAUUCUAUCUCUCUCCACUUGUCUUUGUGUUAAAUUAUAUAUGACACUAACUACCUACUUGGAAUGCAUAUCUCCACGUAAAAGUUAUCCUUUUCUAAUUGCUGUACUAUUGUUAUGAGGACUUACAUUUUUAUUGGUCUAGGUGUUUACGGUACCACAUGUAUUUUAGCACUUGGGUUGAGACAUGAAUCUAUACACUAUAUGAACUGUCCGAUUCUAUGGAAAUUCUAGCAUUAUCUACCUUAUGUUAAAUUCAUAUAGUGUACAGAUUCAUGUAAGCAACCAAUAAAAGAUAGCUAAACUCAGAAAACACAACCAUUCAAAAAAAAUAACAUUUCCAACGUUAGUGAAAUGGUUUUCAAACUGAACCAAAAGCAUUACCUGCAAGAGAAUAUGACCUGCAAAAACAAACAGAGUACAGCUUAUUCCAAUUGUGGAGCUCUAAUCGAGACCAUAAAUGUAAAGUAAUGCCACUUGUAGUUUGCUGAUCACCCUAAAUUACAUUAUAAGUGUUUGAACGCAUUUAAUUAUCAUACUUUAUCUUUAAUACUCUUUAAGAUGUUUUAAAAGAAGAGUAGAUAGCCAACAAUUUAUAUAUCAUAUAGCGUUGUCGUAUAUCACCUUUACGUAAUAUAAAGUCACCAUAUUAUUCAUGUCUUUUUUUCCCUGUAAAACCAUGACUAAGAAAAUAUAUUUUCAUCUCCAUGACAUAGAUAAUUUCUAUUUCACCCAUUAUGGACUAAAAGUACUAGAGUCUAGGUUAAGUAUUACCUUGAUAUUUCCAAACCGUGGUUAAAUGUUGGCUGUGCAAGCUUAAAACUCCAUGGCAAGUACUAAGUACUAACAAUAUAAGAAACAAGAAGCAAACCAACGUAUUUAUAUAUUUUACACGGCAUAUAAUUUAAUUAAAANNNNNNNNNNNNNNNNNNNNNNNNNNNNNNNNNNNNNNNNNNNNNNNNNNNNNNNNNNNNNNNNNNNNNNNNNNNNNNNNNNNNNNNNNNNNNNNNNNNNNNNNNNNNNNNNNNNNNNNNNNNNNNNNNNNNNNNNNNNNNNNNNNNNNNNNNNNNNNNNNNNNNNNNNNNNNNNNNNNNNNNNNNNNNNNNNNNNNNNNNNNNNNNNNNNNNNNNNNNNNNNNNNNNNNNNNNNNNNNNNNNNNNNNNNNNNNNNNNNNNNNNNNNNNNNNNNNNNNNNNNNNNNNNNNNNNNNNNNNNNNNNNNNNNNNNNNNNNNNNNNNNNNNNNNNNNNNNNNNNNNNNNNNNNNNNNNNNNNNNNNNNNNNNNNNNNNNNNNNNNNNNNNNNNNNNNNNNNNNNNNNNNNNNNNNNNNNNNNNNNNNNNNNNNNNNNNNNNNNNNNNNNNNNNNNNNNNNNNNNNNNNNNNNNNNNNNNNNNNNNNNNNNNNNNNNNNNNNNNNNNNNNNNNNNNNNNNNNNNNNNNNNNNNNNNNNNNNNNNNNNNNNNNNNNNNNNNNNNNNUCAAACUUAUAUAUAUAUAUAUAUAUAUAUAUAUAUAUAUAAUUUGAAUAUCUAUUAAAUGAUACUUCAUAUAUAUUCAUAUGAUUUUAUGAUCAUUUGUAUCUUUUAAUAGUUCACAAAACUUUUAUUGUAAGAUUUUUAAUAGUUUUAGCAAUUUAUAGUCGAUUUAAAGAAAAUUAAAAUAUAACAUAUAAGAAAAAAAUGUAUUUUUUAUUAUAUGGUUAAUAUGAUUGUUUAAUUUUUUUAAUAAUAUAAAUUAAACAUAAAGAAUGGUGGAUACAAAUUUUAUCAUCAAAUCUUUUUUAUUCAAAAUCAUUAGUUGUCAUAUAUAUGUUAAUAAUAUUAUGUAAUUCUUUAGCUUUUAUUUACUAGUGAAUAUUUUUUUAUAUAUUACUAGCCAGUUUCAUAGUUAAUUUAAUAAAAAUAUAAUAUAUACUUUGAUAGACCAAUUUAUUUUUUUUAAGAAUUCUGAAAACCAUUAUGGUGAUGAUAUGUGCAUAUAUUUAAAGGUUGUAAUGCUCUUUAAUUAAUAUAUAAGAGAUUUUUCUGUAGAUAAAUUCCGACUUCUCUUUUACUGCGUUCUCCUAGUGGUGUGAAUUUUGCGAUAGCCGUCCAACGCAUAACUUGUAACCAUGUGUGCAAUUAUAAACUCAAUAAUGGCUCAUUUUCAUAAACAAUUCGUUUUUCAUACAUAAAAUAAUCAGUUUAGUAUUUUUCACUCAAAUAAGCUUAGGAAUAAAAAUCAGACAUGCUCCACAGAUCUUAUAUCUAGAAUCAAAUAAAGUAACAGUGAGAGAUUUUAGAAUCUAUUCGAAUCCAGAUUAUGGAUACAUAAAAAAACAUAUCAUAUAAUUAACCACCACCAUUAAGAAUCUCUAUGGUAUAGAUAGAUAACAAUAACAUAAUAGUUAACUAAUUCUUCUUUUUCGUUUUCUGAUGAAGAUGUCUUUUGUUGAUUAAUUAAAUGUUGUUGCUAUUAACGUGCUAUAUUAGAACAAUAGAGCUCGUCGGCUCGUCCUAUGUUCCUAACCCAACUAUUAUAUAAUGAUAUCUAGAACUAUACAUAUGAAAGCUAUGCGACACAUCAUGACACUUAUUAAAAAUUAUUUAUGCGCAAAGGACACUAAAAUAACGGACUACAGUCCAAUGAAUGAAACAACACCGAAGAUUAUGUUUUUAUUUGCUUUGUUCAAAAGAACACGGAACAUUAUGUUCUUUGUUUUGUUCUCUUUUAACCUCAAAAGUCCGACCAAACCACUUCUUAAUUCUUGAAACGUUUGGAAGAUAUACAUAAUUUUGCCAUGUAAUGUUUCUUGUGGCCAAACAUAACAGAAAACUCAAACUCUGAGGCUUUUACCAGUACUUGUUCGAAAAUUGGAUAUACUGUUUCGAUUAUCUUGUAGCAUAGUUAGGUUUAAUGGACAUGAGAACUAUGUAGCAUCCACACCAAGGGUUCAAAUCUUUCUUGUUUAAGGCACCACAGUAAUAUGAAAUCAGCCCCUUUGGAUUUUUACCUAACACGAAGAUAGUAACAUUGUUCUUUCUUUUAAUGUCUUUUUGAUCACCUUGCGAUCUUUAAAUCUUAAGUAACGAAAGAGAAAAUAUUGUAUCAAUGGGACCAGAAAGAUAGUAAAUGAGAGAAGCAUGUCUUGUUGUAUUAUGUGUUAUGCUCGCCACUUGAAUGUUUCUUGAAGACAAGAAGAGAGUGGAUUUUGUUCACAUCGAUUUUGUUGCUCACUACUCAACGAAAAAUUGCAGUGUUUUUUGCCUGUCAGCACGAGACAGGCAGCACUUCCCAAACCUUUUACUAUAAUGACCCUUGUCCCUUUCCCUCAUUGGAACUUCUCUGUCAUACUAGAUAGAAAAAGGAUCUUUCAUAUUUCCAAAAGCAUUCGUACCGUUAUACAACGAGGGGCAUAAGCAUGAGAUUUUUUCGUUUCUUUUAAUAAUGGUUCAUCUAUGUUCUUAUAAAUUUUCGAAGAAUUCCAAGAAAAGGUGGGUGUGUAUCAAACUAGCUUUACUCUAGCCUCUAGGAUAUGUGAUUUAUUAAAAACCGUUGUUAACAUCAAGGAAUAAAUAACUAAAACAUAUGACAAAACCAUAUGUUAUUUCUGGAUAUAUAUUUGUCUUGACGGGUCUUUGCAUGAGACGGGAAUGUCUGUUUCCAGCUGAAAUAUAUAGAGUUGGAUUUCCCCCACUAGAGGAAUAAGGAAUUUACUUUAAGAAAGCUUCCAAUCUGUUGAGUUUCAACACAAUGAAAGAGUUACUUCGAGCUGACAAGAGGAUAUAAAGGGGGUUCUUUUCCAAAAAAAGCUUUGAUGCCUAAGCCAUACAUCAAUAAACGAUUAAGUAUAUUAACUCCGAAAAUGAGUAUGGGUUGUUAUAUGAGGAGUCCCGUCUGAGGAUCAGGACUCUCAUCUGUUGGAGGAGUGCAGUUAGAAUUCUACUCUGACCGCCCAUUCAAAUAUCAUCUAUGUUUAGAACCACAUUAAGCGUUAGCCAGGGCGGUCGAUCAGGAUCCAGCAAGAUAAUAAAAAAUGAAGACUAAUCGGUGUUUUGUAAUCUUAUAUAUUAAAACAGAAGUCACAACUUUGAUUCAUGUGUGAUUUUUUUUUAAAUGGACCAAAUGGACCUAUUACUAGAAAGUCAUGUUCCAUUUAAUCUCUAAUUUUAUCAUUUAAAUUUUGGCUUACCAGAAAUUUUUAUUGGACUAUCAAUAAUUGGAUUUAAAUAAUAGAUGAUCUAUUAGAUUUAUAGAUAGUAUAAAUUAAAUAGAUUUUAAUUUAAUAUUGUAAUACUAUACCUCCAUAUGUUAAUUAUUUAAAUAUUUGUCGAUGUUAACUUUUAAAAUUAUAAAGAUUUUUUUUUAAAUAACAAAAAUCAUAUUAUCUAAUAAUGAUUAAUAUUUACUACUUUAAAUGAAUGGUCGAUAUUGCGGUAACAUUUAAAUAAAGACUAAAAAUUUAAAUCAUAUUAUAUAUUUUACUAAUGAUUAUUUACAAGUGUUCAAAUACUUACACUAAAAAUUUCAUCCUUAAAAUAAAAAUUCUCACAAACAAACUAAAGUUUUUGUUUUUGCCGAUUCAUUACAAUUAGCUGAUAUGUUUAAAAUUUUCAUCUUUAAAGAAAAAAUUCUCACAAACAAACUAAAAUUUUUGGCUUCAAUUGGUGACCAGGAAAAUGAAUGAAAUGAACAUAAAAAUGUUGAACAAAAUUCCAUUUAAGGAAUUGAAUUGAAAAAAAAAAAUUAAAUAUGCAGGAACGUUUGUUCCUCAUCAAAUUUAGAUGUGGAAAAUACUUUUCAUUAAUUCAUCAAUAUAUGAGGAACAUAGAUGAAUAUGGUGGGGUUCAUAUAUUUUUAAUUUGACAAAAAAUUUAACUUAAUUGGUAUCAAUUUUGAGGAACAACAAAUUCAUCAUCAUUUUGAGGGUCACCAAUUGAAGCUUUUGUUUUUGCCGAUCAUUACAAUUAGCUGGUAUGUUGUUUUCAUAAUACAUCACAACUAUUUUCGAGAUUUAUGCUACAGUUUCAUCAAACAUGCAAUUUUAAAUAUCAAACCGUUUUAAUCGGAUUCUCUUUUGCUUUAGUAAGAAUUAAGUCGACGACAAAAACGAAAAAAAGAUUGAUGCCAUUUUUAAUGCCCUUUUACUUAGCAAACUUUCGAUAUUUGAGUAAUUAAAUCUUAUCUUGUUUGACUAAGAAAACCUAAGUCAAACCGUAAGUAUAUAGGGAAAAAGCAUUAUCUUCUCGGCUAGUGUAUGGACUCGGGACUUAUGGAGUAAUCUUGACUCUUAAGUGAUGAUUUAUCUGUUUUUCAUAAUUACAUCUACUCCUCAAAAUAAAGGAUUAAAUAGAACCGACUUACGCUUCUUAAUGUUUUGGCGGUAUUUAAAAAUAAUAACUAAAGUAAAUCAAAAAGGUAAAUUUAUCCCAUAUCUUUCUCUCUACACUUAUAAUUCUGCCAAAGUAGGCUUUGAUUUCGAUCUUAGCAAAUCAAAACUCAAACAUCUUGUAAAUUUUUUUGUGUUUUGUUUUCGAUUUAAUUUAACAUUUAAUUAAAAAAAGAUCUCUGCCUUGCCAUGGCUGGAGCCAAAGUGAAACCAAUCGGUAGUAUAUUAUAUGAGGUCAUAUUUCGUCAUGUCAGUAAGUCCUUUUUCAAUACAAAAACAGCAUACAAUAACAUAUUCGUAUAGGAGAUAUAACAUUUUAUUAUAUAGUCUUAAUAUUCUUAAUAUAUUUAGUGAUCUGUUGAAACAGCAAGAAUUUUUUUCUUCUAAUUAUUCUUUAUUUUGAUAAAUAGUAUUUGAAAUAACUCCUAAAACAUUUUAAGGAGAAAUGAGAGGUUUUUCUCCAUAUCCUUAUAUCCGAGAGAUUAAGUUAUUCAUUUUCUAUUCAAGAUACUUUCCCAGCCACAAUAUAUAUUUAAACUUAUAACCAUUUUAAAAAUUUAUCAUGUAAUUAGUUUAGAUGUUUAAAACUAAAGUCCUUAAAUUCUUGUAAAUUAUGUUUACAGUUUUAAGAAAUUCAUAUUUAUUUGCCCUCUUCCUCGACAUAAACUUUCUUCAUAAUAAUCUAUACUCAUCCUUUAUCCAUGACAGGAAAAACUCUAUACAAUUUGUAUUCCCUAAAGUUGUAACUUUUGGUAUCUAUUUAUUUAACCAGUUAUAAUAUAUUUUUUAUAAAAUACUAGUUACAAUUAUGUUAUUUUCAACCAAAUAUCAAAAUUAAACUAUGAUAGUUUUUAUUAUGUAACACAAUAAAUUAGUUCUAUAAUAUAUUUUCUGAAUUUUAAUUUUAAGGUUGAACAGUUGAAGAAAAGGAAAAAUUAAUCUCCUUACGAGAACAUGAAAGAAUGAGCACUUGCACCUUUUCUAUUUCCAUAUCAUCACUAAUUAAAUAACCAUUGGUUAGUUUUUUUUUGUCAACAAGCAUUGGUUAGUUUUAUUAUACCAAUGAACCUUAGAUACACCAAACAUAUAUAUAUAUAUAUAUAUAUAUAUAUAUAUAUAUAUUUUGUCAUCAACUUAUACAGAUUCAGAAAGACUUUGUAAACCAAACGGGGUGAUAUAUAUCCAUGUGGACGACAAAAAACAGUUGCACCCUAGCAUUACGGGCUAGACUAUAAUCCGCCAUUGAAUUUUGUAUCCUUGGAAUAUGGAUGAUUUGUGCUUGGAAGAAACUCUCUUUCAGGACCUUGAUAUCUUCCAAAUAAUUUGCAAAAGCUGGUCAUUCUUCUGGUGUCGAAACCAUCUUCACCAAUUGAGAACAAUCCGUUGCAAACGUAACAUGGAAUUGACGUAAAUUUCUCAUGCAUUCCAUUGCCCGGAAUAGCACUUCCAUUUCUGCAUGAAGAGGAGAAAGGCUAACCAAACAUUCCUCGCCCUCAACAGUCCAGUAAAUCCUUCUAGAGUGCUGAGCCAAACUUGUCCAGAAAAACUAUCGCUCUCUUUUCAAGAACCAUAUGUGAAACACCAUCGUCCUGGAAUUGACGGCAGAGAAGUAACCGCAACUUGUGGUACUGUCCUUUGCUCAUUCAAAAUUUGUGCCUCAGCCCAUAAUGUUGACUCUGUUUCUGCCAAUUUAAGCGUAUCCAUGGGAUCAAUAUCCAAAUUACUGAAAACUUUAUUAUUACGACAUUUCUAUAUGUACCAUAGAAUCCAAGAAAACUGAUGAUCCUCUAUAUGUGGUAGAACUCUCCAGAAGAGAUGAUCCAUGUGUGUGAAUAGAGAACUUGUUGGAAAGAUUUCUGGAUUUGAUGGUAUCUUCGAGAGAGUCCAAACCUGAAGUGCUGGAGGACAUUCAAAAACACAUGGUUUACCGAUUCUUCAUGAGCUCCACAUCUUGCACAACAAAUAUCCCCUUGAAUCCAUCUCCCUUGUAGAUUCUUCUUAACUGUGAUACACCAUGUUACUAGUUGCCAUAGAAAAUGUUUUAACUUUGGUGGGCACCGUAUUUUCCAACAAAAGGCCUUCAAGACGUCAACUGUGGGGCCUAUCAAAAGUGGUGGUCUUACCCUAUCUGGGUAAAUCCGUUCCACCUAAUAUCCUGAUUUAACUGUAUAUUUCUCACUUUUUGUAAAGUGACAUCCAUCCCUAUCCAUCCUCUGAAUCCUACUCAGUGGUAUACUUUCUAUAAGUUUCACAUCCUGUGGGUCCACCAAAACCCGAAUUGCCUGUGAGUUCCAAGUGCACGAAGUAAAGUCAAUGAGAGAGUCCACUGUAAGGUCCGGGUAUAAAUUGUGUUGAUUUUUAUUGGCUGGUCUCCGGCAAGUGGUUGGGAGUCAUGGAUCAUUCCAUGCAGAUAUAGAAGAACAUGAUCCCACUCUUUUGAUUAGUCAUUUGCUUACCAGAGAUCUAGUAGAUACAAUACUUCGCCAGCCAUAUGAUGGAGAAUAUGAACGAAUCGGUUCCAGGGGUGAAGCAUUCCUGUAAUACCGACCUUUAAAAACUCUAGCAAAUAAUGUGUUUGGCUUCUCUAUUAGAUGUCAAACCUGUUUACCAAGCAUCGCUGUAUUAAAAUCAGUGAUAUCUUUAAACCCCAGACCUCCUUCGUCUUUAUCGACACAUAUUUUGUCCCAUGAUUUCCAGUGCAUGCCUCUCGUGCUUCCCCCUGAACUCCACCAAAAUUGUGCAAAUUUCUAAUAUUGAUUUAAAAUAGAAAGACAAAACUCAUUAUAAAAACGUGUUACAUGACUGGAAACAUUUAAGGAGCUAAAAGUUAAAACUACUGUGAUGUUAGAUCAAAUAUUUACCAGUUAAAUCAAUAUAAUAAAUUUAUUGAAAAUAAAAUUAGUUUUUUGUAUAAUAUUUGGUGUUGAAAAUAUUCAAAACAUGUUGAAUAAGAAAAAAAUAUAGAAUACCAAAGUCACAUACCAUUCUCUAAAUUUUUGAUAUUUUUAUAUUCUUCUAAUUGUUUGAAACAAAUAAUUGUACUAUAAAUUAAAUAAUAUAUUUUUAAUUCUCAUAUGAAAAUUUAUUAUUUUUAAUUAUCUAAAAUAAAGAUUAUUGUUUAUUUUUAUUAAAAAUAUUGUUAUAUAUAAAAUUUAAAUGUUGUUGAAUGAUGAGUUGGAAGAAAGAAAAUAUGAUGUAGAGCGUUAAAAAAAUGAAAAAAUAGUGUUAAAUUUUGAAACCGUAGUGAAUGAUAAGUUUUUCUUGUUUGCUAGUUGAAAGCCAUAAUUUUAAAAGAUUUUGAAUAUUUGUUUAGUGACUAUACAAUUGCUAUAUGAUUUUUUGUAUUUUAGCUUUACAUGUAUUGUAUUUGUACUACGUACAACCUAUUUUCCAAUAGAUAACUAUUCUUCCAAGUAUCCUAGUUCAACCACGCUUAUCUCCAAAAUUCUUAAUUGAUAAAUAACCGAAAAAAAAAACUUACUGACAUAAAUAACCAAAUUAAUUUUCAAUAACCUUCCAACAUAUAUAUAUUAAAAAUCGGAACCUUGCAAUCACUUGCAUCCAAGAAAGCCACUCAUGUUACUGUAAACCUACAUAGAACUCUAUCGUACUAGUCUUGGUUCGAUUCCGAUACUACUUAUAAAAGUCAUAUAAACUCUUCAUGUGUGUUUACGGCCUCGUCUUGCGGUUGGACGCAUUAAUUUUAAGAAGUUUGAAACACUUCAUAUUAUCUUUUUUUUCAUGCUUUGGAUUUAGUCCAGGGUAUGACAAACCACUUUUGAUAUGUAAUCCAUUCUUUCACUGAUCUAAUUUUAAGCCUGUUUAAUUUUGAAGUUUCACUGAUCUACUUUAAGCCUGUUUAAUUUUGAAGUAGUGUAAAAUUAAUAGCGAGAUCCUCCUUUACGUGCAACCAAAUCAUACUCCCGAAGUGUUAUAUUGUUGGUAAUGUUUUUCGCUGAAUAAAUUAAUUCAUCAUCAUUAAGUGUUAAAAAACUUACAAGACAUUCUAAGAUUGAAGGAUUAGAGUUUUAUUUUAUUUAUAUUAUAUUAGAUGAUGUCCCGCACCUUGUACGGAUUAAUAUAUCUAUAUAUCUAAAAAAAUUUAAUUCUAAUGUUUAUUUUUAUAAAAAAUAAUAAUUAAAGUAGAUAAAACAUUUAAUUUAUAUUAUCAAUUACAAAACUUCAAUAUUCAUAUUGGUAAUCAAUGUAUUAAAUUAUGUUAUUUUGUUUCAUAUUUUUAUUUAUGUGAUGUAGAUUUUGGAUCAAAAUAUUUUAUAUGGUAAUAAUUAAAUAAAGAAAUUUGUAUUUGAAAUUAAACACAUAUUGUAUUUAGACUGAAAAGAAAUCAUGUGGUACUGAACGGAUUAUAAAAAAUCACAUAAAACAUCAACAAAAAUGAUUGUAUAGGAGUGUUCAAUCCAGUAAAAACCAAACCAUUUAAAACCGAACCAAAUAGAAAUAAAGAAAAUAGUCUAGGUUUGCUAUUACCGAAUAAACCAAAUGGAUAUUAUUUUUAAGAAACUGAAGUAUAUGGACAUGGUUCAGUAUAUUAAGCGAUCAAACUGAAUAAACCACAUAAACCGACUAAUUCAGAUAUAUUAGCAUACUUAUAUAUAAAUUUAAUAAUAAUCUAUAUUUAAUCAAUAUUUCCAAUAAAAAUUAGAGAACUGAGUAUAAUAUUAGUUAUUAAAAUCAUAAACUAAAUAUAAGAUAAAAUUAAUGAUGAUAUUAUCGGUAGAUAUUUUUAAUAACUUAAUAUCAGUUGUUAAUAUCUAUUUAAUUAAAUAUCCUAAAUAUCAUGAUAAUUAAUAUUAAAAUAUUUUAAAAAAUAAUAGAAUAUAUAUCAGUAGAAUAUGUUAAUGUUUAUUAAUUAUCUUAAAUAUCAUGAUAAAUAUAUAGAUAUCAAAAUAAAAUUUUAAAUAAUAAUAUUAAUUAAACUAAUGACUUAUCUUAAAAUUAUGGAAAAUAUGACAAGUAAGCAUAUUAACUAAAAUUAUUGAGAAGAUGAUAAUUCAGCAAAUUUACUUCUCAAAUAAUGUAUAUAUAGAGUAGAAUCUCUAUAAAUUAAUACUCAAUAAAUUAAUAAUCUCUAUAAAUUAAUAAAUUUCGCGAGUCCCAACUUGGACCGGUUUAAAAUUUGAUACAAAUCGAUAAAAUAAUAAGAUAAUAUUUUCUAGAAAAUUCUAUAUAAAUAUAUGGUCCCAUUCAAAUUAUGAAUUAAUAAAUUAUAUAUAUAUACAUAUUUUAUAUAAGUAAUAACCUAUUAUUAUAUGUUUGUUGUAUAUUCACAGUGGACCUAUCUUUAUAUUUUCUUAACACUUAUAUAUUUUUGAUGAGAUUUUGUAAUAUUCUAUUUAAAGCCACAUUUAAGUUAUAUGCAAUAUAUAUUUUAUACAUCAUAUAAUAUAAUAAAAUUAAUAUACAUGUUUAAUUUCAAAUAAUAAUAAUUAAUGUCUAUACAGUAAAAAUAAAUAUUUUUUCAUCUUAGAAUAAAUAUAUAUAAAAAUAAGAAAUCUAAAUAAGAAAACUUUUGUAAAUUAAUAUCUCUAUAAAUUAAUAAAAUUUUAAAAUCCCAAUAUUAUUAAUUUAUAGAAGUUCUAGUGGAUAUAGUUCCUUAUCAUACAUAUUGUUUUUGUCCCUAUUGUCCUUUUCCAGUCGACACACGAUUUUUUAAGUCAAAGGAAACAAAAAAAAUCCCACUAAGAUUAGAAAGAAAAUGAUUUUAUGUUAAAAAGAAAUCAAAACUAUUGUAGAGCCACAUGUCGAGAUAACAUCAAUUUCUGCAACUAUAAAUAGAACGUUUUAUCCUCCAAAAAGCCCAACCAAUAACCACAUUAAAAAAAAAAAGUUCCACUCUGUUUCUUUUUCAUUUGCAUAAAUCAUUUUGCCUCCAAAAGGCUUCUGGGCUCUGUCUCUUUGUCUCUUUUACCUCUACUCCGCUCAAAACAAUUUUACUUGCCUCAACAAACAUGUGUAAUUUAACACCAUCUUCUUCCUCUUCCUUACUAUCAUCUCCCAAAGAAAAAAACAAUUUCUCAAAACUCGAAACCUGUGAUGCAGACCAUCCCCAUUAUUCCGACUUUACCGAUGACGGUUCCCGAGACCUUAAUAGAUGUCCAACUUUUCUCGAGGUAUACUAACUCUUUUCAUUAAAAAAUAAAAAGUAAAAUUCAUUAAAAAUAAAAAUUAUACUACUCUUUUUUCUCAAAACUCCAUUCAUCGUUUGGAACUUUUUUCCAGAGGUUUUUUAUUCGACUAUAAAAAUUAACGAUUAACUAUAUGGUUAAAAAGUAAAUAAAUCAUUACCUAAAAAAUAUAAAAGUUCGGUUUGAUUAAAAUAUCUACAGACGUGGACGGUUCUUGUUCUUGACUUGCUUUUGUCUUUGAUAAUUUGGCGGCAGGGCUUAGAGGAAGUGAAAGCGAUUGGAAGAAUCUCAGGGCCGACGGCAAUGACCGGACUUCUUAUGUACUCAAGAGCAAUGAUAUCGAUGCUGUUCCUUGGCUACCUCGGCGAACUUGAGUUAGCCGGAGGAUCUCUCUCCAUCGGCUUUGCCAAUAUCACCGGCUACUCCGUCAUCUCCGGCUUGUCCAUGGGGAUGGAGCCAAUCUGCGGGCAAGCUUACGGUGCUAAACAAAUGAAGCUUUUAGGACUAACCCUUCAAAGAACCGUCCUCCUCCUCCUCUCGUGCUCGGUCCCCAUCUCCUUCUCUUGGCUCAAUAUGAGGCAAAUCCUCUUGUGGUGUGGCCAAGACGAAGAGAUCUCUUCCGUUGCGCAAAAGUUCCUUCUCUUCGCCAUCCCUGACCUCUUCCUCCUCUCUCUGCUUCACCCUCUUCGUGUUUACCUCCGAACACAGAACAUUACAUUGCCCGUGACUUACUCCACGGCCGUCUCCGUCCUCCUUCACGUUCCGUUGAACUUUCUUUUUGUGGUGAAGCUCGAGAUGGGAGUCGCGGGAGUCGCUAUUGCUAUGGUCUUAACCAAUCUCAACCUCGUAGUCCUCUUAUCUUCUUUUGUAUAUUUCACAAGCGUGCAUAGUGAUACAUGGGUCCCACUUACUGUGGACUCUCUUAAAGGUUGGUCGUCUUUGCUCUCGCUUGCAAUACCCACUUGUGUAUCCGUUUGUUUGGAAUGGUGGUGGUACGAGUUCAUGAUCAUUUUGUGUGGAAUUUUGGUUAACCCAAGAGCCACCGUUGCUUCCAUGGGAAUCUUGAUCCAAACAACAGCUUUAGUCUACGUCUUCCCAUCCUCUCUCAGCCUCGGCGUAUCCACAAGAAUCAGCAACGAGCUUGGGGCUAAACGCCCGGCGAAGGCUCGUGUAUCCAUGAUAAUUUCCCUCUUCUGCGCGACCGCCUUAGGCCUAAUGGCAAUGGUGUUCACCGUGCUUGUUAGGCACCGAUGGGGACGCUUGUUCACCACGGAUGUAGAGAUUCUUGAGCUGACUUCAAUUGCAUUGCCCAUCGUGGGUUUAUGUGAACUCGGGAACUGUCCUCAAACGACCGGUUGUGGUGUUUUGAGAGGCUGUGCAAGACCAACACUCGGUGCCAACAUAAACUUGGGUUCGUUUUACUUUGUGGGCAUGCCGGUGGCUAUUCUCUUAGGGUUCUUUUUCAAACUAGGAUUUCCAGGUCUCUGGUUUGGCUUGCUUGCAGCUCAAGCGACAUGUGCUUCUCUCAUGCUGUUUGCACUCUUGAGAACAGAUUGGGCAGUCCAAGCAGAGAGGGCUGAAGAACUGACGUCAAAAACACCGGGAAAAACUCCUCCUCUCCUCCCAAUCGCCAAGACUAAGAGCAGGUCUCCACCAGAUACAGAUGAUAUGAUGAGAACCAUGUUGGUUUAGAUUGAUAUCUAUUCUUUGGAGUCAUUUGCCUUCAAUGUUGACGUAUAAAUAUUCUUGUCAAACAUCAUUUUUGGAGUUUAUAUUACUCCUUAACUUUUACUCUUUUUUUAACAUAAGAACCACUUUGUUUUGUGGGCUUUAUUGGUGUUUCAUUUUAUCUAUGGUUGUAUGGAUGUAAUAGUUUCUAGAUUUGACUUUACCAGUUUGUACUAUAUUUGUUUCCUUCUGCAAUAACAACUCAUUCGGAUUAGCUUUAUCUUAGUACGUUUUGUAGUAGAAGAUCGAUAUUUAAUUGGCUUUGAUUAGCUUUAUUUUCGUGAUGACAAAAAAAAAAGAAAGGCUUUAUUUUCGUACGUUAAGCUACGAAUAUAAUAAAAUGAAAAAUUAAACUCCACUACAUACAUCUUCAAAACUACGGCAUUAGAGCAUCUCUAAUGGAGUAAUCCUUUUAUUUUUUGUUCAUCACUCCAUUUCUCACUCCAUUUUCUUAAUUUUGGAGUAAAAUAUGGAGUGGGGUUGGAGAUGCCCUUAGAGCGUGUCGUCCAACUUAUUAAGUUUCUUACAGUGGGUAUUUACAUGAAUAAAUAAUAUAUUUUAAUUAUCUGUUUUAAUUUUUAUGUUCAAAUGAAAUAUAAAUGGACAAGAAAGUAAUACACAUAGGGGAAGAAAUUUCAGAUAGGUUUCUAAUAAAUCCGUAAAUCAAAUACUUUCUUUCUUUUCUUUCCACUUUUUUUUUAUAAUUUAAAUUUUGACAAAAACUCCUACAAAAAUCUGUUAUUGGAGGUGGUCUUACAAUCUUGAGGAAACCAUUAUUAAGAGUAUUUUUAUCCUUAAGAAACUGUGAAGAUUUCUGAAAAGAUAAAAAAUAAAAAUAUUCUUGAUUAGGAAAUUAUUUUAGUUUUUUACUAAUUAUACCACUAAUUAAUUAUAUGUGUUAUUUGAGUAUCUCAUAGUAAGUAUUUGAAAACUUUCAAACGAGAAACCGAUGAAAACUUUUCCUUUUUUUCUUACUUUUAUUUACUUUUAGUUACACUUUUUUUUUUACUUUUUAUUAUUUUUAUUUAGUUUUAAUUAUGAUUAUAUCUUGCAAGAAGUUUAGUUGGAGAAGCUCUAACAUAUAUUGAUAUCAGUAAAAACUGUAAGCAAAAAAUACAGUCGGAAUAACUUCCGAUAAAGUAAAAAGCCUCGAAUAUUUUCCAAAAAAAUUAGUUUUUGCCAAUUGUAUUUAUUCUUUUAUUGUGGAAACUUUGCUGAUUUAACAAUCAAUUCUUUUCUUAAGGACAGGCAAGAUGCAUCUUUAUUUUUUAAACUUUUUGGUUUGUUCCAUGUUCCAUAAAAGGAAAUAUAUUCACAACCAAAAAUGGGAAAAAUCCCUUUAAACUCUAUCAUAUUCUUUGUCUCGAGCCAUCAGAUUCGAUGCGUUUAAAAUUUCAAUUGCGUUCACAUUAUUUGAUUUUGUUUGCUUCUUUAAUCAGAGAGAAGCAUCUUUUUUCCUCCUUGACACAAAACUAUCCGCUCUUUUCUUUUCUUGGGACCAGAACAUGAAUUUAUACGAACUACCCAGGCUCAAACAAUGUGGCCAAAGAAUAAAACGAUAAUAUGACAUGUAACUAAAAUAAAACUGAGUGGAAUUAAUAGUGCGUCUACGUGUCGACACUAUGAAUUAUCUUUGAUAUUUCUUUUUGCAUAUACUUAAAAGAAAUAAAAUGAAGUUAAACCACAACUGAGUUCCAUUGGCUCGCUAAAAAAUUCAUCGAGUUUCAUUGGCCAUCUAUGAAAAAGUUUGUAUAUCACUGGCACGAAAGAAAAGACAAUUUGUAUUAUAUACUUUGCGCGUUAUUUACACGUGAAUAAUUUUUUUUUUAUCUUUUUGCUAAACACUAUGCUGUCAAUCAUACUCUUUAAUGUUUACAUUUGAAACCAAUGUUUUGUUGAAUGUAAGUUAUAUCUUAUUGCCGACAAACAUGGAAAACUACCCCUAAGUCGAACAUGUGAGUAUUACUUAUGCGGCUGGUGACAUUUCUUCUGCUUAAUAAGUUCUGAAUAUUUGACCUACGAUCCUUUUAUCCCGAAACCAGUUUUGAUAACCGAUGCUAAGACGUAAAUCAUUCGAGUUAAGUAUCAGAACAAGGACUCAGCAUUCUCUCAAAUGUAUGAUAUCCACAAGAGCUAGUGAGCUACGUAUGUUGGUUCUGUGGCACAUGUUUUGUACCUCAUUGAUCCAAAAAGUGAUAUAUACAUGUGUACUCAAAUGUAGUAUACAAUAUAAAUGGAGUAAAUACAUCAAUCACAUGUUCUGACCGUCUUUGUUUGGAUCAAACCUUUAACUGUAGCCACAUGCAGCAUUACAUAUAUGUAAAUAUAAUACGCAAUAUAUAAAGACAAGAGAGUUGUAAACAAAUUUGUGUUCAAAUAAAAAUUGAUUUGAAAGAUGCCAAGUCUAUAAAUCUAGCGUGUGGUAAAGCUCGAGUUUGGAGGAGAAAGAGAGUAAGAGUGCCGUAAAGCCUAUCUUAGGCAGGCAGGGUCCCCCACGCGGAGACAUAAAACGUUUACCUUUAUUUCCUGUAAAUAAUAUUACCACUACAAUCCAUUUUAUCAUUUAUUUUCUUUUUUUUUCUUGAAAGAAUUUUCUUUUCUUUUUAACAUCGUCUAGUUUAUCAACUUCUUCUUCAUGAAAUAUGAAUCUUAAUUAGUUUUAAUAGAAGCUCCAUUAGUUUAUGAAAUGGUUAAUUAAUGUUUCUACACCACAAAUAUUGAGGUUUAAUUCUUAGAAGAUAUAAAUUAUACGGUUCAGUUCUGCAAAUCAUGAUUUUUUAUAGAACAUACUCCAUCUGUUCUUAAAAGAUUCAUGUUUUGGAAAAAUAAUUUGUUUCAAAAAGAUGUAUGUUUUAUGUUUUCUAUGAGAAAAUUGCAAACUUUAAGAAAAUUAAUUGGUUUUAUUAGAUUAUUAUUGGCUAAAAGUUGUUGAAAACUGAAAACUACAAAAAACGAUAAAUUUAAUAUAGUGAUUUAAUUUGUUUUCUUAAUAUGCGUGAAACACUAAAAAGUCUAUCUUUUAGGAACGGAGGGAGUAUAUAAUUGUUCGUUAAUUUUUUUUGUAGUUUUUAAAUAAUAUUUAAUAUAUCAAACAAAAAUGGUUUUUAUGAAAUAUAAUAUUUAUAUGUCAACAAAAAUAUCAGUUUACAUAAAUACUUUUAGAUCAAAUUGUUUAGUGUUGUUAUUGUAGAGCAAGGCUUAACUUAUACAAACAGAGCAGAUUUUGACUAUUCUAUUUAUUGAUCUGGAUCCGAGUGAUGUUCAUCCAUCGGGCUAGCACUUCGUCCUUGGUCUCUUGCUUGAAAAGCGGGUUAGUUGAGGUUUAGUCGACUUAAGAUUUGCUUGUGAAUCAUGAUAGCAUAACUGAUGAACAAUACAUAAUAAACUUAAGGUUUUAGAUUGUGCACAAAAAGGUUUUAGAUAAAAAAAUGGAUUUAGCAAAGAGAUAAUAAUAAAAUGUGGUAGCUAAUAUGUUUCAUAUUUCAGAUCGAGAGGUUUUUUACAAGAACAUAGAAUUGUAAGAACAAAAUAAUUAUGCGUUUAAUGUCCCCAUUGUUCCCAUUACUCUAUUAUUGGAUGCAUUAACCGUUAUUAAUUUGGAUGUUUUUAGGCGUAUGGAAUUUGAAUGGUUUAGUUUGAAUAAUCUUGAAAUAACCAAAAUAUCAAACUGAACUAGACCUAACUUAUCCUGGCUAUCAACUAGUUCUCAGUCUUAUUAUCAAAUCGAACCAAAAAAAAAAAACGAACUGGAAUUUCAUAUAUACUCAGAAUUGUUUCUAUAUCUGUAUACAAUAUAUCCAAAAUCUUAAGAAACUGAAUUGAAUAUCCGCACGUCAAGACCUAGUUGCAGUGUUAAUUUCUUAUUUAAUUUUGGUAAAUCUUCAUAUUAAACCCAACAAGCUAGACCUAGUUGCAAUGUUAAUUUAUUAUAUAAUUUUGCUAAAAUCGUUAUAUUAAACCUAACGAGCUCCAUAACAUGUGAUUUUCUUGGGAAUUAUUACACUAAAAAAUCAAACCCAUAACCCUUUUAAUUGGAAUCAGAUUUCAGCAAGUUUUAAUUUCUCAAUUAAAACUCGAUCCUUGCUACCAUGGCGCCUCAAAGACCAGUAACAGACGAAAAUACAAUGACAUUCUCUGAACACUGUAAACAUUCAUCCUAAGGCUUCAAGAUGCUUAACAACAGUCGGCGGAAAAUGCCUUAUUACCACUGUCUUACAAAAUCAACAUGAUCUCUAUCUAGAUCCUCGAGAUGUUCUGCAGCCCGUCAGUUUUCCCCCAAAACUGCGCUCACGAGGAAGAACAUGAGGAUGAAGAUUUAGUGGAAAAUUUUGUUCCGGUUGAUGAACAACAUCAACGACAAGCUAAAUAUGUUUUACGAUCAUGAUUAGCAAUAUGAAAGUAGGUUCUACAUGCGAACAAUAGAGAAUAAAGAUAUUGGAAGGUGAGAUGUUUGAAAAUCGGAGGAAGAUGAUGAUGCUCAACAGCAGAUCUGAGGAUUUAAAUCAGAUUCUCUCGAUGGGACAACCAACUAAGGUGAAUUGGAGACUAUGAUAUCUAGGAGGAGAAAGGGACUCUCAAGUACAUUAGAAGGGGUUGGCACAAUUUGUGCGGAUGAGCAGAUAUAAAAGUUAAGGCAAGGAAGUAUGAUAGAAAUUAAGGUUUACAGCGGGAAGUUGUAAGUUAUAAUCCAUCGAAGCACCAACAUUAAGGUCAUACAUGAGGCUCUGGAGAAUGAUUGUGCAUGUAACACCAAGAUAAAUACGGAUUGGUGUAUUAACAACUAUGUCUGAUGAAACAAAAACAACAUGAAAUGUGAUGUUAGUUUUGUAGAAAGGUUGGACACAAGAUUGAUGACUGGUUUUCUUGUAAGAACAGCAGAAACAGAGCUGGUAGAUGAAAAAGGGCUUCACUGAACCAAAUAAGGUUAAAAGGAGUUAUAGACAACUUUGCCUUGCUUGAUGGAACUCUGUCCGAGUUGGUUUUGACCAAAUUCAAAGAACAUAAAGUCUAGAGCUUGGAAAAUAUUUUAUUGUGGACCUUAUUCAAUGUAAAAAGAUAUCAGUAUGCAUCAAUAAGUUUACAAUGUGAUCAUUCAAAAAGUGAUUGAUUUCCCGGUCUUUUCUUGUAGAAUUAUUAUUGUAUCUAAGCAUACCUUUAAAAAUUCACCCAGGGACUAUAACAACGAGUACAUUAUGUAUUUCAUAUGGAGAAGUGAUACACUAAAAUUGACUCUUUGUCUAGUAUCAACUUAACAGUGGUUGUUGUAAUAUUUUAAAUUCAAUUACAGAGGACCAGAUUAAAUUUUUAUGGGAUCAAUAUCAAGCUAAAACAUUCGAUGAUUUUAAACUAAAGGAAAACAUGACAAGCAAGUAAACAGGGUUGGAUUGGGGUUUUCAGAUUAUGAAGAGUGCUAGCCUAGGGUGGUUUGAUCAAGUGUCAAAAAAGUGUGAGCCAAACAUUUAUUCAAAGCACGAGUCUAGAACUCGGAACACAUAACUAGAUCAAUCCACUCUCGUGGUAUCUCACCUUUUAUCGAUCGAUCUUAAUACGUAAACUGUCGUUUGGACCGAGAUGCGAUGACAAGCAUUAGCGAUCAGAUCCGAUUAGUUCGUAAAACACCCCAACAUCUACUUUCACUGGCUAGGGAAGUGAUGUUCAUUCAAGUUAUGUCGAUCAACCUAUUACAUGUUUAAUGUAUAAGUUAAGCCUAGGUUCAUGCUUUAAGUUAUCAGUUUAAUGCAAGCUUUAAUAACAACAAUGAAUGAAGGCAAUCGAUUUAUAACUUAUGUAUUUCUAGCUCAUGGAUCUAACAUCCUAACUACAUAGACUAAGCAAGCCGACUAGUCAGCAAAGAAACACAUAGAUCAAUAAAGAAAGCAUGGAAUACAAUUGCAAUAGAUAAUAAGAAAUAGGGUUCAAGGAAUUUUUCUCUAAAUCGAGAGAGUGGUCUUUUUCCUUACAAGGUAUCGAGUAGCAAAUCGCAACAAUGGAAAAUUCAAGAGUCUGGUUUCUUUAAAAAAUUAGCAUAGAAAACAAAGGAGAAGAGAAAAAGAAUAUAUAUUAGAGUCGCUGGCAGCGGCUCAGAGGAAAAUAUGGGAUCAGUAGGAUAAAUCCUAAAAUAUCUUGAAAGUUUACAUAAAAAUCUCCAGCGACGGAGCAACUGCUCCAGGUAUAAUCAUCCACUUUGGUACUCUUUUCGGCUGCUCUGCAUGAAAAUUUCUAAUUUGUACUCUUUUCCGCAUGCACCAUUCCAAAAGCCUCUCAACCUACUGAGGACCUGAAAUGAUUCGUAAAGGAUUAGAAUGAUUCGAUAAAGACUUGAAAACACUUUAGAAAACAUAUAUUUAAUGUGUCAAAACAUAAUAUAAAAAGACAUAGAAGGAUAUGGUGGUUGAGAUGAAGAAAUAAAUCAGGUCAUGAAAAAAAUUUAGUCAAGAAGUAUGUCAAAGAAUGCAUUAGAGUAUGAUGCAGUACUCUUAAGUAAUAUAUUCCGCUGCCACACAUAAUGUAUCAUGAUUACACAUGAGCAGACAAGUGUGUCUAUAAAGUAAGUUUUGACAUCUAAGUUAUGUUUUAACUUGCAUGUUCUUGAUUGUAUAAUAUUUCAUCUGAAUGCUUGAUUUAUGGAUUUAUUUUGUUUAUUUAUAUUUGUAUGUGUAUUAUGGUAUGUUGCUAAGAGUUUGUUUGUCCGACUUCUAUUAGUUGUUAAUAGAUUCCAAAUCCGACAUAUUAUUUUAGCUAUUGGAAUGAUGUUUGUAGUGUUAACCACAUAACACGUAAUAGUUUAGGAAUGUUAUCAUGUGAAUCUCGAUAUAUUAUUUUUGUCCAGAUUUAUAGCUAUACGGUGGUCUAUCUUGCGGACGUGACAAUUAUUAUUAUUUUUUUGAUUAAUCAGGAGGUGAUCCGGCGGUCGUGGCUAACUGACUAAUCCCUCUGAGCCUGGAACCAGCCUGCGUCUGUACCUUCAAGGGGCCUAAGUUAUUCCAUGACCAGAGCGUAUUAAACCCGGAUUCGUAUUGGAGCUUUUUGCUCCUUCAAGACCACUAGGUCAAUUUGAGCUGGUUAAAAUAAGUGAAAAAGGAAAAAAACGUGACAAUUAUUUUUCCUUUUUAAAAUCUACCUGAACCCAUAGUCAUUACUGAUCAUCGCGGGUGUGAUGAUAAUUUUCCAUCCACUAGAUGUCAUUUUACAUAUUAAUUUUUAUGGUUUAUACAGUAUUUUGUAAGACUUUACACACAUGUAUGCUCUUUGGCUAUAAUUAUCAUAAACUGUCAACUAAAACUUUAUAUAGUUCUUGAAUUUUCACACAUUCUAACAACUUUAUUAUUAUACAUGAGGUUUCUUGCUCUACCGACCCUCUUUCACCAUAAGCAUGCCCCAUAAUAUAUAUAUAUAUAUAUAUAUAUAUAAACGAUAAAUCUUUUAAAUAGAUUUUAAAAAAAUUAUCUACUAAAUAGCGAUUAAAAAAAUUAAAUGAUCAAAAUAUGUUUUAUUAGAAAGGCAAUGAUAAUUUUAUCUAUAUUUUUAUUUUUAUUUUAAUUAUUAAGGAAAAUCUUAUGAUUAUUUAGGAAAGUCUUUCUAAACUCAAGUUUAAGAAGAUGUCAUAUAGAUUCAAGGUCCUUAUAAUUUUUUAUAAAGAAAAAUCAUUUCGAACCAAAAUCAAAAAUAAAUUUUGAAGAGAAAAUUUUGUAAAAGAAUAAAAUUUCUAAAACAAAAUUCAAACUUUUGUUGAAAAUAAAAUUUUACAUUUUUAUAGAUUAUUUAAAUAUUUAUGUAUCUAUAGAAAAUGGAUAUAAACUUAUUUUUGUUGUUUUGAUCAUUGAGUUCUAGUUUGAGAAUAGUAAUUUGUUUUCAGGCUGAGGCCAUUUUUAAUAUAAAAAAUAGGAUAAUGAUUAAAUAUUUCUAAGAAAAUUAACUCAUUGGCUGUCCCAGGUGAAUCACCGAUGGUUACACUUUUUCUUACUCGCUUUGAGUUGUUCGUCAUUAUUUUAUUGAAAUACCAAAAAAAGUCAAUAAAAAGAGCCCAAAAGGGAAACUAAAUAAUUAAUUUAUCACUUAUCAAGAUAAGAAAAGAAGGCCACUCCUUUGACACCCGCAUUAAAAUGUAUAUCAUGAUAAGUUGAUAACAAUGGCAAGUUUGUAUUCGUUGUACACAAAAAACUCAAACUUACCCGAAAAAAUUAUUAAACUAACUACAAUAUGAACAUGAAAAGUAUAGCACAAAGGCACUUUCAAAGUUCUAACUUCCUUUGGAACUCUUUUAUUUAAUAAUUAUUAUUAGACACAAAUAUGGUUUAUACAAUUAACAUCAUAGACUAUCAUGCCGCGUACUAACGUCCUUGUAGAAUAAAAGAAUUCUGAUUUUCUCUUCAAUUUUUGAUUAUGGCUUUGAGAACUACAUAUACUUGUAUACUAAUACUAUAUCUUUUGAAAUUCAAAACUAUAUAUACUUAUGUUAUGAAAAAAUGAUUAAUGAACAAAAAAAAUUUCAAAAAGUAAUGGUCAAGUUUCGAAGAAAAACAAAUUAAUGAUUGACAGACACAAAAAGUAAUAAAAUGCAUAUUUAUUUCCUUUUCUCUGGUCGGCAAGAUUGAGUUGAUUUAGGUUUCGCUUUUGAGAAGAUGAUAAAGAACAUGUAAACUAACAAAACCAUUAUAAAAAGAGCUAAGUAAACAUUUUAUUAGUGUAUUAGUUUCGUUAUGUUUUUGUUUAUUUAACAGUUAUGUUUUGAAUUGUGCACUACAACCCUUUGUUUAUGUUAGUAGCGUGGGUGUACUUAAUUACACAAUAUUGGACAUACGUUAAAACGAUAAUUUCAUUAUGACAUUCUGCAUUCAACCAAAAACUUUCAGAGGAACAAAGAAACACGUAAUAAACUUUCAUCGCAGUUUCAGAUUAUGGACCAAAACCUUAACUAUACAUUUGCCAAAUGGAUGUGCUUUCGGUAACGUCUUUGAUUUUUUGUUUUGACAACGUCGCUGAUGGUUUGGUCAAAGACACAAUUUUGUUACAUUUUCUAAUUAAUUGGUAUCAAAACAUGAUCUAUUGUCUUGUGUUUAUCCGAAAUUGAUCUACACAAAAAGAUACCACGUUAGUCAAUAUUUUAAAUUUAUCAACAUAGUGCAUAUGUAAGCUUCUUGAACUGUUUUGGUCAAAUCUUUUUCUAUUUUAUGUAAACGUUACAAAUCAAAACACUCACUCCAGGAUAACUAUCAUCCGAGAGCGAGUAUGUUUAAACAUUAAAUAUAAUUAAGCAAACAUUCUCAUGGAUGGAUAAUGAAAUUGAAAUACACAUAUAUAAUCAAUACCAAAGUCCAUGCUAUUUCUGACAAAGUGACAACCAAAGUUGAGAGACAGAUAUAAUCAAUAUAAAGUUAUUUUGUCUUCGCACACAAAAUUUGGAUUUUUGACUCAUUCUUCGAUAAUAGUUAUUGUUGAGGAUUCAAGAGACGUAGAAUUUGUUUGUUCUUUGUAGCUUUGAUAAUAUUUGUUUCAGAUUCACAUACUUAUUAACGUAAUAUGUAGCCUUGAGUUCGGUAGCACUGAAAUAAAUACUACGAGUAUUUAUAUGGAAAGUCACUAUGUGAAUUAACUAGAAAAGAUGGAGAAAAAGAUAUUCGCUUUCAAGAAUGUCUGACAAAUGUUGACUAAUCCACUGUACAACAUAGCAUACAGUCUUAUAAGCAAGCAAAAGUCGUCAAAGACCAUAGCACUCGUGCAACCUAUUUCACAUCUAUUAGUUUUGGGCAGUCUAUUUUUUUUAUAAGAAAGUAUUAUACUUUCAAACAACCUAUUACGCAACCAUCACAUAUUCCAAAGACCAAGAUAAUUAUGUGGUGAUCCAUUUUGAAUCUUGAUUAGGAACAUACUUGAUAACAGACGAUGGAUACUCAAUUUUUCUAUUUAUCACGUUAUUCUUUUUACGUAAAAAAGGAGGAUAUGAAUAUUAGCAGAAAUAAAAAUGUUAAAGCUGUUAAGUGUGAUUACAAUCUUCUGUGGCUAGUUUAAUUGGAUUGAGGAAGAACCGGUUAGGUAACUUGAUUAAGAACCGGAUAUGUGUUGUUAAACCAUUGAGGAGUCUCUAGAGGUUUCGGAAAACUUUGUAAACAGCUUAGAGCAUGAUUAUUGGAGGAUUCUUAGGAUGGAAUUCUUAGUGGAAUAUAAGAAACCGUCUCUUAACUAAAAAAUUUUAAUUAAAAAAGUUAAGAGCCGACUCUUAAAUAUCUUAUUUAAGAGCCGGCUCUUAACUUUUUUAGUUAAAAAUUAAGAGACGGUUUCUCAUAUUCAGUGACUAAUAAGUAUUUCAAAUCGGAUGCUAACAUUGGGUAAACAAAAGCCACCUAAACUUGUGUUCUUACCUUUAUUGUUUUUCCUUGCAUUCAUUCGAUCAAACGAGAAAAAGUGAAUGAGAGAUCGAGAAGAAGGUGCGAUAACCAGGGCAGCCCUUGGGCCAAGCAAAAGAAGCAAUUGCUUCCAGCCGACAUAUUUAUCACUAAAAGUUGGCCACAUUUUUUUAAAAAAAUUGCCUUAGUCUAGUGUUAUAACAUUAAGUUCAAAGUCUAGGUAAACGGUAAACCCGGUUUCGAUUCUCAUAAAGCGGCCAACAUUUUGUUUUUGCUUCUAGCCACCUAAAAUCUAGGACCGGCUCUCGCGAUAACCAACAAAAAAUUAUUUAAAAAAUAGGGAAAUCCGACAAAAACACUAUAAUUCACUAUCUAACCAAAAUCACACUCUCUCCUCUUAUCCCUUCCUAUCUCUCUCUACAUUUCUCUCUACAAAUUUAGUUUCCCUUUUUUUUGGUUAUUUCACAAAUAACCCCUAUAAAAUAAGUGCAAUCAUUUUUUCGUAUCAUGUAUACGUACAUCAUAACAUCCUAAUAUGCGUAUGUCAUAACAGGAUAACAUCAUACAUAGAAUGAUAGAAAGGGAUCUACUGGGUUCUAAAAAUAUGUUGGUCAUAAAUCAAUUCAAAUUUAAAAGCUGAACACAGUGAUGGCCAAUACAAACGGUUUUCUACAUGUUUUUUUCAUUCUAUAAGCAUAUUUUUAGCUUAGAAAUUGCAUUCUAAGAAGAGGCCAUAGCAAAUAGCUAUCUUGCUUGCACGUUGACUAGUCAAAGUUGUACGUGCAUAUCAAAAUGGUGGUCCUAUUGCACUGUUAUUUCUGGAAGAGGACACGAAUGGCUAUAUUGCGUACCUCAAUACCUUUUGCAGAAAAUAUCAUAAUGGUUUCUCGAUCCUUUGAGAUUGACAACAUCUCUCGAGCUUUUCAUCUUUCUAUUCUCAUUUCAAAAACGUCCAACAGCAAUUAUGCAAGCAAAGAAUAUCUCAUUUGACUUGUCAAAAAAUACUAAACUUAGAUAUUUGGUCCCAAAUCAAAUAUAUUCAAUACAUCUAUCGCUCUUGACAAUUGGCACGUACGGAGACAAACAAUUUAGAGCACAAAUAAUUAAUCCUUUGACGCUAACUUUACCUAGACAUAGAAAUACAUGUGGUGGAAACUAUAGUAGUAACGUCGUCACAUGCAUGUGUGACGCAAACCUAUAGUCAAAUAAUUGUAUGCAUCUCCUUUUUUAUCGGGAUGGGACGAGAAUGAGAGUUAAUCAUGGAUCAAGGCUACAGAUCCUAAUAAUUGAUGCACAACAGAACCUUUCAUGAUGAUGAUAGACCUAAAACCUACACAAUGCCUCAAGGUUUUCGUAUGCAGAUCCCUAUCUUAGGUAGAAAAACUUUAGAGAGGAAUUAUGGUGUAAAGACAAGCGAGAAAACCAUGAAAGAAUGAGCUGGGGAAUAUGUCGAUAUAAAGAUUAGUAAUUUAUGUCUAUCUUCAUAUCAUACGUCAGAUAAAUUAUAUUGCCAAUAAAUUCGAAGAAUGAUGAAAAACACGGGAUUUUCCCCUGUUAUCUCAGUUGUGCAUAAGGACUUGCGUGUAUUUUUAUAUCAAAACUGGGGCUGUGAACUAUUCAUAACGAUUUUCAGUAUGAAUAAUAUGAUUUGAACAUUAUAGCUAGGCCCAAUUACGAACGAGUGAAUAUGGGUCCUCGAUAGCUUAGAAUAGGCAGUUUAGAUAGGUCAAGGUGUUUGAUCAAAACAAAAGAUAGGUCAAGGUGCAUGAAUACAUUUUAAAGAAUCAUAGUAGAAUUUGAACGUAUAACGUGUAGAAUUUGAUGACUCAUUCUAACGUAGAAAUAACGUAGGUAGUUUGCAUCAUUUUGUUUGUAUAACUUUGAGCAUUUUUUAAGAAGAAAUAGAAAACCCUAGUAAUUGUAUUGACAAAGAAAGAAAAUAGGGUUCAUAGUAGGCUUUGCUUUGGAAUUUAUUGGCAUGAAAUGAUACAAGAGUUUCACUUUUACAUAAGAAAACAUUGGAAUAUAAUGCACAGACUAGGGGAUAUAACAAAAUUAGGGUCACUAUCUGUGAUUGUACAAAAAGGUUAGAGCGACUCAUUGAAAGUGGGAGAAUGAUAUAUAUAAAAUUUAUAAAUUGCAUAUAGCCACCGACGAAUUCAACAACGGAUUUUAGCAGAGUCGAAUGAUGAUUAUUGCUAAUGAAGUUUCAACAAAGUAGCCACUUCUGCUAAUAAAGUUUCAAUUGUCGUUCGACUGUGCUAAAAUCCGUUGUUGAAUUCGUCAACUCAAUCAACCAAAAUCUUAGCUUCGUCAAUUACAAUGGGUCUAACCUAGGUUUUUGGGUUGCCAUAGGAGCCCCUAAACCCUAUGAAAGAUGCUUGAUAUUUUUUAAAAGUUACUCACACCAGAAUGGUUUUAAUCUCAGAAUUUGAUAAAGAUGCUUUCGGAGUUCAAAAAGCUAUGCACAUCGUAUGAACAUCCAUAAUUCUCUUUGGAAAUCCCAAGUCCUAGUAGAAACAUUAAGUAUAUGGAAUAGUUAAUUAGAGUUUCCAAGCUUCUUAAUGGUUAUUAUGCAAUUCUGUUGCGAACAAAUAUAUAAUUUAAUUUUUAUUAUAUAAAGUAAAGAAUACUUAUCAUAUAUUUAUAUAUAAUUAAUAUAUAUAUUACUAUAAUAUAACUUUUUUAUAGAACUUUCUCAGUAAUUCUAUUUAUAUAAAAAAAUGUAGAUAGAGAUUAGAUAAAGAAAAAGCUCCAAUUCGAAAGAGAAAUAAAUAAAAUCACAAAAAUAGAAAUAGAGAAUCCUUUUUGAUUUUGUCUCGUCCCAAAUACAAAUAAAAGAUCUUUUUAUUUAUAGCCUGGCUUGGUGAAUUUCGUUCUCACAUCUGUAUUGAUAGUCACCUUUUAAGUGAUAGUAAUAAUUCUAAUGAAAGUUACAUUUGUGAAUCAAAAUUAUAAAGAAACCAAAGCAAGCAAAACAUAUUGAGGUAAAUACUCGUUUAAGGUUUGUUUAUUAUUAUGUGAAUAAAUAACUUUACAAUCCCUUAGAUACAUAUUUAUAACAGAUUCAAACCCGAUUUCAUUUUUCCUCUAGGAAUACAUGUAAAUUUUUUGAAUCCUAAAAGGCUUACCUACCCAACGAAUACUGGAUUUGUACUGCUGUACUGAGAUUUAAGACUCAUCCAAAUGUAACAAAUUUCUUCUCCACAAUAUAUUGAAAAGAGUGUUUUACACUAUAGGGCAGUUUCCAAGUUUUUAUUACAUCCUAGGACAGUUUCAGCUACUAGGGUAGUUUAUUUUGGUUGUUUACCUUGAUGCCCUCAACUAAGACCAAACCAAAGUUACAUUUUCUAACUAGUGGGACAUAUCCUCUUAUUUCACGUGACUUUCUUCUUCAUUAGUUUCGUUCUUUCUUUUCUUUUUAACAGACAAUUGAUUUUGAGAAUAUUACACCAUAGGGCAGUUUUAAGUUUUCUAUAACACUAUAGGACAGUUCUUAUUACUAGAGCAGUUUUUUCUAACUAAAACCCAAUUUCUACUUAUAUACUAAUUAAAUAAGCUAACUAACCAUAAAGUUAACCAACUAAACUUUUAAAAGGCAAGUGGGUUCUAGCAUCUUUCUCUCUCUCUUUUCGAUUUUACUCUGACAUUCUCUUUUUUAAAUCUCAUAUGAGAUGCUUUUAAUUUUUCAAGUAGCUUCACAUCUAUAUCACUAAUCGAUAACCCAACGGCAGCGUUCGAUUAGGCGAAAUAGCAGCGAACAAUACUAAGAGGCGUACAAUUUACAGGGAAGAAAAUCAAAGAAAAGUAAGAGCAAAUUGUUGUCGAAGACACGAAUAUUGAUGAAUUUGAGUUCUGGAUUCAAGAACUCUGAAACCCUGGAUGAUGAAAGCUAAAGAAAAAUUGAAUCUUUUGGUGUUUGUAGUUGACGGGUCAAAAACGAGUUACAGUCCGAGAGCUCUCAUUCUCCUCCUCCUCUCUGUCCUCAGCUCCUUCGUCCAAGAUGCCAAUGAGCUAAAAAUCCCCAAUUUCUGCAAAAUUCGUAACCCUAAGAAACUUGGGAAGAAGAUGACAUAAUUACGGUUAUGCCAUUAAUAAAUUAAUUAUUUUAAAAAAUCGCGUACACGUAGAGAUGUGUACAUAUGUACAUUCUAAGUGUACAUGUUGAUGUUGUGAAAACCAUUAAAAUCACCAAUAUAUUAUGUACACCACUUUCAUCUUUCAGUUAUUGUCUUGUUUCAUAUUGUCACAUGUUACCAACAAACAACAAAUUGGUUGCAUUUAGAUUGAGCCAAAUGACAUGUAUUCUUGGUGCUUGAAAUCCCCUAAAGUUUGGAUUGACACCUUAAGCACUACAACUACUAAAGGAUUAGACUUAUCCCACAUCAGUAAUAUUGCAACAACUCUCAAAAAUAUAAUUUACAUUAUGCAAAUGUACAUUUCUUUAAUAAUAUGUACACGACAUAAAUGUACAAAAUCGACAAGUAUAUACGUGUACAAUAUACAUAUUAUCUUUUAACGGAUAUUUACAUGUACACAUAUGUUUGAGACACAUGUUACAUGUUCAACAUGUUGUAAAGUUGUGUACAUUCGUUAGUGUACAUGUGUAAAUUAAAGGUUGGUGGCGUACAUGUGUCCAACAAAUGUGGUAGUGUACACGACAUGGAUGUACAAAAUCACAAUGUACAUUUACAAAAUCACAUUGUACAUAAAUUUAUAUGUAUACAUAUAUAAGGAUAACAUAAUACCAAACUGCUCACAAGGACCAUCAAUUUCUUUUCACUUAGUUGAAUAAGUGAUAACCACAAACUCAAACUGAUUUCUCUUUUUACAAAAAAAAAUAGUGUACAUGUGAUUCGUUGUACAUGUGGAUAUUGUAAUUGUAUGUACUACAUAUCAUAUACAUAUGAAUCAUUUAUUUUUUCAUUUUUUAAUGAGUGGCAUUUUCAUAAUUCCAACUUCAUCUUCCCCAAAAUCAAUUAGGGUUUUCUGCAAUUUCUCUCUAUGGCCGCCAGCCAUUAUUCUCACCUUAAUCAUCAGUUUUUUUCAUUUUUCUUGCUUAUUAUACUUUUAAACUUGUAGAAAUAUCAUAUAAGACACGAUUUCAAGCUCUAAAUUACUUUUUUCUACAACAAAAACGUAAAUCUUGCUUCUUUUUUAAUUACUGUCAUAGUGCGAGGUGGAUGAGUUGCAGAGCACGGCGUGGAGGAAGAAGCUUGGUCGUGUUGAUCGAUGGCAAAGGAGAAGAUGAAACGCAAUUAAGGUUCGUUGAGGUUCAUCAGGGUCACAGACGAGCAGAGCCAGUCCUUCACGAUGAAGAGAAGUUGUGACAUAGAUGACCUGAUGCACCAUGGAAGUUCUUGAAGAAUUGUGUUUUUAUUUUAUGAAAUUAGUCAACUGAAAAAGAAACAAGAUCUGAAAAAGAUAACACGAUUGAGAAAGAGAAAAGAAGAAAAAAAAAUGAAAAAGCAGUGGGUCCAACAGAUUAUGCUCUAGUUACAAUUUAGUUAGUAGUGAAUGAAAUAGAUUAAGAAAAAGUGUCCUAGGAGUUGAAACUGCCUUAUAGUCUAAUAUAAACUCAGAAACUGCCUCUGAGUGUAAAUGUCUCUAUUGAAAACCACAUUGAUUAGUCCAUCCAAAGGACAUCUGUAGGACUUACCUAAUACAUUCUCCUUCUAAAGUAAAACCUUUGCAAAAAGACAUGUUGACGGAUCAAUAUCUUAGGAGUACCGUAUUCAAGGUAUUCCGACUCUGUUGCCUAUAGAGAUUCCUAGAAGUAGGCUUCAUUUUUGUUGUCCAUGGAAACCAGAUAGCAUCGUCCAUUAACACUGGUUUUGAGAGACCUAAGAUUGCUGAGAAUGGGUUGACUUUGAAGCAGUUAACGAAGGCAUUGGAAUGUGUGAAGUUUGAUGGCAGUUUCGAUGUUCAAUUUUUUUGUCCAGCCACCCUGAGAGCAUCAGAAUGUAUGGAACCAUUAACUAUAGAGAUUUGUCAUGUAAAACAUUGUUAUCUAACUAUAAAGAUUUAUCAUUUAAAUGAGUAUAUACUUCUCUGUACUCUACAACUAGGAUAACACAUGCGCCUUGUGUAGGGUGAGUUUAUUUGUAGAUAUUAUCGAUAAUUUUUUUAUAUUGAUUAUUUUAUUUAUACAUAUACAAUAUUUUUUUGUUGUUAUUAUAUAAUUUCUUUCCGAUGGACUAGAUCAUUUUUUAUUAAAAAUUGUGAAACUAAACUAUAAUUAAUAUAUCAUGGAUUGAUCGGAUUGGACAUUAAACAAAUUAUGACACAAAAACCUUUUUUUUUCACCAAACACAUUCUUGAAAAAAAUGAACAGUACUGUUUUCACAGUUGAAUUAUUUUAACAUUUAUUUUUCAUAUGGUUUUGAAAGGUUACAAAUCAACUAUCGAAUUGAUACAUGUCAUUUUAAUAUAAAAUGCUUUUAGUCGUAUGCCUAAAAAACCUUACAUUUUUGUAAUUUAAAGUCAUUUUAAAAAAUUCAAAAUAUAACAUAUAAGAAAAAAUCUAACAUAUAAGAAAAAUAUAACAUAUAAGGUUUUUUCAUUUUUUUAAUUUAAAGUCGUUUUAAAAUUUUUUAAAAUACAACAUAUAAGGUUUCUUCAUUUUUUGUAAUUUAAAGUUAUUUUUUAAAAAUUCAAAAUAUAACAUAUAAGAAAAAAUCUAAUUUUUUAUUAUAAGGUUAAUGUAAUUGUUUAAUUCUUUAAUAAUAUAAAAUUAAACAAAAAUGAAGGAGGAUGCAAAAAUUGUUAUCAAAACUUUAUUAUUCAUAGUCAUUAAUUGUCAUAUAUAUUUUAAUCAUAUUAGGUAAUUUUGUAACUUUUAUUUAAGCAAAGAAUACACGCUUCUUAUAUUUUGGGUUCAUAUAAUGUUCCCUAGUAAUUAGAUUUGGACCAAUAUUUUUUCAAUUGAUUCUUAAACUGCCACGUAAGCUUAAUUGUCAUUCUAAUUAAGUGACACCUAAGCUGGGUUUCUUUUUAAUUAGUACAAACUUAAGAUUACAACUUUUUAAGCGACCAUCAAUUAAUAUAUAUGGGAUAUUAGAAGGAUUUUUCUAAGGCUUCUUGAUGCAUCGCAUCCAUCUACUAUGGACCAUAGGCUUAGUACUAAAUCAGCUACGGGGUUUAUUUGUUCAUAGAGUUUCUAUUUUAUUUAAUAACUAGAUUUUGACCGCGCUUAGAAAGAACAUUGUUAUUUUUCAAAUUAAAUAAAUUGUUCUUAUAUAAUUUCUAUAUAAGAUAAUGUAUAGGUUUGGGUACAUUUACACAGGUACACUGAACCGUACCAAACUAUAAAAAAACAUUGGAACCGAAAAAUAGAAACCGGAUUGAGAACCAAAUGAGUAAUUAAAAUUUUAAAAUACAAAUUAUAUACCUACAAAUAUUAAUUAUAUUUAAUUUCUAAAUAACCAAAUAUCCUAAAAAUACUAUUUAUAAACCAAAUUAUGCAACAACAAAAAAUUAAUGACUCGAAUAUUUUUUAUUCAAAUAAUUAAUAGCAAAUUAUUUAUCCUAUAUUUUUUCCAAAAAACCUACACUACCCGAUUUAAAGAGGAAGAUAUUUUACAUUUGUGAAAAUUCAAUAAAACGUAUCAUAUGCAUUGUUAGAAUUGGUAAAGUAAAUAAACAUGUUCUAUUUAAACCUGUAUUUUUUUUUACUAAUUCCAUUUAAAUCUCCAACCCGUUUAGACCAUUUGAUAUUUUUUAUGAUAAGAUUAAUAAUUUAGUUCAUAUAUAAGAAUGUAAGAUCAAAUAUUAAUAAUUGAUUGCAUGUAAUUAAUUAAAUUAAUGUUUCAUAGUUGAAUAGUUGACAUUAAGGCUUUUACUUUUCAAUUCACGUAAAAAUGAAAAAAUAAAUAGUUAUACCAGAGGAUCUCCAUUACAACAUAUAUUAAACAUAACUAAACCAUUGAAAAUUUUAUACUAUUAAUGGAACUAUAUGUGGUAAUGAUCACGUCAUGUAUAAACAUGUUUGAAUAAUAUGUCCUAUAUUCAUGGGAAUUUAUUGUAGAGUAAUUAUAUAAUCGAUUAUGAGAGAAUAAUAAAUGAGUUCAUUUAAAUUAUGCAAAGUAUUUAUAUAGUUAGAGAAAUAUAAAGCAAGACCAAAAAUUUUUAAUACUAUUAAUAGAACUAUAUGUGGUAAUAAUGAUCACGUCAUGUGUAAACAUGUUUGAAUAAUAUGUCCUAUAUUCAUGGGAAUUUAUUGUAGAGUAAUUAUAUAAUAGAUUAUGAGAGAAUAAUAAAUGAGUUCAUUUAAAUUAUGUAAAGUAUUUAUAUAGUUAGAGAAAUAUAAAGCAAAACCAAAAAAAUAGUUAAGUUUAAUAAAAUGGUCCAACAACCUUGUUUAAGUAGAUUUUUUUUUUUUUGAUGAAAUUUCAAAUUUAUUGAUCUAAUCAAAAAGAAUUGUUAUGUACAAUGAGGAGCCUUCUAAGAGGUUAUCUAUUUGCUAAAGCUAUAAAAGACCAAAAUCAAAGUGUGAUUUCAAACCAUCUUGUUAACAUUCCUCCUAGCUUGUGCUCUGGCCGAUACUUAAGGGAAUAUAUCCUGUUUCUCAUUGCCUUGUCUAUGAGCCUGCGCAUCUGUUCAAUGGAGUUUCGAGGUUGCUGGUGGCGCCUGGCGUUCCUUUCUCGCCAUAUGUGAUAGAUGAGUGUCUGAAAUAGGAGUCGAGCAAUGCAAGAAUCAACCCCUUUUGUACCCAUUGUCUCCAAACGCUGUAUUGUCCACUGCCAAUCCGGAUUGAUACCAGAGCCCAUCAGUUUACGCGCUGUUACUUCCCAAAUAGUGUAUGAAUAUGGGCAUGCAAAAAACAGAUGAUCUCUUGUCUCAUCCCUUUCUCCACAUAGCUCACAACCUUGGAUCAUCCCCCAUUGCCUCAUGCGGUCACCAGUAGAGAGCCUAUUUUUUAUAGCUAGCCAGGUGAUGAAAGAGUAGCGUGGCACUCCCUGUGGAAACCACACCACUCUGUACCAGUCGACUUUAGUGCGCUUUGUUCUAAGCUGAUCCCACGUAUUAGAAGAUGAAAAAGUAUCCCUGAAAUCAUCAUCACCGUGCCUCCAUAGCACUACAUCUCUGCCUCUCUCCAUCUGCGGAACGUUUGUUGCCAUAAUGACAUUGUGAAGCUCUUGAAAAUGUCUGCUUCUCCCACCCCGUAUGUUCCAUCCAGCCGUUGUUACCGCGUCACUGACCAUGGCGUGCCUUUGAACUCCAAGAUAAAUAGUUCCUGCAGCUCCAGUGAUAUCUAUCAAGCGACCCCUUCCCAACCAAUCAUCAAACCAGAAAUGACAGCUUCUUCCAUCCCUUAUGUCCACCCUGAGAUAGUGAUAAGCGAUAUCCCUCAGUUUUAAUAAUUUCCUCCAAAUCCAAGAGCCUUUGGAGUCAUCUCUGACGUCCCAAAAAGAGUGAUAUUUUAGGAGAUAGUGCCGCACCCAACUCACCCAGAGAGAAUCAGGUUGUGUGAAUAAUCGCCAUAUGAGCUUCAGUGCAAACGCUUUGGAUGAGUCUCGGAGCUUUCUAACUCCAAGCCCUCCCUCUUCUUUCGGGUAACAUACUUCCUCCCAGCUGACUUUAGCCUUGUGAGUUUGCGUUGGUGAGCCUGACCAGAGGAAUGCACUACACAUGAUUUCUAUCGUGUCGAGACACUUGGCUGGUAAGAUGAAUGCCGAGCUCCAGAAGUUAACUGUGCUAGAUAUGACAGAUUGUAUCAGCUGAAGUCGUCCCGCAAAGGAUAGAGCCUUGUUCGACCAGCAGAGCAUGCGUCCUCGAAUUUUUUCUAUCAAAGGUUCGUAAUCAUGAGGUGUGAGAGCCUUCGUAGUGAGAGGCAUUCCUAGGUACCGGAUAGGUAGCGUUCCAGCUCUUAUACCCAGAUACUCUGCUGUGGAAAGGAGGUCAGUUACAUUGCUUCCUGAUGCAAAGAUAGAUGAUUUAGUUGCGUUGAUGUGGAGGCCUGACAUUCUCGCAAACCGCUUCAUUACUUCCAGCACUCCGAGCAAAGAGUCUGAUGUGCCAUUUGUGAAGACAAGAAUGUCGUCUGCGAAGCAUAAAUGAGUAAGCUUAACACCCUGGCACUGGGGAUGAUAGUCAANNNNNNNNNNNNNNNNNNNNNNNNNNNNNNNNNNNNNNNNNNNNNNNNNNNNNNNNNNNNNNNNNNNNNNNNNNNNNNNNNNNNNNNNNNNNNNNNNNNNNNNNNNNNNNNNNNNNNNNNNNNNNNNNNNNNNNNNNNNNNNNNNNNNNNNNNNNNNNNNNNNNNNNNNNNNNNNNNNNNNNNNNNNNNNNNNNNNNNNNNNNNNNNNNNNNNNNNNNNNNNNNNNNNNNNNNNNNNNNNNNNNNNNNNNNNNNNNNNNNNNNNNNNNNNNNNNNNNNNNNNNNNNNNNNNNNNNNNNNNNNNNNNNNNNNNNNNNNNNNNNNNNNNNNNNNNNNNNNNNNNNNNNNNNNNNNNNNNNNNNNNNNNNNNNNNNNNNNNNNNNNNNNNNNNNNNNNNNNNNNNNNNNNNNNNNNNNNNNNNNNNNNNNNNNNNNNNNNNNNNNNNNNNNNNNNNNNNNNNNNNNNNNNNNNNNNNNNNNNNNNNNNNNNNNNNNNNNNNNNNNNNNNNNNNNNNNNNNNNNNNNNNNNNNNNNNNNNNNNNNNNNNNNNNNNNNNNNNNNNNNNNNNNNNNNNNNNNNNNNNNNNNNNNNNNNNNNNNNNNNNNNNNNNNNNNNNNNNNNNNNNNNNNNNNNNNNNNNNNNNNNNNNNNNNNNNNNNNNNNNNNNNNNNNNNNNNNNNNNNNNNNNNNNNNNNNNNNNNNNNNNNNNNNNNNNNNNNNNNNNNNNNNNNNNNNNNNNNNNNNNNNNNNNNNNNNNNNNNNNNNNNNNNNNNNNNNNNNNNNNNNNNNNNNNNNNNNNNNNNNNNNNNNNNNNNNNNNNNNNNNNNNNNNNNNNNNNNNNNNNNNNNNNNNNNNNNNNNNNNNNNNNNNNNNNNNNNNNNNNNNNNNNNNNNNNNNNNNNNNNNNNNNNNNNNNNNNNNNNNNNNNNNNNNNNNNNNNNNNNNNNNNNNNNNNNNNNNNNNNNNNNNNNNNNNNNNNNNNNNNNNNNNNNNNNNNNNNNNNNNNNNNNNNNNNNNNNNNNNNNNNNNNNNNNNNNNNNNNNNNNNNNNNNNNNNNNNNNNNNNNNNNNNNNNNNNNNNNNNNNNNNNNNNNNNNNNNNNNNNNNNNNNNNNNNNNNNNNNNNNNNNNNNNNNNNNNNNNNNNNNNNNNNNNNNNNNNNNNNNNNNNNNNNNNNNNNNNNNNNNNNNNNNNNNNNNNNNNNNGGAUGGCCCCCCAUUGUUUUGAAAACCCGCCGUUGUACCGAAGUUUAUUCUUCCAAGCGAAGCGGCUGCUUAAGUUGCUUUAGUUUACAGUGGAAACGAGAUAAAGCAGUCCUUGAGUGGUGGAGCGGGUCAUCAGAUUCCCAUACUUCCUUAAUCGUAGGUAAGAACUCCACGUGAUCAGCUAAGUAGUUAAAAAACCGAAAAGGCUUCCUCGCUUCAUUAGUAGCACCUGUGACCCGAACCAGACAUCUCGCAUGAUCAGAGAUUCCACCAGCAUCAAAGUGAGCGUAAGACUGAGGGUAACAAGUGAGCCAAGCAGCAUUAACUAGUGCUCUGUCCAGCUUUUUUCCUAUGGGAUCCUCAUCUCUCUUGUUCCACCAGGUAAAUAAGGCUCCAGUAUAAGGGAGGUCUGUCACAGAACAGUCGGUUACUGCUUCCUGAAAAUGCCGCAUUCCCACUUGAUCAGUACGGUAGUCCAGUGCUCUAGAGUGCUCACUUGAUGCUAAGGUUUCAUUGAAGUCCCCUAUGAUAAUCCAAGGCAGAUUCAAGUGAGCAUAUGCUGCACGGGUACCACGUAAAUCUUCCCACAGUUGAUGUCUUUCUGCAGCAGUAUUGAAUGCAUAAAUUGCUGAGCAAAUAAAUUGCUCCCCAGUGCUAGGAAUCUGAAUAGCACACGUUAUAACCUGAGCGCUCAUAUGUAGUCUCGUAGCCACCACACUUGCAUCCCAACAGAACCAUAUUCUACCAAGGUGAUGAUACUCAUAGUUAGUGAGGGAACUCCAGGAAGGCAUAGCCGCGCUCAUACACUUUUGAAAAUUGAUUUCCUGGACUCGUGUUUCAACUAAGCAACCAAAAGAAGGCUUUUCCUUUUGAAUCCAUGAUUUGAGCGUUCUGUGCUUGCAUGGCAUGUUGAAGCCACGCAUAUUCCAAGCAAAGAAAGCUGUCAUAACUUCCUAACGGAAGUUUUUUUGUGCGCCCCCUGCUUGCCAGCCAGCAUCAGAUCCCUUGCUCGAACAGUUGCACCCCUCGCUGCUCUCUGCGAAGAUACAUGUGUAGGUCGUUUUCCUCGGUGGGGAGUCUGGUCGUUGUAUCAAUUUGCCCUCCGAUAUCUCUCCAUCCUCAAGCUCCUUAUUCACUUCCAUGGUCUCCUCUUCAUUCUCUUCCGCAUCCUCCUCAUCUAUGCCCAGUAAAGGGCUGAAACGAGAGGGUGAAACUACUAUCCCUUCUUUGUCAUUAAUUUGUACUGCAUCAACUUCUGCUCCAUGUUUACUUCCAGGUAUCGUUUCCCAGUUACCUGCUUCAUUGGUUUGGAAACCCUCCGUUGAGGCCUCUGAUAGUGGCACCCCCUCAUUUCCUUUCACUCCUCCACUGCUGGGUGACCUCGUGGGCGAAGUCAGAGGGAUAACAGCCUCCAAGUCCUGCAUCAAAUUCUCAAUAGCAUUCCCCUUCUCUACUGCACUCCUCUCCACUUCUAAGUUCACUGGGGCAAAAACAGUUGUCUCCUUUACCUCAGCACUCCUCUGUUUCAGCUUGAUUUCUUUACUUGUACACUCCUGACUCUUAUGACCCCAUCUGCUACAGAUACUGCAACGAGAAGGUAGCCAUGGAAAUAAAACUUCAACUUCCUGCUUGCUUCCCUCAUUAUCGGUGUAAGUUAUCUUCUCCACUAAAGGUUGGUGAAGAUUAACUUCCACCAAAGCACGAGCUACGUCUAGUCUAACGCAUCUCUCAGUGUUCGGGUGGAGCUUGACAAAACGACCAACCGCUCUGGAUAGGCAUUUCAGCCCCUUGUGCGAGUAGAGGUUGUUUGGAACUCCCUUGAGAUCCACCCAUAGAGGCAUAGCUGAGAGGUCUGGUGGGUUCGCAGCUGACUCUGGAGACCACACAUUAACCACCAGCGGAAUGUCUGCAAUAUGCCAAUACUUCCUCUGCAGUACUCGCGAUCUCAUCUGGCUAUCAUCGAUACGGAAAAGCACUGUAUUCUUCUCUAUGAAUUGGACAUCAAUUUUUGAACCAGCCUUUGGUGUUGACCAGAUUCGAUUGACAGUGGCAUGAAUUGAUCCCACAUGUGGUGCAUCUCCUAUGAAAUAUCCCACCACAAAACUCUUCCAAAGAAGCUCCGCCUCAUCAAAAAUCUCUUCUGGUAUCUGGAUAGACGCAACUCCAUCAACUACCUCAACUGUCCCCGAUUCACUUUCCUCUCCGACCGUCUGACUCUUCGUCCAAACACCCUUCUGUUUAGACUGUGACCGAGAAUUCACAGUUAUCUUGCUUGUGCCAGAAUCCCCUUUUUGCAGGUCUACCCGCUCUGCGCCUUGUGAAGAGACCAGAACCCCCGCUAUCGCAGUACCCUUGGUCGUGAGACCAAGACCCCCGUCCCCGUUAUCCGCUCCUGCAAUCUCCAGUGACAGAUCAGAGCUAACCGUGAGAUUCGGACCCUCCUUGUCACUCGUGUUGUCGCCAUCGCCGUCGCCAAUUAGGGUUGUCGCCAUCCUUUAAUUGUUACUCAGUUUAAGUAGAUUUUUUAAGAAUCAUUCACUUUUAAUAGUAUACUAGAUUUUGACCCGCACUUAAAAGUGCGGGUUUGUUUUUCACCUAUUGAUCCAAUAUUGAUUGGAAAACUACUUUUAUCUUUUGUUUCAAAUCUUACAAUUUUAUGUUUUUGAAAAAAAAAAUCAAAGUGUGGUAUUUAUUCGAAGUAGAUUUAAAGAUUAUAUGUGUAAUUUAAUAGUAUAUAUAUAUAUAUAUAUAUAUUCUAUAUUGAAGAACAAUGUGUUUUCAAUAUUGAAAUGUAGUAACGAUAUGAGUUGCUUAUUUUAAAUUGAAAAUGAGUUUCUAUUGUUACAUAUUUGUAUCAUAGUUAUAACCAUCAGUAUAUACUAUUUUUUAUCUAUAUUCAAUUUCAAAGGUACUACUUCUUUGACACGUUUUCAAAGCACAAGUAUCUUUUUUUUGUUGACAAUUUUGGUAAAAUUUGCAUGAAUUUAUAAAAAAAAUUAUUAUAAAAAAUAAUUUAAGAGUUUUUUGUUAUGAUGUUUGAAUUUUAAGAAGCGUUUUUCUAUCCGACUCGGAGCCGUGAUCAAACAGUAUACCCGGUACCCAGUAUAUAAUCUGGUUCGGAUUUAAAAAAAAUGUUAAUUAAAAAUCUGAUAUAAUCCGGUAAAAACUCCAAAAGCCCACUAUUAUUGGAAGUAGUCUUUAUAAAAAAUGAUUUGAAUCUAACAAAGUUAAAAAAAAAAACAAACUCGUGGUCUCGAAUAAAUUAAUUUAAUUUCUUAAAAAAUGAUAUAUCAUGUGGUCAAAUUCAAUAUAUAUGAUCCUGAUGGGUUAUAGUCAUAUUAUUGUAGUACAUUGUUAUACUAUAAUUUUGAGUAAUUAUAUGUUAAAUAAUAACAUAUGUGGCUAAAACAUUUUUCUACUGAUUUGUGUAUACUAAAAGUAUUGUUUAAUUUUGUCAUAAAACUUUCUUAUAUGACAAUUCGAAUGAUUACUAAUAACAUUUUAAUGUUGCAGCUCUAAAGUUGGUUGUUCGUGUUUAUUAUUUGUAGGUGGAAGAAAAGAGCAAUGCAUGAUUUGCAUAUACCAGUUCGAUGGGCUCUUAUGCAUGAAUUGAAGUGGAUAUGUCAACUUUGUUUAAUAAAGUAGUGUUUUAUCAUAUUUGAAAUGGUAAGGUAUGUAAUCACUAAUUUAGUUACGAUUCAAAAUAUUAAUCCUAGAUAGUAGGUAUUAUUAUUAGGAUAUUUUUUAAAAAUAAUAGUUCCACAAAAAUAGGAUAAUUAACAAUAGGAUAUAAGAGAAAAAUAGAAAAUAUGACAUAUUAAUAGUUUAGAUAUAUUUAGUUUAAUUUGUAGAUUAAAAGGAAAAGGUCGAACAACCUUACAUAAGUAGAUUUUUUAGGACUCCUUUCCUUUUAAUAGUAUUGAUUGAUUGUAUUAGUUAUAAAGAUAAGUACAAAUAGUGUAUAUAAGAAUAUGGAGAUACGAUUAUGAUCUCUUUAGACUAGUAUAAAUAGUGUGAUCUAUAGUUUGUAAAAAUAUUGAUUAUUGAAUAUAGAAAAAUCCUAGAACUUUCAGUUCUUCUUCGUCAUUCUUCGGAAUCAACGAUUAUCAAGAACCCUCGUUUAAAGCCAAUUCUUCGGAAUCAACGAUCAUCGAGUCCGUCAAACGACAAUUCUCGUUGGAAUCAACGAUCUUCGAGCCUAUCAAUGUUGUGCCAGUUUGGUAUCAGAGCCAGGUUGUUUUUGUUCGGAAAUCUUUUUUGGUUUCUUUUGAAUCUUUACACUUACAAUACUACAAGGACUGUUCUAAGAUUUUAUGAUGUUUAAGGAUGAACCUCAAAAUCUCAUCCCAUUAAACCAUUUUAGCCCAACAUUUAGCUUUUCUUUUAUUGGGCCCCUUAGUAAAAUCUAAAACGAAGCUCAUAUAUUUCUACUUGCAUUUCUAAAAAAGAAAAGUAAACACAUCUUGCUUGAAGGACGUACAUUGCUUGUAAACCCAAGUAUCUAACGUUUUUUUUGCAGAAAGAUAACUAUAGAACUCUGUGCCCAAGCUGAGGACACCUCUCUUUAAAUAAAUCAUAUUUCAGCCCAAAAUUCCUAAAAUGUUAUUUUAGUGUAGUGUUGAUCUAAAUAUCUCCGAAGCUAAGAAUUGGGGACUUCAAAUCGUGUAAAAUUGUUUUCAGUAAAUUAUAUGUUAUUUUAAAUAAAUUAAAACGAGCUAUUUUUCUCUAACAUCAGAGAAGGAAGCAUAUGAUGUUAGUUUGUGGUAGACAAUGACAAUGUCAGAAACAGAGGAAUAACCGUUUACAGAGGACUAUAUCAAUGCACGUGAUGGUUUUAGGUUUGGAAAAUCAUGAUGAGAAAUUUGCAAGGGAUCCAACAGUAUUUGCAAGAAAGGGAAGAUCCGCGUAAGUUGCAGUAAGAAUAGCUGCACAGGUGGGCGUGUUUGUGAUCUGCAGUGUUGGAGAUUGAUUUGAGUCCUCUAGGAUGGAGGAUAUCUCAAGGUAAAAACAGACUCAUAUUGAAUCAAAGCUAGGUUUAAGGAGAUGGAAUCAAAGGUCGUCAAUCUCUCAGGGACUGAAAAUUUUCAGAGAUCACAAAGAAUGUAGGUUAUCUUUGUGAAAGAUUGUUGGGUCAAAAUUGGUAACUACGAAAUCAAUUUCGGAAAGUUCACAAUAAACCUUUCUAAAAAGAAAAUGAGAAUGUAGAAAACUAAAACUUCGUAUUUCUAAGAUUAUUGCACGACAAACUCCUCGCAAGGGAUCAUUCAACCUAUCGAACGGACAAGUCCGGAGCAUCAGAACAAACAAACCAUCAUCGUCUGACCCGCCAUUGGAGAAGUUGGAUAAGCCGAGACCAUGGACCGACCAAUCCAACUUGCCGUUGGGCGAGUUGGAUCAGUCUUGUCCAAUUCACCCAAAGGCGAGUUGGAUCAGUCCAUAAUCAUGCAUUCUUGUCUCCAGAACUACCCCCUUCAGGUCUCGGUCAAGCUGUGUCUUGUUUCGUCUCGAUCAGAGUUACCAAUGAAGCUUUACGAAAAAAACGAUAAAGACAUAUUUUCUCGUAUAAGUUUGAUCGAUCGUAUAAAUCGAUAACGGUUUACUAAACACCAAGGUUUUCUUAGCUAUACGAUUGAUCUCCACUGUUUUGUAAAACCGCCGUUGUACCGAAGUUUAUUCUUCCAAAAGAAAUCAUAAAAAUGUUUUCAUUAAAUACGGCCCAAAGGGUCGGCAAAAACCCACUUGCGAUUUUUAGCGAAGAAUUGGCCUAAAGUCACUAUGACGGUUUAUCGAUUAUUCGCUAGAAGAGAUAAAUGUCAAGUAUAGAGAUAAAUGUCAAGUUCAAAGAUAAAUGUUAAGUUUCAAGGGAUAAUCAUGAAGAUCGAGAAAAAAAGGAAUAUUUCUGCGAGAAGAUAAACUCGAAUCAAGGGUAGAAAAGAAAAGACGACCGACCUUGGAGGCAUAUAUAAGGGGAGCCAAGGCAAGAAGCGCAAGGGGACGAUUUGAAACUUAGAACUCUCUGUACUUAGAAAUCAUAGGCUUUAUUCUCGACAAGUUUGGUUUCUAUGACUGGCACUCGAUUACUAGAUGAAGUCGCCCAGCCAGUUCGAUCUCUUGUUCUACUCUUUCAAUCGAACUACGUUCGGUUUGAUCCUCGAAAGGGGUACAUAGGCAGCCUUUCAUAACGUUCAGUCCGAAGUCAAAUCAAAACAUUUUUUGUGUAUUUUUUGUCUUUUGUUAUCGAGCUCUGACUCAACUAGGUUUAAGGUUUUGGGUGGCUAUAACUAGGUAACUCGCUGAUAACUCUUGCGACCGAAGCUUUUAUAAUCUUUUGUAAUGAUCGCAACACUCUUACGUUGAUUCGAAAUAAGAUCUACUUUUUCUUAAAAUUCGUUUUGUUAUCUUUUUAUAUUUUCCACAUUUGUUUGGUUACUUUUAGUUGCCUCUCGCAGAGAAUCCGGGACCUCAGAUAAAGUUAAGAUUUCUUGACUUUCUUUAAUUUAUGGAAAUUAACAGUGUGAAUUUUGGUUCACACAAAGAUGAUCAACAGAUCUUGCAGCUGUACAUGUUGGUUGUCGUGUGGAAACAAUAUGACGAAACAUAGGUGAUUUGCUUUGGGUCAGUUCAAGUAAGUCUCACGGGUGCAUGAGAGGAAAGGUUUCUGGCGGUGAGAAGAAAGGCAGAGGAGUCUCCAAGUCAGUGUGGUUAAAACAGGUUGUUAUUCCACGAAGAAGCAACUAGAGCAAGGACAAAGUGGGUAAAACCCUACACAAGGGUAUGUCGGAGAAAAUGGUUAUUUGUGGUAACAACAUGUAGCAGCUUUAGUGAGGUCGUGAGAGUGACAGGAAAAACCUAAGGGAAAAAAGUGAUUCAAGGUUCGACUUAGCUUGAAGAUUCUGGUCAAAAACAGAGAAAAAUGCGCAAGCAGAAUCAGGUUGAAUAUGUUGUUAUGACUAGUUAUAAUCAUGAGGAUAAAGGAUAUGAGACAACAGUCAUCAGCACUUGUUCAAGAAACAGAAAGUCGCUACCACAGCUAGCAUAAGCGUGUGUGAGUUUGCCUUAGAGGAAUCGUCAUGGAUGUCUGAGUCGGGAAUUCCAGAUGAAUAGACUCAUAGGAGAAGUAAGGGACGCCGGUCUGGUGUCACGACCAUAACUGUCAAGGUGGAGCUCUCGAACAUUAAUCGAAGCUCAAAAGCAAAAGGAGAAAAUUUGCAGACUUGACUAGGUCGGAGUUUCAUGCUUGAACAGGUUAUGGUUCAGGUAAAGUUACAGCUAGAGACACUAGUCAUGAGCUCGAGUUUGACACAAGAAAAACUGUAAGGAAAUAUCUCAGGAGCAUCACGGCCGUGAAUGAUGAGAGAUAUGGUUAAAAGGCCGACAGGAACAACGAACAGUUGUAGAAACUUUACAGAGACAUGAUACUUCCAAAGGGUUAUUUGAUUCAGGUAGAGCCACUGAGAUUAUAUAAGGAUUGAUGCAUCAUGAAUAUAUUUAAUCCGAUUCUAGGUGGAGUGAAUCACUGGUUUUAUGUUUUAUAAGAUGUCUUGAUUGGUUCAGCUGAAGGGUAAAAGUUUCGAUUAGCAACUUGGUCAGCUCAAGAGAGUAAGAGCUGAAAGAGAAAUUGGUUUGUGGACAUGUUCAGAGUGUCAAGGCCAGGAGUGUCAAGAUCUGUAAACAAAUACAAGGCACAUCAUAAUGAGAUUUGUAAGAGGAGUCUUACAUAAGGUAACUUAUAGGCAAGACAAGUGAAACCGGCAUACGUAUCAGGAAUACACUAGUGAGGUUUGAUACAGAGAACCACGAAAUCUGAGCCGAGUAUGAUGCAGGGUAACAUGUGGUGAAGUACUUAGUUAAACUGAGGUAUUGAGCUGUGAAGAUGAAGAAUUGUGAGAUGAAGCAAAGUAAGAAACUGUUAGAAGACAUUACAGGGAUUGCAGAGAAUUGUCUUACAAUUUGUCCAUCUUAGGAAGGGUAAGACUUGUUCUUUACAAGCAGGCUCAUCUUAAGCUCAAGUCAUGGAACUGAAAGAAAUUUCAUAAAGGUCUAAAUGCAAGGAAAAACUGAUUGCAUUUAGAGAAAAGGAACCGGUGGAGUUUUGGAAAUAUGGUCACAUCACAUGGAGUACUGAGGAAGUUUCCUCAUGGAAGUCCAUUAGCUAAUGGCCAGAUAUUCAUCGAUGGCCAAGUACUCAUCAGGCUAAUGGCGAGUUCCAUGACUAACAUGCGUGUUCAAGUCGUUGAUGGUGCACACGUUUCAAUUUUGGAGACAUCUCAACACAAGAAGGGUAUUGAGAUAAUGAAUUCACAGCUGAGUAAAGGAGGGAUAUCAAGGAUUCUAGAUAAGAUAUCACAUGCAGAUCGUGAGGAGAGCUAAGGCGUAUUAUGAAUUAGAUGGUAUGAGGCUCAGUUCAUUUAACUAAUAGUGGGGUCUAAAUCUGUUAGUGAGGUUUUGUUGUUGCAGAACAGGUUGAUCAGAUGGUGGAGCAAAGAUAUUUGUGUCGAAAGGCUUCCAAAUCAUGUGGGUUUAGGCGGCGUGACCUACUUGUGAUAGUAACGGUACAAAGUGAUGCUCAAGUGUAAUGUGUUUCAAGAACAUCAAGGGUAAGUCAAAAAAAUGUUUCAGAAUAUGGAGCAUGAGUGACUUCAAGGGUUUGCGGUUGAUUCAAGGAUAAUUAUGUGGUAGCAAUUUCUGUUAAAAAUAUGAAGGGUGAACCAAAGUUGUGUCGAAAGUAUGUCCAACAGUGAUGGUUGGAUGGCGGGUCCUAUUUGGAGUAACAGCAGAACAAGAAGAUGGUCAAGGCUGCCAUGUUUAAGCAAGAGAAAUAAUUGAAUCAAGGAUUGUUCUUGUGUGGAGCAUGUAUGAUUUUGAGCUAGCUGCACAAAAUUCAGGUAAUUUGGUUCAAGGCUCAGUGCACAUUAGUGGAACCGAAAACCCAAGGAGGAAAUCAACUUGGAGAAGAUGUUCAGGUUUCUGUUCAAGGAUUUGAACAGGUUCGUGAUUUUGACAGCAAGGUUGUGUUGUUGAUAAGUUCACGAGGAGAAACAAUAUAUGAAGUAACACGACAUCAAUGAGGAGUUGAACUUAACAUUUGGAGUGUAACAGCUGGGUUCGCAAUUCAAGACAAUAUAUGAAGGUGACGAAAAUUCAGAAUGGCAAUGGGAUUGUCCCAUACCCUUCAUCAAGCGUGAUGUCUAAUUUCAUUGAUGGGGCUAAAUGGAUUUAAGUGUUUAAUCUACUUAAGCGGUUGUGGUGUAUAAGUGUAAACUUAUGCAGGUUUCAAGAAGAUCAUGAAGGGACUUCAAGCUUUUGCUCAAGAUGGAGCUGAGAGAAGUAAGAAGAGAUAAGAGAAGACAUGGAGAUGCAGAAGAUGAGCAGGUUUGCUCAAGCAUCAAGAGGUGUCGGCAUAAAGGAAGGGUUAUGGACUUAGACCAAACAGGUGGAGUUUUGUGAGGUUUGGUCAAGCUCGUCAGACAUGUUCAAUAUUGGACGACUUGUACAAGUUAUGUGCAAACAACAUAAUGGGCCUAAUCGUUGAAGCUCAUUAGGUCAAGUGAUGAUACAAAGAAGGAGAGAUCACGACAUGGAUCUCUAAGCGAAGCAAAAGCCAAGUCUCUGGUAGGCAGGAGCCUCAAGCAUCCAGGAAGUGCUUCCAUGGCGUCUCGUGGAGAGAAAAAGUAAGCUAAACAUAGAUAUGUUGUUCUAGGCUUAGUUCUUAGCCAUGUACUCUCUUGUAUACUCUCUAGGGAUUGUAUACCUGAGAGAGUAAUGAUUUGGUAAACCCUAUGUUACAUUUAAGUGGGUACUUGGAAACGUAAUCAUAUGGAAGACAAGAAGUGAGAUGUUUUAAAAAUUUAAAAAGCGGGUACGUGUUGGAAGCGUAUCUAUAUAUAUACAUACAUGUAUAAGAUUUUUUAAGAAAAUCUAGAACUAAAAAUUAUGUGAUUUAAAUUUAAAAUAAAGCAUUUAUUCAUUUAUAAUAAUUUGAAAUUAUUUCAUAUUAAAACUGUGAAAAUACACAUAUAUUAAAUUUAGAAUAAAUUAUUAUAUUAAUUAUUUUUAAUACUUUAUAAGUAAUUGGCAUAAUAUAUUUGAAUAUAGAAUUUAUCUUUAAUAAAAACCUCAAUGCAUAAAGAUAAUUUAUAGUGUUAAUUUUAAUAUUUGUAUAUUUCUAUUCUCUCUAUUCAAUACUAUUAAAUUUUGGAUUUUAUAUAAAUAAAAAUAUAUAAUUUUAUAUUUUAAUUGAUAUAAGACAUUGUGUUUUUCUUAAAAAAAAAUAAUGGAAGCGUGAUUCCAAAACAUAAUCGUAAGCUUCCAACGUGUUUUUAAAGAGAAUAUUUUAAAAGCGUUUUGGAAGCGAGAUUGCGUAAGAUUCCACAAGGUUCCGAUUCCGGUUCUGAAGCGGGAAGUAGACGUCUGAUGAAGCUUCCGUACAACGUAGGGUAAACCACAUCGAAAGUGUUUUCUGAUACUUCAUAGUGGAUGUUGUGGAUCAUGGAUCCACCAUAGAUGUAGCGGUGCGGCCUUGAACUGUGUGAAAAAUUCUUGAGUUAUGAACAAGGAUUGAAUCAAUACAAAAGAUCAAGGGACCUGGAAUUAGGAGCGAACGAUACCAUAGCUUCAAAUCACUUAACAAAGUCUUGUUAGAGAUACGAUUGAACUCUACAGAACAACGUUUAAGAAUCGGUAGGCGGUAACUAACCUAGAGAACUAGCAACUAUACAAAUUAUUCGAGGUCUAGAUUUAUUUUGAUGAAUUAUCAAAAUUAGAUAUACAAAACAAAAUAAAUUAGAUAAUUUGUGAAUUUGUACCAAGAUUAUUGCUUAAUUUAAUAGAUUUAGACUAGUAUAAAUCGAUUUAACCAAUUUAAACAGAUUUAGAAAAUUUUAAACCGAUUUGAGUCAUAUAAAUCAGAUUUUUUUUAAAAAAAAAUCGUUUUGGCUUAGACCCAAUUGCGGCCUAAACCGAUUUUUAGAGCCAUUGGGAAGAGUAAGGAGUACCUGGGGUGACGACAGGAGAAUUAUAUUUCUGAAAUUUUUCAACAUCUCUUGCUAAAAAGAAUUUAAAACCAAAUAUUAGAACAGAACAACAAAAACUGAGCCUGUGAAGAAAAGUUAAGAUCUUUGUGUCUACCUUGCAGAGUUUGUAAAAGAAAGUCUGUCGGAGAUCAGGAUCAUCAGUGAGUGUAAGCUGAUGAAUAACCUGUGUACUCUUUAACUUCUUUAAGAGCUAAAGUCCCGAGUUAAACAAAGAGUUUGUACUGUACAGGUAACCCAAGUGAGAACCCGAAACGAUAGAUAUGUGUGUAGAUACUUCCUGAAUGGUUCCAUCAAACCAUCUGAAACAGCAAAAAAAAACGAAGGUGAAACAAAACCAAAAGAUGAAUCACUCAAAAUCAACAAGAUUUUCUAAGAAUAUUUACAGCGAUUGCUGUUCUGAUGAUGACGUUGCCAAUAGAAUGCCCAACAAAACUCAGCUUACCAAGAUUUUAUGAUGUUUACGGAUGAAACUCAAUAUCUCAUCCCAUCAAACCAUUUAAACCCAACAUUUAGCUUUUCUUGUGUUGAGUCCCUUAGUAAAUUUCUCAGAGGUUAAGAGAUGGUGAGUUCAAGUCAUGAGUGUGCAAAAUUGUUUUUAUAAAUUAUCACAUUUGUAAUAAAUUAAUACGGUCGAUUUUUCUCUUUGCGGCCUUGUAAAAUUCUGCACCGGCACUGAGCUAAUAUACAACAGUUUAUAGUCCCACCAAAAUUUGUACAAAAUUCAACAUCCUGUUCUGGAAAAAUCAGCGGAACAGAUCUUGAAAUGACCACAUUAUGAAUCUUGCAAAGAUAUCAGACUCCAAGAACUCUAUGUGGGCAGCACGUCCGAUGAACGAGUUCAGGUUACGUCCAUACACAGUCAUGUCGAAGUUAACAUCGCAGCGCAUGAAAACCCUUUGCUGAUGCGGCGCUUCAGGGGCUGGUCCACGUAACUGGUCCAUACAAUUAUUCAGCAUUUCCAGGAAUGCGAUUCCCCUUUUUGUACUGUCGAAUGAAGCUGGUUGGCACGAUUCAAUUCUUGCUGAGUGAUAUGGAACAUAACCAUCCUGCAUUGUAUAACAGUCACAUAACAAAAGAUGUUUCAUUAUCUUCACAAGUCUCAAACUUCUUCACACAAUCAACCUUAAAGAGAGAGGGAAGAGCAAUGUUCAGAAAAUAGGUAGGCGUUAACGAAUUAUUGAUUUAUUAUAUUUAUAUUUUACAUUUAUAUAAACUAUUUUAGUUUUUGGAUUUAAUUAUAAGGUUAUUUUGAUGAAUUAUAAAGCAAAAGAAAUUAGAUAAAUUUGUGAAUUAGUACCAAGAUUAUAGCUAAAUUUAAUAGAUUUAGCUAUAUGAAUUAUUUAGACAUCUUUAACCAAUUUGAGUCCUAUAAAUCAGAUUCUUCAAAAAACUCAAAUUUAAAAAGACUAAAGACCAAGUUGCUGCCUAGACCGAUUCUUUAGAGCCAUGGGGAAGAGAAAGGAGUACCUGGGGUGAGGACAGGAGAAUUAUAUUUUUGAAAUGUUCCAACGUCUUUUGCUGAAAAGGAUUCAAAACCAAAUAUUAGAACAGAACAACAAAAACUGAACCUGUGAAGAAAAGUUGAGAUGUUUGUCUCUACCUUGCAGAGUUUGUAAAAGAAAGUCUGCCGUAGAUCAGGAUCAUCAGUGAGUGUAAGCUGAUGAAUAACCUGUGUACUCUUCAACUUCUUUAAGAGCCAAAGUCCUGAGUUAAACAAAGAGUUUGUACUGUACAGAUAACCCAAGUGUGGACCCGAAAGCGAUAGGUACGUAUGUAGAUACUUCCUGAAUGGUUCCAUCAAACCAUCUGAAACAUCAAAAAAAAAAGAUGAAACAAAACUAAAAAGAUGAAUCACUCAACAUCAAGGAGAUUUCUAAAGAACAUUUACCAGAGAUUGCUGUUCUGAUGAUGACGUUACCAAUAGAAUGCCCAACAAAACUCAACUUGAUGCUUUUCAAAUGCCCUUGUCUUGCAUACCUAUCCUUCUUCCUCUUGAGGAAAGAAACAACCUCUUGCGCCAGCCUUUGUCCCAUUUCUCUGAAAUCGCCAUGUGUUUUCUCCUCAUUUGCCUCGGACAUGAGAAACUCUAUCUUCGGAUCUAUCAUAAGCCACUGGUUCCGGACAAGCCUCAAGUCCAAGUGAUGCCCCUAUUAUAGCAAAUAUGAACAAAAACUCUAUCAAUUGAGUGAUAAACAGAUGCUACUAGAUAAGACACUUGCCUGGAAACCAUGAACGAAAACAACUAUCUUUAGCUCACGAGCACUUUUCUGGGAGCUAGUAGCUUUUGUUUUCUCCCCUUCAUCAUUGACUGCGUUGAGCAAGCCGGAAUCGAGCAUAUCCACGUGUCUCAAGUAAGAAUUAUCACUUAAAGUGCGUCUUGGUGCAUUCAAGACUCGUUCGAUUAUAAUAAUAGGAACUCUCAUAGGAUCCCCAAGUAUAUGCAUGUCUUGUAUUGACCGGUUGUUAAUCUGCACCACACAAGAAAAAAUGCAUUGACACAUCAAAAUCAACAGCUUGUGAUGCCAAGAUGGGACAGAGAGCACAGAACAAACCCUCAUUUGCGCGAUGCUUCGACGGUGAAGUUCAGCACGGUUAGCUGCAAGUUGUGCAGGCUGCAUCAGAGCAAAACUUGUAUGAGCCAACAAAAAAUUGACAAAAUAGAGACAGAACACUAAAACUCACAUCAGUCAACUUCAAGACACUUGAGGCUCGUUUGUGUGCACUGUGGUUUAUGAUAUCACUCAUUCCACUGUUUAUAAAAUGAUGGGGCAUUUCAACCUUAGAGUACACCAUCCAUAUCGACCAUUCAGCUCUUCGAUCUUUUCUCCAAAUAUCACGAAGAUACUCCAAUAUUUUUGUGUUAUUAUCCCUAUAAAAGCCAAGAAUGUUGAUCUUAGCUUUUAGAGAACAAUCAUAAAUCAUUUAAGUCCAAAAGAAAUUACCGGUGAAAUCCAAGAAACGUGUUCCAAAGAUAAUGAAGCUGAGUGCCAAGUAAGUGGAAUAAACGAGUUAGAUGAUCCUUGGAGAGUUCAUGAAGCCAGUCAUCAUUUGCUACAUCAAAUGUAAUAUGCAGCUUCUGUACCAAAGAAUGGAAAAUUUUAAAAUAAGAAGAAAAAUAUAGUCAGAUAAAAAAACUAGUUAGCAUCAAAAAUAAAAGCAAGGACCUCAAGAGGACUGUUUUGUUCCUUGCCUUGUCCUGAACCAGCAACUGGUAACUGAGAUAAGGGAACACUGUUCAUAUCUGAUACAAAUUCAGACAAAUCAAUUGAUUUUCCAAUUGCCUCGCUAAGUCUUGUCAUUUCCUCGAGUAGAAUGUCGCGUGCUCCAAGUAAUGCUUUAACGAAUAACACCAUUUUCUUGUCAGCAGAAGCAAGCAGACCAAGUGCCUAGUCAAUUAACAAAAGUGUUUACAAACAAUCAAUAAGAGGUUUAAAUCUAGACAAAACAAAAGACUGAAACAGUAAUGAAUCAUAAGGACAUACUUUCUUGAAAGAUUGAGCACUGCUGCCACUGACACUUUUACUGUUACUUACCACUCUGCUUCAAAACACGUUGAGAUUGAGAUAUCAAAUAACUAGAAAUAUAAAGUUAUGUAGAACACAAACAUUUUUAGGUUUUGGGAUAAAAUUUCGGAACACUUUUGGAUUUAAAGUAUAUUAGGUUUUUCAGGUUUUAAAAUAGUUUUAAAAUUUUCAAUACAUUUGGGGUUUUUAGUAUAUUUUUCGGGUAAAUUUAAGGAUGGUUGACCAAAACAUCAUUUUGGUCAAAGUUGAUUUAGGUUUGAAUUUGAUAUUUAGAUAAAUUAUUUGAAAUAAAAUGUUAGUUUAAGAUGAAAUCAUCACGAUAACAAAGUUGAGGUAGGAAAAAACACGAAGGAAAUUGUUUGAGGUUGGAACUGAACAUUUUCCCGAUAUUAAGUUAUGUAAAAUGCAAAAAAAAAAAUCUUUUUUGACAAACCUUGAUAGACUUGGAGGUCGUCUAUAAGCAGCAGAUUUCAACACACUGAUGUGGACACUCACAUCAACAAGCACCGCAUGGAGUGUAUCAAAAUGCACAGGACAGUAUGAAUGCAAGCCUGUAAGAGCCUUAGGUGGAAUACGAAACUCAUGAAUCGCAGCAGGCAAAGCUUCUAAUUGCUUCGUUGAUGCAUUAUCCAUAGCUGGGGCAUACAUGAGCUCAAAUUUCAAUAUAGCAGCAGAUGUAGCCGACCCCUGCGUUCCAAAGAUUCAUCUCACAACUUCAUAUAACAAAACAUAACUUUCGAAGUUGUUAGGGUGCGUAAUGAGUAGGUAGAGAUUGUUACGUCGUAUCUUUGUAGUGGCAAAGUGAAUGAAAUCAUCAUACACAGACGAACGUCCUGCCUUGCGUAUUUGAUUUGGAAAGGCUGUGUGAAGAAACUAUUAUCUUUAUCAUCUAUCCUCCACACUCCAUUAGAGCCUGAUUCCAGAGCUGUAACAAAACCAAUCCUCUCUGUCUAAACUAUACUCAAAAAGAGACAAGAUCACAAGAAAGCUAUAUAAAGUACCUUCAUACUGAACGACUCGUGAAGGAAUACCACGAGUAGUGUUAUCACCAUCUUCCCAUCUCAUGGUGAUUUUUAUUUGAUACCAUCUAAUAAAAAUAAAUGAAUUAGAACUCUUUUUCUAGAAAAAAUGUUGAGUUAAGGCAAAGAAAUGUCACAUACCCUUGUUGGAAAAGAUCAAGGUUAUGAAACCUGUGGAUAUAAAUGGCAACUUCUUGAACCGUGUCAACCAUUAGUACUGGCUUAACCCUAUUAUCUAUGUAAGGUUUAGCGUCAAGUGUCUUUGCUCGCCUACUUCUUCUUCUGCUCAAUCCAAAUAGCCAUCCAAGAUGGCGUAACAUAUGUGAAAUAUAAAAACGCACAUCACUUUUUCUAAAAUCUUGGAAUGUGGGUGUUUCUCAAGACCAUCCAACGAUUUUGAAUCAGCUCUUUGAGCUACUCAGAGACAAGGACCUGCAACAAAAAGUAUUUAUUCAGAAUCAUUUCCCCAAUUCUCAGUUCAGUUAUUCGAAAUAAAUGUGAUCAUCUUAUAUAAAAAGCAAACAAGGUAACAUCUUCAGGAAAAGAAGUUCUCUAACAAGUUUUGGUUUCAUUUAAUAUAGUCUUCAUCUAAGCUAGUGGAUAUUGCAACGAACAAAACCAUACCAAUAAUACCAAAUCUGUGCAUAAAAGAAAAAACAUUUUUUGUAAAUAAAAUCAAUAUCAGAGAGAACCCAAAAAAAAACUAAUAAAGACGGAAACUUGAUCGAGACCCAUCAUUUGUCAGAGCUUAUAUAACAUCUUAACGCAAUCACAGAGAAGAAACAGAACCUCUAAGUCUUCUCAGAUCAAGAUCUCACGAUUUGCUACGUCUCUGUUUUCAUUGUGUAUUCAGCUUAUGGGGGAGAAAUGGAGAAAAGGAUCUGGGAAAGCUACAAACGAUAGUACAGGAACAACAUUUUGUUCGAGCAAUUUGAGGAUUUUAAUUAUUUCUUUUUAAAAGCUGUGGUCGGAUCUUUUUGAUUAAAGUUGUCGGGUAAGAAGGAUGAAUGUUCAAUUGUUCAUACGAGAGACCAUCAUCGCGAUCCACGCCGUGUCCUUCUUUUCGAUUCGUACAGUGAAGAUUCUGACCCGGUAUGUUUCGGGUUACUUGACUAUUUAGGUGUGGGCUUUGGUUUAUCUUAAUGGGCUGUUAAAUAUUAUGGGAUCUGGCACGUUAAAUUUCGGAUUCCUUCACCAAGUUAGUUUUGUUAGGCUUCGUGGCCGACAAAGUUAUGGCCUAACCAUGUGGGUCGAAUUCGAAACCUAACUCUUUAAAUUCAAGAUUUAGGUGCGCUGCUUCUGGUUUCGGUUCAGAUUAGAUCUUUUAAAUUCUGGAUAUGUUGAUAGGUUUUUUUCUUUCUAAAUAACUUGGGGAGUCAUGCCCAACCGACUAAUCCAACGGAUAUUUUGAUACGUUUUACUCGAGUAUCCAUAAUUAUUUGCAAAUAAAAAUAAACAAUUAAACUAUAUACGACGAGUAUUUUGAUAGGUUUUACUCGAGUAUUUUUUAAUUUUUGUGGUCAGGAUUUGUAUGGUUCGGUUUUUAUUCAAAUAUUCGUUAGUUUAUUUUUUUUAUUUGCAAAUAACUAUGGAUACAGUUCAGUUAUUGUAUCUAAAUUAUUCAAAAUAUCCAAACUACAAAAAUAACAAGAUAUUAAUUAAUAUAUUCCAGUUUAUAAUUAUAAUAUAUGAUACUUAAAUUAUUACAAAUAUUAAUAUAACUAAUAGUUUUUUAAUAUAUAUUUAUUUUUAUUUUUUUGAAUAUAUUUUUAUAUUUUGGAUAAUCAUUUGAUUCUUAUGUCAGAUCGAGUUUAAUACCAAAAUUUUAGGUAUAGCAGUUUGGGGCUAUGUAUUUAUAUCAGUUUCCUUUUGAUUCUUUGGGUCUGGAUAUUUUGUUGACACUUAUCUAAGAAAAUAGCAAGGCCGUUUGCUUUUGUUAUUUAAAUACUAUAGUUAUGCGUAAAAGGUUUAUUUGAACAUUUAGUUUAUAAAUCAAGAACUUGGAAAUUCUGUGAUUUAACUACAGCUGAACAUGUGAUUUUCCAUUGACAUGUGAUUUUUCCAUUCAACGACUAAACAAAGCAUAAAACAUCGGAUGUCCAAAAAAAAAAGCAUAAGACAUCGUAGGAUUAGGUAUUUACAAGACUUUACACCGAAAAAAAACUAACAAAUUCACUCAUGUUUAUUUUUUGUGUUUGCCCUAUCUGCACAAAAAUCAAGAUGUCUUUAGAACUAUCAUAAGAUGUCGAUAACAUUCUUAGGAAAAUAUUGAAGAAAAUAAAGCGUGAAGUUUUAAAAUUGGUAUAUCGGCCUUUUUAUCGGCUUUGCCAAGUCGAUAAACCCUCGUUUGAUACUGGCAUUUUUUGACGGCAUCUUCAAAGCCAAAAAUUAGAUGUACCCAUGUCCAAACUAAAAAAAAAAAAUUCUGUUUUAUCCUCAAAGUAUCUAUGAAAUCAAUAUGUAAUAGUAUAUAUUAAAUUGUGCAUAUAUGGACCAUUGUAGAUUCCUUCACAAUUGUAGGCUAACGCAUAAACCCAUUGAAGAACAAAGUUGUUAGAAAGAGACACAUCUUUUUGUAAAGCUAAAUGGAGAAGAUCGUUAGCAUCACGAGUGGCAUCUUCAUUUAUUUAUUGAGCUUUGUUUAGCAAUACAAAGUCUUAAUGUUCUUUUCAAACUCAGAAUCUAAACAUCAUGAUUAUUAUUGAACCCUGAAUAUUUGAUAUCUUGGAUAGAAAGACAUUGUAUCAUUGUAUCAUUUUUUGUAAAAUGUUAAAUUUUUUUAUACUAAUGUUUAUUUAUAACAAAAGAUUACUUGAAAAAUAAGUAGCAGACUUCUUAUUCUGAACUCUAUGGCUGAGCCAUGCUCUUGUUACUUUUCUAGCAGUAUUUAAUAGCAAACCUUUUGUAAAAAAAAAGUAGCAAAAAGAACAAAUAAACUGCUAAAAACCACAAAUGAAAUCUAUGAUUAUCGUAAAACUCCUAUAUCGUAAAUUGCAAUAUCAUAAGCUAUCCGCGUGAUCAUUUGCAAAAGAAUGGAACAAACAUGCAUUAAAUUUGUCGCAAGUUACUGAUAUAUCCAAGAGAAGCUCUCAGAUAGUUAAAACAAAUUAACGACGCCUACAGCUUCUUCAUUGACAUACUGCACCUUCGAUCCAUAAAAUAUACAGACAAGACAACCAUAUUCAAUUAUAUUAUAAAUACCCACCGUCGAUUUUAUAAAUUAAAAAUAACUACCCGAUAGUGGUUUUUUAGUAGAGAAAUUGGCAAAUAUAACCAUGAAAAAAAAUUAAUUAGGCAAAUAACCACAGCAACUAAAUGGCUAGGAUACACAAUAUAUAUUAUGUAUUAAUUGCAAUUAUAACCUUAUGUAUAAGCAUAUGUAGUGGCUUUGUUUUUUCUUUAUUUUCUUUUUAUUUUGUUGUAAGAUGUUUUCCCUCUAAUCUUAUUUAUUUUCUAGCUUCUUUAAAAACAAUUAUUCAGAUUUAUAAAAUACUCUCAGAAAUAUAUAUAUAUAUAUAUAUUUCUAUUUAUGAUGUGUUUCGAAAAUUUUAAAACAUAUAUAUAUAUAUAUAUAUUAUAACAUUUGAUAUAUCAUGUUAGAGUAUAUAGAUUAAAUAAUUUUAUAUGAAUUGAUUUGUCUAGAGUCUUAACUCUCCUUGAACAACUAAUAUGUAAUUGGUUAUAAAAUAUUGUAAGUACUAAAUACUAUUCUAUUUUAGUAACACAAUAUAAUUUUUUUAUAGUACUUUUUCUAUUACAUAUUUCUCCACUUUUUUCUUCUCUUUGUUCCUUUUUAUUUUUCUCAUUCUUCUUGUCCUUCUUUUUUCCCUCUUUUCUUCCUCAUCUUUCUCUAUGUUUUUGUUUCGUUUACGGUGAUAAUGGAAAAUUAUAAUAUGUUUUGGUCUUUAUUUUGUUCCAUGCGUUGAGUGUUUUUAUUUUGCUUGGGUUAAUUAUUGUAGUUAGUAAGACAAUUAUGUUUACUUAUAUGCUAUUUGUAAAAAUUGAUUAUUCUAUACUAUUUGUCAAACACAUAUAUUAUAGUAUAGUUUUUAUGAUUUAUAUUAUGAUAAUUAUUUUCUUGUGUCAACUUCCCAAUUGCUCGAAUCUAUCUUUUACGCGGUGAAUAAAGAUUGCUCCGGUAAGCAAAGAGAAUUUCUAAAACAAAACGUCGAAAAUAUGAAAUUAUAAAAAAAAUGUGUGAAUAUAAUAGUAUAGUAAAAUUUAGACAAUGCAUUUGCCAAACUUUCACACGCAGAAAAUGAGAGAGUGAUAUAUUUUCAUGCCAAAUUAUCACCUCAAACUUCCUACUUUAUUACAUAGUUAUUUGUCUAAUAUUUUUCUCAAUAUAAUUAUCCUACCAAUUCAUUCUUAUUAGUAUGAGAACUUUGGAUUUUAAAGCAAAAUUGACUCAAAGGCACCCUAACUAUACUCCAUCAUGUGAUCACGUGGAUAUGAAUCUAUUGUUUACAACUCAUUCAAAUAUCUAGAAAGAAGUUCAUCCAUGAAAUGAAUUUCUUAUUAGAUAUUAGUCUAGAUUUUUUAUAUCCCCGAAAUACCCCAAAUUAAUUAAAACAUCUUUAGAAAAAUAUUAAGUUGAGUUGACCUUCUCAAAUCUGCAACCAACAACCUAAACCACUUCACUGGAAAGUCCACCACCGCGUCAGCAAACCAGCACUAUUACAUCCAGUCAUCUAUCUGAAAUGGCCAGCCGUCAAAAGAACAAACUGAUGAAGGCGAAGUGGAACACCACCGAGGGAAACACCAGAGAGGAACCGGAGCAGAAGACCACUACAGCUCACACCACGACAUGAGCAAGGAGGAACAAAUACAUAUACAUUUAUAUAUAUAGAACUUUUCUUAUUUUUAAUCAAAAGUUGAAAAGUUAGACAAAGUUUUAUAAAUUUCCACAUAUUUCAGAUAAAAUAUAAUAUGUUCCCGCAAAUCUAUUUUUAUGGCUAGUGAAUGACUCGCCAAGGUUCUCAAAGACUGUGAGGAGUAUGUUUCAGAUGAAAGCAGAACUUCAUACCUAUUUUCGAUGUAGUGUUCGAGAUGGAUGCACAGCUUUGUUUUGAUAUGAUUAUUGGACAGAGUUGGGUCCUUUACACCUCCUUUCUGGUCCAUCAGGCCCCCGUGAUCUUAGGAUUCCGCUUGAUGCUACUGUAUCUCAAGCAGUAACCAACGACCACUGGAAUCUCCCUUCGGCUCGCUCUGAGUAUGCAAUCACUCUUCAGAUUAUUCUCUCUACCUUGCCGGUUCCAUCUGCAACCUAUGGCUGCGAUACAUACUUGUGGAGAACGAGUUCUGGCGCUUUUGGAAACUCAUUCUCAUCUAAGGUAACUUGGGAGAGGAUGCGUGUUCCAAUUCCCCUAGUUCAGUGGCAUUCAGUGGCAUGGUUCAGAGAGGAAAUUACUCGCUGUUCGUUUAUCGCUUGGACAGCCUUCCUUCGUAGGCUCCCAACGCGUGAUCGGUUGAUAUCUUGGGGUUUGAAUAUCCAACCAGGUUGUGUUCUCUGCUCUGUAGCUGAUGAGUCUAUUAGCCAUUUUUUCUUUGAUUGUCCCUUUGCGGUUGCUACUUAGACUCGUUUUUGUGGCAGGUUUUUGGCGACUCCUCCGGCUACACUUGAUGCGGUCGUGGUCCUUUGCCAGCACUUCCCUGGUCCUCAUGCCCGGCGAGCGGUUGCGGUGAUGAAGCUCCUAAAUCAAGUCAUCAUUUACAACAUCUGGCGCGAGCGUAAUGCCAGGGUUUUUACCGGUGUGUCUUCAACUCAAGAGGCUGUGUUCCGAGUGGUGGAUCGUACUGUGCGAGAUAGACUUCUGGCUCUUUCAAGACCCACUGUCUCUGCUCCUCCCCCAUCUUUGCUUGAGUUGUACUUUUGGUUUAUCUCCCCAUAUAGUUAAUGCUAUUCUCCUUUUAUUGCUCUCUUAUUGCUCCUUUCCUUGCUCUUUUUCCUUCUUUGUAAUAAGUUGUGUUUACACAACAUUGUAAACUCUUAAAAAUGGUAUAAAUUUUAACAUUUAGACCCAAAAAAAAUAUAUAAUAUGUUUAUUAUUUUGUUUACUUUAAAUUAAAACUUUUUAAUUUUUUUGUUUAGAAUUACUUAUUGAUUUAAUUUUAGUCCAAAUUAAUAUAAACAGUAUAAAUCAUAUGAAUUAAAUCUAUUAAUAAAUAAUAAUAUAAAUUAUUUAAUGUUUUAACAAGAAUUAUAAUAAUAAAAUAUAUGUUUUUGUUUAUAUAUAUGUGAAUAAUUAUUAAAUGACAUUUAAAACUAAAAUACAAUAGAAGGAGUCAUAUCUAUCAUUUGUCAUACUUUUAAUGGAUAGUUAAAAAAAAUUAGACCAAGUUUUAUAAAUUAUUCCAUAUUUCAGAUAAAUGGAUAAUCAGUUUUUUUCUUUUUCGAAUUAUUUAGGGGGGUGUAUUCAACUGAGAGUUUUAGGUGAUUUGUAUUAAAAUGACAAAUCUACUGUUAUUCAAAAAUAAAUUUUAAAAACUCAUUUAAAAUUCAUUGUUAUUGAACUUAACAUUUCGUAGAGUACUCUAAAAUCCACUAUUAUUGAAAAUAUUUUAAGUUGUGGAGUCUUAAAGUUUUCAGGUGAUUUUAGAGUGUUUGGGUGGAGUUUGUUAGUUACAAAAAUUAAAACUCAAAUCUCAUGGUUUUAGGUUAUAUUCUAGAGUGGUUUAACAAAAAUCACCUAAAUCUCUGCAACUUAUUGAAAUCAUAUAAAACUCCAUUAAAAGUCAAAUCACCUCAAAUAUUAUAUUGACAUGACAACCAAAGAAAAAUAACAGGGAUGCGUGUUACACAUGUGUGUCCCUCGGUAUCAACUUUCUCUUUGCUGAUGAUAGUCUUUUUUUCUGUAAGACGGAGCCCCGUAAAUGUGAAUAAGUAAUUAAAGUAGUUAUGAAAUAUGGACAAAUACCAGCCAGUGUAUCAACUUUGAGAAAUCCUCCUUACUCUUUGGUAAGAGGAAUGGUGAAAACGUUAGAUAGCAACUAAAAGAUAGACUUGUGAUCCAUACUGAAGGAGGAAUGGGGUCCCACUUAGUGAUUCCUGAAGAUAUUAGUAGUUCAAAGAUAAAUUAAUGAACAUAAUAAAUGGAAGGACGAGUAGAUGGCUAUUGAAAGGAGAAAAAAAGUCUUAAUCAACUCUACCUUACUAACUCUUCCGACAUACGUCAUGUUUAUCCUUUUGCUCCCGCUUGAGAUAUGUGAGAAUCUUGCAAGCGCCAUAUCGCAAAAUUCUAGUGGAGCUUCAAUCUUCCUAAGAGGAGAAUUCACUAGGAAAAUGGAAAAAGCUAUGUUUACCAAGAGAAGAGGGUGGGAUUGGUUUCUGAAUGAUUUACGAGUUCAACAUGGAUUUAUUGGCAAGCAAUUUUGGAGAUUAGUUCAGUACCCUGACUCUCUAGUGGCGAGAGUUUUGAGAGGGGGAUAUUACAGAAUGAGUUCGCUUUUGCGAAUAAAUUCAGUACACAACCCAUCAUAUGUGUGGACUAGUAUUUCAGCGUCACAAAAACUAUUGCUUUUGGGAAUUAGACAGAAAAUUCAUUUUGGAUAUGAGGUAAAGGUGUGAGAAAACCCUUGGAUUUCUACUAUACUGGCUAGGCCGGCUCGAUCGUCUGCCCAUGUUUUGCACCUAAACAUGAGAGUCAGUGACUUUAUUAUUGGAGCCUCAAGGGAAUGGGAUGUUGGAUUAUUAGAGAACUAUGUAGCCCCUGAUGAUAUACCUCUUAUAAGAAAUUUAGCCAUAAGCUCUACUCAUUUACGUGAUUCUUUCUGCUGGAACUUUACAAAGAAUGGUUAGUACACGGUUAAAUUUGGAUAUUGGGUAGCUCGGAACCUAAUGAGAGCUGAUGAAGAAAUGGAGGUCCAGGAGCCCAGUAUAGCCAAACUUUAAAUCUUUGUUUGGAAAGUAAAAACACCUCAAAAGAUAAUGUCAUAAGAAUCUUAUGUGGCAACUCCUAACAGGACAUGUGGUUGUAACGAGAAAUUUGACACGCCAUAAUAUGAGAUGCGAUAAUUAUUUCUCAAGAUGUAGGGAACCGGAAGAAACAAUUACUCAUACUAUAUUUGAAUUUCCUCCAUCCUUGCAAGUAUGGUCCCUAUCGACUACACCAUCUAGUCCUGAUAUAUUUCCGCUAUCAAGCAUUUAUGCGAAUAUAGAUUACCUCUUCCGGAGGAAGAAUAGCUUCAUUGAACCAGAACUGGACAUGGAUCCUUACCCAUGGAUAAUCUGGUAUAUUUGGAAGUCUCAGAAUGAUAAACUUUUUAGCUAGGGGGAUCGACAGGGAUCCCAUGAAGUUAGUUCGAUAUGCAGAAAGUGAGUGCCAUGCCUGGUUUAAUGUGAAUGACUUGGUACCUCCCAUUCUACUGGACCAUAGUAGUGAGGAAUCCCUCAUAUCUGUAUGGUGGAUGGUUCGUGGACUUCCACAGGUCAGUUCAGUGGUUGUGGCUGGGUAUGGAAUGAUAGUCUAGGAAAGAUUCAACUUACGGGAUGUGAAACUUAAGAAAGCGAGAAACUGCUUUACAUUUGAAAGUGGAAGCACUGCGAUGGGCAAUGAAGAGAAUGCUACAACAUUUAUCUUGUCAGAGCUUUGGACAUAUUGCAAAGAUUUGAUCGCGAUGAUAAAAGAGCCUCUUGCUUGGUCAAGUUUUGCAACUGAAUUGGAGGCAAUAAAGACACUAAAGAUAUAUUUUACGGACUUCGAAAUAUAUCAUAUUCUAAGGGCACAAAAUGGAAUUUCGGACUCGUUAGCCAAGAUUGCAAGAUCUUUUUAUAGAGUUCUUUACUACAUUGAUUGUUUUAUUCUGGUCUGGGUAGACCAUGCACCUCAAGUUUGAAUUAUAUAAUAGCUGUUCGUUGUUAAAAAAAGAAGAUUAUAUCUUGAAAUAUGGAAAAAUUUUCUUUUUAUAUAGAAGUUUAUUUUUUCUUAGUCUAGAGGUAAAAAGAAUAUGUGAUUUGUAAGUCGGAAGCCAAAAGCAUAAGAAUGACACUCUGUCUUAUUUAGGAGGAUCUGCUUCUAAAUUAGUUAUCUCUGAUUAUAACAUUUUUAUUUUUUAUCAUAUUAAGAAGGUACUUUAGAAUACAUUUGGUAACAGAUCGACCGUUUGCCCACUAUUUUAUUGAUAUCAUUGCCACUUCAACAAUUAAUUGGUUAUGUUUAUUAUUUAAUUGACACAUGUUAGUUUGAGCAUGUUACAACUGUUUAAAACAAAUUUUGAUAGAACUCAAAAAUUUUAAUGAGUUUAUCAGUGUCUAGAUAUAACUGUAAACUUUCGGAACUGACUAGACAAUAUGCAUAAGUCAGCUAUUUUGCCAUAAUAUAAGUUUAUGCCACGUAAAUGAUUAUUAUUUAGGGAAAUUGGGCUGUAUAACCUUCAAACAAAUUAUAAUUCAUUACAUAGCUAAAACCCCUAACUUUCAUCUAUAGUACAUAUAUUUUAUGUAAUAAUGCUAUAUUACCCUUCAAUUCAACCUGUGUGACCUGCUGAGAGUUAUUUAUCAAAAGAAAUAUUAAAUAAAUAAUUUAAUAAAUUGUGGUUAUCAUUGUUCCACAUCUCUUUCUCUUCUUCUUCCUCUUCUCCUCCAAUCUCUGUUUUUUUUAUACAUACGAAUACAAACCACUAGACUAAGAAAUAAUAUGGAUUUUGGGCUUGUGGAAUUGAGUUUGGAGGAGAAGAUGGCACCGUAGACAACAACGAGGUGACAUCACAAUUUCUUUUUUUUUUUAGUUUUUUUCAAUGUUGUUCAUCUUGAUUUUUUUCAUUGUUAUUUAAAUUGUUAUAGUAUGCUGUAUUGAUAUGGUAUGAUGAAGAAUAAUUACUCUGGACUAGUGAAUGUGUGUAUCACCAUGUCUGUAAAAAGAGGAAGAUGUGAAGAAGAUGAANNNNNNNNNNNNNNNNNNNNNNNNNNNNNNNNNNNNNNNNNNNNNNNNNNNNNNNNNNNNNNNNNNNNNNNNNNNNNNNNNNNNNNNNNNNNNNNNNNNNNNNNNNNNNNNNNNNNNNNNNNNNNNNNNNNNNNNNNNNNNNNNNNNNNNNNNNNNNNNNNNNNNNNNNNNNNNNNNNNNNNNNNNNNNNNNNNNNNNNNNNNNNNNNNNNNNNNNNNNNNNNNNNNNNNNNNNNNNNNNNNNNNNNNNNNNNNNNNNNNNNNNNNNNNNNNNNNNNNNNNNNNNNNNNNNNNNNNNNNNNNNNNNNNNNNNNNNNNNNNNNNNNNNNNNNNNNNNNNNNNNNNNNNNNNNNNNNNNNNNNNNNNNNNNNNNNNNNNNNNNNNNNNNNNNNNNNNNNNNNNNNNNNNNNNNNNNNNNNNNNNNNNNNNNNNNNNNNNNNNNNNNNNNNNNNNNNNNNNNNNNNNNNNNNNNNNNNNNNNNNNNNNNNNNNNNNNNNNNNNNNNNNNNNNNNNNNNNNNNNNNNNNNNNNNNNNNNNNNNNNNNNNNNNNNNNNNNNNNNNNNNNNNNNNNNNNNNNNNNNNNNNNNNNNNNNNNNNNNNNNNNNNNNNNNNNNNNNNNNNNNNNNNNNNNNNNNNNNNNNNNNNNNNNNNNNNNNNNNNNNNNNNNNNNNNNNNNNNNNNNNNNNNNNNNNNNNNNNNNNNNNNNNNNNNNNNNNNNNNNNNNNNNNNNNNNNNNNNNNNNNNNNNNNNNNNNNNNNNNNNNNNNNNNNNNNNNNNNNNNNNNNNNNNNNNNNNNNNNNNNNNNNNNNNNNNNNNNNNNNNNNNNNNNNNNNNNNNNNNNNNNNNNNNNNNNNNNNNNNNNNNNNNNNNNNNNNNNNNNNNNNNNNNNNNNNNNNNNNNNNNNNNNNNNNNNNNNNNNNNNNNNNNNNNNNNNNNNNNNNNNNNNNNNNNNNNNNNNNNNNNNNNNNNNNNNNNNNNNNNNNNNNNNNNNNNNNNNNNNNNNNNNNNNNNNNNNNNNNNNNNNNNNNNNNNNNNNNNNNNNNNNNNNNNNNNNNNNNNNNNNNNNNNNNNNNNNNNNNNNNNNNNNNNNNNNNNNNNNNNNNNNNNNNNNNNNNNNNNNNNNNNNNNNNNNNNNNNNNNNNNNNNNNNNNNNNNNNNNNNNNNNNNNNNNNNNNNNNNNNNNNNNNNNNNNNNNNNNNNNNNNNNNNNNNNNNNNNNNNNNNNNNNNNNNNNNNNNNNNNNNNNNNNNNCCACAAUUACUUACACAUAUAUAAUAUAUACAUACAUAUAUAUAUAUAUAUAUAUAUAUAUUUUUUUUUUUUCUUAGAAUUCCAAAACUAAAUUAUCUCGUUGGCCAUGCUCUUAACCAGCCAUGCUCUUAACCAGCCAUAAAAUAAGUUUGUGCCAGGCAAAGUGAAAAAUCUAUAGUUAAUCACCACCCACCUCCUAAAAAAUCUUUACUCUUUGAUUGUUAUAGAAUUUUUGGAAGAGAAAUAUUUUCUCACCUCUAUAAUAACCAUCUUGACAAUUGUAUAUGUAAAGAUCAUCUACGCACCAAUUUCAUCAUAGAUAUAAUGGAUGAUGAUACUGGUAAAUGAUAUGUAUGCAGAUUUGAAACUCAACACAAAAUAUUUAUAAUUUUUUAAAAUAGUUUUAUUUUAGAUCUAAAUUUAAGAGAGAAAAACUUAGUAAAUUUAGAAUAUGAUAUAUUAAAAACUGAAAUAAACACUUUUUAUAUUUUUAGAUUGAAUUAAAUAUAUUGUUUCUUUUCUUAACUACUUUGAAUUUAUUUACGAAUCAUUUUUAUAAACCAACUUUAUAUAAAAUAAAUAUAAUAAACAUUCAAUCAAUCAGUAUCAAAGACUUACAUGAACUGAAGUUUUGUUUUUCUCAAGUCAAAGUACUAAAGUAUUAUUUGAGUCGUGUUUGAACUACUCCGGUCGAUAAGGUCUGGCUGAUUAUUUAGAAAUCAGGUGACGUGACUGAAAUGGGAAUCCGAGAACUACUUUUGUGAUAUUUGUAAACCAAUUUGUAAUGUUUAUUUCAUCAUUUUAUGACUAUUUUUUACUUUUGUUUUUAGCUUUCCAGAAAGUCGGCAGUAAAGUUUCAUUAAAAAUACUGUCCUUUUAUAACAUUAAUACCGUCCAUUUUGCUCAGAAUAUUUUAAUAACAAUCGAAUUUUCUGCAUUUACGGUAAUUUUUUUGUCUCUUAAAAUACAUUUUAUAACUAUAUAUUUCAUCGGUUAGAAAUUUUAAUUUUAUUGGGUUUCGACUAUCAGAACAUGAUUUUCUUAGGAAAAACUGACAUGCAUAAAGCAUAAUUCAAAGUUGUUUUUCCUUGCUUAAAAGCAUUGUAGGUUGAUAAUUUGGAUCUUUUAUGGGGCCAACUUUAUGCCAAACUCUUUCACGUGUCUUUGAAUUUGAUAAACUAUAUCGUAUUGUAAAUAAUAUAAACCUUUCAAGUACGUAUAUUAUAAGAGCUACUGAAAUAGACAUUGCACUAAAGAAAAGUAAGAAUAAAAUUCGUUUGGUCAAUUACUUUACCAUGUAUUGCAAUUCCAAAACUACUUUAUAUUGCUUUAGCGAUAUCGCCAAAUCUCUUUCUGGUAAAUAUAUUCUGACGUGAGAUUGGUAUCCCACACCUAAAUUUAUCUUCUUGAUUUGUGUCUUCGAUUCAGAGGAUAAUUAAUGGUUUUAUCAUCUUAUGUCUCCAAAAUAAACACAACCACUUUUCAAAAAAGAUCACCACCACUUGUAAUUAGUCAAGAGUUAUUACCGUUGAGUCGUUGACAAAUACAUAGUGUUUAUAUAUAUAUUAUCAGUUCUUUUGGUAAAUAAUGCUGAAAAUCAUAAAUCUUAACUAUAGUUUCAAUAUCUCAUUUAAUACCAAUAGCCAAAAAAAUAUUCAUCAUUUUAUAUUUUUUUUGGUCAAAAAUAUUCAUCAUUUAAUAAUCAAAGAAACUCUUGUGGCUUUGAUCUAUGUAGACUUAAUAUACCUACAGCUCUAAAAAUGACAAAUACAGAUAACUAGAGAUCAAUCAACUUCAAAGACUUAGGGGUUAGAUGAUUGCAGGAGAAUUAGGGGAUAUAUUCAAUUUAAAAUUUGAGGUGAUUUGAUUUUUAAUGAAGUUUUACAUGAUUUUAAGGAAUUGCAAAGAAUAAAAUGAUUUUUGUUAAAACACUCUAGAAUAUCACCUAAAACCAUGAGAUUUGAGUUUUAAUUUUUUUAACUAAGAAACUCCACCCAAACACUCUAAAAUCACUUGAAAGCUUGAAAACUCCACAACUUAAAAUAUUUUCAAUAACAGUGAAUUUCAGAGUACUUUAUAAAAUAUCAAGUUCAGUAACACUGGAUUUUAAAUGAGUUUAAAAUUCAUGUUUCAAUAACAGUGGAUUUGUCAUUUUGACACAAAUUACCUAAAACUUUCGAUUGAAUACACCCCCUUAGAGAAUUUGGUGUGAUUUUUGUUAAAACACUCUAGAAUCUCAUCUAAAACAGUGAGAUUUGAAUUUUUAUUUUUAUAACUAAAGAACUCCCCUCAAACACUCUAGAAACAAUUAAAGUAUUCUAAAAUCUCCAACUUAAAUUUUGUUUAAUAACAGUGGAUUUCAGAGUGUUUUAUGAAAUGAUAAGUUCAAUAACAUUGGAUUUUAAAGUAUUUUUUAAAAUCCACGUAUGAAUAACAACAGAUUUGUCAUUAAAAUCCACGUUUGAAUAACAACGGAUUUAUCAUUUUAAUACAAAUCACUUAAAACUCUUAGAUAUAUAUCUCCGUUAAUGUCUUAUGAAGAUUUUCAUGACGUGGAACAUUAUUAAAUGACUAACUGGAAAGGACAUCGCUAUCCGAUAACUAAGUAUGACAAACAUUCUAUCAAUCAUUAAUAUAUGUUUUUCCCUGUAACCAUCGUUUAAGCCGUCCAAGUUAUACCAGUUUUUCAACUGAUUUAUGACAUAUUUUUUUUGUUUUUAGUACGUUGAAUUGUUUAUAUGGCCAGAGUAGUUUCCGUAUACAAGAAAAUACUUCAAGAGUAGUUGUUGCACAAACAACAAGAAGCUGAAGAGAGCCUAUAUUCAGUUGUCCACUUUAUCCUCACGAUUACAUGCAGCGGCUAGUUGUUGGCUUUUCUCUUUUUUUUGUUAAAGAAGUUGUUGGCUUUUCUCACACACAAAAAAAAGAAAGGAAGAAGUAUAUAUAUUGUGUGCACUGGUGUAUUAAUGAAGAUCGUGCCCGUCAAGAGGGAGCGACGCUGUUGGAACUCUCUUUUUGACAAAAAUAUAAAAUUUGACUUUUUUUUUUUUUACUUUUUCAGUGGCUAUUCUGGUCAAACUGGUGGUCGUUAUAGCAAGGAUUAAUCGUUCGUUAGAAAACUUGCAAUGACAAAUGAAACAAUGAAGUGGACAAGUUGAAAAGAUUUUAAGACAAAGACAAGUCAUUUCUCUUUGGCUCACAUAGGGUGGAACAACAAAACUUGAGUUGCAUAAAUAUGUUCACCCGCGUAACAUUGGUCCAAGGCUUCAAGGAGAGAGAGCUUGCAUGUGUCGCCGCCACCGUCUGACCGGCUCGCGUGGGUGUGGGCUUUGGUGAAAGGUCGAAGGCUCAUUAAGAUCAUUUUAUGGCCAAAUUAAUUUCAGUUUUUGGCAUAUUUCAGAACUAAAAACAGCAUCAUAUUUAAACGAUGCGUAGUUCCUCUUAAAAUAACACGAAGUCUAUCUCUCGUCAAGAUAUUUAAACGGGAAACGAGAGUGAGAGAAACUUGAUGAAAAAAUUUCGUAACAUCCACUUCCUAAGAUCUCCGUGAAUCUCCGCUAAGGGGCUGAACAUUUUGCAACAAUUAACUGAAAGUCGUUUUUCGCCUUCUUUUUAAAAAUUAGUCUAUAUAUCCUCACUCUUCAUGGACACAUUUUCACAUCGAAAACCAUCAAAAAUCUCCCAUAAUAAGUUUACGAGUGUUUCAUAGUAUUUGUAGUUCGUAGAAACUGUUCACGAGCGUUGUGUGAAAGUUUAUCAUGAUUUUAUCAUGUGACUCUAAGUCGUUUAUGGCCUGUCGCACUACAAAGUCAAUAUAAAGAAUUAAGGAAAAAAUAUCAUAUCGACUUUGUGGUCUCAUUUGUGAAAACAUUUUUCAUUGUUUGUUUUCAUAUUAUCGGUUUUAUGUGUAAUUGUUUAUUUCAAUUUGGUUUUCUAACUCAUACAAAGAAUACUUGAAGGCUCUGUAUGAUAUAGUUGGAAGCAGUCAACGCGGGGAUGUUGCGCAUGUUCACCGAUAUGAUUGGAUUUGAGGAUUCCUUGGAUUAAAAAAUAUUGCAUAUUAAAUUGUGGUGCAACUGAAAAUAGUUGAUAACAGCCAAAAGGAAACAUAAAUCUUUACAGCAGUUUAUAGAGAAUGUUAUAUUCUGUGGAAGUAAUUUGAUUUGGUAGUCCGCGAUUUACAGGAUUGUACAUCCUUUUGACACAAACGUACUAGAAGUUCCAGAGUAAUGUUAAUAUUCAAGAAGAACCGUCUCUCAUAGUUUCAGUUCGAGUGUUGUAGAGAGUUAUCCUUCGUAAAUGUACACACUAUUAGUAUUGUGCAGAUAAAAUCGUUUCAUGGAUAUGUGUGUUGUGAAGAAAGAUGUGUUAUACAAUUAUUGUUCAUAAAACUGCAUUUUAAUCGUAUAUGUUGUGAGUAGUUGAUUUUGAUUAAUUGAUCAUCAAUUUCCAUACUCUUUGACAAAAAUAUUUGAUGAUGCAAUAAAUAAUUAAAUUAUUAUUUCAAUGAUAGUAAAUUUGAAUGUAUGUUUUAACAAUUUUAAAAUGCUAUCACUAAUUCUAUUUUUUAAGACAUCAACCAAUAUUGUAGUUAAUAACACCAUAGAAUUUGCUAAAUCCACAACUAAAAAUGAUAAUUUGCCAUUUUAACAUAAACAAUUAUAAAAACUUGAUUCAAUAUAAUCCCAGAAAAUAAAACUAUAAUGUAAAAACUCUUGUAUUAUUACAUCGUCUCCAAAUUGGCUAUACUUUUUUUGUCGGCAUAUUGGCUUAUACUUCUCUCCAACAGUCAACAUUAAUAAUAGACACAUGUUUUGUUAUAAUAUAAUAUCACUGUUUCGUUGAAAACAAAUCUCAACCGAAGGAAAUUUCAACAACGAGGGAUUUUGGUGACAUCACAUGUAUAAUUUUUCUGGACCGUCAGUUUUGCAAAUAAGAUUUUUUUUUCCUUUAAAUGUUGUCGACCCAAAAUAUCAUAAUUAAUAAUUGAUUUUGAUCCGUGCCUUAAUAAUUUUUCAGUGAAAACUUGUUAUACUCGCAUUUUCUCAUUAUCUAAAGUAGACGUAGGUAUAUAUAUAUAUAUAUAAUCCAUAACCCGAAGUCCGAACUAAACCCAAACCAAAAAUACGGUUCGUACCCGGUCCAAAAUAUAAAAUAUACCAGAAUGAAUCUUGUAUGGUGGUACAAAACAAAUCUGAAUUCGAAGUGUUAUUAGUCAAAUCCGAAUGGAUAACCCGAAAAAUCUGAAAAACCUAUCCUAAUGUCCCAAUUAAUCAAAAAUAUAAAUAUUCGAAACAUAAAUAUGUACUUCAAAUAUUUAUUUCUAUAUUUAUUUUGAAAUGAUAUAUAAAAAUAAGUAUUUAAAUUUUAAAUAAGAACUUCAAAUAUCUAAUUCUAUAUAAUAAGUAUUUAUUUUUUAUGUUUUGUUUUUAAAUUUUGAUUUAAAUUUGGAUGUAUCCGAACCAAAUCAAUAUAAUCUGAAUCCGAAUGAUAUAUAGCUACUUUAUGAGUUUUAGGAUGUUCUACAAAUCAGAACCAAAAUCAAUGUGUUAUAUUCGAGCCUGAUUUGUACUUACAAAUUUACCGGAAUGAGACUUAUGAUGUGAUAUAAAUUAGAAGAGAAAUUUAAAAUACUCAACCCAUAUCCCAAUAGAUACAUAAACCCCCAAGUCUAACUUGUGUUUUAUGUUUUCUUCAAUUAAUUUUAUAUUUAAUAAGUUCUAUUUAAUAAAUAUUUUACAUGUUUGGUGGAAUAACCCGUAGAACUAUACUUAAAAUAUCAAUAAUAACAUGUUCAGUCAUAUCAUUAAAUAUUAAAAGUAGAUAAAUAUAAUAUUUAUUUUAUUAAAUAUUAUAUAUAUAUAUAUAUAUAUAUCUAAUUUUAAUACUCUAUCGAUAAAAAUUAUAUUAUUAUGUAUUUGGUGAAGGGUUUAAAGAAUUUGUUUUCUUGCAUUUAAAUUAGAUUAGAAUUGAAUAUAUACGAAUUAGUAAGUAUAUAUAAUUCCGUUUAUAGUAAUUAAUAUAAUAUAAUUGAUUAGUUAAUUAAAUUUAGUGUUAAUAUAAUUUGAACUCAUUAUUUUUAAAACCAAUAAAUUAAUUUUUACUUCCUAAAUUUUAAGCUAGGGUGCAUAUUUAAUGAUAAUUAAAUUAACUAUAAAUAAAAAUAAUAGAAAAUCUUGUAAUGUUCAACCUUUGGGGGGUUAUUGGGAGAUGAAUUUGUAUCGAGUUUGUAAAAUUUUAAAAGUUGAUAGAUUUAACAAAGUUAUGUGGAUUGUGACAUUUUUUAUACAUUGACUAAUGAAAUUUGAUCAUAACUUUUUUAGAUUGGUAUAGAUUUUUCAUGAAUUUGUAUUACCUUUUUUCUAUCAUUCUUUUUGUAAAGUAAAUAUAUAAUAUUUUUUCUCAAUCAUAUAGCAUGAUUAUUUAUAUUUUCUUUCAAAUUAAAAAAUAAUAAUAAUAGUGAUACAUACAAAUUGGGCGAUUCUUUUAAAUAGUUUAUUUUAAGUUUUUGUCACAAAAAAAUGAACCAAAAGAGGUUUCAUUAAAAAUGCAAAAGACUAUUUGUAGAUAUAUAAAUAAUAAGAAUUAUAAUUUUUCUUUAAUUUCGAAUUAUAUAUUUUUAAAUUUAAACUUUUUACAAUUUUUUAAUACUUUUCGAAUUUUGUUUUUCAAUUUUUUGUCAAGUUUUCUUUUUAAAAUUCAAAAAUACUUUAUGAAAAUAUUUUUAUAAAAUAUUUUAAUAUUUAUAAAUAUAAUUGUAUAUUCAAAAAUGAUAAAACAAUGUAAAAUAAUUAUAUAUUCAAAAAUAAUAGUUUUGGACAUAUAAUUUGGACUUAAAUUGCAAUAGAUAUUUUUUAAGUACAACUAUUUUGUUUUGUUAGUAUGGAUUUUGAAAAUCACAUGGAUACAUAUGAUAUUUUGAACGUUGAGUCGUAUAACUAAAAAUGAAUAGAAUUCAUCUUCUAAUAACACUAAUUUUAGUUAUUGUUCUUCAAUCUCUCAUUUAUUGUUCGCAGAUGAUACUAUUCUUAGGAUUCUGAAGGAAUAUGAGGUGGUCUCGGGGCAACUGAUUAAUUUUCAGAAAUCUUCGAUUCAAUUUGGACAUAAGAUUGAGGAGUCCACUAGACAGGAAUUGAGAGACAUCCUUGGGAUACAAAAUUUAGGAGGGAUGGGAUCAUAUCUAGGUCUGCCAGAGAGUCUUGGGGGAUCCAAGAUACAAGUUUUUGGUUUUGCCAAGGACCGUUUGAAUAACAGGGUGAAUGGGUGGACGUUUAAGUUUUUUUCAAAAGGUGGAAAGGAAGUUAUCAUUAAAUCAGUAGUCACGGCUUUGCCUAACCAUGUGAUGUCUGUUUAUCGGGUACCAAAAGCAACGGUAAAGAAAUUGACGAGUGCGGUAUCAAAAUUUUGGUGGAGCCCAGGGGGAAAUACAAGGGGUAUGCACUGGAAGUCAUGGGACAAAGUAUGUACAAACAAAGACGAAGGAGGUCUAGGCUUUAAGGACAUAACGGAUUUCAAUACAGCUAUGCUUGGAAAGCAAUUGUGGAGGCUGAUAGAGAAGCCUUCAACUCUUUUUGCUAGAGUUUUUAAAGGACGGUACUAUAGGAAUGCCUCACCCCUAGAACCGAUCCGUUCAUACUCUUCGUCAUACGGUUGGAGGAGUAUUGUAUCUGCUAGAUCUCUGGUUAGCAAAGGACUAAUCAAAAGGGUGGGAACGGGAUCCUCUAUCUCUGUAUGGAGUGAUCCGUGGCUCCCAACCACUCGCCCGAGACCAGCAAACAAAAAUCAACAUGACACUUAUCAGGACCUCACAGUGGACUCUUUAAUAGAUCCAAUUUCACGAACUUGGAAGUCGCAAGUAAUCCGGGAUUUGGUGGAUCCCCAGGACGCUCAAAUUAUUGAAAGUAUUCCUUUGAGUAAGACUCAAUUGGUGGAUAGGAAUGGAUGGCAUUUCACAAAUAAUGGAAAAUAUUCGGUUAAAACAGGAUAUCAGCUGGAACGGGUCUAUCCGGACAAGGCAAAACCACCAGCUUUUUAUGGUCCCACAGUGGAUACUCUAAAAGCUUUCUGUUGGGAGGUGAGAUGUCCUCCGAAGCUUAAGCAUUUUUUAUGGCAAAUGGUAUCCGGAUGUAUAGCUGUUAAGAAGAAUCUGCAAGCAAGAGGAAUGAAGGGAGAUAUUUGUUGUAUUAGAUGUGGAGCUGAGGAGGAAUCAAUAAACCAUGUGUUUUUUGAGUGUCCUCCUGCCCGUCAAGUUUGGGCUUUAUCAAAGAUACCGUCUAACCCAGUCUACUUUCCCACAAGCUCACUAUUUACAAAUAUGGAUCAUCUUUUCUGGAGGGUACUUCCGAAGAUGGAAGAUCAUCAUUUUGCGUGGAUACUAUGGUAUAUUUGGAAAGGAAGGAAUAAUAAGGUCUUUAGUAAUUUGGAUAUUGAUCCAAAAGAUACACUUACGCUUGCAGAAACUGAAUCAACACUUUGGGCUGAGGCCCAGGUGAUUAAGACUAAGCAGGCUCCACCACAGAAUGAGGUUUUGAAUCGGCAGCUGAGAGUUGGUCGUUGGUGUUUUAUAGAUGGUUCCUGGAAAGAUAAAGAACCUUAUUCAGGUCAAGGAUGAUAUAGCAUACUCGAGGGCUUUCAGGGAUUGAUGGGUGCAAGGAAUACUAGGGCAUGUCUUUCACCUCUUCAUGCAGAGAUGGAAGCUUUGAUAUGGGCAAUGGAAUGCAUGAGGAAUUUACAUCAGUUUCAGGUUACUUUUGCUACGGAUUGUUCUCAAUUGGUGAAGAUAGUUUCGGAACCAGAGGAAUGGCCGGCGUUUGAGAGUUACCUGCACGACAUAAAGCUACUGAAGACAUGUUUUACUAGCUCAACAAUCAUUCAUGUACCUCGGACGGAAAAUCAAAAGGCGGAUAGUCUAGCACGAUGUGCCAGAAAACAAUCGUCUUUCGUCGUUCACAUGGAUGCGGAGUUACCAGUUAGGUUCGCAGAGUCUAUAUGAGUCUGUUUGUUGAUGACAAAAAAAAAAAUAACACUAAUUUUAGUUAUAAUUAAAAAAUGAAUAAUAACUAAACUUUUUGAAUGACAAAAGAUUUGAAUGGAUUUUGAAAAUUUUUAAAUCAGUAACAAAGAAUUCUAUUAAGAUUUUUGAAAUCCAAGAACCAAUAACAAUGAAAUCUCAAAAUUUUCAAAAUUGAUAAGAAUUCACUUACCAAUAUAACUUUCUGGACUAUUAAAAUUUAUUAUCUUGCACGGACGUUACUUGCUUUACAAUUAUGGGUUCACUGGUUAACUGAAGAUUCACCACCACCACGAGUUUUGAUUUUUUAGGCAAAUAACCCCAGAUUCUGAGGCGUUACUGAAAGGAGCUGCCUCCCUAUGCCAUUUGUUGAAAAAUUCAAUGGUUAACUGAAGAUUCAUCACCACCACGAGUUUUGAUUUUUUAGGCAAAUAACCCCAGAUUCUGAGGCGUUACUGAAAGGAGCUGCCUCCCUAUGCCAUUUGUUGGAAAAUUCAAUAAAUGCCAUUAUGGUUUGUUUAUGUUUUAAGUAGGUCUUGAAUCUUUCCAGAAAUUAUGAAUUAAAAGAAAACCCUUGCUAUUUUGUGAGUACACCUAAUCCGUAGAGGAUACAAAGAAGUCAACCUUUCACAUAUAUGAAGUCUUUUGUUGAUCAUUAUAAAAAUAUGACUAGCCACUUGUUGAACGAUUUCAAAGACAUGUUGUUCAUUCGUUGAAAGAGUUUCAUUGAAGAAUUGGAACAACUUGUCUUUUCAAAGGUGUUAGAGCUGUUUGAAAAAUGAGAAGCCUCAUGGGAGUAUAUUUUCACUUUUUGAAUUUAAUUCGCUUACUUAUAAUUGUCUUAUUUAUUAAAAUUGUAGCAUAAUGUUGUUUCUAUAUAAAAAGUAUCUUCAGUUAGGGGGGAUCUAGAAAUAUUUUUAUAUUAUAUACACAACAUUGUUAUGGGUAUAACCUUAUAAAUUACAGUAAAUGUAUUUAUAAAUUAGUUAAAGUAUAUUAUGUUUUGAAAAUACUAUAGGUUCAUUCUUUGAAAAAAAUAUAUAUUAUAGGUGCAUAUGCAACUUUUUCUCUUUAUUAGCUUCACAACUCUUCCGUCCGACAUAUUUACAUAAAUUAUUUGUUUUCAAAGGUUGUUUGAUAGGUAUCUAGAAAUGGUAAAUAGUUAUUUUACUAGUCAAACAACUUGUAUAUGAACUGAUAUGGAAUCCAUUAUUAUAUAUAUAUAUAUAUAUAUAUAUCUCCGAAACAAAAUCCUAUAUAUACUUAUCGCUAAUGAAUCUGUAAAUUUUUAUUAUAAUAAAAAUACGCGUAACUUCAAACCCAAAAUAUUUAAGAGAUGUAAGAGAGUUUGAAGUAAUUGUAUUAAAUAAUAAACUAAAUAUUAUUAAUUAAACAUAAAUAAAAAAUUCAUGAUUAUUAAAUAUAUUAAAUUAAAAAUAUUUGGUUACUGAAAAUAUUUUAAUUUAAGAUUUUAAGAGGUGUUUACCGAUUUAAAAUUGUUUUGUUGGAGUUUUAAUAUUUAAAAAAUUCAAAUAUCAUAGCUGUGGUAGUUUAUCUAAAAUCAUAAUAAGUUUUACAGUUCAUCUAAAAUCAUUUAAAAAUUCAUUAAAACUUAAAUCAUUUAAAAUUUUAAAUAGAAUACAUCCAUUAAUUCUCUUUUCACAUUUUGAAGUAAAUGAGUCAAUAUUGUUUUCUAGAGAAGCACCUGAAAAUAAAUAUAACCUAAAAGCAAAAAGACGAUGGUUCUAUAUAACGAUCUAACAUUUGCUUUUGUCAAAGUGCAUUUGUAUUAUUUGACCUGAUCGAGGUCGAGGAACCUGUUCCAGUUACCAACUUACCAAGAAAACAGAAUUGAUUAGUAGUGAUAAAUAUUAUAUAAGGCAACCUUGUUUAGUCAAAAAUAAAUAAGGCAACCUUGUUGUAAAAUAAUCGUUAUUUUAACUUCUAACUUAGUUUCACUAAAUCAAACUUUUUCAUUUUUCAUUUAUUCUGGUUGAACAAUCUAAACUAAUUUUGGAAACCAAAUGAAAUUAUAAUUCUUUAUGGUAAACUAAUUAUAACUACGCUCAUAGCUUCAUGAUACGCGUCUUUUUAAUACAAUUUCUUAUCAAUAAGUAAUAUUUCUAAAUUGUCGAAACAAAAAAUCUACUUUCUAAAGUUUUUUAGAAUAAAAGAGAAAAUUGAACAUCUUUGGAAGGGAAAGAUCUCCGUUUGGAAUGAUCCCUGAAUUUCUGCUCCUCGCCCAAGAUAAGCAAUACCAAAAACUCAGUCACUUUUGUUGGAUCAAUCUCUUAUGGUAGAGAAUCUUAUUGAUCCGAUUGAUCGCUCUUGGAAAUAGAUCUGCUCAAUGAUCUUUUCCAUCAUGAUGAUGUGAAGAUCAUUCAUGGAUUGGCAGUUAGUAGGAGACAACGGCUGGUAGAUGUUUACUGAAUCUGGGAGGUACAUAGUUAAAUCGGGAUUCCGAACAGAAUCUUUAUAUCCAGAUAAGGGUCCAAGGAUUCAAUUUAUGGGCUGAAUGUUAAACCCCUAUUAGCUUUCUCAUGGAAACUUAGGUGCUCUCCGAAACUUAAACAUUUUGUUUGGCAAGUAUUAUCAGAAAUCCUACCGGUAGCAAAGGUGCUUAGGACGCGUGGCAUAGAUUGUGAUCCACGAUGUAGUUUAAGUGGAGCGGAGGAAGAAUCUAUAAAUCAUGUCCUCUUUGAAUGUCCACCAGCAUUAUAAACUUGGGCUUUAUCUAGGAUCUUUUCUCCUCCCGGAAUUUUUCCAUCUUCUUCGGUGUUCACUAAUUUAGAUCACUUGUUCUGGAGAGUUCCGAAAGAAAUCGACUCUGAUUGUUUUCCAUGGAUUAUGUGGUAUAUCUGAAAAAAUAUAAAUGAAAAUUUUUAUCAGAAUUGGAAUGAAAAUCCUCAGGAAAUAUUGCGUAAAGCAGAAAUUGAAGGAACACUUUGGAUUGAAGCGUAAUUGUUGGACUAACAACACAAGUAUUUACAGCCAGAAACGAAUGUGCAAUUUAUGGGUAACCGAAUUUGCUACAUUGAUGGGGUAUGGAGGGAGCAGGAUGCUUUCACUGGACAGGGUUGGUACUGUCGAGAGAGAAGCUCAGAUGAUGUCAUGAUGGGGGCAAUGAAUUUAAGACGAAGUCUAUCUCCUUUACAUGCGGAAUGUGAAUCAUUGAUCUGGGUGAUGGAGUGUAUGAAGACCCUGUAGUUUUCAGAUGUAGUAUUGCGACAGAUUAUUCUAACUGGUGAAGAUGGUGUCGUCACCUGAAGAAUAGCCAGAUUUUGCUACGCACAUGGAGGAGUUUUAACGCAGUAAGAUUUUUUUUUUCUAAUUUCAAGAUCCGAUAUAUUCCAAAAGCACAAAAUACAAUGACGGACAAGCUUGCACGUGGUAUGAAGAGUUCUUCUUCAGCUAUGUUAUAUGUAGAUUCUUUACCUUCGAUUUGGCUAUUCAAUUCGGCGGUUUCUUUGUUCAGUAGCUUUUGUUGUCAAAAAAAAAAAAAACUAGUUACAAGUUAGUUCUUUAAAGUGUUUUCGUCGAAAAAAUAUUAUUAUUAAAUUAAACAUUAUUAUUUAUAAAUCAUAAACAUUUGUUUCUUCUAUAACUCAACACUGGUAAGCUCAAAGUCUCAAAAGGUACUAUUAUCAUACAGAAAAAAUCGUGCAAAUGUUUUUCUGUAAAUUAAUUUAUAUUUUAAAAAACAAUCGAAUAAUCAUUAUAGAAUCUGAACAUUACAAUCCUCCCUCUAUAGGUGGGCUCAUAUCUAGUCUGAAGCAAUCACACAUCCCAAGCCGCAUUAAAAAGAAAACAUUUAAAUCAUUUAUAAGAAAAUAAAAGUUGAAAUUCAACACGUAUUUACGUAUACGUCUCGUUGGCAUAUAUGCUAGAUCACACUAUAUAUAUGCAUUCAUAUACAGGUAUGCCUAUAUAUAUGAUAUUAUGUAAACACAUAUCUAUUGACUACAAUUAGACUUCUUCGUUUACUCUCUCUCUCUCUCUCUGACUUACACAUUUACUUAUCUUCUUCUCUCUGUCAACCUCCUUUGCUCUCUUCUCUCACUAUGAAGAGUUUCAACACCGAUCAACACGGUCACUCCGCGGCGGAAUCCGGCGACGUCUACGCCAUGUCCGAUCCAACAAAGAACGUUGAUGACGAUGGCCGAGAGAAGAGGACGGGGACGUGGCUUACGGCGAGUGCGCAUAUUAUCACGGCGGUAAUAGGCUCAGGAGUGUUGUCGUUGGCAUGGGCCAUAGCUCAGCUUGGUUGGAUAGCAGGGACUUUGAUUCUGAUCAUUUUCUCGUUUAUCACGUACUUCACUUCUACGAUGCUCGCUGAUUGCUACCGUGCGCCGGAUCCCCUCACCGGAAAACGAAACUACACUUACAUGGACGUUGUUCGAUCUUACCUCGGUAUGGUUUUUUCUUUGUUUUUUUUUUAACUUUUUACUGUAAAGAAGAUUGAAAAAUAGACACUUUUUAGACCAACCCUUUUUUGAAAAGGGUUCUAUACCAAAAAUUCAAUUUUGUUAAGUAAUUUUUAAGGCAUGGUUGGUUCCUUUUCCAAAAAAAAAGAGAGAGGAUAACAUAAGGUUCUCUUUCAUUAAAAUAAUAUACUGAUUUUGUCUGGUAUUUAGUUAGGCUGAUCCUUGUCUGGAAAACUAUUGUGGUCAGAAUAGGAAAAUAAUUAUUAGUAUUAAAAAUUUAUACUAAUAUUAAUUAAAAAUGACAAAAUAUAUAUUAGUAAUAAAAACAUAUAAUAUAAUUUAUAAGCGACAGUAACUUUUAGGUCAAUUUGAAAUAAAACAAAACUGGUUAUGUAAUGAGUUUAUAUAGAACAAUGAUGGUGGUUUAUAAAAUAGUUGAUGUUACGAACUAUAAGAUCAAUCAUAAGAAAUCAUCAUUGAUAUCUUUUGAAACAAUCGAAAAGCUUAUGCAUCCGAUGAGUUGUGGUUAGGAAUGUAGAUAAAGUAAUGGAUUUAUAGAUUUUCUAACAUUUCCUGCCAAUUUGGUUUUACAGAAGAAAAAAAAUCUAUCGGGCAUAUAAAUUACUGUUGCGUAUAAAUUGAUUUUUUUUGUAGACGCUUAUAAAUUGAUAUAUAUCCUUUUAAAUAUUUAAAUUUAACUGAAUAUAAAAACAGUGGUAACCGUUCUUUUAAUUUUCUAGUUAUAAAAAAUGUUGUUGAAAUAAUUAAAGGCUUGGUUAUUAUUUAUACAUGGAUUAUAUUCGUAAGCAAUUUAAAGUUUGUUGUCUCUAGUUUAAUAAACGAUGAUUUUUUACGAAUUCUUUUUAUUAAGUAAAAACACUGAGUUAUUGACAAAAAAAAAGAGUAAAACAACUGAGUUCAAUGUAAAGUGUGGUAACCGUCCUUUUAAUUUUCUAAUCAUAAACUAUGGUUGUUGAAAAAUUAAUUAGACUUCGCUAUUAUUUUCAUAAGGAUUACAUACUUCAAAUAAUUUAGAGUAUGUUGUCUAGUUCAAUAAACAAUGAGGUUUUACUUCAAAUCAUUUUAAGUAAAACAUUGAACUGAACGCAAAAGUGUGGUAACCGUCCUUUAAUUUCCAACUAUACAACGGUUGUUGAAAUAAUUAAUUAGGCUGAAAUUUUUCUUAAAUAACUCACGGUUUUGUACUGUUUAUAAGAUCCAAAACUGUGCAACCCGAGGAAAACAGAAAUUAAAUAAUAGUUUGACAUAUGAGGCAAAGGGUUUUGGUAGUAUUAGCAUUAUUGUUGGUAUUUGAUGUUGAUGGAGUAUUAUAUAUACUAGUAUAGUUCCGUGGAGUGUUUUAUGUUUGAUGUAUGAAACAGAAGAUUAAUUAAUAGCUUAAAAACAAAUGUAAUAAAUAAUCAUAGACUGAAAUAAUACAUUGGAAUUAUUGAAAAUUGACAGGUGGUAGGAAAGUGCAGCUUUGUGGAGUGGCACAGUAUGGGAAUCUGAUAGGAAUCACUGUUGGGUACACCAUCACUGCUUCUAUUAGUUUGGUGUAAGUCAACUAUGUGUGAAUAUGUGAUUUUACUUUAUGACCGUUACCAAAUGUACAGUUUAGUUAUCUACCAUAUUGAUGUGAUCAGUAUGGUUUCUUGCGCAGAGCGAUCGGGAAAGCGAACUGUUACCACAAUAAAGGGCACCAUGCAGAUUGUACAAUAUCAAACUAUCCAUAUAUGGCGGCCUUCGGGAUCAUUCAAAUCCUUCUUAGCCAGAUCCCCAACUUUCACAAGCUCUCUUUUCUCUCCCUUAUGGCUGCGGUUAUGUCUUUCGCUUACGCAAGUAUUGGGAUUGGCCUUGCCAUCGCGACGGUCGCAGGUACAUAUACAAAUCUUUGAAGAUUUAAUUAGUUGCAAAACAACAACUACUAACAAUUAUUGGUCAUCAAGUUGUAGUUUUCAAAGUACCUAUAUCAAUAAUUGUAACAAGAUAGAUAAUACAAUAAAGUAACGGUUGAUAUGUUACGAUAUGAAAAGGUGGGAAAGUGGGUAAGACGAAUAUGACGGGAACGGUGGUAGGAGUUGAUGUAACUGCGGCUCAGAAGAUAUGGAGAUCGUUUCAAGCGGUUGGAGACAUAGCGUUUGCAUAUGCUUACGCCACGGUUCUCAUUGAGAUUCAGGCAAGUUAACCAUCAAUCAAUUUUACUAUUGAGUCUUGUUUGCUUUGAAUAUGAACCUCUUAAUAGAAUUGUGGUUUGAAAUUAUUGACAAUGACAAUCAAUUCUCUAUGGACCACUUUUACUACAAAGGGUAAAAAGAAGAGAAUCUGUCUUUUAGCUUAAAGGUAUAACAUGUGCUUAUUAGUGACAAGAUGUCACAUUCAAAGACAGCAAACAAUGAUAUCAAUGGACUUUAGCUUAAUGAGUUGACAAUAUAGUUAAAAUUUUGUUGUCUCUUAAUGAUAUUAGCGUUCACCUUUCUAGUGUACAUGCAUUUAGUUCAAUAGAGUGUAUAUGUCGACUAGAAAGUGACGGCUUAAUAAGAUUUAAGUUAAACACAUGAGACAAAACUGGAUUUGCACACACUAACCGGUGAAAAUUUGAUACUUUUUGCAGGACACAUUGAGAUCUAGCCCCGCAGAGAACAAAGCUAUGAAAAGAGCAAGUUUUGUGGGAGUAUCAACCACCACUUUCUUCUACAUCUUAUGUGGUUGUCUUGGAUAUGCUGCAUUUGGAAACAAAGCCCCUGGUGAUUUCCUCACAGAUUUCGGAUUCUACGAGCCAUUUUGGCUCAUUGACUUUGCAAACGCUUGCAUUGCUUUCCAUCUCAUUGGUGCCUAUCAGGUAAAACCAAAUCCAAAAGGAGAAAAAGAUUGUUUUCUUUUUGCACUUUCUCGCAGUUUAGCUAAUGAAAAAGAAACAUACUUCUUGCAGGUGUUCGCGCAGCCCAUAUUCCAGUUUGUUGAGAAGAAAUGCAAUAGAAACUGGCCUGACAACAAGUUCAUCACAUCUGAAUAUUCAGUAAACAUACCAUUCCUUGGAAAAUUCAACAUCAACCUCUUCAGACUAGUGUGGAGGACAGCUUAUGUGGUUAUAACAACUUUAGUAGCUAUGAUAUUCCCUUUCUUCAACGCCAUCUUGGGUCUUAUCGGAGCAGCUUCCUUCUGGCCUUUAACUGUUUAUUUCCCCGUGGAGAUGCACAUAGCACAAACUAAGGUUAAGAAAUACUCUCCUAGAUGGAUUGGGCUGAAAAUGUUGUGCUGGGUUUGCUUGAUCGUCUCCCUGUUAGCUGCUGCUGGAUCCAUCGCUGGACUGAUAAGUAGUGUGAAGACAUACAAGCCCUUCCGGACUAUCCAUGAGUGAGUUUGAGAUCCAUGCAUGAGAGUGAAAAAAUGUAACAGUUUGGUAUUUUCUUUGUAACUGUUUGGUGUCUAAAAUCCAAAUGAAAAUAUUGUAUUGCUUAAAAAGCUACAUGAAUGUCUAUGUAUCAUCCACAACUUUCAGUGUAAUACAUAUGACCCAAUAAUAGCUUUUUCAAAUUUGAUUGAUCAUGUAUAAACCAUACGAACAUAGCCCAUGUCCGAAGAGAGACAAUGAAUCUCAUGUACUUGCAGAAUCCAUUUGUUUCGUUUCUUCUUCUCUUAAGCCCUCUCCCCCUUGAUUCUCUGGAACGUAAGCUUUCGGAUCAAAAUCUCAAUUCUUUUCUGAUCUCUCUCAACGCCACAGUUCAUGGACGGAACCUGUGUGGUUUUCGUCACCGCUUUCGUCCGGUGGGUUUUCUUGGUACGAACCAUUUUGCGAUUUAUAAGAACGAAAUUUACUGUUUUUUAUUUGCGAGUUGAUAUCAUCAAGUUAUCUUUAAAUGUACUUGUACAUCAAAUUGCAUUAAUAUAUUAGGGAUCAAAUCCACAAACUAAUGUUACUCUAAAUUCUUCAAGAGAAAAGAAUUAAACAAUAUAAAAAAGUUUGUUUGUAGUUUUGAGUGCAAAAAAAAAAACAAAUGGACAGAAUGUAAAUAUGAUGUUUGAAAAAAGAGUCAUGGAAAAUUAUGAUUUGUCUUCAGUAAACGAACAUAAAUUUUGGUUGCCUGAUAGAGCACAGCAUUCUAUUGUUACUCUAAUCGAACCAGUUACAAUCUCAAGAUCUCAAGGAGACCUUGAGCCUAUACACAUAAGAUCUCUCUCAGUGUCCCACACAAUUUCCCAGUAAAUGGCCAACCUCUCUUAGACUCAUUAUUUAUAGUCUAAACGAUAUACAACUCAAGACUCAGCAAACUCUCUUGCCUAAAGUUGUUACUCCACCUCCACAUCAUCACUGCUUCUUGAUUGGAUCAGCUCAACCUUGGCACUUAUCAUUGCACCAUUAGAUGGACCUCAAACAUCUGGCAUAUGAAGCUAAAUAAAUUACCUAUCAUUUGUUAAAAAAGAGCUCAAUCUUAUUAGUGGAAAGUCUUUCAUCUAUUGGUAAAAGCGACGCAUCUACAUAAUUUUGUAUUUUAUAUGCUCAUAUAAUCCAAAAGGCGACAAAAUGGUCGCCAUCGAAUGAUCUCAAUGCGCACUCGGUCGAUUGACCAAUGUCUACAAAAAUGCGAUCUAUCCAUCAAGGGGUUGAGUGAAAAUGUACUUAAGAUUUUUAUGGGCCAUGAACACCAUAACUUUUUCCCCAUACAUGUAUGACCAUCAAAAUCUUGAGUGCAAACACAAAAGAUGCAAUUUCCAAGUCAUGAUAGGAUAAUUUUUCUCGUGCUUCCUCAACUGCGGAUAUUCAUAAGCAAUCAUGCGCUUUUCAAGUAUAAGAAACUCCAGGCUGGGGUUUAUAACUAAAAAUUUUCUUUGUGUGAAAGGAACCUAGUAAAAUGUGCUUAACAUGUAGUUUUCUCUAAACAUAAAUAGAUGUGUGUAUAUAGAUACUGACCAGCUGCAUCACCAUUCACCAAGCUUGAAGGUAUGUAUGACUAAAACCAUUAUCUUGUUUUUCGCUGUCUUGUUUUUCUCCCUGUCACUGGUUUUUAAUCAGCAAAUAAAUCACAUAAUUAGGGGGAAACUGAUGAGGUGAGUUUGUAUAUUUGAUGCUGAUGGAUAAUCGUUGAAGCAAAGAUGUAACAUUUUCAAUACGUAGGCACUAUCUUAAUGAAAAUUUCGGUACAUAUCACUUUUAAAAUACGUUUGCAUUUACUAGUUAUUGUACUAACUGGAUAGCCAUUAAUUUGAAUAAGAACAUUUUCAACUGACCUUCCACCUACGAUUAGAGUCCAAAAAAAUAGUUCGCUUUCAAUCCAAGCUAUCCAAGCUAUCCAAGCAUAAACAAUUAUAAAAUAAUUAUCAAGUUGGGAGCUCUUAACUAAUCUUCAAAGUUUUGUUCUUCCUCGCGAUGAUUACCUCUCGCCUUCUUUUUCCAUUUUGUUUCUCGCAAAUUGGGUAACAGAUUUUACUUCAAGUCUUCAACCAAACCAGCAACUAGGUCGGUCCUAAUAUUUUAGGGAUGUGAGGCCAAAAUAACUGUUUCUGCCUUUAGUUUUCUAAAGCUUAAAUUUUAUUAAUAAAUUGAAAUCUGAUACAAAACGGCGGUUUAAGGGAUACAACUCUAGUUUUUAUAUCAAAGGUUGCCACACAAUUGCAUAUUUUUUCCCAUUUUCUAACGAUGAAAAGCCUGUUAGGUAAUAACAAUAUCAAGUCUGUUCAUGUUUAUUUAUACUCGUUAAUUGUAUAUUGUACCAAAUAUCUAACUUAGAGCAUUUCCAAAAGAAACUCUAUAACUUCAAAUAUAUAAUUUUUUGCUCUUAAAAAAAGAACUUAAAAACUUUAAAUUUCGAGUUUUAAGGAAGUUUCACUACUCAAAACUCUAAAUUUGAAUUUUCAUAUGGUAUUUGCAUUUUAGUCAUUAUAAUUAAUUAUACAUCACAUUUAUGAUUCUUAAGUAUUUUUUCAUUUAUCAUUUUAAUCUUUAAAAUUUUUGUAUAUCAGAAAUAUUUCAAAUUUAAUUUUAUAACUUCAAAUUUUACACAUUAAAUUAAAAAAAAAUUAAAAUAAGAUUUAUAAUAUUGUAAGACUAUAAUUAAACAACAAAAAUGUUACAAAAGAAACUUAAUAAAAGACAUUUUAAAAAGAUGCAGAAAACACAAUUACUACGGAAAUUUAAAUAUUACAACAACAAUAGUAGUCUUGUAAAUUUUCUCCGAAACCUCUAGAAUAUUGUCCAAACAAGUUUUGUGUAACCAAACUAUUUUAUGGAAUAAUUUUGUAUUUUGCUUGUAUUAACAUUUAAUUAUUUAAUUAUAUUUUAUAUUUUAGUGUAAGAUUUUAUUAAUUAAUAUUACUGUAAUAUUUUUACAUAUGUGCUAGUUACUUAUAAAUUUUUAUGGAUUUAUAUUAAUUAUGAUAAAUAUAAAGACCACAGUGUAAAUUACAAAUAAUUUUGAAGUUAUAUUAAAAGUUUUGCUUUGGAGAAGAACACUUUGAAACUUCAAAAUAGAGUUUUGGAAAUUCUAAAAUACAGAGGUUUUUUUGGAAAUGCUCUUAUUUCGAUUAGGAUAUCGACAACAUUGAGACGAUAUCUUCGAUUAUGACAUUAGGCUAACCCGGAGUCCUUCUUUAAAGAAAAAAUAUUUAGUAAUAGCUAGUGUGGAGGACAGCUUAUGUGGUUAUAACAACUUUAGUAGCUAUGAUAUUCCCUUUCUUCAACGCCAUCUUGGGUCUUAUCGGAGCAGCUUCCUUCUGGCCUUUAACGGUUUAUUUCCCCGUGGAGAUGCACAUAGCACAAACUAAGGUUAAGAAAUACUCUUCUAGAUGGAUUGGGCUGAAAAUGUUGUGCUGGGUUUGCUUGAUCGUCUCCCUGUUAGCCGCUGCUGGAUCCAUCGCUGGACUGAUAAGUAGUGUCAAGACAUACAAGCCCUUCCGGACUAUCCAUGAGUGAGUUUGAGAUCCAUGCAUGAGAGUGAAAAAAUGUAACAGUUUGGUAUUUUCUUUGUAACUGUUUGGUGUCUAAAAUCCAAAUGAAAAUAUUGUAUUGCUUAAAAAGCUACAUGAAUGUCUAUGUAUCAUCCACAACUUUCAGUGUAAUACAUAUGACCCAAUAAUAGCUUUUUCAAAUUUGAUUGAUCAUGUAUAAACCAUACGAACAUAGCCCAUGUCCGAAGAGAGACAAUGAAUCUCAUGUACUUGCAGAAUCCAUUUGUUUCGUUUCUUCUUCUCUUAAGCCCUCUCCCCCUUGAUUCUCUGGAACGUAAGCUUUCGGAUCAAAAUCUCAAUUCUUUUCUGAUCUCUCUCAACGCCACAGUUCAUGGACGGAACCUGUGUGGUUUUCGUCACCGCUUUCGUCCGGUGGGUUUUCUUGGUACGAACCAUUUUGCGAUUUAUAAGAACGAAAUUUACUGUUUUUUAUUUGCGAGUUGAUAUCAUCAAGUUAUCUUUAAAUGUACUUGUACAUCAAAUUGCAUUAAUAUAUUAGGGAUCAAAUCCACAAACUAAUGUUACUCUAAAUUCUUCAAGAGAAAAGAAUUAAACAAUAUAAAAAAGUUUGUUUGUAGUUUUGAGUGCAAAAAAAAAAACAAAUGGACAGAAUGUAAAUAUGAUGUUUGAAAAAAGAGUCAUGGAAAAUUAUGAUUUGUCUUCAGUAAACGAACAUAAAUUUUGGUUGCCUGAUAGAGCACAGCAUUCUAUUGUUACUCUAAUCGAACCAGUUACAAUCUCAAGAUCUCAAGGAGACCUUGAGCCUAUACACAUAAGAUCUCUCUCAGUGUCCCACACAAUUUCCCAGUAAAUGGCCAACCUCUCUUAGACUCAUUAUUUAUAGUCUAAACGAUAUACAACUCAAGACUCAGCAAACUCUCUUGCCUAAAGUUGUUACUCCACCUCCACAUCAUCACUGCUUCUUGAUUGGAUCAGCUCAACCUUGGCACUUAUCAUUGCACCAUUAGAUGGACCUCAAACAUCUGGCAUAUGAAGCUAAAUAAAUUACCUAUCAUUUGUUAAAAAAGAGCUCAAUCUUAUUAGUGGAAAGUCUUUCAUCUAUUGGUAAAAGCGACGCAUCUACAUAAUUUUGUAUUUUAUAUGCUCAUAUAAUCCAAAAGGCGACAAAAUGGUCGCCAUCGAAUGAUCUCAAUGCGCACUCGGUCGAUUGACCAAUGUCUACAAAAAUGCGAUCUAUCCAUCAAGGGGUUGAGUGAAAAUGUACUUAAGAUUUUUAUGGGCCAUGAACACCAUAACUUUUUCCCCAUACAUGUAUGACCAUCAAAAUCUUGAGUGCAAACACAAAAGAUGCAAUUUCCAAGUCAUGAUAGGAUAAUUUUUCUCGUGCUUCCUCAACUGCGGAUAUUCAUAAGCAAUCAUGCGCUUUUCAAGUAUAAGAAACUCCAGGCUGGGGUUUAUAACUAAAAAUUUUCUUUGUGUGAAAGGAACCUAGUAAAAUGUGCUUAACAUGUAGUUUUCUCUAAACAUAAAUAGAUGUGUGUAUAUAGAUACUGACCAGCUGCAUCACCAUUCACCAAGCUUGAAGGUAUGUAUGACUAAAACCAUUAUCUUGUUUUUCGCUGUCUUGUUUUUCUCCCUGUCACUGGUUUUUAAUCAGCAAAUAAAUCACAUAAUUAGGGGGAAACUGAUGAGGUGAGUUUGUAUAUUUGAUGCUGAUGGAUAAUCGUUGAAGCAAAGAUGUAACAUUUUCAAUACGUAGGCACUAUCUUAAUGAAAAUUUCGGUACAUAUCACUUUUAAAAUACGUUUGCAUUUACUAGUUAUUGUACUAACUGGAUAGCCAUUAAUUUGAAUAAGAACAUUUUCAACUGACCUUCCACCUACGAUUAGAGUCCAAAAAAAUAGUUCGCUUUCAAUCCAAGCUAUCCAAGCUAUCCAAGCAUAAACAAUUAUAAAAUAAUUAUCAAGUUGGGAGCUCUUAACUAAUCUUCAAAGUUUUGUUCUUCCUCGCGAUGAUUACCUCUCGCCUUCUUUUUCCAUUUUGUUUCUCGCAAAUUGGGUAACAGAUUUUACUUCAAGUCUUCAACCAAACCAGCAACUAGGUCGGUCCUAAUAUUUUAGGGAUGUGAGGCCAAAAUAACUGUUUCUGCCUUUAGUUUUCUAAAGCUUAAAUUUUAUUAAUAAAUUGAAAUCUGAUACAAAACGGCGGUUUAAGGGAUACAACUCUAGUUUUUAUAUCAAAGGUUGCCACACAAUUGCAUAUUUUUUCCCAUUUUCUAACGAUGAAAAGCCUGUUAGGUAAUAACAAUAUCAAGUCUGUUCAUGUUUAUUUAUACUCGUUAAUUGUAUAUUGUACCAAAUAUCUAACUUAGAGCAUUUCCAAAAGAAACUCUAUAACUUCAAAUAUAUAAUUUUUUGCUCUUAAAAAAAGAACUUAAAAACUUUAAAUUUCGAGUUUUAAGGAAGUUUCACUACUCAAAACUCUAAAUUUGAAUUUUCAUAUGGUAUUUGCAUUUUAGUCAUUAUAAUUAAUUAUACAUCACAUUUAUGAUUCUUAAGUAUUUUUUCAUUUAUCAUUUUAAUCUUUAAAAUUUUUGUAUAUCAGAAAUAUUUCAAAUUUAAUUUUAUAACUUCAAAUUUUACACAUUAAAUUAAAAAAAAAUUAAAAUAAGAUUUAUAAUAUUGUAAGACUAUAAUUAAACAACAAAAAUGUUACAAAAGAAACUUAAUAAAAGACAUUUUAAAAAGAUGCAGAAAACACAAUUACUACGGAAAUUUAAAUAUUACAACAACAAUAGUAGUCUUGUAAAUUUUCUCCGAAACCUCUAGAAUAUUGUCCAAACAAGUUUUGUGUAACCAAACUAUUUUAUGGAAUAAUUUUGUAUUUUGCUUGUAUUAACAUUUAAUUAUUUAAUUAUAUUUUAUAUUUUAGUGUAAGAUUUUAUUAAUUAAUAUUACUGUAAUAUUUUUACAUAUGUGCUAGUUACUUAUAAAUUUUUAUGGAUUUAUAUUAAUUAUGAUAAAUAUAAAGACCACAGUGUAAAUUACAAAUAAUUUUGAAGUUAUAUUAAAAGUUUUGCUUUGGAGAAGAACACUUUGAAACUUCAAAAUAGAGUUUUGGAAAUUCUAAAAUACAGAGGUUUUUUUGGAAAUGCUCUUAUUUCGAUUAGGAUAUCGACAACAUUGAGACGAUAUCUUCGAUUAUGACAUUAGGCUAACCCGGAGUCCUUCUUUAAAGAAAAAAUAUUUAGUAAUAGUUUUUAAGAUUGCCACAAGUUUUUGAGGAACAACUUUUAUAAUCUUCUGGUUCUAGGACUAGAACAUGUUAAUUUUUAGAAAUUUUUUAAAUUAGUUUAUGUGUUGACGUUAAAGGUUUUCUUUUUAUGAAGAAUUUCGUAGCACAUAAAUUGAACUAUAAACCAAGCAGUAGUAGUUUAGUGGUAAUUUUUUAGAGUUUUGUCUGUAUCAAUAUCUGUUAUGGAUUCGAUUAUCCCUGUAAACUAAAUUUUUGCUAUUUGGUCAAUUUGAAUUUGGGUUUUGAUUCAUGUGGUUAACAUGGUGAGCUGUAACAAACGAUUGGUUCACGUUCUGGUAUUAAUUAAAAGAUAUUCCAAAUUUGGAUCAGACAAUAUGAUAUAGUUUCGAGUGUCUAUUAUGUAACACUAAGUGUGUUUUUUUCUUGGAGCCCACCGGAUUAGCCGAUAAAGUUUAUAAAAAAAAUCAAUUGAACUAUAUCUUGGAUUCGUUGAUAAAAAAAUGUUCUGCUUUUGUAGUUAGUUUUUUUUUGUCAACUUGUAGUUAGUUAAUAUACGUACUACUUAACAAACAAUAUUUACCUUCGUAAUUAGUUAUUUAUCUGGAGUUAAUGAUUUACAGAAAGAUUGAGAAACGAUUACUGCACAUAGAUAUGACUGGAAUGUGAUAAGCUAUCGAUAUUCCAUUUUUCUUCUUUAAUGCGUGUCGGCUAUGUCAAAAUGACAUCGCACUUAAGUAUAUUUUGAAAAUUUAAUGCUUUAACAUUGAUGUAUUUUUUUUUUUCAAAGAUAGUUAUGGUUGUUUUUCCCAUGAAUACCAAUUUUUUUAAAGAAAAUGUCUUAUAACUUAUAAUAGUUUUUCUUUUACAUAUAUUUUCAUCAAUUAUGAAAUACUUUCGAAUUUUAAUCAUCCUACAAAUGCAGUCUUAUUAACGCUGUAAUUAACGAAUCUAACUAUUAGCAAUUGGAAACUUGGAAACACGGCAACAACUUCAUAUAUAACUACAUAACAGUUUUCUAUUGUACUGUAACUCAGUAAGAACCUAUCAGACAAUUUUGCGUGCAUCCAUAUUAAAAGAUACAUAGUCUUAGUUACCAUAUUCGUUAACUACCAUUUGUGUUAUACUCAGUGGCGGAGCCAGAAAGUUUUUGUACCGGAGUCAAUUUUUUUUUUCCAAAUACAUAAUUUAUAACCACAGAAAAACUAUAAAUAUACUUUAUGAUCAUUCAUAUUUUAAAACUUGUUUAUCAUAAUUAUUUACUACAAUUUAAAAUAUUUUCGAAAAAACAAAUCAUAAAAAAUUUUAGAAACUCAUUACUGAUGCAAUAUUGUAUUAAUAUUAUUUUUUGACCAUUUUAAUUGGCUGAUAUUUUUUUGCCGAUUCAAAAAUUGAUCCAUUAGUUAACUGAUAAAUUUAAAUCAUAAUCAUUUUUAGUUUGGUAAAAUAAAGUGGAGAGUGUAUAACAAAAAAAAAAUUAUUUAAAAAUUAUUCGGUCAGAAAAAAAUAUCCAAAAAUUGCUUGGGGAACAUGAGAGUUCUUCCUUUUUGCGUUGUCCAGAAAAGAAGUACAAAUCUUUUUUUUCAAAUUCACUCAUUAAUUUCAAACUUUUUUUUAAUAAUAGUUAUUGGACCUAAUACAAUUUGGACUUUAUUGAAAUAUGUAACUAACACUUAAUAUAAAACCGUGUUUAUUGAAAUUUAAGCUAAAAUUAAUAUAAAUCAAAUGUUUAACAAAUAAAAUAAACAUAUUAUUUAUAUAAUUUUAAGUUAUCUUCAAUCUUUAAUGUUUUGUGAUUAUAUUUGUGAAAUUAUAUUUUUAGUGGGGUCAAAUUUUCAUUUUUAAUAGGGUCAAUAAAAAUUUUCUUAAAUAAAAAAAUAUUUUUUAAAAAAGUAUUGGGGUCAGCUGACCCCACACCUCCUUCACUGCCUCCGCCCCUGGUUAUACUCAAGUGUGAUAGUUUUGAAAUAUGUUUAAUAGUUAUAUAAAUAUAUUUAGUUAAACAAUAUAUAAUGAUAUUAAUAAAAAAUCAGUGUAUCAAAGAAUGAUAAUUGAGAUGUUAGACAUGACCAAAAUUAAUUGAUUUAUUUUAAAAUUGGAUAUUCUUGCAUACAAAUAUUAUAUAUGUUUUAGUUAUUUUUUUGAUAAAAAAUAAAUAACUAAAAAAUAUAAUUAAUGUUUUAUUUAAUUCCGACAGAUUUUAUGACAAUUUAUCUAAUUAUUGUUAAAUUAUAAAGUUAAACGUAUAUGAUUUGCCAUAGAAAUAUUUUCUAUGAUAGACCUAAAAAAGGUUUUUGUCAAAAAUAUAAACCUUAAAAAUAAAAAUGACCAAAGUAAACUUAAAAUUUUUAAAUAUACACUUAUAGGGUUAAUUAAUCUAGACAUUAGAGUUUAGAGUUAAGGGGUGGGGUUUAGUGUUUAAGGUAUAGUGUUUAUAAUUUAGGGUUUAGGGUUUAGAAUUCAAGAGGGGGGGUUUUGGGGAUAGAAUUUCAAAUUUUAAAAAUUAAAAAGAAAAUUUCAAAAUAAAAAAUGCUAUUUUGGUCAUUUUAGUUUUUAGAAUCUAUUUUUGUGUCAAAAACUUAAAAAUGUCUAUUUGAGAAAAUUACUAUGUGCCAUGCAUUUAUAAAAUUUGAUUUGAUAAAAUAAUAGUAAUAAAAAAUUCAAAAGUAAAACUUCUAGCAUUAAACAUCAUAUGUUAUGUUGGAAUUCCUAGUUAUGUUGGCAUUCUCAAAGUUAACACUGUUUUCGAAAUGGAUAUAAAGCUGUGUAAUACAAAAUGAUGUUUUAGAAGUAAGUAUUUUACUAAAAUUAUAAAAAUGUAUUUGAAAUGUAAAAAAAUAUACAAUGAAACUUCUAUAAAUUAAUAAUGUUGGGACUAUACCAAAACUAUAAUUUUUUAUUAAUUUAUAGAGAUAUUAAUUUAUCGAUAUACUAAUUGAACCAAAAAUUCAAUUUGAGAUUAUAAAAUUAUAUUAUUUUAUAGAGAUUUUUAGUGUCUAUUACUUUAUAAAAUAUUAAUUUAAAGAGGUUAUACUAUAUAAAAGAAAAUUUUAACAAAUAGUUAAGUGAGUCUCGAGUAUCCUCCUACUUUUGGGAUGAAAAGAUUAAUUUAAAUUAAUUAAUUUAUUACUUACUCUGUAAACUAAAUGGGAAGCUCCGCAUCCAUAUGAACGACGUCCUUGAUUCUUUGCACUGCGUGCUAUUUUGUCCGCCUUUAUAUUUUGGGUUCGUGGUACAUGAAUGAUCGCUGAGCCGAUGAAACUUUCUUUCAAGAUCUUGAUAUCUUCCAAAUAGCUUGCAAAAGAUGGUCAUUUUUCUGGUUCUAAAACCGUCUUCACCAAUUGAGAACAAUCCGUCGUAAAUAUGACAUGAGACUGACAUAGAUUCUUCAUAUAUCCUAUUGCUCAAGGUAGUGUUUCCAUCUUUGAAUGAAAAGGAAAGAGAUUAACCCUGACAUUUUUUGCCUCCAUCAAACCAUCAAAACAUGGUAAAAUACUAUAACAACUUUGUUCGAAAAAAAUAUUACUUAAUUAUAUAAAUAGUAACUUUUAAGAAUUUAAAUGAUUACACGAUUUUUUAUUUUGAACUAAAAAUAUUUCGUAAUGAUCUUGAUUUUUUAAAAGCUAAUGAUUGAUUUCUUGUGUACAUAAAAACAAGUUAAUAAUCACAGUUAAAAUAAAUUAUUAAAAUAAUAUAUAGAUAAUGUUUUUAUAUAUUUGUUUAAUUUUAAUGAUAUAUCAAAUAGUAGUUUGUUUUAAAAUAAUUUAUUUAUACCAUUUUUCUAAACAAAAAUCGAAUCCAUGAUUUUAUUAUGCUAGUAUUAUCGGUCAAAACCUAAAUAAGAAAUUCAGAACAUAACCUGAGUUACACAACGUAAGCCUAUGCAAAAAACAUUAAUUUUAAAUAGAAAGUUAAUGUCUACCGUAUUUUAAUAAUUUUGCAUUGUCUUUUCGUAGCACAACCUCCAAGGGACUCUACAUAAAAUCCCAGAAAACAGAGCGCUCAUCCGUUCUUCAAGUAUUUAAAAAAAAAAAGAAUUAAAUCUUCAAAGAGUUUGGUUGGGUAGCUGGUCCCGCUGCUUUUUCUUGGAGUUCACUUGAAUCCUGCGAUUAACUUGAUAGAUCCACCAAGUAGCACACAACAGUUUGAUCUCUGUGCUAUAUAAUGAAGAGAUUCACGGUCUGCUGCUUCUCAAAUCCAAUUCACAAGAACAAAAAUCACAAUCCAGACAAGGUUUGUCUUAUCCUUUACACACAAAGGUUGAAUAUUUGUCUCUUUUCAUCAAAGUUUUCUCUGACCGAUAUGCUAACUUGUUCUGGGUCUGAUUCUGUUCUGUUAGAAACUAAGAAACAGCAUGGAGAUUUCAAGAAACGACAAUGGAGAGGUUAGGGUUGCAAGGGUUUGAUUGUCUUUUCGAUAUGUUCCUUUCUUCAUAGACAAGUCUUGUUCACCUUUUUCACACACUUUCUUGAAAUCUAAGCUAAACGUUUUGAUUCGAUCUUUCUCUGUUUAAUCAUGUCUCUACCAGCAUGCAAAACAGAACAACAACAACAAUGUGACACCAGUCAUCGGUUCUGAUCGUACCAAUGUUAUUGUGAACCAUGACUUCUCUUUGGGGACGCAUUCAUGGCAUCCAAAUUGCUGCGAGGCAUCUAUUGUCACCGCAGAUUCUGGUAUCCCUCACGGUGUAUUAGACCCGUCAAAGUAUGGCAGCUAUGUAGUUGUCAACAACAGGAAAGAAACUUGGCAAGGCUUAGAGCAAGACAUAACAAGCAGAGUGAAACCUUGUUCUCUCUAUAAAGUUACUGCAACUGUUGCCGUCUCUGGUCCUGUUCAAGGAUUGGAAGAGGUCAUGGCCACUCUGAAGCUCGAAAACCAACAAUCACCAACAAACUAUCAGUUCAUCGCAAAGUAAAUGCCUUUUUUACAUUUAUAAUUUUGUCUAAUAUUCACAAAAGAAGAACAUAUUUGUUUAUUUCUGAAUUUUGCAGAACUUGUGUAUUCAAGGAGAAGUGGGUGAGACUAGAAGGAAUGUUCUCGUUACCAAGCUUACCGGAGAGAGUUGUUUUCUAUUUGGAAGGUCCUUCACCAGGGAUUGAUCUCUUAAUACAGUCUGUUACCAUUCACCUUGAAAGCGAUCCUGAGGUAUAUAACUAAUCAUAUCAAUGAUUAUUUAUUUGCCUUAACUCUUACCUAUUUGAUUUUCUUUGAAGCUGGAACGACGAGAGGCUGUUACAGUGGAAGAUGAGAAUCUUGUAGUGAAUCCAAACUUUGAAGAUGGACUAAAUAACUGGUCUGGGAGAAGCUGCAAGAUUGUGUGUCAUGACUCCAUGGCUGAUGGAAAGAUAGUUCCACAAUCUGGAAAAGCUUUCGCUGCAGCGACAGAACGCACACAGAGCUGGAACGGUAUUCAACAAGAGAUUACUGGAAAAGUUGAGAGGAAACGUGUAUAUGAAGCAACCGCGGUUGUUCGUAUAUAUGGAAACAAUGUGACAAGUGCUACUGUGCAAGCUACUCUAUGGGUCCAGAACCCAAAUCAACGUGACCAAUACAUUGGCAUUGCCAAGUUAGUCUUCUUCUAAUAGCUCAGAUCAAGAAUCAUUAUAAAUGCUAAAGUGGAUGUUUAUUUUUGUUCAUAGUGUGCAAGCAACAGACAAGGAAUGGAUACAAUGUAAAGGGAAGUUCCUCCUCAAUGGUUCUGCAUCACGGGUAGUAAUUUACAUCGAAGGUCCGCCUCCAGGAACCGAUAUUCUCCUGAACAGCUUAACCGUAAAGCACGCUGAGAAAAUUCCUCCUUCACCGCGCCCAGCCAUUGAGGUUAGUCCAGAGAUCCACAUCACAUUUUAACCACAGUUUAUAUGUGAAGAUGAUGUAGGUGAAGCUACAAUAGUGCAAAAUCUAGUUUAGCUUAUUAAUCAAUCAAAACUGAAUACAAUUUUAGACAUUAACAGUUAUUUAUAAAAAAUCCUAAAACCCUAAAAACACUAAAAUAAUAAUAAAUAUAAUAUAUUUAAUAAAAUAAUUAAUAAAGUAAACAAUAAAAUAUUUUAUAUAUCUGUCAGACACAAGUUCUACAUUCCUAAAGAACAAUUUUGUAUUUGAGACUACGGUUUUAUUUGUUGUAUUUUGUUAUAGAAUCCUGCAUUUGGGGUGAACAUACUCACCAACAGCCAGUUAACCGAUGGUACAACCAACGGCUGGUUCCCAUUAGGGAACUGCACGCUAAGCGUAGCAGAAGGCUCCCCUCGCAUUCUUCCUCCAAUGGCAAGGGACUCGCUUGGACCACACGAGCCUCUAAGUGGUCGCUACAUGCUCGUGACUAACCGAACACAGACAUGGAUGGGUCCAGCUCAAAUGAUCACUGACAAACUUAAACUGUUCUUGACAUACCAAAUAUCAGUUUGGGUUAAACUCGGUUCCGGCAUUAAUAGUCCGCAGAAUGUUAAUGUCGCACUUGGUAUUGAUAGCCAAUGGGUAAACGGAGGACAAGUCGAAAUCAAUGACGAUAAAUGGCAUGAGAUUGGUGGUUCUUUCCGAGUUGAGAAGCAACCAUCAAAGGCUUUGGUUUAUAUUCAAGGCCCUUCUUCUGGCGUUGAUCUCAUGGUCGCUGGCUUGCAGAUUUUCCCUGUUGACCGGCUUGCGAGAAUCAAACACUUGAGAAGACAAAGUGACAAGGUAUAUACAAAAACACUAUGCUUCAAUAAUCUUUUAUAUCAAAUGAGACUUCAUAGUAAUGUUCUUGAUUUACAGAUCCGUAGAAGUGAUGUUAUCCUCAAAUUCUCCGGUGUUGAUGCUAGCAAAUUCUCUGGAGCUACGGUUAAAGUUAGACAGACAAGGAACAGCUUCCCUGUGGGAACUUGCAUCAGCAGAUCAAGUAUAGAUAACGAAGAUUUCGUCGAUUUUUUCUUGAAAAACUUUAACUGGGCGGUGUUCGGUAACGAGCUGAAAUGGUACUGGACGGAGCCGGAACAAGGGAAGCUUAAUUACCAAGACGCGGACGAUAUGCUCAACUUGUGUAGUAGUAACAACAUAGAAACCAGAGGGCAUUGUAUCUUUUGGGAAGUCCAAGCAACUGUUCAGCAGUGGAUACAAAAGAUGAACCAAAACGACUUAAACACCGCAGUCCAAAACCGCUUAACCGGUCUUUUAAACCGGUACAAGGGAAAAUUCAAACAUUACGAUGUGAACAACGAGAUGUUACAUGGAUCAUUCUACGAAGACAAGCUAGGCAAAGACAUAAGAGUCAACAUGUUCAAGACCGCACACCAACUAGACCCAUCCGCGACAUUAUUCGUGAAUGAUUACCACAUAGAAGACGGGUGUGAUCCAAAAUCCUGCCCGGAAAAGUACAUUGAGCAUAUUCUUGACCUGCAAGAAAAGGGUGCACCGGUCGGAGGAAUUGGGAUUCAAGGCCAUAUCGAUAGUCCAGUGGGUCCAAUUGUUUGUUCAGCUCUAGACAGACUAGGAAUCCUUGGUUUACCGAUAUGGUUCACGGAGUUAGAUGUCUCGUCCAUUAAUGAGCACAUCAGGGGAGAUGAUUUGGAGGUAAUGAUGUGGGAAGCUUUUGGACAUCCUGCGGUUGAAGGUAUCAUGUUAUGGGGAUUUUGGGAGCUGUUCAUGAGCAGAGACAAUUCUCAUUUGGUUAAUGCAGAAGGUGAUGUUAAUGAAGCUGGUAAAAGGCUUUUAGCUGUGAAGAAAGAUUGGCUCUCUCAUGCUAAUGGACAUAUUGAUCAAAACGGUGCGUUUGCGUUUAGAGGGUACCAUGGAAAUUAUGCUGUUGAAGUGAUUACUAGUACAUCUCAAAAGGUUCUUAAAACGUUUGUUGUCGAAAAAGGAGAUUCGGCUCAGGUUAUUACUGUGGAUCUUCAAGGUUUGUGAUGCCUAUAUGUGUGUUGUAUGUUUGUUUAUUUGUGUGUCUAUCAAGUUUCGAAUGUUCUUAAUCUUUUGGUGUGUAUACUUACUGCAAAAGAAAUGUUUUUAGUAUGGUGGUUUGCUUGCUUUUUGGAAUUUGAAAACAUAGAAGUAAAAUGACACUGAUAUAUAUAUAUAUACGUUUUAAGCUAAACAUAAUAUAAAGUUGAACUUUAAAGUUAAAACAGUCUUAUAUAUUUGUAUUCUAAUAAAAUAAUCUCUUAUUAUAUAUAUCCAAACUUGUAUAUAUCUAUAUAUAAAGAUGAAUUUGUUCUCUUAUGAUUUCACAUCAUACAUCAUCAAGUUCUUCCAUCUUCACUUUCCCUUGGCCCUUGGAAGCUGAAGAGGAAGUAAAUUCGAAAAAUCAAAGAAAAGAUAUAGACAAAACAAAAAGUUUUUGUUGUUUUGGUUUCAAGAAGGAGAAACAAAGAUGUUCAUAUGGAAAAGGGAAGCAGAAGCAUUUAACGCUCUGAUACAGUAUUGAAGAGUCGAAUAAAAUUAGUAUCUUCUUCACUCGAACAUUUGAACUUAUAAGAAACAAAUUUUGCUACAAACCACAAAGUAUUUUUGUUCAUCGUCAUAAUACUGGAAAAGAAAAACGUAAGUCUGAUUAAUUAUACAAUAUGAAUAAACACACAAAAUAGCAUAGAGAUUAUUAUUCGGUUGAUUCGCCGAUGCCCAAGUUGGUAAGAGAUUUGCUUCAGAUCAGAUCAUCUACAAAAAAAAAGAACCGAAAGCCAAUCGAAUUCAGCAGAAUUUUACUUCUUUUUUUUUACAAAGAAAAUGUCACAUACACCCUGUAAAUUCGGUUUCUGAUCCUUUCUGAAAACAUGAGAAUUAAUAUUGGAAAGAAAAGAUGUUUUACCUGAUGUGUCGCUUGUCCAAUGUAAUGGAAGGGAUGUGUUGGACUUUGUAAUAAUCUUCUCCUCCUUCCGACAGUCUCUCCUUCAAUUCAUCUCUCAUAUUUUCAAAACUCAGAUCCUCCAAGGAAGUGAUGAAUCGCAUCCCAUCGGGAAGCUCCUUUAAGUUCUUGCAAUGGUGAAUCAAGAGAUUGCUAAGAAGGGGCAUGGAGCCUUCUUCUACUAUCCACUCUUCCCACUCAUACAGUCCCUCUAACUCAAGAUUCUGCAAUUUAGGAAACCCACCCCUUGAGCAAACCAUUCUCCUACCCGUGAAAGAUUCAGUCCAUAAUCUAACAUCUUCCAAUUGACUCAAAUUCUCUAGAAUCGGCAUUGGAUCCUCCUUCAAACCAUUCUCCGAUAGACACAGGCUUGUUAGGCGAGAAGGGAACUGUAGUUCAUGAGAGAGCAAAGGAAUACUUGUCAUCAACCUCAGCCUUUUGAGAUUAUUGAAAUCCAAUAGAGUGCUCCAUUCUUUCGUCCCCUUACCCCCGUCAUACACUAUAUCAAGAUUUUCCAGGUGUCUCAAUCCAUGUAUCGAUGCAGAAAGAGUUUCUAAGCUGGUCUCAUCUGUUAUAUCGAUUCCAAGAGUUCUCAAUCUGGCCAUACCACGAAGAUCCUCUAAAUCGCAGUACUUUGUUGAGAAAUUAUUCAAGGUCUCCAAGUUUAGUAGAUGGUUUAAUUCCAACUUUCUCUUCUUUCGCCUACCCCUUGGUAAUUCAAGGUAUCUCAAUUCUUUCAUCCCCAACAAGAAGGUGAGCGUGGGUAAAUGAGAACACCGAAUUACAUUUAAAUUUAGAUAGAUCAGUAAUUUUAGAUUUUGUAGAGAAGAGGGAAGAUGAGAUACCCGCGCACCGUCUAAGCUCAGAUAUCUUAAGUGGACGAGCUUUCCAAUGCUAUUAGAUAACCUCCUUCCUUUAAAUUUGGCUCCAGGAAGAUGUAAUACUCUCAGAAGUUGCAACCUUGUAAAGCCUAAAUUCGAAACCCUCCAAAAUAGUUGAUCUUUUCUUCCCAUUGCAUCAAUUUGCCAAUUUUUUAGAACACCCCGAAUAAAUAUCCCAUCAGCCAAUAAUGAGCACCAAAAAUUCGACUUCCAGAUAACCACUAGAGAUCGAACCUUUGAAUAAUUAAUAUCUCUCCCAACAUCUAAUGUUGUGAUCCUCGGAUCCUGUGAGACAAACCUCCGUGGUGUAUUAAGAGACUGAGAGUGUAAAGUCGGAGAGCUGAUACCAACAAUAUGUAGGAAAUUCUCUUCUUUGGCUUUACACAAACAAAUUUCUCUCAUCAAGUCAUGCAAACGGCAUGUCUCAAAUCUCCCAGUGGUUUUGUCUAUUUCGGAUAUAACCAUAUUUCUUCUCACCAACUCCUCUAUGUAAUUAUCUCCAACAUCUUGAAUGCUGUCUCCAGUUUCAUACGUAAGUAUUCCUUCUGCAGCCCAGAAAUAGGACAAAUCUUCCACAUAUAUAUCAUAAUCUUCUGGAAAAUGGGCUAGGUAGAGGAAGCAAUACUUCAGAUAACCAGGCAACUCUUCAAAGCUUAGAGACAAUAUAUGGUUAAGCGAAUUCUUCUUGUCUUCAUUGGUUCUACCAAUGAGAUGAGAUCUAAUAUUCUCAGAUAACCGAUUCCAGUUGUGAAUUGUGUAAUUUUUAGCCAACAAUCCUCCUAACACUUUGACAGCCAAAGGCAAUCCUAGACAAUGUUCCAGCAUUUUCUUACCCAACUUUUCCAUUUCCUCAUCCUCUGGAGUCAAUUCUGCACAAAUCAUAAAACAAAAUAAAUAAGAUUUCAUUAAAAUGUGAUAAUAAGUUUUAUUUUGACAUGAUAAUAAGUUAUUUAAUGCUAAAUAGACUGUCUUGCGAUCAUUCCAAAACAUAUCUCAUUUGAAUUCUUACCAGAUGCAUUUUUUCUGGGCAUUAUACUUUGGAAAAGUGUCCAACUGUCUUGAUCAGAUAGGCAUUCUGGUUUAAAGUUGAUAUAUGUUUCUCCAGGUCCUGCGACUCUUUCAUUUCGAGAAGUAAGUAGCACCUUCGAACCUGUAAAACAUUUACCGUUUGGCUAUUAGUAAUAUAACACAAAAAGCAUAAUGAGUUUAUUUGUACAACAAGAUAAGUGGUCAUCAUCACCUGGUUUGUGUGGAAAUAUUGGCUUGAUCAUGUCCCAGUCUUCUUCUUUCCAUAUGUCAUCUAAUACGAUUAACGAGUUUGAUGUUUCUAACAUUCCAAUGAGUUCACCCUGGAGUGUGAUUUCUUUCAUAUUCUGGAUUUCAAUUUGCUCUUCUUUGGAUCUGAAAUGCUGCAAGAUUGCUUGCCACACUUUGAUCCGAUCACAGAUUUCGGAAACACAAACCCAUGCAAGUCUAUCAAACUUCUUUUUAACAAGGUUGUCAUGAAAAGCCUUUCUAGCAAGGGUGGUUUUCCCAAGACCACCCAUCCCGGUUAUGGAAACAACUUGAACAUCAUCUCGCUCCACCAAAUAUCCAAGUAAUGUCUUAACAUUUUCUUCCAUCCCCACAAGAUUGCUUUCGUUAACUUUAGCAAAUUCCAGUCUUUGUUGAGAAGGCUGUGGAUCCUUUCCAUCGUCAAUAAUCCGUUGUACUCCAAAAUCGUUCAUAUCACGAACUGCUUUCUUGAUCUUCUCACUUAAGCUUCCAAUUUCUGAUGAAAUCUUCCUGCGUUCUGGAACAAUGCACGCAAGUCUUCUGACGCUACCACGUUUUCCGAGUUCAUCUUUUAAAAUAAGGGUUUCAAUUGUAUCUUCAGCAUCAAGAACAAUCUCAUUGAUCCUUUCCACACAGUUUCGCACCACUUCUCUUGUAUGCUUUUUUGCGUCUGCAUCUUUCAAAAAUGACUUUAACGUUUUUAGAUCAGUUUUUAGCUCAUUAACUUGAUCUUCAACUCCGUGAAAUUGUUCGUAUUCAUGGCUCAGUAGGUCCCAUAGCUUUUGUAUUCCAAAUGACACAAGUUCCCCAGACAUAAUGGAUCCUGCUUUAAGUAGUAAGAAAAUAAGAAUCAAGUUACGUAGUAUUGAACGAAUACUUAUAAUCACAUCCCUAAGAGGUCAACCAAAGCAAUAUUGGAUUUAUAUAUUGUUUAUUUUUUAAAAAAAAAUAGUUGAUCUUGGAGAUGAGCUUGCGGACUCUCUUAAAACCCUGCCUGAAUUUAUAUCGGCCAAUCUAAAGUGAGGGAUGAGCGUAUUUUAGUGAGGAAGAAUGCAGCAGAAGCUACUGUCAAAUCUUUAUCCGAGUCUCUAAAAUGUGCCACUCUAAUUCGUGCCUUAAAUUUCAAUUCCGUUGAUUACUUUAAGGACCUUUUGACAGCUUUUCUAAAGCAUUAGAAAUGCUGCAUUACUCAAUAUUCAUCGUGGACGGAGUAUUGAUGAGCUGUACUUAAAUUGUUUUUUAGUUUGGAUUUUGAUCGAGUUUGAUUGGUUUUACUAUGUGAUUCAUUUUUUUUUUUGUGGUCUUUUGGUGUGCUUUAGUGAUUUUACAGAUUACGGGUUUGUUUGUUAGGAAAUGACGCGAAUAGAUGAGAGCUUGGAGCUUAAAGAGAGCAUUGAAAUUAAAUGAAGUUGAAAUGUGGGAAAGAUCAUAUGAUUUAGGAGGUUGAAGGAUAAAACCCAUCAACUAAAUUUGUUUUGGGUAAAAAACCUCAAACUAAGUAUUUAACGAAAAAAUUUUCAAACUAACUUUAUUUAAUAAAUUAAACUUUAACAUAUCAUAAUUACCAUUACUACCGGUAAAUCUUAGUUUAAAGCUUUUUACAUUAAGUAAACAUAGUUGAGGGGUUUUACCACUAAAAAUAAAAAAAAUUCAAAAUCUUAUAAUAUUAUCUAAGAAUUUGUAACUUAAAUUUUCAAAAUUAGCAUUUUUAAAUUGUGUUUUUAAAUAUAAGAGUUUGAUGUGUUUUUAACAUCAAAAUUAUAUAUGUAUAAAUUAAAAAUGUAAAAACCCAUAAAAUAUAAUAAAAAUUAUCUAAAGAUUUAUUAUUACAUUUUUAUUAGAAAAUAUAUAAUUUUAUUAAAUUUUAUUGUUUUUACAUAUUAAUCUUUUAGUAAUUUUAUAACAGGAAAAUCUUUAGAUAAUUUAUAUUAUAUUAUCUGGUUUUUUACAUUUUUAAUUUAUACAUAUAUACUGUUGAUGUUAAAAAAGACAUCAAACUCGUAUAUUUACAAAACAAAAUGCUAAUUUUGAAAAUUUAAGUUACUAAUUUUAAGAUAAUACUAUAAAAUUUUGAUUUUUUUAUUAUUUUUAGUAAAACCCCUCAACUAUGUUUACUUAAUGUAGAAACCCAUAAACUAAAAAUAUACCGGUAGUAGUGGUAAUUAUGACCUGGUAGAGUUUAAUUCAUUAAAUAAAGUUAGUUUGAGUUUUUUUGGUUAAAUAUUAAGUUUGAGAUUUUUUACCCAAAACAAACUUAGUUGAGAGGUUUUAACGUUAAAAAUCAUAUGAUUUAUUACAUAUGGAUCGACGAAAGAGUGAGAUGGUGGUUUUAGUUGUUCCUGCGCCAAAGAAGGAUGAGAAGAAGCCCAGAAAAAGCAAAAAAAAAAACAUAACCUCUGCCAGAGGCAUUAGAUCAGUCUAUCUAGAAUUUUUAUUAUCGUCAGUUUAACACACAAUCGCCACAUCUUUGAUCUAUGGAUCAGUCAAUCUCGUGCAAGAAACAUAGUAGCACCAUGGUAAAGAUCAAUCUAGUGCUUAAUAUCAAGAAUUUGUUGAAGGCACUAGAUCGGUCGAUCCAAAAAUUUAUAGCAGUCAUUUUGACACUAGAUCAACUAUCCGAGGACUACAGAUCGAUCUAUCCCACGCAAGGAAUCAAAAGAAAAUGACCAUGGAAGAGAUAUAGACUGUGAGGUUUCAUCAAAGCCCAUUAGAAUUGUUCAACGUUAGGCCGGUUUACACAAGUUGCGCUCGGACAAUUUAUGGGCUUAGUCGAUGAAGGCCAUUAGAUUAAGUGCAACAUAACAGGUGUGUUAGGUCAAGUACAAUAAAUGUUUCUGCUUUUUCAUCCACAAGAGAUCAAGCUUCAGAGAGAAACAAGUUGCACAAGAGAGACAGAGACAUUAGUAUAAGCAUAGAGAACAUUGUUGAGCUCAUAUUGUUCUAGCUUAAAGGCCUUGAAGUUAAUUGUGUCUUCUUGGUGUUUCUAAACCAUCACGGUUUUAUAAGUGAUUGGUUCUUGUAAAAUCUUAUUUAUCUAGUGGAUUUUGGGUGCAAGAGUUCUCUCACGAGACCUAUUGGUUAGAGACCGGGAACUCGUUAAAGUUGCUUGGGUUCAUUAAGCUUAUACUUACAAGUAACAAGUCGAUUGCUUAGGUUUGAGAUUCACACGAGGCUAAAAUCGUAACAAAGUGGUAUCAGAGCUCAGGUCAAAGGCGUGUGUUUAAUCUAAGGUAAGAGGAAGGUCAGCAUGUCCACCUCACAGAUUGAAGUGGACAUGUUUGACGGUACUGGAUAUUUUUUGUUGUGGAAGGUCAGGAUGUUGGCACACUUCGGUGUACUGGGUUUCAAUAGUAUUUCAGAUGAUGAGAAGCUGCUAAAGGAUCCACCAAGGGCAAAGAAAGAGCUUGAGCAAGCUAUGAAAGAUCCGCAGAAGGAACUAGCAGGAAUUGUAGAGAGUUACGAGUAUAGAUCCAAUCUAAGUUCGAAAAUUCUGAGAAGACAAAAGACUUGAUAGUGUUGAACGUGGUAAGAAAGUCCUACGUAAGAUUACACACUGUGAAACAGCCGCAUCAAUGUGGUCUACAUUGAACAAGCUGUACAUGAAGACAUCUUUGCCGAAUAGAAUCUACCUUCAGAUAAGGUUCUAUAUUCAAGAUGUCUCUGAUUCCAAGAGCAUCAACAAGAAUGUUGAUGGCUUUCUGAAACUGCUGGCAGACCUCAACAAUCUACAAGUAGAGGUGUCUGAGGAGGUACAAGCCAUCCUUGUUAUUGAGGUCACUAUCUCACCUGUAUGAUCAGUUGAAAGAGACUUUAAAGUAUGGUAGAUACACUCUGAGUCUCAGUGAGGGUGCUAAAGCUGCAAGGUUAAAGAAACGAGAGCUGAUUGAAAGCGGAAAGGGUUCUAGGUCCGCUGGAGAAGGAUUGUACGUUGACAGGGACAUAUAAGAUAAUAGGUCAAACCAUGGUAGUGGAGGAAUGGAAAGGGAAGAUCGAAGAGCAGAUUUGGCAGGUCAAAGUCUCGACCUAAGAACAACAAGGGCUGUUUUAUUUGUGGAAAGGAAGGGCACUGGAAAAGAGAUUGCCCUUAUCGGAAGUACAACAAACCAGAGAACUCAGCCAACAUUGCAGAGGAACCAAAACAGCCUCUGGUGUUAACCGUGAGCAUUCAAGACACGCAUGAAGAGUGGGUCAUGGAUUUUAGCUGUUCUUUUCACAUAACGCAGAGAAGGAGUUCUUGUUCGAUUUGGAAGAGUUCAAAGGAGGCAAGGUACUGAUGGCAAACAAUAUUCAGAGAAUUGGAAAGAUAAAGAUAAGUAAUCUUGAUGGCUCGGUUGUAGUCCUUACUGGUGUAAGAUACAUGCCAGGAAUGAGCCGGAAUCUAAUCUUAUAUGUAAUGCUGGAGACUUCAGGUUGCAUGUAUGAAGGGAAAGAAUUAAUGGUUCACUUCUACAAGGAUGAUAAAAAGGUGAUCUCUGGAAAAUAUCAUCAAGGCUUGUAUUAUCUGAAAGGAUAAGUGUUGAAGGGGCGAGACAAACUUGUACAACCAAAAAUCUGAACGGAAAAGUCUGUGGCACUCAAGACUUGGACACUUGAACCUGAAGAGUAUGAAAAUUCUAGCCAAGGAGGGAUACUUGCAUGAGAAAGAGGUUGGUGAGUUGAAUUUUUGUGAGGAGUGUGUAUGGGAAAGUCCCAUAAACAAAGUUUCACUGUUGCAAAGCAUGUUACAAAAGGAAUCCUAGACUAUGUGCAUUCAGACAUGUGGGGUUCACCAUCAACGCCAGACAUCUUGAGAGGUUGAAAGUACUUCAUAACCUUCAUUGAUGAUUACUCUAAGAAGGUAUGGCUAUACUUUCUAAAGAAUAAGAGUGAUUCAUCCGCCACAUUCAAGGAAUGGAAGACUGCUGUGGAAACCUAAAUAGAGAGGAAGAUAAAGUGUUUAAGGACACACAAUUCUUUUGAAUUUGCAACAAGGAGUUCGAUGGUUUCUGCAAAGAUGCAAGCAUCAAACGGCAUAUAACAUGUACUUACACUCCACAGAAAAGUGGAGUGUCAGAGAGGAUGAAUCAAACUAUAAUGGACAAGGUCAGGUGUAUGCUUGCUGAGACAGGGUUGGAUCAAAGUUUCUAGGCUGAAGUUGCAUCAACGGCUGUCUACUUGAUCAACAGAUCGCCGAAUUCAAUAGUAACUCCAAGUUACAUGAACAAGUUUGAUUAGGAUCAAACCCAAAUAUGAAGCAUCAAAUACGGCUUGGAUGUUCAGCGUUUGUUCAUGUUCAUCGUGUAUUCAUGGGAUACCCGUUUCCAACCGAGGAAGCUGAUGAACAUGCAGACGACGACACAGCUCAAUCAUUAGACAAUUAUGUUCUUGCACGAGACAGAGAAAAUAUGAGGAACAUGAGACCUCCAUCGAGGUAUGAGGAUGUAAAUAUUGUGGCUUAUGCUUUAACUACUACCGAGGAUUUGGAAAUUGAUGAACCAAGAUCAUAUGCUUAGGUAAUGAGGAGCAAAAAAAUGAAAGCUGUGGAAAAAAGAUGCACAGGAAGAGAUGGAUUCUCAUAAGAAGAACAUGACCUGGGAUUUGAUUGAAAAACCAGACAACCAAAAGCUGGUUGGGUGCAAGUGGAUCUUCAAAAUCAAACCAUGUAUAGCAGGGGUUGAGGAUGUGAGAUACGAUGGAAUACUAGUAGCAAAGGGGUAUUGAAAGACUGAGAGAAUUAACAACAAUGAGAUCUUCUCUCCAAUGGUGAAAUACGUCUCCAUCAGGUUCAUGCUAUCAGUUGUUGUAAAAUUAGAUUUUGAAUUGGAACAGAUGGACGUUAAGACUGCCUUUCUACAUGGAAGUUUAGAAGAAAGAAUCUUAUAAUGACUCAUCCAAGAGAUGAGAAUAAGUUUUGCUUAUUGAGGAAGUCAUUUUAUGGACUUAAGCAAUGUCCAGGAAGGUGGAAUCACAGGUUUGAUAGUUUCAUGAAAAAUAAGUUGUUUGAUAGAAGCACCAAAGAUCAAUAUGUGUACGUCAGAGAUGCACAAACUGAUAAAGUUUUUUACUUAUUGCUAUAUGUCGAUGAUAUGUUCAUUUUAUCAGGGAAUAAGAAUGUGAUUAAGAAACUCAAAGAUAGGCUGAAUGGGAAAUUCGAACUGAAAGAUAUGGAACAUGCUUCGAGAAUCCUAGGAAUGGAUAUUCGAAGGGACAGAGAGAAAGACACACUGACAUUGUCGCAUGAUACCUUCAUUGAGAAGGUAUUGAAAAUGUUUGGGAUGAUAGAUGCACAUUCAGUAAUUACCCCAACAGCUGCACACUUCAACUUGGGAAGUUUGACUGAGAAAGAAUGGAAGCUCGAAGCACCAUACAUAGAAAAUGUUCCAUACGCGAGUGAUGUGGAGAGCUUAAUGUAUGCUAUGGUCGGUUCAAGGCCAGACCUAGGGUUCGCAGUGUGGUUUAUCAGCAGGUUCAUGAGUAAACCUAGCAGAAAACAUUGGGAGGCAGUUAAAUGGGUGUUAAAGUAUCUAAAGGGAGCAUCUUAGAUCAACCUAAAAUUCAAGAAGCAUACAAAGUUCAUUAUUGAAGGUUACACAGAUUCAGACUAUGCAACUGACUUGGACAUGCGGAAAUCAGACACAUGAUACAUCUUCAAGGUUGGAGGGAACACGGUGUCAUGGAAAUCUUGUCUGCAGUGUGUGGUUGCUCUUUCCACCGCAGAAACAGAGUACAUGGGAAUAAACGAGGCAACAAAGGAAGGUUUGUGGUUAAAAGGAUUAUGUGCAGAGUUAGGUUUCAAGCACGAUAGUUUUCACUUGCAUUAUGAUUCACAGAGUGCUAUAACCCUAGCAAAAACCCAAUUUAUCACGAAAGGACAAAGCACAUAGACAAUAAAUUCCACUUCAUCAGGGAUCUAAUAUCAUAUGAAGUUAAAAUCCUAAACAAUAUCAACACUACAGUCAAUCCAGCAGAUUUUCUAACUAAGACCGUACCUGGUCAGAAGUUCCAGCUAUGCUGCGAGAUUGUGAACCUUCACUGAGACAGGAACGGCCCCGCCAGGUAACUCCAGAGUAUACAAGAAUACCUCACAAGACACGUCACAGAGCAAAGGACAAGCAUAUCAAAAUCAGAGGAUGAGUUAGUCUAAGUGUUUGAAGAAGGACUACCUAGCAAAAGGGGUGGACUCGUCUUAAGGUGGAGAAUCUUUCACCUGAGAAGCAAACAGAGAACCAUAGUCACUGUUAAGCAGGCUUAAUUAAAGAAAAAGGUGAUUCAAGGUUAGACUUAGCUCGAAGAUUCUUGUGAAAGACAAAGGAAAUGCGCAGGAAGAAUCGGGUUGAACAAGUUGUUACGAAUGAUUGUAAUCUUGAGGAUUAAGGAUAUGAGACAACAAUAAUCAACACUUGGUCAAGAAGCAUAAAGUCGCUACCACAACUAGUAGAAGCGUCUGUGAGUUUACCUUAGAGGAAUCGUCAUGAAGUGUCUGAGUCGGAGGUUUGAGUUGAACAGGCUCAGAAGAAAUAAGGGACGCAGUUUGGUCUCACGACCACAAUCGUCAAAAGAAAGGUCUGAGUUAACUUGGGUGGACUGAGACACCUCAAGUAAAUAGCUGAAAGACCGAAGCUUUAGCAACAUCAACCAUCAUAGAUUAAGGUGGAGCUCCAGAUAUGUCAUCAGAGUUCGUCAAGAGGAACAUACAUCAAGAUCGGUGGACAAAUUGAUCAGUUACCUUUACAGAACCAAAGUGAUUUCAAGAGAAAGAAGUCAAGGAAGAAGGCCAGAGUUACCUAAGGUUCAGCAUAGUGCACAUAGAUGGUGUUCGAAGGAAACAUUCACCAGAGGCAAAUCGGUGACUCAUCAUAAAUGAGAGAAGGAAUACGAAGAGAGAAGGUGGUGACUUUCUGAGGGUUGUCACAAGUGAGAAGAGACAUGGACAAGGAAGUGUCAUCAGAGAAGCAAGGGUUAUGGGUGUGGGCCAAACAUGUGAAGUUUUGUGAGGUUUGGUCAAAGUCUAUCAAACUUGUUCAAUGUUGGGCUGGCUUGCACAAGUUACACGUGGACAAUCUAUGGGCUUAAUAGACGAAACCCAUUAGGUUAAGUGCAACAUAAAAAGUGUGUUAGGUCAAGUUACAAGACACGGUUCUUCUUCUUCAGCCACAAGAGAUCAAGAUUCAGAGAGACAAGUUGCACAAGAGAGACAUAGACAUUAGUAUAAGAAUAGAGAACAUUGUUGAGCUCAUAUUGUUCUAGCUUAAAGGCCUUAAGACUAAUCGUGUCUUCUUGGUGUUUCUAAACCAUCACGAUUCUACAAAUGAUUGGUUCUUGUAAACUCUUAUUGAGAAAAAAGUUGCACAAGAGAGACACAGACAUUAGUAUAAGCAUAGAGAACAUUGUUGAGCUCAUAUUGUUCUAGCUUAAAGGCCUUGAGACUAAUUGUGUCUUCUUGGUGUUUCUAAACCAUCACGGUUCUAUAAGUGAUUGGUUCUUGUAAACUCUUAUUGAUCUAGUAGAGUUUGGAGCGAAAGUUCUCCCACAAGACGUACCGGUUAGAGGUCGGGAACUCGUUAAACUUGCUUGUGUUCAUUAAGCUUAACUUACGAGUAACAAGUUGAUUGCUUAGGUUUGAGAAUCACACAAGGCUGAAAUCAUAACUUAGACUGGUCCAUGUUUUGUAGAUUAACUGAUCUCGUGUGUUGCAAAUCCACUUAACAUAAACCAACCCGAAUCCGACAAAGAGUACCAUUUAUACAAGAAUAAAUAUUAAAUCAAGAAACUCGUAUUUUUAUAUAUUAUAUUCACUUUCUUUUCUUUUCUGAGUUCUGGAGAAGCCAUUGAGAUUUUGUAAACAUAUGGAGAAGAUUUUCUCUUCUUCUCAAUUUGGAGAAGUUUUCAGAACCCUCUGGCUUAUUAUGUUCAAUCUCAUGAUGUUAAAACAACUUAUAUGAAUUGACCGUAUAAAUCAAUGUUAUUAAUAAAAUCGCACUUAUAUAAAUUGACUGUCAGAGUAUUAGUCAUCUGUUAAUUUAUCAAAACGACAUUGUUUUGGAUAAAUUUUGUAAAAUUAAAAAUUAUUUUUUUUGGAGGUUUGAACUCUUGCACAAGUGGACAAGUAAGAGCAUAUUAACUGCAAGACAAAGUAAUGUUCUUGUAUAAAUUGUGUAAAUAUUAAUAUAUAAGUUUUAGUUUAAUCAAAUAAAUUUUAUCAAGUUUUUUACUUUUUUUAGUUUUAUCAAAUAAAUAAAUAGUUAUUUAUAUGUUUAAAUUUAACUUUAAAAAUCAUUGUUUUACAUAUUUAAAUGAUUUAUUAUUAAUUUAAAUAUUUACUUUAUAGGAUUGCUAAAAAAAUGAAAUAUAUUGUAAAAUUUCGAAUUAUGUGUUCUUUAUUUAUAUAAAUUUACAUUUUAAAAACCAUUACAGAAAUAUUUUAAAUUAAUAACAUUUAAAAAAAAUAAACUUUAUUUUAAAAUUUGACCAUCAAUAUAUAUAAGCACGAUUUUGAGAGUUUAUGUAGUAGUUAUCAAAAAUGAUGUAUUUUUGAUAAAUUAACGGAUGACUAACACCUUAACGGUUAAUGUAUAUAUAAGCACAAUUUCAAAAGUUCAUGAAAUAUUUUUAAAUUAUUGUUUAGUUAAAUAUGUAAUAUGCACUACUAUAAAGUUUGGAAAGGAAAGAGCACGACGCAUAAAGUUCAUGUAGUAUUUUUGAAUUUUGUUAGUUCAGUAUGAAAUAUACACUGCUAUAAAGUUUGAGAAAGAAAAUGCAGGACACGUAAAAUUCACGUUGAAACAGAAAAUAUUGAUAUCUUCAUGGGAAUCACCCAGAUACUCGCAAUACCUAAAAGGACAAAAAGAAAUUAAGGAAUGGUUUCGCAAGGUUGAACAAAUUAUUCUUAACUGGUAAAAAACUCUUGAAGAAUCAAAAGUUGGAAUUGCUUCCAUCCAGUUUUAUGGGAUACCAGAAACUUGGCAUAAGUCAUUAUUACAAGAAGAAAAUUACACAGUUGUUGUUAGGAAUUGGAUAACGUAUUAUACGUAUAAGAAUCUGCUCAUAGAAGGAUUUGAGGAGGUGUGUUAGAUGAUCCUAUAGCAAAGUUGAAAGAACUGAAUGGAACAGAUUGCUGAUAGAUAUCACAGUGAUAGAAGUUUUGGAAUAGGUGAUGCAGUCUAUGUGAAGCUUCAGCCAUAUAUGCAGGGCCGGCCUAUGGCGGAAGCAGGAGAAGCAUGUGUUUAGGGCCCACUUAAAUUUUUGUUUUGUUUCUUAUGAAAUUAUCAUAUAUUUUCAUAAUUAUUAUUGAGAAUGAUGAAAGUAGAAGAUGGGAAGAAUAUUGUAUUUACUCUCGUAAUCCUUAGCUUUAUAUUACACACGUUUAUAUACUACUAUGAUUACUUAAACUAGGCUAGAUAUAAAUAUACGAGAAUCUAAUAAUAAAAACAUAAUAUAUUUACAUCAUAAUUAUGAUAUAGUCCAAUAUCUUCAACAUCUUUCUAUACGCCCCUCAAGUCAAGGCGGAUAAAGUGUAAACGGAAGCAACGGCUUGAGAUUGACUUGCAGAUUCGAAGUAGGGAUAGGAACAUGUGAGUUAUGGUGGCUAGAUUGCUCGACACUGAGAGAGAUGGAUAGACCUGUAGAUGGAGGAUGGUGCGAAGCAAGGUGGUGUAGAUGAAUAUGCAGAUUGUAGACUCGUCCGGAGUGUAAGGCUUGAGACCCACGCUUGCGCAAAGAGAUCUCGGAAAGCUCAUGCGAAGAUCGGCUGAUCUUGUGACGGUGAUUGAGAUCCAAGGUUAGUAGAUCCAGUGUACCAACGGCAGUGGUGAUGGUGGGAGGUGAUCAUUUGUGGUGAUGGUGGUGAUUAUUGAUUUAAAAUGAAGCGAUAUGAUGCUUGUCGAGUAAGGAGCAGAGAUCAAAGAUCUCGUUGUUAAAGAUCUCGUUGUUAGGCAUCCUUAAGUGACUUGAGUUGCCGCAAACGUUAAAAAGCCUAGAGUUGCCAUGGAGAUUGUGCUCUGGACGAAGAAGAUCUUUUUUUUAAAAGAAAAUUUAAAUAACAAAAAUCUAAAUAUAUAGCUAAUAAGUUUUCAGAAAAUAUAAAAAAUUUAUUUUUAUUUUCUUUUAUAGGAGAAAACUGUUUUUUUUUUUUUGCAAAAGAAACAAAAAUUUAAAUGACCAAAAUGGUUUUAGAAUCCAGAGGCAUGUGAUAUGCUUGAAUUGUAGAAGCACUAGGCCUGGAUUCAGAAGUCUAUAAUAGACUUGGACAAUAAGAAGCUCAUUGGCUUAGAUUCAAAGGUUCAUGAUGAACUUGAAUAGUGAAAACAUUUAGUUUGAUAAAAAUAACAUAAAAAGAGACUCAAUGGCUUGAAAACGAAAAAUAAAGAAGAUCUGUGGCUUGAAGAGCAAAAAAAAAAAAAGGAACGGAACCAAUCGUUAGAUCAUUGUGGCUCUGAUAGAAUGUUAAGUUAGAUGGACUUCCAACCUAAAACCAAUUGGUGAUAAGUGGAUUGUCUCAUCUAUCAUAUAUAUUGAUUAGGAUCUCUUCCAACUAGCGAUGUCGGACUUUGUGUCUAAUAAUUACCACCCAUGUUUAUAGUUUUGUCUUUGGGUCAGAAUCUCUGUUUAUAGUUUAAGCAUGACAUUUUGUGGUUUAACUUUUUCCUCCAUCAUUUUCCUGCAUAUAUGUGAUGCAGUCUUUUUUGUUCGAACGAUGAUUCUGUUUAUAGAGAAUCCUCUAUUACAAAUGAUCUUGGUAUAUGUUGUUCUAGCUGAGACACUAGCUAAUUAACGCGCUUCAUACGUAAAUGUCUUUAAAGAUGAAAUUCACAUUUAUUUGCAAAUAAUAGCACCAAUCAAACUACCAGAAAUUUCUAAGGACAAUGUUUUACUGUGAAGACUUGAGAGAAAUAAAUAAACAAAAGAAAAUAGAGAUCUUAUUCACAGCAGACAAAGAAAUUUGCUAAGGAAAAAAAAAAGAAAAGAAACCAGAUCGAUAACAUUAAAAGAAAAAUGACUAACCUCUUGAUGCCGCCUGGGAAGAAUAGAGAGAUUCUAGCUCUUUCGUUCCUCCAAACAAAAAGAUUUAGGUUUAUGUUUUCAAAGUUAAAAUAUCCCGUUCUUCUGGUAUUUUUCUUAGAUUUCUAGCAACUUGUGGUGUAUCUUCUUAUAACCUCACAUUCUAUGGCUCAGACUUUACAACUCUCCACAGACAACAAGGAAACUACGUAACUGUGUGGUACUCGUCUUCCAUAUUUGUACUCGCAGCAACUUGUUGUGUGUCUUCUUGCCCAUCAAUAUCAUAAUCGAUGGUUCAGACUUUUCAACUCACCACAGACAACGCUGUACUCGUCUUCCACUUGCAGAUUCGAAGUAGUGAUAGGAACAUGUGAGUUAUGGUGGCUAAAAACUCCAUAUGUUGUGGACCUUCUUGACGCGGACUACGUAGUUUUUUUCUACCUUUCUUUUCUUAUCUUCAUUGCAGAAAUUAUUUUCACUCCCUCUUAUCAGCCUCUUAGAAACAGUUUUAGGUUUAGGCUGUUAUAUCUUCUUUUUUUUUUGUUAGGCUGUUAUAUCUAUAUACAUAUUAUUAUUAUUUCCUAAGAUGAUACAAUAUAUAAUUGAUCAAUAAUUAAAAACAAAAAUUCCCUUUCGAUUUGAAGUUAUAUAUAUUUUUGUAAGACUCCUCUGCUAAAAGUUCAAUACAUUUAUUUUGACAUUGACAAAAUGUAUUACAAAAUAAAAACAAAUUGAUGGAGAUAUUAUUUCAUACCAUAUAGCUGAAAAAAUUGAUGGAGAUAUUAUUUCAUACCAUAUCGAGUUCAGAAGGAUCUUGAUCAUUGACAUCAAAGAUAAUAGCAGCUGUUUCUACCUCAUGUGAUCUUGCAAUGUUUAUAUUAGCAUCAGCAGUGGCGAGUGGCGACCGUGUUUGUGUACAUAUCGUUUGUAUCUGCAACCUUCUUUUUAGCAUCAUCCAUUGUAUCAGCUUGUUGGCUACAACCUGCUGAAUCCUUUCUCAAAGUUUUUUUGGUCUUUUCUCUAUGAUCACAUUUGGCAUCUAGCAUAACAUGCCUUUUCCUGCUGACAAACAACAAAUCAAUCUUUAGAACGAAUGUGCUUAAAGAUAGUGCGGUGCGAGCAUCCAAAGGUGCCCUUAGAUGUAGAAAGUGGAUUACAUCACUCCACAAGGCCCACCAGAUAGCAGGCCCAGUCCAUCAUAAUUAGAUAUCAGCUCAGCUCCACGAACUGAGCGACGAAACACCAAUUCAAACUUUUAGCCGGCUCAAGCAGGCAACUAAAAGCAGAUCGUCUCAGCGGCUUAACUCAAACGGCUAACUGUUCGUCCCGAUGGGCUGAAGCCAAUCAAACAAGGUGACCUAGGGUAGGGUAAGGAGAAGUAACGACUGGCUAUAUAAGGAGACAAAGAGACAUCAAAAACGGGAUCUGAAAUCAACUACACACACCUUGCGGCUAGAAUUAAAGUUUUACUUCUUUUUAUUCUUGCCGACUUGUACUUUUAUGGUGUCACCAGCUUGUUUCACCGCUUGUUUCCUUAUUUGUAAACCGACAAAACUUCUUCUGAUAUAAUAAAACAUCUUUGUUACUAACCCACCGACGAGUUUUGUCUCUCUCACUUGUUUCUGACCAAACUCGGUACAAACAUUAGCGACUAAAAAUUAUAUACCGCCACGUAAUUAUAAUUCAUUAACUAGUUCAUAUAGUAAAAACAAAUGAAAAGUUCAAAUACUAAAAAAAUAUAAAAAAAAUUAAUAAAUAUUUUAAAUGAUGAGCUUAAAAAUAAUAAAAUAGCCAACCAAAUAUUUUUUUUUUACAUGACACAACCAGAUUUUAUUUAUUGUAUUGCUUUUUACCAAUUAAAAAUGAGUAUAUACCAGUUUGGUUGCUUAUAAUAUACUUUUUUCCAAGUAUCAUAAAGCCUUAAUUUUUUUUUAACAUUUUUCUAUAUUUUUAUUAAUUGAGUUUAACUAGAUGAAUAUUAAAAAUUUGCAAUUUAUUAUUUUUAGAAAACUGGAUGCUCUAAGCCAAUGCUUCAAUUUUGAACUUUGAGGCACGGCUCUGCUUAAAGAGAAACUAUAACCUCGAUGAAACAUUAAAGACAACUAAUACCAACACUUGCAUACUACUUAAGCUUUGGGUCUGCCGUUUGAAUAGAGCUCUGUAUUUUUAAAGCAAUACACUUUGUAUUACCUUUCCAUCAAUAAUCGUUUCUAUAGUGGAACCUAAAGGCACUUUUCAUUAACCCUGGCUUGAAACCCGUUUUUCCUUGAUCAAUCUAGCCAAUGUUCAAAAGGAUAUUCUCUCUUACCUGCAAUAAAAACCAUAAACAACAACUGAGUGAUUUUUUUUUUUUUUUGAAUGAAUGAAUGAUCGCAAAAAACAUCUGUUACAAUCAAUGCAUCGUUUGUGUGGAAAUAAAUAGAGAGCUAUAUAAACUUUUACAAAAUAAUCUACUCGCAAACCAGAGGCUCAUGGCAGCCUCGGGUCUCUUGGCUCAUCUUCCUUUAAUCGAGGUGAUUCGAUCCCUGACCAAUUUAUCAAGCAGUGCCGCAAGAACUGGUGGAGCCUUUGAAAGCUCUCCCACUCGUCUCCUAUUUCUUUCAUGCCACAGAGUAUAAACUGAUAGGACCGUAUUAUAUAAACUACGGAGAACUGAAUAUUGUAAAAAAUAAAUUUGAUAAGAUUAUACCAAAGAUUAAGAAAAUGAUGAUUCAACUGCAGAGGCGAGAUAUUAUCUCUUUCCUUAACUCAAAAUACGUCCCGUAGUGCGACGGUUUGAUAACGUAAUGAGUCCCAAGAUACAACUGCAAAAAAUCUUCUGAUUUGCGUCACUCUAUCAGAAGCCUGGCGAAACUAGUUUUGUGUAUACUCUCAGACUUAAAAGAAAAAUCAAAGAGAAAGAUAAAAAAAAUAUGAGGGAUUGAUUUGAUUUUUAUUCGUGUAACAACAAGUUAACACAAGUGCUCGUUUUAUAUCUUCAAAAAAAGAUGAACACGUUAUGUAAUUAUGGAGACACUAACGUACACAAACUUUAUUACAAAUAAAGGAAAUUUGAUUCCCUUGACUGCUUUGUACGUUAGAGAUUUUAGUCAUAAUGUAGCAUUGACUAAAUCAAAAACUACCAAUAUACUAAAAUUGGAUUUAUAUUUUAUAUUUACUUAAAUAUAAAAAUAUUUUAUGAAUAAGAUUUAAAACAAAUUAAUUAACAUAAAGUCUAAUUAAUUUAUUAAAUCUACAUUCAAAUCCACAUAUCCAAAGUGAAAUAUUUGUUAAAUUUUAUAUUCAACCAAAUAUAUAGCUUUAUAAGCUUUUCAUGUCAAUCACUUUGGACUUCCAUUUCUCAUUCAAAACAACUCCGAUUUUGACCAACAAAUACACUAACUCAUAGUGUUUAUGGUGACGAUUACAUCGUGCCCAAAUUCCGGUUCUUCCGACAGACGUCUCCGUCGAAAAACUCAUCGGAAAAAUGGUCUGCACCACUUUGUCAAAAACGAGUUCCAACAUAAACUGUCGCCUGGAAGCAGUACCGAAGAAUAAAGGUAAGAGUUUUAUCUUGUAAUCUAGCUACCAGGACUAGUAGUAGCUGAUUCCACUCGUUUGAGUAUCCACUCCCAAGGAUGUUUCGAAUAACUUUGCGCCACACUUCUUCUGAAUACGAGCAUGUGAAGAACAGGUGAUCCCUGGUGUCCAUAGGAUCAUUACACAACCAGCAUUUUGUUACCGCAUGUGAAUUCCAUUUAAGCAUGCGAUCACCCGUAGAGAGGCUGUUAUUAUGGACAGCUAUCCAUACAAGCGUCGCGUUCUUUGGAGUGAUUCUUGAAACCAUACACCUACCCACCAUGGAACCUUGGGAACUACCAUUCUCGUUAGGUUCCAGGUUUCUGUUGUGCUGAAUCCCGCUUGUACAUAUCAUUCUCGACCUUCCAGCACCAUUUAUCCUCUGAUUGCGUUAGACCUCUUGUUCUCAUAUCAAGAAUUAUCUUAUCUAUUUGAACCAGAGAACUUACUCUGUGCCUUUGACCUCUACGACUGAAUUGCCAUCUCCAGAGUUGAAUUAAUCGGAAUACCAAGAUCAAUACAUCCUCUCUCAGCUAGUUUCCGCUCUUGACAUUUUAGCUUCAUUUGUUUUGUUAAAGACAAGUUCCCUGGAGUUUGAUCAAACUGUGCAUCCUAUCCACCAUCUGUUAGCUAUAACUAAAGAAGAUUAUUAGCAACGUUGCACAAAAGCAAAUCUUCUAAAAUCAACCGAAAGGUUGACACAAACUUGUGUGUAGUAGUAAAUGUCAUCCAACGGGUCAAGAUUCUUAUUGCAGUCACCAAACAAAGAAUGAAGAACCAGCCUUUGAGGAUCUUGCAGACAGCCUUCUGCCAUGGCAACUACCUUGGACCAUACACCCUCUACUAUAGAAAUAAAACGACAAUCAUAUAUAUAUAAUUUUUUUUUUGGAUAAAGCAAUUGAAGCUUUGAGGUUGCCUUACAUAUAUACUAACAUCAAACACAAAUAAAUCAUUUUAAAGAUUCUGAGAAUCAGUAAGCCCUCCAAAUACAAAGUAGUUCCUCUCAAGUGCAACAAUGACGUGACCGGCUCGAGGUGCUUCCCUGAAGUUUCCAGCUGCUUCCAUACAAACAUAUCUGAAAAACAUGACUAGAACUAUUUGAGGACAUACACACGUACACAUUAAAGAAGAUGUGACUCAAGAAUGCUUUUCGAACAUGUAUCAAGGAUGUGAACACCGGAGAGCUAAUAUUAAUCCAAUAUGAACAUUGGAGAGAUAAUAUCCAAAUCUUUACUGCCGACUUCAAUGAUUUUGUUCUUUCUCGUUGAGUAAGCUUGGCUAUCUCGUGGAGAGAGAGGCUUCUCAUGAGAUUAGGGUUUGAAAAGACUAUGAUAUGACUCAUUUUUAUGCUAAAUAGGAGAAGAAACCAAACCAUUUUGUGUGUGUGAUAAAUGUGUACGUUCGGAGGAGGAAAAUGAAGGAAAUAAGAACGUGAACUCAUGUGAUAGUGUGAUUUGUUGUUAUGGAGAGUUGACAUGGUACAAAUCCAUAUUUUUGAUUGGAUGAUUAUUUUUUUCUCACGUGGCAUAUCAUUGCCCUUUAAAUUUUCCUUUUCUAGUGUAAAAUUACCUUUUAUAACUAUUCAAUUUUUAUAUUGCAAAAAUUAUGACUUUAAAUAUAACAAGUUAUUGUUUACAGUCCAAUUUUUUUUUUUUUUUUUUUUUUUUUUUUUUUUUUUUUCUAUUACUCAAACUUGAGGUGGUCUGGGUAACCAGACCGGAAUAGAACAACCAAUAAAAAAUAACUCCCUACGAAAAGUUCUUGCAGUCUUAGCUAAAAAAUCUGAGGAUUGAUUGCGCACUCGUGGCACAUAGAUAAUCUCGAAUUCCGGAAAACAAAUCUGCAGGGUCUCUAUUUUUUCCAGUUCAGUCGCGAAGCUUGGCCACUCCUGAGGUUCCUUUAUCAUGGCGAUUAGUUCCUUGCAGUCUGUUUACAGUCCAAUUUAAAAAUUCAAUUUGGACGUUUUUAUUUCCCCUACCCCGGAUCAGAUAUAUCACAAGUUACGUAUAUAAAAGAGAUCUCUAUAUAAAAUGGCAGAGAAAUAAGACCAUCAUUAUCGGGAAUCCUUAAUGGGAUCCUUAAAUAAAAAUGAUGAUUUAAUUAAAUCAAAACAAAAGAAAAGGGUUGUUACCGAUCCUUAAUGGGGCAUUUUGGUGAUCGGUUUUAAGUGUGGUUUUUCAACCACGUGUCAGCACCACAUUUUUUUUUUCUUUGCUUUGUUUUGUUUUCUCCGUCGCGUCUCACCUCCGCCUUGGGUCUUCUUCAUCCUUGUUGACUCAGGCUUGGCUCGUUGUGGUGAUUGAGUUCGUCUUCAGGCCAGCAGCACCGGACUCGCCCUCUGACGAGAACUAACUCACUCAGGUUUGAAAAUUGUCCGAUUCUGUGAUUCCGUGUAUGCAAGAUUUGGUAUAACUUCCUCAUCAGAACCUCUGUUUUCGCCAUUACCAUUGCCAAAUCAGAUCCUGAACACGAUGAGGAAGCGUCAUCCCAAGGCGGCUUCAGAUUCGUCGUCAGAGCCAUCAUCUUCCACUCAACAAAACGAUAACAACCAUCGAUGUCCUUGAUAAGAAGGUGGUUAAUGUAAGAAGAUCGGGGAAAACGUGGUUCUCAGUGUUGAUCCUCAUCAUAUACUCCUCCUGGGCUGUUUACAAGGGAAGUCGCUUGUGUAUUCAGAUAUAAGUCACAUUGUAGUGAGGAUCAUGCCCAAGUAUGAAUCAGAAGCAGGAGAGAAUGCUAUCCUUGUCUCUUCUCACAUUGAUACUUUCUUAAACGUAUGUAUUGUCUCUUUCAUCUCCUACCAAUUGACUUUUAGAUUUAGUGUUCCUGUUUUCAUCACCAUUUUGCUAGUACUAAGUGUGUGUUUUGGUUAAAAUGUAUGAAGAGGUGGGGCUGGAGAUUGUAGCUCAUGCGUAGCUGUAAUGCUGGAGCUAGCGCGGUCUGUUUCACAGUCGGCUCAUAGAUUUAAGAACUCUGUGAUCUUCUUGUUCAAUACUGGAGAGGAAGAAGGUUUUAAUGGCGCUCAUAGCUUUAUUACAUAGGUGAAUAUAACUCCGGUCGGUUCAUGACUUUAAACACGGCAAAGCCAUAGCCAAAGACUAAAAAGGUAUUGCAUUUUGAGACUUGGAAGCAUACGUUUUCUGAAUUUGCUUGCAAGUUGCAUCCUUUUGAAGUGAUCUCAAAUGUUGUCUUUUUGGUAUAUAGUGACAAAAUUAGAAUGGAUAUGUUAGAGUUCUUCUCGAGUGUGGUUUGUGUAAAGUGUGUUUUUAACUGUGGUUUGAAUAUGUUAAUCUGAGAGGAUGAGGCUUUGGCAAUCAAGGCAGCAGGGAAGGUGUGGUAGGCUGGUAGCAGAGUAUGAUCUCCGACAGCGACUACACCGAGUUUGAGAGUUGAAGUAAUCGACCAAAACUUUACUCUUCUUCAACUCUUUCUUUUUUUCUUUACUGCUCUUGUUAAUAAAUAUGUUAGAUUCAUGUCAAAAUGUUAGGAUUGUUUGCUUGAUUUGAUUAUGAUUGUUUGAGUUAGGUUGUGGUUAGGAUUUUUUUUUAAGAAUCUUUAAUUAAGAAACUACUAUUGGAGGUACAAAAUAUAAUAGUUUCUUAAGUAAAGUUCUUAAGUCCACUAAAGUACAUUUAUAUACUUAAAUAAUCCUUAAGAAACACAAAUGGGUUUCUGUGGAUAAUCAUGCUAAGGUUAUACUACCUGAUCUCAGUCAGUCGUUCGUCAUAGGUUACGCGUGUCACGUGACACAUAGGAAAAGCUAUUCACAAAGCUUUAUCGCUAUUGGCGCUUGCUUUCCAGUUUUUUAAAUAGCAAACCUUUUCUUUUAAUGAUAUUCGUGGAGGAGACAUAUUUUUUUGCUACUCCCCUUCAUUGAUGAUAUGCUACUUACUCCCGAUCUCAUCUGAUAAUUUCUGGUUUUAUUUUGUCUGCUAUGUAAUGAUAAUAUUCAUCAAAAUUUGGUAGACCAUUUUACCAAAAAUAAAAUUGGUAGACCACGGCGUGACUUCAUCAACACGGAAGAGAGUGCCUGAUCACAAACCCCCCCCGCCAAGGUAAUCAGUAAAAUAACUUUCGCGUCUCAAUGGCCCUCCUUGAUCUUAAAUUUUUUUUUUUUGGCUUAAUUUGCAAGUAUCAAAGCAGUCAUAACAAAAUCACCAUCAAUUUUUGGAUGAAUGAAAUUAAACUCAUGAUAUUAAUUACAUAAUAACAUUUAGUUAAAGGAUGUUGUCAUGCAUAACAUAUACUUCUUGUAGUUAUACAUUAGUUUAAUUUACAUGGUUAUCUAUGUGAUGACCAAUACUUCAUAGAGAAAACGGUUAAACCAUACUUCAGCAGAGCUCGCGGUCCCGAUCAAUAUAUAUAUUAAUGACCUGCAAAAAAACACCAUACAAGACCUGUUUAGAUACCUUUUUCAUUUUUUACCGGGUACAAGGUUUCGGCUCAGAUUUUGGGUAACGUAUUUUAUGCUUAGACCAUGAUUAUCGCGAGUCUUUUAUGGGGUCCUUAACUAAAAUUGAUGAUUUAAUUAAAUCAAAACAAAAGAAAAGGGUUGUUACCGAUUCUUAAUGGGGCAUUUUGGUGAUCGGUUUUAAGUGUGGUUUUUCAACCACGUGUCAGCACCACAUAUUUUUAUUUUUUUUUCUUUGCUUUGUUUUGUUUUCUCCGUCGCGUCUCACCUCCGCCUUGGGUCUUCUUCAUCCUUGUCGACUCAGGCUUGGCUCGUUGUGGUGAUUGAGUUCGUCUUCAGGCCAGCAGCACCGGACUCGCCCUCUGACGAGAACUAACUCACUCAGGUUUGAAAAUUGUCCGAUUCUGUGAUUCCGUGUAUGCAAGAUUUGGUAUAACUUCCUCAUCAGAACCUCUGUUUUCGCCAUUACCAUUGCCAAAUCAGAUCCUGAACACGAUGAGGAAGCGUCAUCCCAAGGCGGCUUCAGAUUCGUCGUCAGAGCCAUCAUCUUCCACUCAACAAAACGAUAACAACCAUCGAUGUCCUUGAUAAGAAGGUGGUUAAUGUAAGAAGAUCGGGGAAAACGUGGUUCUCAGUGUUGAUCCUCAUCAUAUACUCCUCCUGGGCUGUUUACAAGGGAAGUCGCUUGUGUAUUCAGAUAUAAGUCACAUUGUAGUGAGGAUCAUGCCCAAGUAUGAAUCAGAAGCAGGAGAGAAUGCUAUCCUUGUCUCUUCUCACAUUGAUACUUUCUUAAACGUAUGUAUUGUCUCUUUCAUCUCCUACCAAUUGACUUUUAGAUUUAGUGUUCCUGUUUUCAUCACCAUUUUGCUAGUACUAAGUGUGUGUUUUGGUUAAAAUGUAUGAAGAGGUGGGGCUGGAGAUUGUAGCUCAUGCGUAGCUGUAAUGCUGGAGCUAGCGCGGUCUGUUUCACAGUCGGCUCAUAGAUUUAAGAACUCUGUGAUCUUCUUGUUCAAUACUGGAGAGGAAGAAGGUUUUAAUGGCGCUCAUAGCUUUAUUACACAGGUGAAUAUAACUCCGGUCGGUUCAUGACUUUAAACACGGCAAAGCCAUAGCCAAAGACUAAAAAGGUAUUGCAUUUUGAGACUUGGAAGCAUACGUUUUCUGAAUUUGCUUGCAAGUUGCAUCUUUUUGAAGUGAUCUCAAAUGUUGUCUUUUUGGUAUAUAGUGACAAAAUUAGAAUGGAUAUGUUAGAGUUCUUCUCGAGUGUGGUUUGUGUAAAGUGUGUUUUUAACUGUGGUUUGAAUAUGUUAAUCUGAGAGGAUGAGGCUUUGGCAAUCAAGGCAGCAGGGAAGGUGUGGUAGGCUGGUAGCAGAGUAUGAUCUCCGACAGCGACUACACCGAGUUUGAGAGUUGAAGUAAUCGACCAAAACUUUACUCUUCUUCAACUCUUUCUUUUUUUCUUUACUGCUCUUGUUAAUAAAUAUGUUAGAUUCAUGUCAAAAUGUUAGGAUUGUUUGCUUGAUUUGAUUAUGAUUGUUUGAGUUAGGUUGUGGUUAGGAUUUUUUUUUAAGAAUCUUUAAUUAAGAAACUACCAUUGGAGGUACAAAAUAUAAUAGUUUCUUAAGUAAAGUUCUUAAGUCCACUAAAGUACAUUUAUAUACUUAAAUAAUCCUUAAGAAACACAAAUGGGUUUCUGUGGAUAAUCAUGCUCUAACAAUUACGCGCUCUUGGCAGCGUGACUAAGGUAGCCUUUUUCGUUAAAGAAAAGAACACUAACGUAGACUUUGUCCUAAAUUUCACAACAUAACUCCGUACCACCAAGUCAACAAAACCAUGGUCCAUUUAUUUCUUCAACACGCUAUUUUUCCUUCCUCAAAAUUGACCUUAAACAAUCUACCUACCUAUACAUAAAACCAUUUCAUGCUCCAAACCAAACCCAUCAUCACUACUUCAAAACCAAAACAAAAACACAAAAACAGAGAAUAUGAGAAAGAGAGGAGAAAACAAGAACAGAUUCUUUAGAAUCAUUACCAUGCCUCUAAAAGUUUUAGGCAAGGCUCGUGACCUCUACAUGCGAAGCAUCACAGGCUGCGCAGCUCGCACUCACUACUCCUCAGCCGAUGCCGUCUCCGUUCCCUUUCCGAGAAGCCGGAGCACCUCCUCAGCCUUCUCCUCCUCCACCUCUUCGCGGAGGAUGUCUUCCGAUUUCACCUUCGACGAUGACUACAGCGAGCUGGUCAGAGCUGCUUCCGUUAGGAGUUUAGGUCAUAAGAACGAGAUUGACAUGAUCAGACACUAAAGUUUCACCACUCAUAAUUUUACUUUUUAAUUUAUGUUUAAAUUUUAAAAAUAAAUGCAUUAAUUAUAUCUCAAAACAUCAUACAUUUAUAUACAAGAUAAAAAUAUAGAACAUUUUAUAUUCGUAUCCGGAUGGAGUAUUUAAUAUAACGACAGAAUCUAAGUUUCAUUACAAGUUUUUGUAAAGAACCUGAGAUCUUCUUAUGAAGAACAAUCAUCAUGAUCAAUCCCUUUUGCCGAAUUUGAUACCUACAAUAGAAUUUAUAUAUCAAUAAAGAAAUACAAACUUAUUUUGGUUUUAUCUAAUUGACUUUUCUAAACCAAGAAAAUCAAAUGACUCGAAGUCUCGAACAGAACUAAUCAACGUUAUUUUUGGUUUUAAGAUGUACUUUCUUGGAGAAGGUGGACCAGAAUCUGAUUUCAGGUGGUAGAAAUUAGAUUUUAAAGUUUCAAACGUAUGCAAUUUAAAUAUAUAAAUUACAUAUCUUACUAUGAAUGUAGGUAGUCUUUUUUUUAAAGAAUAAAACAAGGUUUAUAUUAGGAAAUAAGUUAGAAAAGCGUUGUUGUAACGCCUAAGUCAAGGGAAAUCAAUGAAUUUACUGAAUUCUUGUUUACAAAUAUAUAAACUUUUGACAAAGAUUUUAAAAUAUAUACAUUUUUCGUGUUUCAGGUUGCACUUUUAUAUAUUUCAAUAUUUUUUUUUUUUUUGGUAGGAUUAUAUAUUUCAAUAUUGAGUUGUUGUUUACACAUGUACACACACUCGUGUCUUCAUGUGUUCUGGUAGCAAACUUAAAUAAAAUCAUUUAUUUUGUUCUGCCAUUUAAUAUAGCAGACCAACAGGACAACAGGGUGUGGUUGUGUCACUGUUGAUAGUUCUUCUGAAACAUUAAAUUCGCUUUGUCUUCACUGUGGCUUAAGUCAUAUGUUCACCAGACUUUUUUGUCGCAUUAAUAAAAUGAAACUACCAACCACUGAUUUUCAUAACUUCAUUUACUGACUACCUGCAUAUACGUAAUGGACUUGCUGCCGACUUUGUGAGACUUGUAAUAGCUUAUAUAUUUAUGGGUUCAUCUGAAUUUAAGUCUUCUGAAUCUAUACAAGUACCUAGUAGGUUAAUAACUACAAUUUCGACAGAAAAAAAAAGAACACUAAUGUAUUCUUCUUCAAUUAAUGUCUUCAAUGUUAUCUUUGUAAUCUCAAAACAAAAAUUCUAAUAAUUUUACAAGAUAAUACUCCCUCUGUUUUUAAAAAAUGCAUAUUCUAGAAUUUUCACAUAUAUUAAGAAAACUCAUUAAAUAUGCAUUGUUUUUUGUAAAUAACAAUUUUUCAUAACUUUUAGCCAAUAGAAAUUCAAUAAACACCAUUAAUUUUUUGAAACUUACAAUUUCUUCAUAAAAUCAUACAUUGAAAAAGUAAAAAAUAUAUUUUUUUGAAACAAUUUUUUUUUCAGAACAUACAUCUUUUAAGAACAGAUGGAGUAUAACAUUUUAAUGACGAUAAGUAUAUUUAUACUGUUGGGUGUACAAACAACAUAUACACUGAGACAAUGUACUCCGAUUCUGCAUAUAAGCAACCAAAUAAAAUAAAGCCUGCCUUAGGAAAGAAGUGCUUCAACUUUAGUUGGCACUUUAGUUUCCAAUAUGUUAAAUUCAGUAACAUGAUAUAAUAUUUACCUGUUUUGGUGUACUUUCACGGGUGGCAAAAAUUUCUACAACUAAUUAUUGCAUAAAAAUAGUAAAAACGCAUUGAACACUUUUAUAAAGUAAGACACUUGGGAGCGUUGAUCAAAAAAAAAAGACACUUGGGAGCUACGAAAAAGAAUGAUAUUCCAUUAGUAAGAUACAACCGUCACAACCUAUAAAACAGAAAUAAUCAAUCAUUCAUACGUUUAAGAAACACAGACACAACAAAACUCGCCACAAAGUUCAUCUCUUUAGUGUCUUUUUCAUUUUCUUUUGGACGUCAUUUCUUGUGAUAGAGAAUCAAACUGGAACUAUGAACAUUUGGUUUCUCCUUUAACUGGAGGAGCUCUGUAGUAUGCAGGCACAGUCGCUGGGAAAAACAUCUGCCUCACUCCUUCCGCCUUUAUUAUCGGAAAUAUUAUCCCCGAUGCUCCCUGCCAUUUUCGUGUCAAGAUCAUGCACUGAUACAACUUUAACAAACAACUGACUAAACUGAAACAAUGUGAUUCAUACCGAGAUCAAUUUGGCUCCAAGCCACAUGCGUUUUGGGGAAGGGAACGGGAUCAACAAGCGAAUGACUCCAUAAACCGCAACCGCAAAGAAAUGGCAGACAAGAGUCAACGGUCGAGGGUUCAAACCCGAAAGCAAAGACACUGGUCCACUCGUGCACAUACCACCAAGGCUCAGAUAAUCAAAACAAGCUUCCCUCAUCUCGUUUCUCGCUUCAUCUUUUGACGAACAGAACACUUUGUAAAGCGCAUUCGCAAGGGUGUUGAUCGUUGACGCCACUGGCUGCAAAGUUAUAUAACUUUCAGACAAUGUUUCACAGUUACACAACAAGAAAAAACUUAAUAUCUCACCUUCCGUAGAGUGUAAAAAGACUCGAGAUAUUUGCAGAGACUGGACCCGUCGCUAAGGUCACGGAGCGGUCUAAGGAGAUUACGCAGGACAACAAUGUCGGAUAACGCAACCGUCAUGCCUCCACCUGUUAACGGAUGACGCAUGUUGAAUGCGUCUCCCAUCAACAAAGCUCCUGGAGUAGGGUAAGGAGAAGCCGGCAUGCUUCUGUUGGGCAUGGACUUGAUGUUUCCUUUGUUAACCGCGGCGAUGAAAGAGUCAUAGACCUCAUGAGGCAUCUACAACACACCAAGUGUGUUACCAACAGAGAGAAGAAAGUGCACAGAAUGAUAAAAGUAGUCAUUUACCUGAGGAGCCACAACGGUUUUCAAAUAGUUUUCCAUUUCACCGUUUGCGAUAGAAGGCACUUUCUGACCAGGGACGUCGACCAGACAUCUGACCUCUGUGCUGCUGAUUGGAUACAUCAAGAUUGGUGAUGGAUCUGCUAAGACGACGUGUCCGUGGUUUGCGUAUGGGAGGUUGCAGUUCUCUAGGACCAAACCCACAAAACAUGAUGGUACAUCGACCUGCGCCAAGAUAAUACAGACAUAUACUAACUUGUAGAAUCAAAAAAGAGAGAGAACAAUACUAAAGAGCAAGUUAACCUGAGGAUUGCAUAGAGAGCGACGCAGGUUUGAGAAGCAACCGUCACAGACUAUAGUCAAAGCUGCAAAUGCUGUUGAUUCCUCUCCUGCUUUAUUCUUAUAUCUAACACCUUUGAUUGUUCCAUUCUCUUCUAGAAGAGAAACAACUGUUCCUUGCUCUAACUGAACACUGUUGAGUAAAUCAGUUAAAAACAGUCAGUACCAUUACUCUAAGAGUGGCUACCAAAUAUAUUGCCUCAUAUCAAAAACAUAUCAGUGAUUCAAAUAAUGUUCUAUGCAUCUUCGUUUGGUUUUAACAUAAGCUAAUACUAUAUGUGAAACCAGAAACGUACUUGGGAAGUGAAGCAGCUUUCUCACGCAUUCUUUGAAUAAAGCGACCAUUGUGAAAGCUCCUUCCAGAUACAUCUGUGUGAAACUUCUCCAAGGGGUAAGCUAAGCGAAUGCGUUUCCCGUUCUUGAAAAGUGCAUAACCAUACACUCGCUGAGCAUCUAUUUCCUCCACGCAAUCUGUAGAUUAGCUCCCAUGAUGUCAUGUUAUAACAGAUGCGAGAAGAUAGUGCAGAAACAGAUAGAUAAACAAAAAAAAAACACCAAGAUUCAACGCGGUUCAACAACUCGACUAUACCGGUUCGGGUUAGGAUUCGGAUUGGACAAGUGAAACCGCGGUCUAGAUAUAUAACCAUGUCAUUUACUACAAAACAUCUACAGAGUUCUGAAAUAAAUUUGUCCUUACCUUCAAUACCCAACUCAAGUAACUUGAGAUAGCCACCGGGUUGUAAAAGCUCCCCAACGAUACGAUCCGGCUCUGAUAAAUCUCUUUCAAUCACAUGAACACGACGAUUAUCCUACAACAUAUAAACACUUGUCUCUUUCAAUCACGUGUCCUGAAUCAAUACAUCUAAAAACCGUCACCACCUAGUUUCGAUCAUUAACCUCUCAAAAUUCAAAACAUAGAGGACAAUGACCUUUCCAAGAGUGUAGGCCAGAGCAGAACCAGCGACUCCGGCUCCAACAACGAUAACAUCAGAGACUGUAUCUCCGCCGUUAACAUUCAGGGAUCCAACGGUUGAUGUGACUGUGCGAUCGUGAUGGAUCUUCGAAGUUGUAGAGUCUAGUUUAUUACUGUUCCGCCUCGUCUUCACGAGAAGUCCGUAGAAAGCGAAGACUGAGAUCACUAGAACGACAGAGAUCACGAGAGGCGAGAGCCAACCGAGUAAUUGAGGCUCCAUCAUCGUCGUUAGCAUUAACAGAAAAGUUUCGAUUUCUCAGCGGAGAGAACUAGAAAGGAGAUGUGUCACGAGACUUUUGCUUUGGUUUUCUAUUUUCUAAUUUUUAUUUGACUUUUUUUAUUUGUUUUGUUUUAACUUUUACGCAAACGCCAAGUUAAUUUACGCUGGCAAUUUGAAUUAGGACAGGACAUCCAGUUCAAAUACUUAGAGCAUCCACGGUGGGAGAGUUCUUAAGUGAAUCCUUAGUGGGUGUGGAGCCCACUUUCUUAGAGUUUGUGCAAAAAAGAAUCCUUAAAAUCCUUUGAUAAGGAUUGAUCCUUACACUGUUCACGGGUCUGCUGGCCAAUGGUAUUCUCUGAUUCUCAGACUACAAAAUAAGAUAAAUUACACCAACUAACCAUAAAACUAAAAACUAAACUAAAGAUAACAUAAAUAGAUGUUUUUUAUAGAAUGUUUUAACGCAAAUAAAGAGUUUGCAAAAUUUUGGACCAGUUUUCCUUUCUAGAAUUGUUGGAAAUCUAUAACUAGUUUUCAAAAUAUAUUAGUUUGUUUAUAAACGAUUUUAUGGUGAUAUGUCACAGAUUUUUUAAUUUCUUCAUUCUUUUCCCCCAAAACAAUAAUCUUCUUUCUCAAGUCACUUUUCAAUUAUACUCAUACGUAUUGUAAUUAUUAACAUUUUAGAUUCUAAAAUGUGUAUAUAUAUAUAUGUGUGUGUAUUUGUUUACAAAAUAAAUUAUAAAUAAUUUUAUUUGUAUUUUAAUAUUUGUAGGUAUAUGUUAAGGAUAUAUAAUCGAUGAAGCAAUUUUUUGUCUAAAAAAGAACGCCUAUUUUAUUUUCUUGAUACAAUUUCUGGUUUGUGAGCUUAGCUCGAAGCCUUACAGAGACAAGUAAUCAAAGCCUUACAGAGACAAGUAAUCAAAGAUGAAUUUCACACGAGAAAACAACAAUGCCUUUGCGGGUGACCCUAGAAUUAUUUUCGGAAGGCUGGACCUUAAGAGAAAGGAUGGAAAUAUACUUUUAAACAGUUGGAGCAAAGUGUACAAAAGUUAUCACCACUCAAAGUUGAGAACUUGGUUCUCUAGGAAGAAAACUCAGCCCUGGCGAUACAAGAAGAACACGCCACAGAUUUCAAACUAAUGUUUGACCAAUGCAACCCCUGGACACUCCCGCUGGAGGAGAGAACAUGACCCGUGAACUCCUGCAACAAAUGGAUAGCCAACUGAAGGAGUGACCAUCUAAACACGGACCGUAGGUAGAUGACGAUAACUCAGAUACAGACACGAACAACUAAAUGCAAGAGACAUAUGUGGCCAAGAAAUCAGUAAAAACUACCUACAUGGAAGAGGUUUUCUCCAAGAAAUUUAAAGUAGUACGUGCAUUAAUCUAAAGACUCCUUGGUGUUGCUCUCCCAAUCAUGAGGAGUGCUCUGAAUUCCUACGCGGAUACUCCAUUCUUGGACAACAUCGCCUUGAUCGAGAUGCCAAAGAAUUUUUUUCAAAGCAUGAGAAUGUAUAACAGGACUAAUGAUCCUGAUAAUCAUGUAUCACAAUACAAACAAAUGAUACUCAUUAUAGCUAUCCAUAAGAUUUGUAUCCAGAGUCUGGAUCACUUCUCAACAACAGCAACCUGGGAAUGCAUUCCGUCUAAGUGACAUGAGAUUUAUUGGCAUCGGAUUGUUUGGUAUGCUCAGGGAAUUCCUAGAGAUUCAUUCAUGGUUUGGUUGGCUCUAAAGGAAAAAUUAUCUACAUGCGUUCGUAUGAGACAAGGGGUAUCAUCCAAGAGUGUGUAUUUUUUGGAGAGUGAGAUGAGAGUAGAGAUCACCUCUAUUUAGCUUGUCUUUACACUUACACAAUAUGGAUGACCCUUGUGGCAAAGCUUCUUGGCUUCAGGGCUACUCCAGAUUGGCCAGACACAGUUUCACUGCUGCUGCGCCCAAUCUUAGUCCGUACCAUUGAAAAGACGAUCCCUAACAAAAUUAUUUAUCUGAAUUAUCAUGGCACACAUAGGCUGGAGGGGAAACAAGUGAACAUUCAAAUUAGGCGUCUAUCUCACUCUUCAACUCAUAGCUAUAAAAACCAGAGUUAACGAGAUCACAUUCAACCGCAUUAAAUUGCUAAAAGAUAGCAACUGCGAACACCUUUGGGACCUUUUUCAACCCUAGGAUGUGAUGAGUCGAUAUCGAGGUGCCAAGCGACUCUAUCGAUAAAAUCUCUUUGGUGUCAUCAGCUUGUUAUCCCCGGCGUACCUUUGCUCGACUUUCGUCUCUGUUCUACCAGUCUGUCUCACAGCCAGGCAUGCUUAUACCAUUACACUUACGAGCAGAAUCUUUGCUCGAGCCUACCUUCUCACAACUUCCGUUACUCUUUAGGAGGCAUCGGCAAGCGUAGAUGGCUGCUUGAAGGACCUGCAUCUUUUCUUUUAGUUUUCAUACGAGUUCUAUAGUGAUUUAAAUUUAUAAAUUCAUAUUGCUCACAAUUUAUAAAUGUUCGUCAUUCAUUUGAUUGAUCAAUAUAAAAAUUAAUCCAAAAAUCCAAUUUUGUUGUUGUUUACAAUCUCAUAUGCCAUUUUGGUAAUUAACUAAUUACACAUCAUUUCAAUGUUUACUAAAUAUUAUAUACUUUACACAUAUUUACAUAACUGCCAUAUAUAUUUUAAUAUUUACAGAAAUAGUCAUGCAUGUUUUAUAUUUAAAUAGAAACCAAUAAUAUUUAAUAUUUACAAAACUAUCACUUCUUUGAUCUUUCCAGUUAUAUAAGUGCGCUUUAUUUUAAUAUUUUCAAACAUACAUUUUAUCUUUUUCUGUUUACAAAAUUGUUAUAUAUCUUUAGGUAUUUGCAAAUAUACUCCAUAUCUAUAAUAUUCAUGACCCCUUGUGUUUUGUAUUUAUAAAAGUAUCACAUAUCUUUCAACAUUUACAAAAAAAACUUAUAUGUUUUGUUAGUUUUGUAACUACCUCGACUUUUUAAAACUUACAAAAAUAAAUACAUUAUUUAUUUUGGUAUUUAUUAAAAGUACCUUGUUUUUAAUUAAAUCUAAGUUAAUUUAGGUACAUCAUAACAUUUUGAAUUUUUUUAUCUAAUAUACUAAUAUAUCUAAUCUAAGUGGUUUUAUCCAAAACCGAAGUAUCAAACUAAAAUGAACCAAGAAAAAAAAUCCGAACCAAAUUUCAUAAGUUGCCAAAUGAAUUAGAUUUUCUGAAAUUAUGAACUAAAGACAAACUAAAAAAUGAAUGGUUAUCCGAAUACCUAAAAUACAAUUUGUACCAAAAUAUUAGUUAUAUUUUAUUUUGAAACAAUAAAUAUCUACAAAUAAAAUUUACAAAUUGAACGUUUAUAUAUGUAAAUAGCUAAAAUUACCUAAAACUUUGAAUUUCUCAUAUAUAAAUUCAAUCUUGUUAUCUAAAAUAAUUGAAAUUAUCUAAUUUAUCUGAUAUUUUAAUGUGCAUAACCCUAACAACAUGAUACUUUAGUCCAAAUGUUCUGAUAUUUUAUUCAAACAACCAAAAUUUUCAAAUAUAUUAUCCAAAUUAUAUGAAAUAACCAAAAAAAAACGGAACCAAACGUGACAUGCUUUUUGGGUAUUAGCCUUUUAAUUUUAUUUCUCGAACCAAACCAAAAAAUAUAGAAAACUUACAUAAACUGAAUAACCACAAACCGGAAAAGAUAAACUAAACAAAAUUUUACAUAUGCCAUACAAUAAAAGGUUUUCCAAUGUUGAACCCAAAUUAAGAGCACCGGCAACGGCCAAGAGACCAUAUGGAUUUUUUUACCAAAUAUAAUACUAAUAUUUAUAUGUGACUUAAUUAUUCAAUUAACUUUAAAUUAAAAAUAUUGAGAAUGAUCAUUUGUGUAUAUAAUCUCUUAUGAACUUUCAUGAGUUUCUCAGUUAAGAACCUAUUCCGAACUUACUUUUUUAUUGUUCUUUUUCUCUUUCUUAUUUUUGACUAUUUUCUAUUUUUUAAUAGAUAAAGUAUUGCCUCACGUAUCAGAAAUGUUGGUGCUCUAUAAAGUUCCAAUAUCUGAAUCUGAGCCCAAGUGCUAUAUCACAAACUUUAUUUGGUCACUGUAAAAUAAUUUAUUUUGAUAAUUCUAAUAAUAUUCCAUUUCCAUAUUUAAAUGAUAUUGAGUUUGGUAAAAUAAGAAAAAUAUACUUCACUUUGAUAUUAUAAAUAAAAUAUAAAUUUAAUUUUCUAAAAUAUCAAAAUUAUAUUUAAAAAAAAAUCUUCAUAUUCAACAAAAAAAAAUCCAAAGGUAACCUAAAUACUCAUUUGAUACUUAAAAAUAACUACUAUCUGAAUACUCAAAGUGGUUUCAUUAGUAAUUACUCAAAUAUCCAAUGAGUUGAUUACCAGAAGGGACACAAUAUAUCUUUUGUUUGCAUAUAGAGACACAAUGAGCUUGUAAGUCACAUUAUCUUGGAUCAAGUAGGAAAUUAGACAUUUCUGCCUCCAUAGUUGCUUUAGGGAAGUUGUUGUCCGGUUAGGAAACCGGCUUGCUAGUUGUCUGGCCGGUUUGUACACUCCAAGGAUCGUGUGUGUAUUUUUUUUUUUACACCGUUGGAUUGGAAAAAGCACUUUUAAAUCCAAGGGUGAGUUUUGAAAGUUGUGUGAGCGUUGGGUGUGAAAAUGACGUGAGUUAAAUGCACAUUGGUGCUCAACGUUUAAGAACAAGUUACAGACACUAUAUUCUGUGUUUGCGCAAGAGGGAGCAAACUAGGUUUUUUUUUUUUGUUUCCUUUCAGCAUAAUGAAGGCAAAAGAAGCUAAAUCCUCACUCGUAUUUCGUAUUCUGUUAUGUCUUUUUGAGUUUUUCAUGCGCUAUGGAGGAGCAGUGCUUGGUGAUGUGCGGCGACUGGGUGUGUGGACAUGGAAGCAAGUGAGAUUUUGUGGUUGUUAAAUGGCAAAUGGCGCGGCUUGUUCCUGUUUCAUAAGGUAUUACAAUGAAAGAACUUCAAGUGAGUGUAUUGACGGAGUUUGGUAAAGAAGAGAAGCUGUGGAAACCUGUUCUCAGUUACUGGCCGCCGAGUAGCUUGGAGCUAGCAACGGGGAUUCGAACACCUCCUGUCCAGCUUACAAGUGAUGGAGCUAUAAAGUAUUUUGUGCAGCACUUUAGGGUGAAGGGGGCUAUGAAUCUGUUUGUGAGGUUUGAGCAGAAACUUACAACCUGUGAUGUGAGCGAGAAUGUUGAUGACUCUGGAAUGGGUUUCGUUACGCCGGUUGCCUUUGGACCUAAGCGUUCAUCAAAAAUAGGGUCUGGUAUCUCCAACGGGGGAUAUGUUACAACGGAUGGUUCGAAGGCAAAAGCUGUUGACUUUGUCGAUGUGGAGUUUAUGAGCGAGGUGGAGAGAGUUGAGGCAGAGAUUGAAAGCGGAAGCAAGUGUGGGAAAGGUGACACUUUUGGGGCUAGUGGUGGUGGGGAGAAAAGCAAAAGCGGUAGCAAGUAUGUCAAAGGAGAAGCUUUUAGCGGUAGUAGUGGUGGGGAGGACGAAACUGUAAGAGGAGAAGAAGUGAACGAGCUAGACAUUCGCCCUCGAGGGUAUGACAAAGAUUUCUGGAACCCAUUACUAAGCAGUGACUAUAAAGGCUCCAAUGCUGUUAAUGUCAUCUACAAUGAGGACGAGAUUGUUGAUGGUUUGACAAGAAAUAGUGGACCUCGCCGUUACACUUGCACCACUAAUGAUGCUUUUGACCAUAUUGUUGAGUUGGGUGCUAGUAGCAGUGGCGUCAAACUCCCGAAAGAUGAAGACUUUCGUAAGCAAAACCCGUGGCUCUAUGGCGUGGUUGCCCAUGUUAGUGUGGAUAGGCCGCGCAGGGUGUCCACAAGAAAAUUAGAUGAAGUUGAUGAUGAGGAGUUUGAUAUCCCUCCACUGUUUGAUGAUACUAGCUACGCUGCAGCAGAGAUCCCGGACAUGGAUUUGGAUGACAGGGAUGGGAGGAUCUAUGUUGGGAAGGUCUUUGGUAACAAGGAAGAUUUUCAGAUAUCUUUGGCAAUAUAUGCUAUUAAGAAUCAAUUUCAUUUCAAGCAGACAAGAACCAAAGUUGAUUCCUUUGUUGUUGAGUGUCCUGAUGAACACUGUGAUUGGAGGGUUACAUCUCACGAGAUUAGAGGAUGUGGGUAUUAUGAGAUAAGGAAAGCUCAACUAGAUCAUCGUUGCCCCAUCGAGUCAAGGCAGGGGUAUAAGAGCAAAGCUACAUCUAAGGUGAUUGCAGCGGUUUACAAAAGUAAGUUUGGGCAACCCGGUAAAGGACCAGUGGCGUCUGAGUUGCAGAGGCUAGUGCUGGAGGAUCUCCGAGUGACAACAUAUUACAUGAAGUGCUAUCGGGCAAAAGAAAAAGCUAUCAUUGACAUUCGUGGAUCAGAGGAAGAGUCGUACUUGAAGCUGCCCGAGUAUUUACACAUGUUAAAACUUGCUAAUCCUGAAACUGUUGCUGAUUUGGAAACUGAUAUAGAUGAGGAUGGAGAUGAGCGAUUUCUUUAUAUGUUCCUUUCCUUUGGGGUGUCCAUAGAUGGUUUUAAGAAGCUACGUCGUGUGCUGGUGAUAGAUGGUACACACCUAGGAGGUAAGUACAAGGGGGUGCUAUUGACUGCUAGUGGGCAGGAUACAAAUUUCCAGAUAUUUCCUCUAGCUUUUGCUGUUGUGGACAGUGAAGACACUGAUACGUGGACAUGGUUCCUCCAGAAGGUUGAGCGUAUAUUAGCUGAUUCCCCAAGUCUGACUAUUAUAUCUGAUCGUGCUACAUCAAUCUCUAAUGCUGUGAAACGUGUAUAUCCAUCAGCUCAAUAUGGGGCCUGCAUUGUCCAUUUGGCAAGGAACGUCAACUCACGCUACUCUAGCAAGCACUUGGCCAAGAUGGUGACUGAUGCUGCAACUGCAUAUAGACAACGGGAUUACAGAGAUCUGUUCAGUAAGGUGAGAGCAACGAAUAGUGCAUGCGGUGUUUAUUUGGGGAAGAUCGGUUCUCCUCAUUGGUCUAGAGUAAACUUUCCUGGCGAGCCUAUAAUAUAAUGACUAGCAAUAUAGCUGAGCAGCUGAACAACGCUUUGGUGGAAGGGAGGACGUCUCCGAUAAUGGAAUUGAUAAUAUUCAUUCAGAGGAUGAUGACAAGGUGGUUUUCUGCUAGGAGAAAGAAAGCAGAGAAGCAUAGGGGGAUUGUUAGUGUGGAGGUUGAUAAAGAGAUGACCAAAAGUAUGGCAAUAAUGAAGGGUAGCAAAGUGAACUCGGUCUCUAAUUGGACUUGUGAAAUUGUGGGAAAGUUUAGAAGAAAGGAGCGUGUGAUGCUUGCUGAAAAGAAAUGUGAUUGCAAGUAUUUUGAUAAGCUACAAAUUCCCUGUGGUCAUGCAAUGAUUGCUGCUGACAGUUUGGGAGUGACAUAUGAAACAUUGGUGGGUCACUGGUACAAGACAACGACUUGGAGGGAGACAUAUGCUGGUAUAAUUAAUCCGGAGGGAGAUCCAAGAGAUGUGGAUGUUCCUGAACACGUUAAGGAGAUGGUGUUGAUGCCGCCCUUAACGUCGAGGCCAGCAGGGCGUCGUAGGAAGAAUAGAAUCCCCUCUACUGGUGAAUUCCCGGUACGUACAUGCAUAGUUAUGUCUUUACCUCGUGAACAUAAUGUGUGACCAAUGAGAAUCAUUAAAAUUGGUAAAUUUGUUUCAGGUGUUUAAGAAGACAAAGCUGAUUCCUAAUAGGUGUGGAAGAUAUCGUGGUGUAGGGCACAACAGGAGCCGUUGCAAUGAACCCAUAUAGAGAGGAGAGUGAGAUUUUUUUGCAGGAAACAUAAGUGGGAUAGGACCCCAUUGGAGGAGAGAAGCAUUUUUCAGAAAAAACGAACUUAUCAUGUUUAAGUCGUUUAUUUGGGAUCAAUAUUGCUUUUCGGAGUAUUUUGAGACUAAAUCAUUUGCUUAUCAAGACUUAAGUGUAUUUUUUUUUGAACUAAGUUGGGAUAAUUGUGUUUCCAAAAAUUAAGGAUUUUGAGUUGUUGUUGAUUUUUGUUAUCACUUUUGAUUGUCGGAUUAGGUAGUGUGUAGUGCAUGUGGGUGUUGUUAUACGCACACAUAAAUAGAGGUGUGGAUGUGGAUAUGUACAUGGAACACAUGUACAACGAACCUAAAGUAAGGCAAACACAGAGUAAAUCCCCUCCAUCACAAAAAACACUUUGAGAUCAUUUGUGCUAAUUAUAUAUGUAAAGAGUUGUAAAUCAGAUUAGAUUAUAUGAUGAGAUAGUUGGUUGAACUAGGAUUCAUAGAUUGACAUAAAAACUUAGAGUAGUGACGAAGAAGAACUAAAACGAGAAGCAAGCAUCGAUAACUUAGUUAUAAUGUUCAGAGGAGCUUCCAAUAGAGGCAUGCGAUAGCUAACACAAUGCCAACAGCAGAUGCGAAGUUAUGAACCGGUCCAUUGUUGCUGAGAAGUGUUGUGUUCAUGUUUGAAUUGAGAGUAGCAUGCAUGUCUUCUUUGAACUGUCGAGUUGCUUCAUCCAUAGAUUGGGCCACCUUCGACAUGUGUUCAUUGAGCUUAGACAUCAUCUCAACCUCAAGCUCCUGUAGCCAAGUCUUGUGUGAGUCAAUCUGUUCAGUUACGCUCUUCGAGAGGGACUGAAAGUCGUGGACGAGAUCCAAGACUUUGGCCUCCACCAUACUAACUUCAUCUAGUAUUGCUUCGUCUUUCCACUUAAAGAGGUGGGACUCAUAUUUCCUCUGUUUUAGGGGCAGAACAGAAGAAAAAGUUACGACUUAAAGCAGUGAUAUUCGAAUAAUAGAUAACUGGGGUGAAAGGAGGACCUGUAGGGCGAUUUCGCAGCGGUAAAAUCUUCGGAAUGGGUUCUCCUUGGUUUCUGAAGCCCAGAUGCUGAGUCCUUUCCCACACCAACAUUUUUUUGGGACGCCGUGAACGGACCUGCGGGCAGCGGAUCCGGAGCUUGAAGAAGACGAACUGGUCAUCUUCACUCCGACGAGGAUGUAGAAAGUAGUGAGGCGGAGAUGGUUUUCAGAGUUUUAACCCUAAUUGAGAGAUACGUCUUAAGCUUAUCGUUUGGUACAUAUAUAGAAGACCUGUUAAGUAAUGGUGGUUUAGAUUGAUAUAACCGGUCGGUAUGUACAUCCAAUUAUAAGGUGAUUUAAGGGACCAUUAUGCAGCUAUGUUGGUUCCAAUUAAACAGAAGCAACAAUAGGAAACUUAAAACAAUUCCAACACAAACUGGGCAAAAAGUCUGGAAAACAUUAUCACCCUAGAGAAAGCCGAUUAAGAAGCCAACUAGUGACUCUACAAAAAAAGGUUUUGCAGUCACCAGAGUGUACAUAGCAUAAGACACAAUUAAAAGCUUAGAGACAAUAGUACUAGAGUGGUGAUGGAAUGGACUCGUGAUCAAGGAAAUGUUGGAGCGUGAUAAGCAGGUAGGACGAUGGUUUUGUAGACAUCCAUGGCAUACUGCUUAUGUAGAUCAUCAACUGCGAUGUAUGUGAUUCCAGACAUGUGGGGUGCUGGAUCACCGUGAGCGUGAAACUCCAUGAACUUGAUGAUGAGAGGUCCACAAUCACCCGAGCGUUCGUUGAUGUAGAUAUCCUUCAUCCUUUUCCAAUAGAAAGGCUCGAGACCACGGAACUGAGUUUGCUGUGGUUUGGCAACCUUCUUCACGAGGUAGAGGAGUGCAGUGAGAAGCGCUUCCAUAAACGUGGACACCUUCUUGUCUUUGUUCAACGAAGGUUGUGGGUCCAUAAUCUCAACGUAGCCCAUGUCGAGGUUAAUAGCGAGCCCCACCCAAUGUUUAUCGGCCCAGAUCAUUGGAGUGUAUAUCGUGGUCACAUCCUCCAUCCACUUUUCCCCCGCCUUUAGCACCAACUCAGUCAGACGCUCGCCCCAUGGGAAUAGGUCUUUCCUUCUCAACGGUUUGAACCUCUUCCAUAACUCCUGAAUUCCGGAAACUAGAGGUGUUGUGAACGCAAGAGCCUCUCGAUGAAGCAUUUCUUUGUGCCUUCCAGCGAGCAUGUACAUGAAAAUUUCCAUAUGCUGCAUUAGGAUGAAACGUCUUAUGUUAUAACGUGAUAAGACAAGUAUUGAUCAUAAAAUCUACAAACCACAAUAAAAAGAACUUACAAAUGUGGUGACCCAUUUUGAGGUUCCGCUAUUUCAAGAAUGAAUUUGUUGGAAAAGUCAAAUUUAGAGAGCGUGAUGUGAAACCUGUUCAAGUGUUAGAACUUGAAUGUCAAGAUGGCGGUAAAUGCUUAAAUGUGUCGUUUGGACAUGAAUAAAGGUAGCAACACCUUACACUUGAAUAUUUGACUUAAGAGUCGACUUGAAGAGCUCCCACUGAGUAUGUGGGAGCGGAACCAAGAGUGCAAGGGCUGAUAUAGAAGGGCAUUUCCUGAGUUCUACUGCGAGGUGGCAUUCCUCAUCUGAUGGCUGAUGCCAUGGAGUGGGCCUUGCCGGGGAGGAGUCACUUACAUCAACACAAUCCUCCUUUACAAAAGAGGUUAAGGCAGUAAGGAUUGGAAAGAAGGAAUGAUAGAUUAAAGGUACAUCUACAAUCAAUUUCUACCUGGCGUUGAUCAAAAUUUAAGAUGGGGGCGGAGGUACGUUUAGAUGUAGCGGUUGCAGCGAAGGCAUUGACAGAGUCGGCAUGUUCAGGAAAGCCGCUGCUCUUAGUUGGAGAAGUCUCUGGUGUGAUGGGGUUUAGUUGUUGCUGAGGAUCUUUGCGCGAUGAAGUGUCGUAUCGAGGAUUAUUCAGUGAAGAGGGCUCUUGACUGAAGGGCUCGAAGAUUUCAAGACCUUGGUUAAGGAGGUGGUGCAAGGGCGGGGGGGGGCUGUUAGGAUGAUCAGCAGUAUCGUAGAUGAAGAACGAUAAAUGACAGGGAAGGACUCGGGAGUGUACAACCAAGGAGGUGUGCCAGAAGGGGAAGCUGGGAAUGGUGAAGUUCGUACAUGUGCAAUGAGUUUGGAACGUGGUGGAACAGAGGGAGUGUGUUGCGGUGAGUUGUGGACGGUGGUGGUUUGUUUGGGUGAGUUGUGGACGGGAGAUGUGUGUUGUGGAGAGUUGGGGACGGGGUGUGUGUGUUCAGGGGAUCUGUGGAUGGGAGAGGUGUUCUCAGGGGAGUUGUGGACGGGGGGUGUGUGUUCAGGGGAUUUGUGAACGAGAGAGGUGUUCUCAGGGGAGUUGUGGACGGGGGAUGUGUGUUGGGGUAGUGCAGGGAUGUGUAACGGAUCUGAGUUGCUUGUAUUUUGGCCGUAGUGCUGAGCUGCAUAUUGACUGACGACAGGGGAGUUGCAUUGAGUCUGGUCUUCCUCCAUAGGUGUCGGUCCCUGUAAUUGGUGGCAGAGGCGAGUAAAGAAAAAAUAUUUUUUUGUGAAUUUGAAGGAAAUUAAUAAAUUGUACUGUUUUGUUAGGUGGAACAUCUGUAGUUUGGACCAUUGGGUCAGUCUGACAUCCUCUGUGUGAUAGAUGAGCUUUCUUAGAACAACAAAUGACAGAGUGGAAAGCAGAUUGCUUGCUGUGGAUACGAGACUUUCUGCGUUUGAUCAGCUGGCGCAUCACCUUGUUCUCUUUUCAGAGUUUGGAAACCUGGGUAGAAACUUUAGUCAACAUUUGAAGAACCUGAUCGUUUGAGUUGCUGGUUGAACCAGUUCUGGGGAAGUAGUUACUGAUCCUCCUCUGCUUACGAGACGAUGAUGGUUUCUUUAGGGUUUUCCUGGGCUUGAGAGCAUUCCUAUUCGGUGAUGGUUGCUCCUCAAGAGGUACAUAAAUUAGAAUGGGCCCAGACCUGUCUCCUCCAAGCCAAAGAUGCUUCUUGAAGGGGUAGUGGUUUGCUAUGAGGUUCUCCAUGUAAGUUACCCGCUCAACAGCAACAACGUCAGUCCAAACUCCCCAUCCCGAUUGUGUUUGGCUUUGUAUUUGUAUCAGUGAUGUUACUGCAAGCUGUAAAUGGCAAAAAAAUGAGCAGCAUAAAUCAUAAUCUCAACAAUUAUCAGACAUAGCUUAUAUGCACAUAUCUCAACCAUCAUCAGCCUAGCUCUAAUAGACAAGCAAAUUAAACUUAAAAAACAAAGACAGUGAGGUUCUUACAUUAUGCUCAGCUUCCACGCGGAGUAUGUCGACGUAGUUAAUGUUUGAGUGAAGAGGAAUAUGAGGUUCUUCAAGUUGACUGAUUGAUAAAUUUUCUACAGGCGCAGGGAUUAUGGUCUGAAGUUGUGGGAUAGCUUGAAAUGCAAGAAGUUGUAAUGCUAGGGGGAAUCCCUUGAGUCUGAAAGAAUCCUGCCUCAACAGACAGACAAGCUCUCCGAUUGGGUCUUUGCAUUCCUGGGGAGGUUUCAUGCAAGUAAUGGUCUUCAGAAAAGACUCCCUGCCCCAAGGGUGUUGGGCAGAAAGCGUCGACGUUCUGGACCAUUUUGACAUACUUCAAAGUAGGGCGUGUCUUCUGUUCAUGAGCAAUUAGAACACCGUCAACAAUUAAUAUUAGAGCCAGUUGCAGCUUCUUCCACCCUGGCAUUUGUGCGUCGGUCUCGAGCUUGUGGCGUAGAUCAGCAAUGGUAACAAUUUUUUCCUUCCCGAACAGCUUGACCCAGUCAGGAUCUCUGAUGUUGUUGCUCUAGACUUCUAGUUCGGUGUCAUAGCCUGUAGGGAACUCUCCACAUGGUAACCCUGUGAUUGUGCCAAACUCUUGAAGCCCAAACCGGAUGGGAUCGCUACGGAAGACUAUCCAGAGUGUGUUAUUAUCCUCGCAAAAAGAACUAAAACGAGAAGCAAGCAUCGAUAACUUAGUUAUAAUGUUCAGAGGAGCUUCCAAUAGAGGCAUGCGAUAGCUAACACAAUGCCAACAGCAGCUGCGAAGUUAUGAACCGGUCCAUUGUUGCUGAGAAGUGUUGUGUUCAUGUUUGAAUUGAGAGUAGCAUCCAUGUCUUCUUUGAACUGUCGAGUUGCUUCAUCCAUAGAUUGGGCCACCUUCGACAUUUGUUCAUUGAGCUUAGACAUCAUCUCAACCUCAAGCUCCUGUAGCUAAGUCUUGUGUGAGUCAAUCUGUUCAGUUACGCUCUUCGAGAGGGACUGAAAGUCGUGGACGAGAUCCAAGACUUUGGCCUCCACCAUACUAACUUCAUCUAGUAUUGCUUCGUCUUCCCACUUAAAGAGGUGGGACUCAGAUUUCCUAUGUUUUAAGGGCAGAACAGAAGAAAAAGUUACGACUUAAAGCAGUGAUAUUCGAAUAAUAGAUAACUGGGGUGAAAGGAGGACCUGUAGGGCGAUUUCGCAGCGGUAAAAUCUUCGGAAUGGGUUCUCCUUGGUUUCUGAAGCCCAGAUGCUGAGUCCUUUCCCACACCAACAUUUUUUUGGGACGCCGUGAACGGACCUGCGGGCAGCGGAUCCGGAGCUUGAAGAAGACGAACUGGUCAUCUUCACUCCGACGAGGAUGUAGAAAGUAGAGAGGCGGAGAUGGUUUUCAGAGUUUUAACCCUAAUUGAGAGAUACGUCUUAAGCUUAUCGUUUGGUACAUAUAUAGAAGACAGGUUAAGUAAUGGUGGUUUAGAUUGAUAUAACCGGUCAGUAUGUACAUCCAAUUAUAAGGUGAUUUAAGGGACCAUUAUACAGCUAUGUUGGUUCCAAUUAAACAGAAGCAACAAUAGGAAACUUAAAAAAGAUCCAACACAAACUGGGCAAAAAGUCUGGAAAACAUUAUCACCCUAGAGAAAGCCGAUUAAGAAGCCAACUAGUGACUCUACAAAAAAAAGGUUUUGCAGUCACCAGAGUUUACAUAGCAUAAGACACAAUUAAAAGCUUAGAGACAAUAGUACUAGAGCGGUGAUGGAAUGGACUCAUGAUCAAGGAAAUGUUGGAGCGUGAUAAGCAGGUAGGACGAUGGUUUUGUAGACAUCCAUGGCAUACUGCUUGCGUAGAUAAUCAACUACGAUGUCUGUGAUUCCAGACAUGUGGGGUGCUGGAUCACCGUGAACGUGAAAAUCCAUGAACUUGAUGCUGAGAGGUCCACAAUCACCCGAGCGUUCGUUGAUGUAGAUAUCCUUCAUCCUUUUCCAAUAGAAAGGCUCGAGACCACGGAACUGAGUUUGUUGUGGUUUGGAAACCUUCUUCACGAGGUAGGGGAGUGCAGUGAGAAGCACUUCCAUAAACGUGAACACCUUCUUGUCUUUGUUCAACGAAGGUUGUGGGUCCAUAAUCUCAACGUAGCCCAUGUCGAGGUUAAUAGCGAGCCCCACCCAAUGUUUAUCGGCCCAGAUCAUUGGAGUGUAUACCUUGGUCACAUCCUCCAUCCACUUUUCCCCCGCCUUUAGCACCAAGUCAGCCAGACGCUUGCCCCAUUGGAAUAGGUCUUUCCUUCUCAAUGAUUUGAACCUCUUCCAUAACUCCUGAAUUCCAAAAACUAGAUGGGGUGUUGUGAACGCAAGACCCUCUCGAUGAAGCAUUUCUUUGUGCCUUCCAACGAGCAUGUACAUAAAAAUUUCCAUAUGCUGCAUUAGGAUGAAACGUCUUAUGUUACUACGUGAUAAGACAAGUAUUGAUCAUAAAAUCUACAAACCACAAAAAAAGAACUUACAAAUGUGGUGACCCAUUUUUGAGGCUCCGCUAUUUCAAGAAUGAAUUUGUUGGAAAAGUCAAAUUUAGAGGGCGUGAUGUGAAACCUGUUCAAGUGUUAGAACUUGAAUGUCAAGAUGGCGGUAAAUGCUUAAAUGUGUCGUUUGGACAUGAAUAAAGGUAGAAACACCCUUACACUUGAAUAUUAGACUUAAGAGUCGACUUGAAGAGCUCCCACUGAGUCUGUGGGAGUGGAACCAAGAGUGCAAGGGCUGGUAUAGAAGGGCAUUUCCUGAGUUCUGCUGCGAGGUGGCAUUCCUCAUCUGAUGGCUGAUGCCUUGGAGUGGGCCUCGCCGGGGAGGAGUCACUUACAUCAACACAUUCCUCCUUUACAAAAGAGGUUAAGGCAGUAAGGAUUGGAAAGAAAGAAUGAUAGAUUAACAGUACAUCUACAAUCAAUUUCUACCUGGCUUUGAUCAAAAUUUAAGAUGGGGGUGGAGGUACGUUUAGAUGUAGCGGUUGCAGCGAAGGCAUUGACAGAGUCGGCAUGUUCAGUAAAGUUGCUGCUCUUAGUUGGAGAGGUCUCUGGUGUGAUGGGGUUUAGUUGCUGCUGAGGAUCUUUGCACGUUGAAGUGUCGUAUCGAGGAUUAUUCAGUGAAGAGGGCUCUUGACCGAAGGGCUCGAAGAUUUCAAGACCUUGGUUAAGGAGGUGGUGCAAGGGGGGGGGGGCUGUUAGGAUGAUCAGCAGCAUCGUAGAUGUAAGAACGAUAAAUGACAGGGAGGGACUCGGGAUUGUACAACCAAGGAGGUGUGCCAGAAGGGGAAGCUGGGAGUGGUGAAGUUCGUACAUGUGCAAUGAGUUUGGAACCUGGUGGAACAGAGGGAGUGUGUUGCGGUGAGUUGUGGACGGGGGUGGUUUGUUUGGGUGAGUUGUGGACGGGAGAUGUGUGUUGUGGAGAGUUGGGGACGGGGGAGCUGUGGACGGGGGGUGUGUGUUCAGGGGAUCUGUGGACGGGAGAGGUGUUCUCAGGGGAGUUGUGGACGGGGGAGGUGUGUUGGGGUAGUGCAGGGAUGUGUAACGGAUCUGAGUUGCUUGUAUUUUGGCCGUAGUGCUGAGCUGCAUAUUGGCUGACGACAGGGGAGUUGCAUUGAGGCUGGUCUUCCUCCAUAGGUGUCGGUCCCUGCAAUUGGUGGCGGAGACGAGUAACGAAAAAAUAUUUUUUGUGAAUUUGAAGGAAAUUAAUAAAUUGUACCGUUUUGUUAGGUGGAACAUCUGUAGUUUGGACCAUUGGGUCAGUCUGACAUCCUCUGUGUGAUAGAUGAGCUUUCUUAGAACAACAAAUGACAGAGUGGAAAGCAGAUUGCUUGCUGUGGAUACGAGACUUUCUGCGUUUGAUCAGUUGGCGCAUCACCUUGUUCUCUUUUCGGAGUUUGGAAACUUGGGUAGAAACUUUAGUCAACAUUUGAAGAACCUGAUCGUUUGAGUUGCUGGUUGAACCAGUUCUGGGGAAGUAGUUACUGAUCCUCCUCUGCUUACGAGACGAUGAUGGUUUCUUUAGGGUUUUCCUGGGCUUGAGAGCAUUCCUAUUCGGUGAUGGUUGCUCCUCAAGAGGUACAUAAAUUAGAAUGGGCCCAGACCUGUCUCCUCCAAGCCAAAGAUGCUUCUUGAAGGGGUAGUGGUUUGCUAUGAGGUUCUCCAUGUAAGUUACCCGCUCAACAGCAACAACGUCAGUCCAAACUCCCCAUCCCGAUUGUGUUUGGCUUUGUAUUUGUAUCAGUGAUGUUACUGCAAGCUGUAAAUGGCAAAAAAAUGAGCAGCAUAAAUCAUAAUCUCAACAAUUAUCAGACAUAGCUUAUAUGCACAUAUCUCAACCAGCAUCAGCCUAGCUCUAAUAGACAAGCAAACUAAACUUAAAAAACAAAGACAGUGAGGUUCUUACAUUCUGCUCAGCUUCCACGCGGAGUAUGUCAACGUAGUUAAUGUUCGAGUGAAGAGGAAAAUGAGGUUCUUCAAGUUGACUGAUUGAUAAAGUGUCUACAGGCGCAUGGAUUAUGGUCUGAAGUUGUGGGACAGCUUGAAAUGCAAGAAGUUGUAAUGCUAGGGGGAAUCCCUUGAGUCUGAAAGAACCCUGCCUCAACACACAGACAAGCUCUCCGAUUGCGUCUUUGCAUUCCUAGGGAGGUUUCAUGCAAGUAAUGGUCUUCAGAAAAGACUCCAUGCUCCCAAGGGUGUUGGCAGAAAGCGUCGACGUUCUGGACCAUUUUGACAUACUUCAAAGUAGGGCGUGUCUUCUGUUCAUGAGCAAUUAGAACACCGUCAACAAUUAAUAUUAGAGCCAGUUGCAGCUUCUUCCACCCUGGCAUUUGUGCGUCGGUCUCGAGCUUGUGGCGUAGAUCAGCAAUGGUAACAAUUUUUUCCUUCCCGAACAGCUUGACUCAGUCAGGAUCUCUGAUGUUGUUGCUCUGGACUUCUAGUUUGGUGUCAUAGUCUGUAGGGAACUCUCCACAUGGUAACCCUGUGAUUGUGCCAAACUCUUGAAGCCCAAACCGGAUGGGAUCGCUACGGAAGGCUGUCCAGAGUGUGUUAUUAUCCUCGCAAAGUAGUUGUCUGGUGAGAAAGGCGUGAAAUAGUUUACACGAGACAUGACAAUGACGUGCUGCGAGCUCAAACAACUUCCCGAAACAAGAGUUUUUGAUGUACCGAAGCUCCUUCGUGUUCCUUAAGACAUGUUGUAUGAAAGGUAGAAUGUCUGGCUUGGAGUAGAUGUUGAGCCGACCGGUAGGGAACCGGUCUGUCGCGAAAAGCCUCGGUGGGAGGCGUUUGUCCGGUUUGUUGUUUCCUACAACGAGAUGAGAAAAAGAUUAUAACCGUGAGAAUAAAACAAACAAAACACAUGAAUAGAGAGGGGAGAAAGCAUAAGACAAAUGGAUAGAGAAGGGGGAAAUCUCGUAAAUUAAAAAUCAAAUCUUUAGUAAGACAGAAAAAAUCGCGAAAAUAAAAAAUCAAAUUUCAGAGUUUGGUUUGAGAGACCAGUUUCAGAAAGUGUUUACUUCGGAGUAAACCUCGAAUGUUGGAAUCUGUCUACGCCGGCGUAAAAAGUCUUAUCGGCUGGGAUAGUAGAGGUGAAACAGGCGAGUCUGAAACUAGGGUUCUUAGUCUCCCCCGCAAACGUUGGAAGAGAGUGAGAGAGUUAGAAAAAAGGGGAAAUGAGGGAGAUAGAUCGAUAGGGUUUCGUAUAAGUUGGUCUUGGUAUGAUUUGGUUUAGGGGAAUACUCAGUUCGGUUUGGUUUCAUUUACUAUGAGGGUAUCGAUUUCUUUAACUUAUAUGAAAGGUUGCCUCAGGUGAGAUGUGCCUCAUCAUGAAAUACCUAAGUUAAAAAGUGCCUUGGAGAGUAAAAAGAUCAUAUCCAACUGCAUGAUUCAGAUUGCGUCAAUACCAGAAACGAUUCAAAAUACGUAAUAAAAUUUUUAUGGGAUUAACAAUUAAAUACCUACUCAUGUUUUCGUAACAAGUAAUACAAUUAUUUAAGCAGAAGAAAACAAGUAAUACAAUUACUUCUAUUAUCCAUUUUAAAGUAUAAAUUUCCGAGGUAGUAUAGUCACCUAUAAAGGAUGGUGCAGGGCGUAGGUGUAAAGUAUUUUGUAAGAUGGGAUGUAAAUGAAUAGUACGUGACAUCUAUUACUACUACCACUAAACUAUGGCCGUUUCAUGGCCCAACGUUUAUAAUCAGUAAGCCAACUGUCAAUUAUCUACUGAAUGCAAGCUAGAGUGUCCAAAACGAGUUCUGCGCUAUAAGACAACAUUUCUUAAAUUAUAUUGCCUUUCUUGUCUUUUUGAGUUUUGUAUUCGAUCUCAUGUUUAGACUUAAAACGAUAGGAACAAAAUAAUUUUGUUUGUUCUCAUACAAAAUGUCAAAAAAUAUCACAUCAUUUCAAUCUCUAAUGAUAUGUUGGAUUAGUUUUCUAUAGGUGGAAGAACAAACAAAAGAAAGAAUGAUCUCUCACUUUAAAUAAACUUUAGACAAAAUUAAACGCUUUUCGAAUAUCAUGAAAAUCUAUUUACUUUUCCGGUUUUGUAUUGCUCAUAAAUUGUGUAACUAUCUAUGUAUGGAUUUUAGAUUAGUAGGUGACUGAAAAGUGAAAACCCCAACUUGAAAAACACUAAAAAUAUCUUUGAUACCAAAACAUUUUUACCAUCGAGUUUAAUACUUAACUAAUUUUUUUUUUUCAAUACACUAAGUUUAAAAUGGUGCUUACAAACUAUUCUUCCCAAUGAAAAUAUUGAUAAGUUUUUUUUAAAAAAAAAUUAAAAAUCUCCAAAAUUCAAAAAAUAAAUCUGAAAAUUUUAUAAUUUUAUUUUAAGUUUCAAAAUAAAAUUUAUUAUUGAUAAUUUUAAUAUUUAUUUUUAUUUAUAAUAUCAAAUUUAAUAUAUUGUCUGAAACUUAAUACUAAUUUAUUUAUUUUUCAUUCAAAAUUAAGUUUUCUACAAUUUAAAAUAUCAUCCAAAAUUUAGUUAGUUUUUAAAUUAGAUAUUUUCAAAUAUUUUUUAUGAAUUUAGAAAUUUUUUCAGUUGAAAUCUAUUAAUAUUUAUGAUUAAAAUUAACAUAGCUUGAUAAUCAAAAUGAACAUUAUUUUAAAGUUAGUGUAAUAAAAUGAAAAAAAAAAUUAUUAGUUGAAGUAUUAAACUGAAUACUAAAAAGUUUAGAUAUUAAAAUGUUUAACAAAAUUUGGUUGAUAUAUUUUUUGGAUAUUUCUCCCCAAAAAAACCCCAAACUAGCUUGUAAUUUUCGACAACCAUAUGUUUAUUUUAAAGUUUCAAAAGUGAAAUAAAUUUCAAGAGAUAUGUUACAUAUAUAUAUAUAUAUAUUUUUUUUUUUUUUUUCCAAACAUUACCCUUAUAACUACUGCAAUGGCUGCAUCAAAAGAGUGUAUCUUCUUCUUAAAGGCCUUGAAGCCUAGAGAGAAAGCAAAAAAAUAACAAAAAUAAUUAGUAUUUUCGGAACGAAUCAAAAGAGAAUGGAUUUGUCGGAUUUAGAAUACAGCGAUGCGGGAGAAUCAGGUUGGACAAUGUACUUGGACCAUUCUUGUUCUGUUACAUUGCAUCAUUUUGAUGAUGACAAUGGAGUAACAAAACAAGAACAUGAUGAUGAUUCUUCAAUGGUGUCGGAUGCAUCAUCCGGGCCUCCUUAUUACUCUGAAGAGGCAGUCCCCGAGGUUCCCCUCCAACAAAACACACAAUAUUGGUGCAAGAGCAAAAUCAAGAACAAGAAGAAAGUUCAUGAAGAACAAGGAUAUAUUGAGGGAUUCAAUUCUUGUCUUGAUGACACAGCUUCUUCAUUGGUAUUGUUUUACAAACUUGUCAUGUCAACAUACUUAGAAUCUUUUCUUAAUACUUAUAGCCAAAUUGUUCCUUGCUAUAUGUUAACAUUGUCAUUAUUAAAAAAAAGAGUUCUUACAUAUUUCGUUUCAACUAAAUUCAUUUGUCUCAGUUAUAUCAUUAUACUCUCAACUUUUGUAAACUUAUGUAUAUAGGCAACUGGAAAAGAAGUAUCAGCACAUAAGAAACAUCGAGAUCAAUACCAACAAUUAGAUUAUUUCUCCCAAAGCUACUCCACGAGAAGAAUAAUCAAGGUUAUUAGUUAUUACGACUUUGGCGCUUCUAAAAAUUAGUGUAUGCCAAAUAUUUUUUAAUUUUUUUGUUUUUUUAACUAAACGAAAAGUUGUGUUUAGUUACAUCAUCGCAUCUGAGAAAAAAAAUUCUUAAUUUUUAGUAUGAUAAUUUCCUUGAAUCAGUUUUCUAAUAUUAUGUUUUUUUGCAGGGAAAAUAUGAAUCGGGUUUCCUACAACAAGCUUUCCCGGUUGAGAAAUUUGCAUCGGAUCAUCAAGGUUAUGGUAUGUUCAUUGCUUACUGGCCAUUAAUUAAUACAACUAUUAUACAUAAUGAUGCAGAAAAAUCGCAUACAUUAGUCAAUUUACUUAAUUAGUUCUUGUAGAUAUGUUGUAAUGUAAACAAACAUCCUUUGGAAAGUAUAUUGUGGAUCCAGUUAUUCACAUUCCUAUAUUAAAAUAAUGCAUUUUAAAAAUUUAUGAUGUUUCAUGCAUGUAUGAGUAUAAAUGUAUGCAUGUAUAAGUGAUUUAUUUUCUUUUUGUCCACGUAUAAGUGAAUUCUUUGCUUGGGUAUAUGUGUAUUUGCAGGCGGCAGUAACCAGAUAAAGAGAACAGGAUAAAAAAUGGCGGAUAUUUAUUGUUUUAUUCCAUCUCUUGAACAGAGAACACCUUCUUCCUUUGAGUAUGUUGGCUAUAUAUGUCUUUGAGAAAGCCAUGUGGGUUUCUCCAUUUUUUUCUUGAUAAUGCCCAUACUAUGUUGUUGUUUUUUCACUUUUCUCGAUUUUGCAACUAUCAAGUUAUUUUCCUUAACAAAUAAAAAAAUGCAAGUAACGUUUGAAACCAAAAAAAUGGAUGACAAAAAACAAAGAAGAGAAAACUUGGAUUAAUCUUUUGGGUUAUUUGACUAUUUCAUAGCACGAUAAAUAAGUCUGAGAAAAGAUAAAUAAGUUUGUAAUAGCAUAUUGAUAGUACGUAUUGUAUAGUUCAGCUUACCAUCGGUUUAGUGUGGUAUAGUUUCCUUUUUGUUAAACCACUUAUGUAUAAAUACAGAACCGUACCGUUGAACAUAUUUCAGAGUAACUAGAGAUAUUCUGUUACAAACUCAUCUUCUUCAAUAGUUUGCAUUGCAUCUAACCAACUUGGAACAUUAAGAGGGGUUUUAUGUCAAUCAUUUGCCAUGUCAGGCUACGGUAGAAUUAUAGAUUGUCCUAAUUAGUACAAGUAGAUUUCGUUAUUCGUAAAACUCCAACAAAAAUACGUCUUGACUAUCGAAAUCAGAUGAAUAUUGAUGAUAAGGGAAAUUAAUCAAAGAAGAAGCAACAGUACAUUGAUUGAACAUGUAAACAUAGCUACCAUUUCUACUUAUUUACUACUUUAAGUUUCGUACUCUCAUUACUUGUAUUGUACAUUCCUACACAGCAGCUGGUCAUGGACCCUUCUCAUUAUUGUACACUUUUCUGUGUAUUAGUGGUUACAUUUAAUUGUUUUUAUAUAAAGCAUGUUAUGCAAAGUCAGAUUUAUAUUAUUCUUUACUUGUAAAAUCUUUUUUUUUUUGAAAAAUCUUUGCUUGUAACAUCAUAAAGAAGUUGGAAGCUGUUUCUUUUUUUUUUUUGAAAAUAUGUUUGAAAAAAAAAAUCUGUUUCUUGACUGUUCGAACUUGUGAAAUAAUUUAAAUACAAACGGUAGAAAUUUAAACAGAUAAAACUUUAGAAUAAAAUAAACCUAUCUUCCACGAGCGCAAAAUCAGAUUUCAGACUCUCUAGCUAGGACUGCUAGGUCUUUUCAUAGGAAAAUUUAUUUUAUUGGUUGUUCUAUUCCGGUUUUGUUACUCGGACCACCUCAAGUUGAGUAAUAGAAUAGCUUUAGAAUAGAACGAGUGAAAUUGCCACAGAUACCACAUUCAUAGUACCACUUUUCAAGUUUACACUAAUCACUUUUGCCUUCACUUUUAAUGAAAGGUAAAAGACACAUACCCUUAGGGUUAACUAAUCUAGACUUAGGGUAUGACUGGUUAAAACGCAGCGGUUGCGGUUGCGGGAGUUUGCGGAUGCGGGUGGUUGCGGUUUCUAGCGGUUUUAAGAUUUUUGUACGACAGGUUCUGCGGUUAGAAAUUGGUGCAUUUGCGGGAUACUUAUGACUGGUUAACUACCAAAUACAGCAGCGGUUAAAUAAUAAAUUAACAAUAUUUACAUUUUAUUUAAUUAUAAAAUAUCAAAAAUCAUAAUAUUAUAAUAAAUAUGAAAAUUAUAUUUAGAAAGUUAUAGUUUUAAAUUUUUUAAAAUUAUAGAAAAUAUUUUUAUUUUAAAAUUUUAUAAUAGUAACUAAAAUAUAAUAUAUUUAUUUUAGUAUUUUUAUAAUUCCAAUUAUAAAAUUUUAUUGAAUAUUUUUAUUUUUGUAUUUAUAUGUUUUAAAAAAAAGAAAAAAAAUUAUCCUCCCACAACCGCAAAUGCUAGCUGGAACCAGCUUUUGAUUUUAAGAGGUUCAGAGCGGUUUGAAACGAUUAGCGGUUUGUAUGAUUGUUUCGAAUCACCGUCACCGUUACCAGCCGCAAAAACUGUGUUUGCGUGUGGUAGCGGAAAAACAAGUCAGGCCCUUAGGGUUUAGAGUUGAGGAGUGUGAUAGAGUUUUUGGAAUGUGAAAUUUAAUAUUCUAAUAAAUAUAUAAAUAAAUACUUAAAAAUUUAUAAAAAAAUAGUUUCAAACAUAAUUUUUGAUUUUCAAAAAAUAAUUUUAAAAAAAAAUUAUAAAAAAGUUCGAAUUUGAAAAAGUAUAAUUCAAAAACAUAAAAAAAAAAUAUUAUUAUUUUUUAAAAUAAUGAUUUAUUAUAUAUAUAGAUAACAAGAGUAUAAGAGUCUUUUGCUACUUAAUAAAUAAGGUACUUUUGAAAAUGUCUCUUUAGUUGGGUAAAGAUGAAAAGUAGUACUAUGAAAGUGGUAAACAUACACGCCAGCGAAUAUAAUUUUUUUUUUUGUAAAAAAUGUUAAAUCCGGAUCUAUUAAAGACACGGACCUAAUCCAUGGAUGGGAGGUGUAGCCCACGGCAUAGUCAGUCUCUCGAGUUAUCAUAAAGACGUAUCUGCAGCCGUAGUGAACAAAAUAAUGUGACUUAGUUUCCGCAGUAGAAAGAUUAAACUCGGAAUGUGUUUGCUUCCGCGGUCCGUCUAUUACUACCGGACCACAAGACCCGUCCAGAUACGAAUUUUUAGAAAGAGAUUUCACGCUAGAGCCGGUGCAUUAAAUCUUGACCACCUUAAUUUGGGGUGACCACAAUAUCUUUCUCAAACCAGUUUUGACAUUUUACCCAAAAAAAAAUCAGUUUUGAUAUGAAAAUAUAUGAGCAGCACAUGAUGACAAGAUAUGGAAAAUUGUUUAAGCAAAAAAAAAAGAUAUAGAAAAAUAUUGUUUGUUUAUCAAUACUACUUUCAAAUAAAAUAUAGUUGUUUUUCAAGGCGGUUUAAUCUUAAAAUCUUACUUAGCUGCAGAUUUUGGUUACGUUAAUGUAAAAAAAAAAAAGAUAUAUUCCAAAAUAGACAAAUUUAAUUUCUAAAUCGUAAAUUUUGAUAAUGAAACAAAGAUAAAUCAUAAACGAGUUGGUGAAAGGAACAGUUUUAACCUUUUUUAUAUAAAACAAUUACGUUGUUGCUAUUGGAAAAACAUUAAAAUGAUACACUAGAUAGAUUUUUUUUUUUUUGAUCAAAACACUAGAUAGAUAUGUUAUUGGCCUUAUUAGACGAUAUUUGUUUGUUCAUAUCUUAUUUUUCUUAUCAGUACAUAACUCAACUGUGAACAUUUAUUAAAAGUUUUUAUUCAUCCAUUCAACAGAGGUUACAAUAUUCCAGUUGUUAUCAUUGUCUUUUUUUUUUUUUUUUGCUAAAUAGUUGUUAUCAUUGUCGACCAAAAUAUUAUAAGGUUUGUUAAUAUUGAUUUCCUUGGAUUCGUAUAGUGAAUAUGUACAUUUGAAAGAUAUUUACUUCCUUGGAUGUGUAUACGCAAGGGGUGUUCAAUCCGGAUAUCGGUUCGGUUUCAGUUCGGUUUUUUUCGGUUUUUCAGUUUUUCGGUUUGUAAAAUAUAACUACCAUUCUAAAUCCAUAUUUACUUCGGUUCGGUUUAUAUACCGUCGGUUUUCGGUUGAUUCAGUUUUAUACCAAAACAUAAUUAUUUAGUUUGGGAUCAUUUUAUAUAAAUUGUAGAGUCAUAUUGUCAUCGCAGUCAUUUAUUAAAAAAAUAUUAUAUUUUCAAAUAAAAGAACAAAAAAAUAAAAACGCUUAUACCUUCAGAUGAAAUAAUCAAAUUUAGAAUUAAAAUCAAAGCUAGAAAUUUUGAAAAUAAAAAUAAAAAACAAAAGAGAAGUAUGAAAGAAAAGUUUUUCCACUCUUGCAUAUUUAGUGUUUAUUAAAGUCAUGCUUCUUCGAGUGAAACUCUAUUCGUUUAUAAACAAGAAAAAAAUCGCGAAGAAUUUUUUCUAGUUAUUAUCCAUCAAAUUUAUAACAUUCAAUUCAAUUUAAUUAAUGCUAAAAAAAGCAAAAUAAUUAAAAGAAAAAGACUAAGAAAAUAAAAAGCCUCAGUUGCGAUGAAUUGUUAUUUAAUUAUAUUUUAAGUGUUUUACAAAUUAGAAUUUUUUAUUACUAUAAAAAAUAUGGUAAUAAUUAUUAACAAAAGAAUAAUUUAUAUAACAAAUAGAUUUUCAUGUGAUGUUAUAAAAUAUGUACAUAUUUACAUGUUUAUACUUUUGAUCGGUUUUGUUUGGUUCAUUCGGUUUAAUCGGUUAUAAAUCAAACACGAUUAGCGGUUUGUAUGAUUGUUUCGAAUCACCGUCACCGUUACCAGCCGCAAAAACUGUGUUUGCGUGUGGUAGCGGAAAAACAAGUCAGGCCCUUAGGGUUUAGAGUUGAGGAGUGUGAUAGAGUUUUUGGAAUGUGAAAUUUAAUAUUCUAAUAAAUAUAUAAAUAAAUACUUAAAAAUUUAUAAAAAAAUAGUUUCAAACAUAAUUUUUGAUUUUCAAAAAAUAAUUUUAAAAAAAAAUUAUAAAAAAGUUCGAAUUUGAAAAAGUAUAAUUCAAAAACAUAAAAAAAAAAUAUUAUUAUUUUUUAAAAUAAUGAUUUAUUAUAUAUAUAGAUAACAAGAGUAUAAGAGUCUUUUGCUACUUAAUAAAUAAGGUACUUUUGAAAAUGUCUCUUUAGUUGGGUAAAGAUGAAAAGUAGUACUAUGAAAGUGGUAAACAUACACGCCAGCGAAUAUAAUUUUUUUUUUUGUAAAAAAUGUUAAAUCCGGAUCUAUUAGGUGCAGGGCUUAAAAUGAUACACUAGAUAGUAGAUAGAUAUGUUAUUGCCUGACGAUAUAUAAUUUUUGUUUGUUCAUAUCUUAUUUUUCUUAUCAGUACGUAACUCAACUGUGAACAUUUCUUAAAAGUAUUUAUUCAUCCAUACAACAGAGAUUACAAUAUUCCAGUUGUUAUCAUUCAUCAUUGUCUCUUUUUUUUUUGCUAAAUAGUUGUUAUCAUUGUCGACCAAAAUAUUAUAAGGUUUGUUAAUAUUGAUUUCCUUGGAUUCGUAUAGUGAAUAUGUACAUUUGAAAGAUAUUUACUUCCUUGGAUGUGUAUACGCAAGGGGUGUUCAAUCCGGAUAUCGGUUCGGUUUCAGUUCGGUUUUUUUCGGUUUUUCAGUUUUUCGGUUUGUAAAAUAUAACUACCAUUCUAAAUCCAUAUUUACUUCGGUUCGGUUUAUAUACCGUCGGUUUUCGGUUGAUUCAGUUUUAUACCAAAACAUAAUUAUUUAGUUUGGGAUCAUUUUAUAUAAAUUGUAGAGUCAUAUUGUCAUCGCAGUCAUUUAUUAAAAAAAUAUUAUAUUUUCAAAUAAAAGAACAAAAAAAUAAAAACGCUUAUACCUUCAGAUGAAAUAAUCAAAUUUAGAAUUAAAAUCAAAGCUAGAAAUUUUGAAAAUAAAAAUAAAAAACAAAAGAGAAGUAUGAAAGAAAAGUUUUUCCACUCUUGCAUAUUUAGUGUUUAUUAAAGUCAUGCUUCUUCGAGUGAAACUCUAUUCGUUUAUAAACAAGAAAAAAAUCGCGAAGAAUUUUUUCUAGUUAUUAUCCAUCAAAUUUAUAACAUUCAAUUCAAUUUAAUUAAUGCUAAAAAAAGCAAAAUAAUUAAAAGAAAAAGACUAAGAAAAUAAAAAGCCUCAGUUGCGAUGAAUUGUUAUUUAAUUAUAUUUUAAGUGUUUUACAAAUUAGAAUUUUUUAUUACUAUAAAAAAUAUGGUAAUAAUUAUUAACAAAAGAAUAAUUUAUAUAACAAAUAGAUUUUCAUGUGAUGUUAUAAAAUAUGUACAUAUUUACAUGUUUAUACUUUUGAUCGGUUUUGUUUGGUUCAUUCGGUUUAAUCGGUUAUAAAUCAAACUAUAUCCAAAUUCCACGUUUUUGUAAAAUUAUGUCCAUUCGGUUUAUAUGGUAUAUACCUAAACCAUGCCAUAUUGUCUAUUUCGGUUCGGUUCGGUUCGGUUUUACCAUAUUGGAUAGACCAUUUCGCAUGUAAGUGAAUGCAUGUGAGACUAUAAAUGUAUUUAUGUAUAUGUUUGUAGAUGAUGAAUUUAUAAAAUGGUAAUAAUGAAAAUGGACCAAAUGGUCCCUUAGGAAGUGAUAUUUCAUGUUCACAUGGCAAAUUGGUCAGUGGCUACUGGUCCUUUUGCCAGUCUAUGGUCCGUAAUCUGCGUUUGUAGGUACAACCCCCAUCGCUUCUGUCAUUUUAUUUCAUGUAUGUCACAAAAUUUAAAUAUGUAGAUAAGAGUAGAUAUUAUAGUGGUUUCAGGUACAGAUUCAGUUGUGAUCUUUCGGGUUUUUGGAUUCUUAGGUUUAUGAGAUAACUCAGCUGAAUUAGAACAUAAUCUAUGUCUGUUUGGUGAUGACUCAGUUUUGAGUAUAAGACAAUAAAUUGAAGCUACUUGUUAUGUAAAUCUUAACAAACUUGAUAUUACCAUUAAAAUGAAAUUUUUACUUAAUACUUAUUUUGAUUAUUUUUAACUACAUAUUUUCAAUUAGGAGUUUGAAUGAUUUAGGUUAAAUUGACAAAUCUAAUCUUAUUCGAAUAUGAAUUUUAAAAUUUAUUUUAACAUCAACUGUUAUUGAAUUUGCUAUUUGAUAAACUAUUUAAAAUCUACUACUAUUGAAAUUUUUUAAGUUUUGAAUUUUAAGAUUCUUUUAGUCAUUUUAGAGUAUUUUGGUGUUGUUUUAAAAAUAACAAUUCAAAUCUCAUAAUUUUAAGCGAGAUUCUGAAUUUGUUUAACUAAAAUCAUAUUAAAUUCUCAAUUCACCUUAAACUAUCUAAAACCUUAGGAAAAAUCAAAUCAAUUUCAAUUCUAGAUUGAAUACACUCCCUAAGUUUUCAAAAUAUAUUUGUAAAGUGUACAUAAUGUAGAUGAUAUCCACAUUUGGAGAUGUGAAGUCAUCACUAGUGGUGGGGGAGGAGCUGCCAAGAAGGAAGCGUGGUCGGCCAAAAAAGAUACCUAAGGUAGAAGAGAGCACUCUAAAAUGGAAGAAGUUUUGGAUAGUACUAGAGUGGUUGGUUCAUGAUUAAUUAUAAAACUUAUAAUGAAUGCAUUAAAAUUAUAAAAAAAACACAUGUGCAGUUUGCUGAGCAGACUCUAGUAAAUUCUUAUUUUUGAGAAAAAUGUUCAUAUUACAUAGUAAACAUGUUUUUGUAAAAUAAUAAUAUACUUACCAGGAAAAAACUCACAUCAAUAAAAUUAAAUUGCAUAGUUUUUAUAUACUUUUAUAAAAACAAUCAAAUUUCAUAUGAUUUUGUAUAUUUAUUUUUUAUAAAGCUAACCUACAUAAGAUUAAAUUUCAGGAAGAUCCAUGGAUCCAAACAAUCUGUGGGAGGCCCUACCCAAAACUAUUGUACAUCCAAUUUUAAUAUCAUAUCAGCGCUAAAUUAAAACUAUUACACAUGUGGUCUAUGAUGACAAUGAGUGAUUUAUUGUUGCGGAGGAAAAAUAUGGAAUACAAAGUUAUUAAGCAUGUGGAAGCGGAAUGCCAAACAAACAACCAGAAGAACGAUUGAAUCCAGAGAAGGUUACGUAAAAAGACACAUUUCGUCUUUUCUUUGCAGCAAAAGACACAUUAUGGUUUUAGCGCACUUUAUUUGUACGGGUUGGUAGAUUCGAGACCAAAAUGCCCCCGUCUUAUUUUUAGAAGGAAGUAACAAAUAAACUAGUUAUUUCUUUUUAUGUUAAUAAAUUAAACGGUGCGUUUUGCUAGGAUAUGGUGGUUACAGAGUCGUGGAUAGGAGAUAGUGGUUAGGCGUGUAUAUUAGAACGCAUUAUUAUUGUUGUGGACGUGAUUGUUGUGGUUAAAGUACAAAAGAUACAAAGUUUCUAGCACAUAUAGUAUGGAUGUGAUACAUUGAAUAGGUCAAAUAUCUUAACUUGAUAAGCAUACAUAAUGUUUGAUAAUAUAAAAGACCUAGAAACCCAUAUAUUACAAAAACAUACAUAAUGUUUAGGAAGGGGAUGUAUGGACAGGCGUGAUGUUUCCAAGUCAGUAACCACGAACUUCAUAUCCAUAACCACACAACCUCAUUUACGGUAUCUAUCGUCACCACAGUCUCCACCUCUGUAUCCACUUUCGCAUUCAUCGCCUCUGUAUCCAUAACCACCAUAUUCUCCACUCCGGUGUCAACCACCAUCUCCACCUCCGUAUCCCCCCUACUAUCCCGUCUUCCACAUCCACUGUAUCCACCACCAUCUCCUCAUCUCGAGCAACCACCUUAGUAUCCACCAUUUUCAUAUCCAUAACCACCUUCCUAAGUCACCAAAAUUAGUCUCGUCGGAACUCAGAUCUCCUCAGCGACUCAACCACAAUCCCAGAUCUCUGCUCAAGCUUCAAAAGCUCACUGUUCUCAACUUUAGUCUCAAUUCGAACCUUCUUGACGGAUUAAUUGCCUUAGUCACCGGAGCUGGAUUUUGGAAUUCACUCUCCUCUGUGACUUCACUAAACUCUCCAAAUCUCCUCUGUUCAAGUCCAGAAAGCUUGAAUCUGCUUCUAGUAAUAGCCAUGGUAGCUACAACCAUCUUCUCCUCCACCCCCAAUUUCUUCCAAUCUAAAUCCUCACUGACCUAUGUCCCUUCUGUCCCUGACCACCUCCUCUGCCAGCUCCACAAAAUCCACACCGCCAUCAACCGCCUCACAAACCACCAGCAAGAAAAGUCCAUUUCAACUGCUUCCAGCCUUACACCGUCUCCUCCUCCGUGUCAUAAGAUCUUCUCAUCUACUCUAAGUUAUCCUCAUAGCUUAUGCUUGACAUAACAACCCUGGCCUCUAUAAGUACAUGGACUACACUUGUUUCUCUCUUUGCCCUUUCGAUCUGGUUAGACUCAUCCUCUGUGGCUGCAACACACACUGUCGUUGCUUCUCGUGUACGCUGCGUAAUUCUAUAGACACGAAACCACGACAAUUAUUUUCGGUGAGAGAUGUGUCUUGUGAUGGAGGAGGAGCCUGAAUCUUGGUGAAAGACAAAAGAUCGGUGGAUUUCUCAUCUAAUUUGAUUUUUUUAAAACAUUUACUCAAUUUGGAAUUUGAAAUCGAGAAACGAAGAAGAAGAUAAAUUGUUAUGCUUUUCUAUUAACUUUUUCAUUUUCAUUUUUUCUUUAAUUUUGGUUUAGAAGAAACUAGAGAUGGUGUUGUACAAGGAUAAUAAAGUCUUUUCGCAGCUAAAAAGUGUGUCUAGUAUUCAAUGUGUCUUUGAAUGUAAUUGAUAUGUUGAAAUGUGUCUGUGGUUGUAAUUUUCUCUUGAAUCCAUCAUUUAUCCGAGGAGUAAGCUCACAUGAGAGUUGUAUGGUUGGUGGAUCAUGCACUCAUGACUCAUUCUUUAGUGGAUGUGGAUGGAUGGGUCUGAAUAUAUUCAUCAUGUAAAAUUCAAGUUUUGAGAGCUAAAAGUCAUCGAUACAUACGGAGGUUGAUACCCUAUAUUUGAAUACGGAAUACAUUCUAUAAAUGUCAAUGUGUCAACACUUUGAUACUAAUUGCAACGACUUGAUCUCGAUGAUACAAGAUCUAUAAGUGUGGUCAAACUUUAUAACGGAGUUAAAGAAGUUAUCAAAACUGAGUAAUAUAUUUGUAGAAUUUAUGUUGUGUAUCAUCUUCGUUCUGAAAAAAAAAAAAAAAAAAUAGAUCUAUUAUCUAAGAUAGCGAAAACAUAUCAUAUGAAUAUGUAUUACACUGAUUGUUUUAUCCCAGUCUAAUUUUUUAGAUCAUUUCAAGCUUAAAUAAGAAAUUAACCGUUUGAUGUGAAAAAAAAAGGAGAAGAAGAUAACUACUACAAAAUCGAAAAGCCUAAUUUUUAAAAAAGGGAAAAAUAUCGGAAAGCUUAGGUCAGCCUCAAAUUCGAAACGCUCUACCGACCCGUAACACCAAUUGGGCCUAAAAUCUAAUAAAUAAAGGCUUAAGCCCGGUAGUUCCAUUCUAGAAUAUCCAAUAAUUAUCCGAUGUAUAUUUAAAUAAACAAAAAAAAAAAAGUUUAACCAAAGCUGAAGAGUUUUUAACUUUUAACUCUCUUCGACUUCUCGUGCCGUGUCAAAUCAACCUACUGUGUUCUCUCUCUCUCUCUCUCCUAUCUGGUAAACUUUCCUCUUCGCCAUGAAACUUUGAUGUUUUUAUCUUCUAGGGUUUUUUUUCUACAGUUUUCCCGGAAAAUUAGGGCCUCCCUAUAUCUUCUCAAUCUCUAGUUUUCUCUCCGUGAUUCAUGCUUAAUUUAGCUUCCCUGUUUCAAGAAUUUUACGAAUUAGGGUUUCCGUACACAUCACUGUUCAAUUUUUAGGGGUUUUUUAUUUUUGAUCUGAAAUCUCUGAUCAUUUGACUUGGAAUUGAAGAUUAGGGUUUUUGGGUGAUAUGGAUUGCGACCAAUACAAGCUAUUCGUCGGAGGCAUACCGAGAGAGACUAGUGAAGAGUCUCUGAAGCAGCAUUUCAGUAGAUAUGGAGCUGUCUUGGGAGCUCUUGUUGCUAAGGAGAGAGCCACUGGUCAACCCAGAGGGUUUGGGUUUGUUCGCUUUGCUAAUGCUCUUGAUGUUGAUAAGGCUCUCACUGAUUCUCAUUUCAUCCUCGGUCGUGCCGUAAGUUCCACUCUUUGUUCUUUACUUAUAUGUCCCUGUCUUGUGUCACUGUUAAAGGGCUCAGCUUUGGUUUCAAUUGGGUUUUGUUUUCUUUUAGGUUUGGUCGGAAAGUUGAAUUUGUUAUCACGUUUAUUCUCUAACUUAUGUCUUCUGUUUUGUGACACUUUAUGUCAGUGGGAUCAGCUUUGGUCUCAACUGUUUUUUUUUUUUGUUUUAGGUUUGGUCGGAAAGUUGAACUCUGAACUGAUUCUGCAUUGUAGAUUGAUUAGUGUCUCAUAUCACUUUGUUAUCAGGUUGAUGUGAAAAAGGCGAUACCAAAACAGGAACAUAUGAGAUAUCAGCAACCGAACAUGCAACCAUAUGUGAGUCAAGUUCAACAGAACAACGGUGGUGGUGUUCAUGACAUCUUAAGCAAUGGUAAUAACAACAACCACAGGACCAAGAAACUGUUCGUUGGGGGCUUAUCGUCCGAGACGACAGAAGAGGAGUUCAAGACAUACUUUGAGAAAUUCGGCAAGACGACCGAUGUGGUUGUGAUGCAUGACAGCGUGACGAACAGGCCGAGGGGUUUCGGGUUUGUCACAUAUGAUUCAGAGAACUCUGUUGAGAUCGUAAUGCAGAGUCAUUUCCAUGAGUUGAGUAAUAAGCGCGUCGAGGUGAAACGCGCAAUACCUAAAGAAGGAAUCCAGAGCAAUAACGGUGGUAAUCAUCAUAACCUUCCGCCUACCUACAGCAGCUUUAAAGCAACACCGUAUGUGCCUGAGAGUAACGGAUAUGGGAUGUUUCUUCAGUAUCCUCCUCCUGUCCUUGGUUAUCAUCAAGGUCUCCCAGGCUUUCACUAUCCUUAUGGUUAUCCAGUCACAGCUCAAGGGCCUAACCUUCCAUGGAAUAACCAGAUUAUGCCACCCACCACCGGAUUUUACGGCCAUCCUCCUCCUCUUCCCACCAACACUCCUUGGUAUCUCCCUUCCAUGAACGGGUUUGAUCCUACGGGUAUGAGCGUUACUGUGUUCAAUGCUAUGCCAUGGCCUGUAGCUGGUGAUGGAGUUGGUGUGAUAAUACCUCGGUUGGAAGAUAUGAAGCUUGAGGUCCCUAGUCAAGCCCAUGAGAGAAUGAAUGGAGGUAUCAUGGUGAAGCCAUUGCCCAAUGGUACAUAUAGAUGACAGUUGCAGAAUAAAAAUGCAGUUAGGAUCUCACAAGGCUAGUGAAAUUCUUUUAAACUCUUUUAAUGUUUUUAGGUCUCUCAUCUUUGUUGUUCAAAAAAAAAAAGGGGUCUCUCAUCUUUCUUUCUUUAACGUACAUGUGUUGGUGGCUUUGGUUUCCUUGUAUAUUAUUUAGCUAUUUUAUUUAACCCCCAAAACAUCUGUAAUAUAUCAACAUCAUUUGUAAUAUGCCACACAUUUCGUUCAACCUCUUUUGCUUUAUGUGGUGUUGUUUUCCUCCUUGUGUUUAUGCUUACCAAACAACAUUGCCAAUGACGUUUUAAUUUCAAAGGCGAAUACAGAGAAAUAGAGCGGUUAUACAAAUUCAUAGAAAAAUUAAUAUACUCCCUUGAAAGAUCAAUAUAUCAACGUUAAGAAUAUAUUAAAAUAAUUAAUGUUAAAUUAUAAAUAUAUGAUUUUUAACUAAACAAUUUUUUGAUCUGAACUGAUAGCAAUUAAAAUUAUAACUUUUUUAAAAAAAGUUUUUUGAAACACAAUUAAAAUUAAAAUUAUAACUAUUGAUAAAUAUUUUUUGAUACCUGAAAUUAAAAAAUUGUCUUUCAAAAACAUUAAAAACUGGAAAAUCAUUAAUGAAAUAUGUGUAGAAACUAAACAUAGUACAUUCAAGUUGUGAAAAGAAUUGAUUCAAAAGAAUUGAUUCCGUUGUCGUUGUGACGAACCAUCAUCCAAGUAAGUUUUAAUAACUAACUAGAGAUAAGACAUCUGGUGUAACAAACUAUUGUUCAUAGGAUAUAUUUUUAGAAGUCCAACAAUCUGAAACAAUCUAUAAAUGCAUGCAUGUCUUCAACAUUGUAAAACACACAAGCAAAUUUCGAGCACAACAGCAAAUAACGCAGACAAAACAAUGAAGCUUUAAAUGUUAUGGCUCGCUUUGGUACUAAUAGCCGUUAAAACUGAUGCAGCAAAGCAAGAUAACAAUGCAACAAUCCCAGCACUAAUAGUUUUUGGAGAUUCCAUAAUGGAUACUGGUAAUAACAAUGGACUUCACACUAUUCUAAAAUGCAACUUUCCUCCCUACGGCAAGGACUUUCCCGGCGGCUAUGCCACUGGAAGAUUUUCUGAUGGAAGAGUUCCCUCUGAUCUAAUUGGUAACGAUUCAAAUUAUUUUUGUUUACAUUUGCUAAUAGAAAUCUUCUAGCUAUUUUAAUGACACUUUUUGUUUUUAACCAAUUGUCUUUCAGCGGAGAAGUUGGGAUUGACUAAAACAUUGCCAGCAUAUAUGAGCCCAAAUUUGAAGCCAGAAGAUCUUCUUCAAGGUGUAACAUUUGCAUCUGGGGGAACUGGUUACGAUCCAUUAACGGCUAAGAUGAUGGUACGUUAUAAUAUAUUUUCAUCGUCAACGUUAGCUUCAUAUUAUAAACUAAUACAUUUUAUAUUUUUUUUUGUUAUUUUGUAGUCUGUAAUAUCAGUGUGGGAUCAACUAACAUAUUUCAAACAAUACAUAGCAACCAUCAAGCAACAUUUUGGAGAAGAAAAAGCCCAAAAUAUCUUGGACCAUAGUUUUUUUCUUGUGGUUUCUAGUAGCAAUGAUCUUGCUCACACGUUUCUAGCUCAAUCUUAUAAAUAUGAUCGUACUUCUUAUGCUAACUUUUUGGCUGAUUCAGCAGCUAAGUUCGUACGAGUAAGUAUCUUAAACUGAUAUAUAAAUCAAAUAUAAAUUCAUAUUUUAAACUAAAUAAUUAUCGUAUAUGUAAUAUAUAGGAAUUACAUAAGCUUGGAGCUCGAAAAAUUGGAGUAUUUAGCGCAGUGCCUGUUGGAUGUGUACCACUUCAAAGAACAAUGUUCGGAGGCUUAUUUACAAGAAGAUGUAAUAAGCCUUUAAACAAUAUGGCAAAACAAUUCAACGCUAGACUUUCUCCAGCACUGGAUUCUCUAGAUAAAGAAUUAGAUGGUGUUAUCUUCUACAUUAAUGUUUAUGAUACUCUUUUAGACAUUAUCCAAAACCCUGAAAAAUACGGUGAGUUCAUCUUACAAAUACAACUAUAUAAUUUUUCUAUUUUAUAACAUUAACUAAUUUAUAAGUCUCAUUCUCUUUCAGGUUUUGAGGUAGCUGAUAGAGGAUGUUGCGGUAAAGGCACUGUUGCAAUAUCUUAUUUGUGUAACUCACUGAACCCAUUCACAUGUUCUAAUUCUUCUGCGUAUGUAUUCUGGGAUAGCUACCAUCCGACUGAAAGAGCUUAUCAAGUUAUUGUUGACAAGUUACUCGACAAAUACUUGAGCAAGAUCUAUUGAUGUUGAUCAUCUAAAUUAAACCUAUUUAUAUCAUUGUGUCUUGUUGGCUUUCUUUAUCUAUGUAUUCUUUUAUUUUUCUUUUUUUUAUUUUCUUUUCUAUAUGUAUUCACUCUUUAUAUUUUCAAGGUAUUAUGCCACUUUUACUCAUUAUACUUUUCUUUAACUUCAAGACUCCUUUAUAAAUGACUCAUUAACAUAUGAAAGAAGCACUAGUAAAGCACAAAUUAAAAGCUUUUGGGGUUAUUUCUUAAGUAAUUGAACUUAAUAGAUCAUUAUGUUAGAUGUUGUUGUUGUUUUGAUAUUACGACAUUGGUUCCUCGUUCUCUCAGCAUGUGGAAUAAAAACGUAAGUACUUAUGUUUUCUCAUAGAGGUGAAGAGUAUCAGCGGGGAAACUCAUCUCCCUGACCUCUUCGGCAAGAAUCCAAGGGAGGUGUGCAACACUAUGAAACCUAAAUCCGCCAUUGUUAAAUCUAGAACUGAGGAUUUUAUUAGAACAUAUGGAUGUAAAUUUGGUUAUUGGAGGAUCAUGAUAGGUAGUCAAUCAUAAGAUCAAAAUUGGGCAAGAUGUUUUUAGCAAUCAAGAAGAUUCUGCGAAAAAAAGAAACCUAAAGAGUACAAGAGAGCAGUGUAAAGAACAGAAAGACUGGCAAAAAGAAAUGCUAUGUUUUUACAAAGAUUAGACUCAUGUUCCAAGCUGAAUUGAAUUUCUUGCUAUAUAAUCAUUUAUGUGGCCUAAGUGUUGCUAGAGAUUCUAGGUUAUCAAAAAAUAUUGGUAAAGAACCGCUUACGUUGCUGAUAUUCCGUAUUUUUAACGGUUUUAAACUCGUUUUGGAGCAAUUAAAUGGUCGGUUUUAAAGGUUUGCGCGGUCUUGGUGGGGAUUUGGAAUCAAUGCCUUGACAGUCUAUGAUUUAAGUGGUUAGCGAAAUCACAAGGUAAGGUCUACUGAGGGUUAGUGAGCUCCCAAAUUUUAAUCCUCUUUACUUGAGGACAAGCAAAGAUUCAAGUCUGGGGGAGUUGAUAUUCCGUAUUUUUAACGGUUUUAAACUCGUUUUGGAGCAAUUAAAUGGUCGGUUUUAAUUAAUGUUUUGGUCUAUUUGAUGCGUUUUGGUGUUCUUAAGUGUAAUAUGCAGGUUACUAGAUAGCUUGAAAGAAAAGAACGCAUUCGGGAUUUAUUCAGAAGCAAGAUGGACCGAACAAUGGACCGAAUGAAGUAUUGAUCGCACAGAGCACGAGAUCGACCGAUCCGGGAUACUUGGAUCGACCGAUCCCAGGCUUUCAUACACGAGAUCGACCGAUCCGAGCCAUGGGGAUCGACCGAUCUCAGGCGCUACGGGCUCCACAUGCACAAACGAGCUUUUCACUCCUUUUUACCCACUCCCCUCAAUAAUUCACAGAGGAACUCAGCACGAGAUCGACCGAUCCGGGAUACUUGGAUCGACCGAUCCCAGGCUUUCAUACACGCGACCGAUCCGAGCCAUGGGGAUCGACCGAUCUCAGGCGCUACGGGCUCCACACGCACAAACGAGCUUUUCACUCCUUUUUACCCACUCCCCUCAAUAAUUCACAGAGGAACUCGACUUUGGAGACUCAGAAAAGACCAGGGGGCGACCAAGGAGGAGAUUUACAAGUUCUAGAGAGAGAUUUGAGUGUUUUGUACUUGUUUUGGUGUGAUUUGUGAAGAUUUGUAAAGGAGUUCAUCUCAAAACCAUUUGGAGAAGAUCUUCUGAACCUUUACUCUGUUUUAAUACAAUCUUAUCAUGUUUUCUUCAUCAAAAUCGUUUUGUUCUUGCUUAGUUAUGUGUGAGUAGUCAUCUAGUUGGGUUUAGGGGUUCUCAUAAGGGAUUUCUUGAUGUUUUGAUCCAUAAAACGUGUGUAGACUAAGGGAUUACGUUUUGGUUCUUCAUCUAAUGGAUUUCUUACUGCUUGAACUGAAUUGAUCACUUAGUUCAUGAUAUUAGAUCGUUUGAUGCACCGAAAGUGAUUGUUUGAACUUCCGAAAAUACUUCAGAUGAGCAAAGUGUCCUUAACCCUCGGAAGUUGAUGUUAUUGCGCUUUGUGAACAUAUUGAACCUGUUCUUAAUGCUUGUUUAGAAAUUGAAACUCAGCGGAAGUUAGUGUGGAGAUUUCUAUAACAUAGAGAAUUAGCGCUACGGAAGUAGGUUAAUUCUAAUAUCGUGUUUGAGUUCUAGACGAUUCUUAAUAUAUCCCUGUCUCUUCCAUUAAUUGUAUCUUGAUUAAAAAGAAAUCUCUGAGAAUUCCCAAUGCCCAACGUUUGUUUUAAAAUAGUUUUCAAAUCGUUUAAAUCAUCUUUUUACAACUUGUUUAUGCUUUGUGACACUAGAGAAAAUUAAAUAAAAACCAACAAAAAUAUAUCUUGUUUCGCUGUAGCUAUUAACUUGUCUGCAACUCUACGUGUGAUCAUCGGUCCCUGUGGAUUCGAUCCCGUAUUACUACUGCGUACUUUACUGUGCACUUGCAGUUAGAUAAUCGGGUAAAAACUCAAGACAUCAAGUUUUUGGCGCCGUUGCCGGGGACCAUUUGGUCACCCUAGAGUUAAUGAUCAGUUUAAGACUAUAGCAUUUUCUUUAUUUUGUCUAAUGCUUCUGUCUUUCUCUUUUUGUUUGUGUUUUCAGGUGAAUGAGCGGAUUUCAUACUAGAAGCAAAGGAUCAUCGAAUUUAAUACCUUUGGAGUUAGAGCUCGGCCGCCUAGAGAGACAAGUGAAAAAGAAAAGACUUGAGUCCGCUGAAGAGGUUGAAAUGGCUGAACACCAAGAAGAUCAAUUUCAGGACAACCCGCAAAAUCCAAUUCCUGUAAAUGAACGAGAAGGCAACAAUGCCGGUGAUAAUCAGCAGGCUGGUGUAGCUGCAAGACAACAAGCUGGAGACUAUGGCAUGCCUAGGAUGACGCUUGCACAUUAUGAUACACCAGAUGCAUUCUAUGCCGAUCGUUCUGGGAUUCGCCCACCUCCCAUUGAGAGAAGAGACUUUGAGAUCAAGACUGGUCUCAUUAAUUUGGUGGAGAAAAAUCCGUUUCAUGGAAACCCGUCUGAGGACCCGAUGUAUCACUUGGAGCAUUUUGAGCGAGUCUGUGACACCAGCAGACAUAAUGGAGUUCCCCAAGGCGCUUUGAAAUGCAGAUUGUUCCCGUUUUCCUUAGCUGAUAAAGCUAUCAGAUGGUUAAAGUCCAUCCCUCCAGGAUCUCUUACUACAUGGGAAGAGACAAGAGCUGCUUUUCUACAGCAUUUCUUCACCAAGUCAAGGUCCACAUAUCUGAGAAGCAGAAUUGGAAGCUUUCAGCAACUUGAUUCAGAAAGCUUUCAUGAGGCUUGGGAGCGUUUCAAGGAGUACACACAGGACUGCCCUCACCAUGGCUACACUGAUGUGAGUUUGCUGAACAUUUUCUAUAAUGGAGUUCAUGAAGAGAGUCAAGAUGCCAUGGACACAGCAAGUAAUGGUGAUUUCAUGACCAAGACUGUUGAAGAAGCUUACACCUUGUUGAACAACCUGUCAUCCAGCAAAGCAAACCGCAAGUCAAGGUUUGAUACCAGCCAGAAGGGUGUUGGUUAUGAAUCCAAGAAGAUAGAUGAGCUGAAUGCCAAGAUUGAGAUGCUUCUCAAGAGAGAUCAGAAAUCUGUGAAAUUUGUGGAGGAGCAAGGCUAUCGUUCCUCACAAGAAGCUGUUGGUGAUGAUUCAAGUGAUAUGCAGGCUGAUGUGAACUACAUUGGUGGUCAAGGAAACUACAACAGAGGCUACAAUCAGAACCUUGGGUGGAAUCAAAAUCAGCAAAAUAAUCUGUCUUACCGGAGCAACAAUGUGGAGAAUCCACAACAUCAGUCCUACCCUCAGGCAGGAAACAGGCAGAACCAGAAUCAGAACCAGAGUGUGUUCAACCAAGGAUUUCAGAACAGAAAUCAAUAUCAGGGGAAUAACUCGGGCAACUCAGGAUUUCAGCAAAGACAGCAGUACAACAACUAUCAGAAUCAAGGAAAUGCCUCUUCGUCACAGCCUUCUCAGGAUAACGAAAUUAAGAAGAUGCUGCAAAUGGUGCUAGAAGGUCAGAAGAAUAGCACUGCAGAGAUAAACACCAAGGUGGAUAACAUGUAUGGAGAGCUUAAUGGGAAGUUCGAAGCUUUGAACACCCAUUUGAAAGUUUUGGAAAAGCAAGUUGCUCAAACCGCCUCUAGCAGCAGAACAGCACCUGGAUUUCUACCAGGGAAGUCAGAGACGAAUCCCAAGGAGUUUGUGAAUGCUAUAACACUUAGGAGUGGAAAAACGGUUGAGGAAUCGAAAGAGAAAGAGAUCGACCGAUCUCAAGAACAGAUCGACCGAUCCAAGGGGAAGGAGAUCGACCGAUCCGGUCCAUCUGGAUCGACCGAUCCCGUGUCGACGAAACCAAAUUCCUCCGAACCUGAAGAGGUGUAUGUGGCGCCUCCUGCUUAUGUUCCUAAGGCUCCAUACCCAUCCAGACCAAGGCAGAAGAUCAAAGAACGUGAGUACGAGAAGCUAAAGAACCUUGUUGGGGAGUUACAUGUGAGAUUGCCAUUUGUUGAAGCGGUGAAGAUGGUACCUUCUCUUAAAAGGUACAUGAAGGAGAUUCUUACCGAUAAGAUGAGCCUAGAGCGGGGUGUGUUGAUGCUCAAUGAGGAGUGUAGCGCAGUUCUACAAAAUGUCAUGCCUAAAAAGCGUGAAGAUCCCGGAGCAUUUGUUCUACCAUGCCGCAUUGGAUCACUUACUUUUGAGAAGAGUCUCUGCGAUCUGGGUUCAGGAGUGAGCCUAAUGCCUUUCUCUGUCUCUGAGAGGCUGGGCAUGACGAACUACAAACCUACAAGGAUCUCCUUGGUCCUUGCUGACCGAUCAGUGCGAAGACCAGUCGGUGUACUAGAGAACAUCCCUGUUGGUGUUGGAAAGGGAUACGUGCUUACCGAUUUUGUAGUUCUGGAGCUGGAAGAGGAACCUAAAGAUCCUCUCAUUUUGGGCAGACCAUUUUUAGCUACUGCUGGAGCCAUGAUUGAUGUACAGAAUGGGCAUAUAGACUUACGUCUAGGAGACAUGGCGAUGAGAUACAAUGUGGAGAAGGUGCUGAAAAAUCCGACUAUUGAUGGACAGACUUUCUGGGUUGAUACAUUGACUGAACUGGUGGAGGAAAUGGAUGAAGAGUUGCACACUGAUGAUCCUCUACAAGUCGCAUUGACCCAAAGGGAGAGUGAGUUCGGGUUCAUGAACCAAGAAGUGGUUGGAUUUUCUGAGAUUUUAGAUUCAGCCCCACCGAUUGAGAAGCAUGUCGCCUAUGUCAGCCUUGAAGACUCAGGCACCGAUAAAACCGCCAAACCGUCAUCCUCCCAACCAGAUUGGAGUGAGGAGAAUGCUCCAAAGGUGGAACUUAAAGCCCUCCCAGCUGGGCUGAGGUAUGCAUUCUUGGGACCGAAUUCCACAUAUCCUGUUAUUAUUUGUGCUAACCUGAAUAAUGUGGAGACCGCUUUGCUUCUUUCAAAAUUGCGAAAGUAUAGAAAAGCAUUGGGGUACUCUUUGGAUGAUAUUACAGGUAUUUCUCCUGAUCUUUGCAUGCACAAGAUUCACUUGGAGGAUGAGUCAAAGACGUCCAUAGAGCACCAGCGAAGACUGAAUCCCAAACUGAUGGAAGUUGUGAAAAAAGAGAUUCUAAAGCUGUUGAGUGCAGGGGUGAUCUACCCAAUUUCAGACAGCACUUGGGUGAGCCCGGUUCAUGUGGUUCCUAAGAAGGGUGGCAUCACUGUCAUCACAAAUGAGAAAGCUGAGCUGAUUCCUACCAGAACAGUCACAGGGCAUAGGAUGUGCAUUGACUACAGGAAGCUAAACUCAGCCACAAGGAAGGACCACUUCCCACUUCCUUUCAUUGACCAGAUGCUGGAAAGACUAGCCAACCACCCCUACUACUGUUUUCUCGAUGGUUACUCUGGGUUCUUUCAGAUACCCAUUCAUCCAGACGACCAAGAGAAGACAACAUUCACCUGUCCAUACGGUACUUUUGCCUACAGGAGAAUGCCUUUCGGAUUGUGCAAUGCUCCUGCCACUUUCCAGAGAUGCAUGAUGUCGAUCUUUACUGAUCUUAUUGAGGACAUUAUGGAGGUUUUUAUGGACGAUUUCUCAGUCUACGGUUCUUCAUUUAGGGACUGCCUUGCUAAUCUGUGCAAGGUGCUGGAAAGAUGUGAGGAGAAGAACUUGGUAUUAAAUUGGGAGAAGUGUCAUUUCAUGGUGAAAGAUGGCAUUGUUUUGGGUCACAGGAUAUCAGAGCAGGGUAUCGAGGUUGACAAAGCAAAGAUUGAAGUUAUGACCAGCCUACAGCCUCCCAGGACAGUGAGGGAUAUUCGGAGUUUUCUUGGACAUGCCGGUUUCUACAGGAGGUUUAUCAAAGACUUCUCUAUGAUAGCGAGGCCACUCACCCGUCUGCUGUGCAAAGAAGCGAAGUUUGUUUUUGAUGCUGACUGCCUCGCUGCGUUUCAGAUUCUCAAGAAGUCUCUAGUCAGUGCUCCCAUUGUGCAGCCACCAGAUUGGGACUUACCAUUUGAAAUAAUGUGUGACGCAAGUGAUUACGCGAUUGGAGCUGUUUUAGGGCAGAGAAAAGACAAGAAACUCCAUGUGAUCUAUUAUGCCAGCCGAACGCUUGAUGAUGCUCAAAUCAAGUAUGCUACCACUGAGAAGGAGUUGCUGGCAGUAGUUUAUGCUUUCGAGAAGUUCAGAUCCUAUUUGGUGGGCUCGAAAGUAAUUGUGCACACAGAUCAUGCAGCCUUGAAGUACCUGAUGACGAAAAAAGAUGCUAAACCGAGACUCUUAAGGUGGAUCUUACUCCUACAGGAGUUUGAUAUUGAGAUCAGAGACAAGAGAGGAGCAGAAAAUGGAGUGGCAGAUCAUCUUUCCCGAAUGAGAGUGGAAGCUGAAACACCACUGGAUGAUACAUUACCCGAGGAGAAUGUCUAUGUGAUCACCUUGCUGGAGGAUGAGUAUUUGGAUCAGGCUGAUUGCUGUGCCAUGAGACAAAUUCAGGAUGAUCUCCCAUGGUUUGCAGACUUUGCAAACUACCUAUGUGCUGGAAUUGAACCACCGAACCUGAAGGGAUAUGAGAGGAAGAAGUUCAUGAGAGAUGUGAACCACUAUUACUGGGAUGAUCCCUUCCUCUACAAGAGAUGCUCAGAUGGUUUAUUCAGGAGAUGCGUUCUGGAGAAUGAGAUGCAAGGGAUUCUUUUCCACUGCCACAGCUCAGAAUACGCAGGCCAUUUUGCAACAUUUAAGACGGUUUCUAAGGUCCUGCAGGCUGGUUACUGGUGGCCUACACUUUUCAGAGACGCCCAUGAGUUUGUCUCAAAGUGUGAUGCAUGUCAGCGGAAGGGUAACAUCAGUAAGAGAAAUGAGAUGCCCCAAAAUUUCAUCCUUGAAGUUGAAGUUUUUGAUGUAUGGGGAAUUGAUUUUAUGGGCCCUUUCCCAUCUUCUUAUGGAAAUGAGUACAUCUUGGUUGCGGUUGAUUAUGUCUCCAAGUGGGUGGAAGCGGUAGCCAGCAAGACAAAUGACUCUAGUGUUGUCAAGAAAAUGUUCAAGACAAUCAUUUUUCCAAGAUUUGGGAUCCCGCGAGUGGUUAUUAGUGAUGGAGGCUCUCACUUCAUCAACAAGACGUUCGAUAAACUGCUGAAGAAACAUGGAGUAAAGCAUAAGGUAGCUACACCUUAUCAUCCUCAGACAAGUGGGCAGGUUGAAAUAUCGAACCGAGAAAUCAAGGGAAUUUUGGAGAAGGCUGUAGGCAAAACAAGGAAAGACUGGGCUGUGAAGCUUGAUGACGCAUUAUGGGCGUAUAGAACCGCCUACAAGACUCCUUUGGGCACCACUCCUUUUAAUCUGGUCUAUGGAAAGUCUUGUCACUUACCUGUGGAAUUGGAGUACAGUGGUUUCUGGGCAACAAAGUUGAUGAACUUCGACAUUAAAACCGCUGCAGAAAGGAGGAUGGUUCAGUUGAACGAGCUGGACGAGAUUCGGUUGAACGCCUAUGAGAACACCAAAAUCUACAAGGAAAGAACUAAGGCGUGGCAUGACAGAAAGAUAAUCCCGAGAGACUUCGCUGCUGGAGACAAAGUCCUUCUAUUCAACUCUAGACUAAAGCUAUUUCCUGGAAAGCUUAAGUCUCGUUGGUCCGGACCUUUCACCAUCACAGACGUUAGACCUUAUGGAGCUGUUGUCUUGGAAGACAAUGGGAGGAAGUUCACAGUCAUUGGGCAGAGGCUGAAACCUUACUUCACAGAUGCAAAACCCGAAGAAGGAACCAACAUUCCUUUAACGGAACCCGAUCUCGCCUAAGGACAACAAAAUAGUCAGGCUCGCGACUUUAAACAAGCGCUGACUGGGAGGCAACCCACAUGGUUUGAUUUUCUUUCUCUUUUGUGAUUAUAUUUUCUUGUGUGAAUUGAUUUUUGGUUGUGUUUUUAGAUGAUUUUUAGGCAUGUAUCACGAUCAGGCAUAGAUCGAUCGAUCCACGACACUAAGAUAGGUCGAUCCACGUCAAAGAUCGCUCGAUCGGGGAUACUAAGAUCGGUCGAUCCAAGUCAAAGAUCGGUCGAUCCGACUCGUAUGGAUCGGUCGAUCCAAGGUAAGUAUUGACCGGUUUGAUUUCACUUAGUUUAAACCGGAAAACACCCAUACAAACACCCACAUCUCGAAAAUGUCGAUCAAAACACCUACAAUUUCAUCUCCUUCUCCUCUCAAACUCUCUCAAACCUCUCAAGAACACCCAAAAUCGAUUUUCAUCAUUUCUCAACCGAUUUUUGUAAUUCUUGGUGCUAAACUCAUUAGUUUUUCGAGCUCUAUCCAUUUCUACCAUCAGUUUUCAUCAAGACACAGGUAUGACUCUCUAAAUUGGGAAUCAAAAAUCGCCCUAGGUUUAGAUUUAGGGGAAUCUCCGAAUUCUAAAUGGAAUAGCAUCUAGAAUGGUUUAUUUGUGAUGAUUAUACUCAUGGGUUACCUAGAUUGCCAAUUUUUAGGAUGAAUUGCGAUUUUGCCAAAAAAAAAAAAAAAAAAAAAAAAAAAUUUGGAGUUUAAUUGAAAAACGAAAAUGGGAAUGGAGUGUGAUAUGUUAUCUUGAGUUUUGAGAAGGGAUGUGUNNNNNNNNNNNNNNNNNNNNNNNNNNNNNNNNNNNNNNNNNNNNNNNNNNNNNNNNNNNNNNNNNNNNNNNNNNNNNNNNNNNNNNNNNNNNNNNNNNNNNNNNNNNNNNNNNNNNNNNNNNNNNNNNNNNNNNNNNNNNNNNNNNNNNNNNNNNNNNNNNNNNNNNNNNNNNNNNNNNNNNNNNNNNNNNNNNNNNNNNNNNNNNNNNNNNNNNNNNNNNNNNNNNNNNNNNNNNNNNNNNNNNNNNNNNNNNNNNNNNNNNNNNNNNNNNNNNNNNNNNNNNNNNNNNNNNNNNNNNNNNNNNNNNNNNNNNNNNNNNNNNNNNNNNNNNNNNNNNNNNNNNNNNNNNNNNNNNNNNNNNNNNNNNNNNNNNNNNNNNNNNNNNNNNNNNNNNNNNNNNNNNNNNNNNNNNNNNNNNNNNNNNNNNNNNNNNNNNNNNNNNNNNNNNNNNNNNNNNNNNNNNNNNNNNNNNNNNNNNNNNNNNNNNNNNNNNNNNNNNNNNNNNNNNNNNNNNNNNNNNNNNNNNNNNNNNNNNNNNNNNNNNNNNNNNNNNNNNNNNNNNNNNNNNNNNNNNNNNNNNNNNNNNNNNNNNNNNNNNNNNNNNNNNNNNNNNNNNNNNNNNNNNNNNNNNNNNNNNNNNNNNNNNNNNNNNNNNNNNNNNNNNNNNNNNNNNNNNNNNNNNNNNNNNNNNNNNNNNNNNNNNNNNNNNNNNNNNNNNNNNNNNNNNNNNNNNNNNNNNNNNNNNNNNNNNNNNNNNNNNNNNNNNNNNNNNNNNNNNNNNNNNNNNNNNNNNNNNNNNNNNNNNNNNNNNNNNNNNNNNNNNNNNNNNNNNNNNNNNNNNNNNNNNNNNNNNNNNNNNNNNNNNNNNNNNNNNNNNNNNNNNNNNNNNNNNNNNNNNNNNNNNNNNNNNNNNNNNNNNNNNNNNNNNNNNNNNNNNNNNNNNNNNNNNNNNNNNNNNNNNNNNNNNNNNNNNNNNNNNNNNNUUCUUUUAAGUAAUCCUCUUUUAUGCUCAUCUAAUCCUCUCUUCUCUGCUCAUCUCCGGCAUGGCGUGGCGUGAAGAUACCUCGACGUCAGAUAUACAGAUCUGGUCAUUCCUCGCUCGUAACCAUUCCUUUGGAUUCCGUCGCGUUCGUCGUCACCCCAACCGUCUGGGCUCGUCGCCACUCACCUGUCAUCUCUCUCUCAGUUUAAAUCUAUGCGUGUUUUACAUCUGAUUUUGUUUUGUUCUUGGAAGAGCUUGCUGGAGGAUACCGAAGAAGGUUGACGGCGGAAGAGUCAAAAGAAGGUUGAAGGGAAGUGGUUGCCAGAUCUGUACCGGAAAGGUCUCGAAAAAUUAAGAAACGGGACUUUUAGCAUGUGAGAUAUGCUCUGACAAAAAAAUUUGGGCUAGGAUAUCAUAGAUUAUUAUAUCAAUAGGGGUAAUAAUGGUAUAUUGGAAAGACCACAGUGUCAUGGGUACUUACCUAAUUAUGCAUUCUUCCGUGUGUACACAACCUAAUUUCUCUAUUAUCUUUUAACAAAAAAAUUUCUAAAUUUCUUGUCAACUUUUUCUGUGAAGUUAUUUUUGUGAAGUUAUUUUUAUGCAUAUAUAAAAUAUAGAUUAAUAAAAUUUCUAGCUAUUUCCUUUUUACUAAGAUUAUUUUGGGGAAAUAUUAAGAAUAAUAAAAUAUUUUAAAAACAUAUGAUCUUGUAAAAAUAUAUUAUAUAUUAAGUUUUUCGUCUAUAUAUAAAAAUAUAUAUGUUUACGUUUAAAAAAAAAUCUUUUUUACUAUUUAUGUGCUUUUGUAAAAAGGAAUACAUAAAUGAAAAAGUUUACUAAAAUUUAUUAGGAAAAAAAUAAAAAACGAUUGUAAUUAAUGGCAAUUGAAUAUAAUCUUUUUAGUUCACUAAGGGUACUAAGUAAUUAACUAUCGUGAGAAUUAACGUUUGGGCGAUACAUAUGAAAGUAACUUUUCAGAUAAUAUUAUAAAGAUUGCCUAUCAAAACGUUGAAUUUAAUUUCCACUAAGCCAUUUUGAUAUAAUAUAAAAUUUAUUAUUGGUACAGUAAAAUUUGAAAUUUUUAUUUAGUAAAUUUUUGAACCCAUAAAAAUACUACUAUAUUGGUAUAUAUGUUUUUUGUAUUGUUCCUAUUAUUCGUAUAAAAAAAUUGAGUUUAUAAAAAUAUUAAUUUCAUGAGAUUUCAUUAACAUUGAUUAACAGAAAGGACAAUAAAGGUAAAAAUAGGACAAAAAUGGUGUUAUCCUAUAAAAACAAUCGUACUAAAUAUUUGGUCAAUAUUUCCAAUUUUCCUAAAUUCAUUACCAUGAUUGGAAGAUUCAUAAAGAAAAGAAAUCUAUAUAUUUGUUUACAUGUACAAACACAAACAAGACCAACACUAUAAGUUUUCAACAAAUAACUAGAGUAAAGGUAAAUUGGUUUAUAUUAAAACAAAAGUUAUGGCUACAAAGAAAUUUCCAUCUCUUCUAUUACUUUCCAUGAUGGUGUUUGCUCUCAUCAUUUUUCCCAUUGAUUCGGCCUUUCCAGGUAAACGUAUUUCUUUGUUUAGAUAUGGACUGUCUCAAACCCAAAAAUCUUUUUUAAUCCAAACUUUUUCAAUCCUUCAAAAAAUAAAAUUAAAACCAAGUCUAGAGUCACUAAACACAAAACAAAAGCCCCUUCAGAUUUGACCAAAAAGUUCAUGAUUCUUAUAUGCAGUAUGUUAAAAUAUUGAAUUGAUUUAUUUUGGUCUUGAUGUAUUGCUAAUUUGUGUUUAUGAUGAAUCAAUUAAUUAGGACUUUAUUACAAAUGUACGGUGGACGGAUGUACACUUACACCAGCAUGUUCGGUAAAAUGCAAGUCUAUGGGGUUCCUUAGAGGAGGUGAAUGUCGAAUUUAUAGCUAUGGCGGUGCUUGUUGCUGCGAAUGCACUGAUAAAUCAUGUAUAAAUAUUGCAGUAUCUAGUCCUUGUCCGUACUAAUCAUUUGUUCAAUCUAUAUGCACUCUUAAUUAUACAUGAAUAAAAAAACCAUAUAUUGAAAUAAGUUUCAUCUUUAAACGAUCUACAUUGUCUCAUCCAACCAAAAAUUAUCAUCUCUUGAUCUCUUCUUGUACUAUAUGUACUCUCAAUUCACAACAUCACACGCCAAUGCGCCAUCACAAUCAAAUCCCAACUCGCUAUAUGUAUGAUAUAUGAAAUUUAGAUAUAUAUACAAUCAAGUUGUUUGGUUUCUUCUAUCGUUUACUUGGCCACUCAUAACAAAGCAAAAGCUUGAAACUUAGCUUAUCUGAACUGAAAAAAUCAGUCAAAUGGUUCGUUUGAUUGGUUCAUGUUCUGUUUCGGUUGAGCGGGAUAACCAUCAAGUAUUUUUCGGUUAUUUUCCAAAAUUUUGAGCAUUUAAAAAUAUUUUGCAUAGUUUUCAAAAUUUUUUUUUUGAUAUGAGUUGUUUUCUAUAAAGAAGGGAUAUAUUGGUCUAUAUUGAACCAAAAUAUUCCGGUUUGAUCCAAUUUAUAUGUGGUCCUUUAUAUACAUGCAUAAUGGAUUGUUUGCUAAAUCAAGAUCUAAUCAGCAAACUACUGAUAAAAUAAUUCGAGAAAUAAAAGAUUAUUAUCACCAAAAACACUGAGUAUUGAGUAUUCUUUAUCAAAUAUCCAUGAGAUAUUUUUUUUUAAAUUAUAGUAGAUUGUAAUCACCGCAAAAUAAAAUAACAACUAACAAUAUAUAUCUAGACUAUCAAAUACAUGCAGAUGGUAUAUUUAAACAGAACAUAAGUUUGUAGUUUGUGUAUUUAUAUAAUAAAUCAUAUUAUAUUUCAUUAAUUAGGUGAUAAUCCGCGCUUUGCGCGGAGUGAAAGUUAAAAUAAUUUUUAUUUGUUGUAUUUUGUAUUCAAGUUACAUAUUAUUCAUAUAUAUAUAUAUAUAUAUAUAUAUGUAUUGUGUCUCUAUAAUAAUAAAACAGCUUUUCUCAUUUGGAAAACAUAAAAAGAAACUAAUAAAAGUAAAUGAACCACAGAACUGAAAUCUGUAAACAAAUCGAAUAAGGCCCAAAUGGAAAUAUAGGCUGUACUAAUAAAAUUGAUUGCAAUAAUGUUAUUGGGCCUUUUUGUUAGAAAGUUCAGUUUUCCAAGGUUACCAAUUAAUUAAGGCCCGCGCCAGCUCAAGACUUUAUUUGUAUUUGGUCGGUCAAGUGGCAUAAACCGUAAAUCUUCUAGUAACGAAAGGACAUUUUUUCGAGGGGUACGAGUCCGAGAGGCGCUGAGAAGCUGACACGUCAGCUUUGUACCUUAAGUUCAUUUUUUUAAAAUGCUUCUCAAUUAGUAUAUAAGAGAUCGUAAAUGAAAUGUUAUACCGGUAGAAAAACAUAAUUAAUAAAUUAACCAUUUAUCAUAUUCAUAUUCCCUAUAUAUUAGUUGAAAAAUAUUACAACUUAUUUUUGUAACCACAUGUUAUCAUUAUGAUGAUUCUUAGAACCAUUAGAAAAAUAAGUUGGUCCACCUAAUUAUAUAAUAAAAAUUUUAUUAAACUAAUUAUAAAUUUAUUAUUAAUGUUCUGUAUUAUUUGCCCUAAAUAAAAGUUACGGAAUUACCUAAUGUGGCUAAAAUAUAUAAUAAUUAAUGAUUUUAAAUAAUAAAAAUUUGAUAAAAAAAUAGUAUAUCUUCUAUCACACUUUUUAAUUUUAAAUUAUUAAAAUAAAUUAAAAAAUCACACUAACCAUAUGAUAAAAUUUAGAUUUUUCUGUAUCUGUUAUAUUUUGAAUUUUUUAAAAAUAAUUAUAAAUUACUAAAACUGUUAAAAAUCUCACAUUUAAAUUUUAUGAUCCAUUUCUUGUUAUGACAAAAUAAAAAUAAUUACAAAAUUAUAUAAAUAAAAAAUCUAAUUUAAUUAAGUAUUAAAAAGUCCAAUCAGUCCACGAUGCACCAAAAACUGCAGUUGCUAGUACGAACUAUGAAAUUGAAAAUUAUAGAGAUAAUCAAAGGACUGUUCCAACGAUAAACUUGAAUCAAUUUGAGUUUCUAAGCCAUUCAGUAUUUUACUAAUACAUGCACAUCAUCAAAAUCUUUUUUAAAAAAUCAUAAUUGAAAAGGGGAAUCUCAAAACCUAACCUUCAAUUUUGGAAAAAAAAAAACGAGAUAAAAAUCGAACACCUACUGGUUCUUAAUCAGCGAUGAAAGCUUCGCCCACCUUGUGCCAACGCCGAUUUACGCUGUCAGAGAAAACAAGGUCACUUAGAGUACAUAAAAAAAACAAGGUUAGAAAAAACAAGGGAGGAGGAAAUAGAAAAAUACCACAGAUGAAAGAAGAAAGAGGAAGGAAAGAUGGCACGACAACGUAGAAUUAGCAGGCGAACCAAGACGCACCGGAGAGAACACAUUGAUGGAGAAGCGUUGGGUUUAGAUUUUUUUUUUAAAUUUUAUUUACAUUUAUUAUACCAUAUUAUAACUCUAUUUAAUUAUUAUUUAUGUUAUUACAUUUUAAUUACUUUUAUAAAUCUAAAUAUGAAGGACUAAAGUGGUUUUCCUUAUAGUUUGUACUAAGGGGACAUGGAUUAGUAAAAUCAUUCUGAAUUAUAGGAUAUUAUAAUCGCCACAAAAUAAGGUAACAAAUAAGUUUUUAAACAAAACAUAAGUUUAAAGCUUAUGUGUUUUAGAAUGAAUCUUGUAUAAUGCUUAAUUAAUCAUACGUAUCAUGCUACCGCUAGAACAACAUAAUAAAUUAGGUAUGUAUGAUAUAUAUCUUACUAAACGAUUUGGAUGAAUUGGAAUUAGUCAUGUUCAAGGAGACUGCAUAUCUAAUUCAAGUAUUUUACGGAUGCAUAAUGAUUUGAAAGACCUUAGCCAUUUUUAGAAUUUUCUGCAUGGUAUAAAUAAAUCUAAAGUUAUUAUAUAGACCAUAACAAACCUAUCAAUUAUUUAUUUUCUAAAUAAAUAUUUAGUCAACAAACUAGUGAUAAAAUAAUUCAGGAAUUAAAUUAUUAUUAUCACCAAAAAACGUUGAGAAUUCUUUAUCAAAUAUCCACGAGAUAUUCUUAUUUUGUAUUUUGAACUAUAGUAUACUGUAAUCACCACAAAAUAAGGUAAUGACUAAUAUUAUAUAUACUUCUUCCGUUUCUCAAUAAGUGUCACUUUGACACUAUUCACACAGACUAAGAAAGUAGCAGAAAUAUAUGUAAAUUGUUAUUAAUUACAUCUUUCUAACUAAUACUAUUUGAGAUAAAUAAAAUUAUUUAUAAAACCAAUGCAGUUUGCAAUUAAUUUUCAGCUGAAAGUAAGUAUAAUUUGCAUUGGAAUUGUAAAGUGACACUUUUUAUGUAACAAGAGAAAAAAACUAGAAUGACACUUAUUAUGAAACAAAGAGAUUAUAAUCUACCAAAUACAUGUAAAUGGUGCAUUUAAACAAAAUUUAAAUCAAAAAGUUUGUGUGUUUAUAGUCAACAAAUUGAUGAUAACAUAAAAUAAUUUAGGAAUUAAAAUAUUAUUAUCACUAAAAACAUUGAGGAUUAUUUAUCAAAUACUAGGGGGUGUCCGCGCGAAGCACGGAAUAUUGUUUUAUUGUUCUUAAAUAUGAUUUUUUGGAUGAUGUGAUUAUGUGGUUAAUAUUUAUUUGUGAAUAGCAUUAUUUGGUGUUUCAUUAUGGUAUGUAGUAGUAGAUAAUAAGUUAAUAUAUUAUGUGUAUGUCUUUUUAAUAAUGUGUUGUUGUGUAUAUAAUACUACUUGUUAGUGGUGAAAUGAGCUUCUGAUGUAAAACAUAUUGAAUUUCAAUAACUUUGCAUUUAGGCAUUUGUUGAUUUUAAGAUUAACGGUAUCAAAAUUGUAUUUUAAUUUUUCACAUUUUUCACAUUACUUUUUUAGAUGUUUCUGCACUCUCCCCAUAUUUUGACCUUGAACCGUCACCAUCUAUGUAUUUCAUUUACCUUUAGGGUGUGCAUGGCUUCUCACCAUCACUGAGAGAAGACUCACCUACAUGCUCUUGUUUUUCCCCACCUUUCUCUUCUGUGAGAUUUUAUGGUAUUUGUUAGAUAUCACGCAUAUUAGUUCCAUGUUGUGCGGUUGUUUCUUACGGCGUUGUAGGUUAUUUCAGUCAAUGUUGGUCAUCUUUUCCAUAAAUUUUGGCUAAUGUUAGAAACUACAUAUCCUUGGGUUGAGUUAGAGUUUAGUCGUCUUUGAUGUUGUCUUCGUCGUCGUUGGUUAAACGUCGAUAGUCUCUGUUGUCUUGGUUUUCAAGAUCUGGUUUUUGGUGAUCUGACUUUUAUGCUCUUUUUUAUAGUUCGAGGAUGUCUCCACAGUUUAUUGAUUUCAUUUCGUCUCCUUUUAUCACUUUGUUCUCUCAUCUCGUUGCACCUUCAUCGCUGAUCACGUCUUUAGUGGCUCUCCCUUUCGCCAUAUUUUCUACUCCAGAGUUGGAUAGUGUUUUUCUCUAUGUAUGCUUUGUGCGCUUGGAAUGUUGUUUAUGGUCUCAAGCUUGAGCUUUGGUUUCUCGAUGGUUGGUUUCCAUUCCCCCCCCCCAUUCAUUUUGAUUAUCUUUUUCUCAUGCGUUCCUUGGUGUAGGUGUGCGGAGUUAGUAUUUUGGAGCUUUGGUUUUUUCUAUUCAGAGCUUUGUGGUUCUUUGUUGGCAUGGGCGCCUUUAUGUUCUUGUUUAGUUUGUGAUGUGCUUCUUACCAUGCGUCUUCUUAUUUCAUGGUAACUUUGUUCAUCCAAUGAUUAUUCUUUCUCUAACCCGUUUUUUGGCUUUUUGCGCAGGUGCUUGAUCGCGAUCCUUUGUGUUCUCGGGAUUGUUUUGUCUCAUAUUUUAUCUUUUUACAUUUUUCUGACAUCUGUUUGUUCUAGUCAAAACAUUUUAUGGUAAGUUAAGAUAACUUAGUCUUCUUUGUUGAUAUCUUUGUAGCUUCAAACCUUUAUUAAGUUAGUGUUACUAUGGUGUUUUUCUUUUUCUCUAUGAUUGUAGAAGUUUUAAGUUUAAAUUAUAUAUUGCACUCUAGUUUCUUCUUAUUAGUUUAGUCAUUUUAUAUUUUUAAUAGUUAAAUAAAUAUAUAUUUUGUAAAUAAAUAAAAAAUGGUAAAAAAUAAUAAAAUAAAAUAAAAUUAUGUUAUUUUUAGUUGUGAAUAAAUUAAAUAUUUAAAAUAAAUUUUUAUUAUUUUAUUUAUUUUUUUAUUCAUCUUGAAUUUUAAUGAACAAUAAAUGGUCCCACAAUAAAUAGAUUAUCAAAUUUCAUACAAUAAUAGUUAGUGAGAAAAAGAUUAGAUAGUGCACAAUUAGAAAGAAUUUGGUCAAAUUGCAAUAAUCUAAAAAAAAGACUUAAAAUAUAAAAAAUGUAUAUGGAUGACACGUGUCGCAAAACCCCUCUGACACUUGUCAGAAAAAAGAAAAAAAACCAACUUUAUAUAUAUGGAUUGUACAAUUCAAACUAUAUGGCCUUAAUUACAUCAAAUUGACCAAGUAAAACAAUCUUAUACACAGUUUGAAGACGACUUAGUAAAACGCUAAAGUUAUUGAAAAUUCUACUCGUUAAAAUUGAAUUGGAGAAAAAAAAGUAUUAAAGACGGAAUAUAUCUUUCAACAAAAUCUCCGAUAUCAAAAAUCAUAAGCUUAAUAAAACUACUUCUUAACUGACAAUUCUCAACCUCAUACAAUGCAAGUACAAUCUUAAGCUUGGUCUUCAACCUCGGUAAUAGCCUUGGCCGCAUAAUCAAGCUUGAUAGCCAAGAGAUCCGUGUACUCUUGGUAUGGCGAUUUCUGAAACCUAGUCUCUUUCCAACAUUCAGGUGUAAGAAACCCAUAUGUCUUCUGAAGACAAUCAAAUGUAGCCUGUGUAGUCCCAAAAACAAAACAUCAAAUCCCAAGAUCAAUCAAUAAUCCAUCAACGAAUUGAACAUAGUCGAGAAUGUAUGUGCUUAAAUCUUCUACAGAUUACAUGUAGAACCACACUGCAUACAUACUAAGGCUAAUAAAGAAUCAUAAAGAUACAAAAUGUGGAUUACUUAAUAUUGCAUUCAAAUAUAAAACAACUAAGCAAACAUGCACUAAAUACAUAUUGGCCGUAGAAACAACACAGCUUCAAACCCAAUAUAAAUCAAUCAAAGAUAACUUAGCAGUCGAUUUGAACAUAAUCAAAAAGGUAUGUGCUUAAGUCUUCUACAGAUUACAAUUGACAAAAAAAAACUAAACUAAGGCUAAUUAAGAAUCAUUAAGAUAAAAAAUUUAUCAUUACAUUCACACAUGAAAAAACUUAACAUGUGUGCACUAUAUACAUAUUCAUCGUAACAACACAGAACCAAACCCAUUCUCAAACAAUCAAAUAUAACUAAGCAGUUGUAUCAAACACAAUCGUAACUUCGGCUACAAGUAAGGACAUAAACAGACCUUAACGAAGUUUCCGAGAGUUUUAGUAGAUCCUCUAGAGGAAGUGAAGACAUCAUCAAUACCAGCAAACUUAAGAACUUUCUUAGGAACCCUAGCCGCCACAAUACCAGCACCUCUCGGAGCAGGAACCAUCCUCACACUUCCCAGUAACCUUACAAGGAAUUGUAUGUGGCUUCCCAAUCUUGUUACCGCAAUAGCCUCUCCUCACAGGAACCACAGAAUCCCACCUCUAAUAGCAGUCGCAACCUCCUUCGAGCAUUUCACUCCCAACCCCACGUGUCCGUUACCAUCUCUGACAACGACAAAGGCCUUGAACCUUCUCCUCUGACCAGCUCUGGUCUGUUUCUGGACAUGCAUGAUCUUCAUGACCUCGUCUUUCAACGAAGUACUGACGAGGAGGUCUAUGAUUUGGUACUCCUUGACGGGGAGAGAGUGGAGAUAUAGAUUGAAUGACUUGAUUCAUUAGAAGAGUAGAUGUACAAUAUAUAUACAGACGUCUAUGCUAGGGUAUCUAAUACAAGUAAUUACAUUGUAAUCCCUAAUCAUAUAUUUCCUUAUCUUGUCUAUAUGCCCCUUCAAGAUGGAGGUGUCUUGACAACUCCAAUCUUGUUGCAGAUAAGCUGAAAAGGUGUCCGAGGUAAUGGUUUUGUGAGAACAUCAACCAGUUGGUCUCUUGUGGAGACAUGUGUAACUCGAAGACAGCCUGUUUGUAUUUGUUCCCUGACGAAAUGAUAAUCCAAAGCGAUAUGCUUCAUUCUUGAGUGGAAAACAGGAUUAGCACAUAGGUAUGUUGCUCUAAUAUUGUCACGAUAUAUGACUGGUGCCUGUGGUAAAUUGAUCCCGAGUUCAGUCAACAACGAACAUACCCAUCUUAGUUCAGACGAUGUGUUGGCUACAGAUCGAUAGUCCGCCUCAGUGGUGGAUCGUGCUACUCCCUUUUGUUUCUUUGAGGACCAGGAGAUAGGAUGUCCUCCUAGAUACAGAACAUAACCAUUUGUGGACACAAAAUCAUCACCGCCAGCCCAGUCAGCAUCAAAAUAAGCAUGAAGAGUCAAAUGGUUAUGUUUCCAUAGUAGGAUCCCAUGAUUGACGGUACCUGCGAGAUAUCGAAGCACCCUCUUUGCUGCAGUCCAAUGGUCAUCAGUGGGGCGAUGCAUAUACUGUGAGAGUUUAUUGACUGCAAACGCUAAGUCCGGACAGGUGAAGGCCAAGUACUGGAAGCUGCCAACUAGUGUUCGGAAUUGCGUAGGGUCCUGAAGUCGUUCGCCUUUGGUGAUUGUAAGUUUGUUGUUGGCAUCCAACGGAGUUGAGACAGUUUUUGUAUUUAUCAUGUUGAACUUGGUAAGCAGAUCGGUGAUGUACUUCCGUUGCAUUAAGUGUAGACCCUCCUUUGCUCUUGUGACCUCUAUACCCAGAAGGUAAUGCAAAUCUCCCAAGUCUUUGAGUGAAAAUCGCUUUGAGAGUGAGGCAGUGAUCAUAUUAACCAGACUUGUCGAUACGCCCUAGACUGAAGUAUCACUUUAGCUGGGUGUUGGAUAUGAUCAGAGAACGCAAACAACACUUCUGGAACUGAGAUGAAUUAAAAGGAUCGCCAAGAGAUGCGGAAUGGCUCUUGAUAUACCCACGAUCUAAGGCAAACCACCAAAGAAAGAAUGAAUGUGUUGGCUAACCACCAAACAACACACAAAGAUGAAUUGGUUGACCACCAAAUCAACAAGCCGAUUGACACCAAUGAACAAGCUAAAGAACUCUCUCUCUCUCAUUCAGAGAAGAAACGAAAUAAACUCAAAACAUAGACUGAUUUUAUUCAUAGAAUGAGAUUAUACAUAUUUAUAUUGUUUGUAGUCAAAGACUAAUAAAGAAGAUACACGAAAAAUAAUGCAUAGAAAAUAUAAAUUUGACCAGAUCUGAAUUAAUGAGUCAAAGAUUCAGUCUUCCAUGCAGAUUGGUCAAAAAUGGCCCUUUAGAUAAUGUCCAGGUUCUUCCAAACCAGAUGGAUGCACGGGGUAAAGAUAAGGACGCUUGCAGGAAUGUCCGGAUGGUCUGCCGAAUGAGAAUGCAUGUCCGUCUUCGGUUUCUUCACGACCCAAGCUAAGUCUUGCUCGACCGUGGGUCUUAGAAUGUCGAGUUGGUCGGGGGAGACGAGCCCUGGUACGGUCAGUUCGGUCGUCUGGUCGUGGUUCCAGCCGAAGCUCCAACCAGGACGCACGCGGGACGAACCUCGGUCAAAUUAUUCAGAACGUCCUGAUCUCCAUGCUGGCCGGCUCCAAUGGAAUGAUCCACGAACCAGGGCAAAUCAUUCCCUCCCUCUUCAAAAAAAUUUGUCCUCAAAUCUAAAACAUUAAAAGGAAAAGGAUUAUAAGCAAAAGAACCAUAAUCAGCACAAUGCUCACCUUGAGUUCGGUCUAUUUUUUGAAUGGAAGAUGAUUCUUCUUGGUUGGCUUGAUGACCAUGAAUUUGUUCUUCAUCUAGCCCCUCCAUUGGCUCAUAUGUUAAGUCAUCGAAAAUUGGCAAUGGGUAUUCCUUUUCAGGCUCGGUUUCAACGUUCUCAUUCUCAAAAGUCACCAACGGUCUUUGCUUUUGACACUUGUUAGCAUAAUGACUGAUCCUAUGGCAUUUGAAGCACCUGGUAGAACGAGAUUUGCUUGUGAGUUUCACAGCUUUGCUUUUAUCAGAAGAAAACACAUUAGUUUUCAAAUCAGAAUUUGAAAAAGAAGAAAAAUUACUUUGUUGUUUUGGUGUAGGAGAAGUGUUGGUGUUUCCCUUCUUUUUGAGUCAUGAAUUGCCUUAUGCAACAUCUUCUCCAAGCUGACAUAAGUCUGAAGCACAUUCUGAUCAAACACAACACGGUUGCUUCUCUUGGCUUUGGUGAAGGGACGAUCACCACUUCUGACCCACUUCUCAUCAUCAUCGAACAUGUUUUGUCUUUUCCUUUGGUUUCUUUGUUUCUGCACAAAAUCAAACCCAUUAGAAACAAACUGUUUCUUAUUUCUAAAAAUCAAUUGCUCUUUUUCUAACACGGUUUUAAAAGGAAAGUAAACGUCUUGUUGUGGUUUUGAUUUCAUGAGAAGUCCAAAUAUCCUGAAAAUACUUAACAAAAUAGUUAUCAAAUAAAAAUCCUCACACUCUCAAAGUGUUUAGCUCACGAUUUUUAGGUGAUCACUCAGAGUUCUUUCCACUGGUUCAAAGGAUGAUAGGCAAUCAAAAUUCAGCAAUCAAAACCCAAAACAAACUUUUGUGGGAAAAAGAAAAGAUAAAGAAAGAUGAAGAGAUUUUUGAUAUGGAUCCGUCUUAACUGUCCUAAGGGUGAGUUUCUCUUCAGCCAGUAGAGUUUCUCUUCCACCACUCCCCCCUGGAUUUAUCUUCAAGAGUGAUUCAAGCCAAAACUUUUUUUUUAUCGAUAUAUAUAUUUUUUUGAUAAUAGGCGAUCACAAAGGAGUAAAGGAACAACCCGGAUCCAAGAAAUAAGAAAAGAAAAACGUGGAGAAAUGAGAAGAUGAAAGAUGAAAGAAAACAAACCAGCCAAAGUGGCUCUGAUACCACUUGAUACGCCUUAGACUGAAGGAUCACUUUAGCUGGGUGUUGGAUAUGAUACAAGAAGGCAAACAACACUUCUGGAACUGAGAUGGAUUGAAAGGAUCGUUAAGAGAUGCGGAAUGGCUCUUGAUAUACCCACGAUCUAAGGCAAAACACCAAAGAAAGAAUGAAUGUGUCGGCUAACCACCAAACAACACACAAAGAUGAAUUGGUUGACCACCAAAUCAACAAGCUGGUUCACACCAAUGAACUAGCUAAAGAAAACUCUCUCUCUCACUCAGAGAAGAAACAAAAUAAACUCAAAACAUAGACUGAUUUUAUUCAUAGAAUGAGACUACAUAUUUAUAGUGUUUGUAGUCAAAGACUAAUAAAGAAAAUACACGGAAAAGAAUGCAUAGAAAAUACAAAUUUGACCAGAUCUGAAUUAAUGAGUCAAAGACUUAGUCUUCCAUGCAGAUUGGUCAAAGAUGGCCCCUUCAGAUAAUGUUCAGGUUCAUCUGAACCAGAUGGAUGCACGGGGUAAAGAUAAGGACGCUUGCGGGACUGUCCGGAUGGUCCACCGAAUGAGAAUGCAUAUCCGUCUUCGGUUUCUUCACGACCCAAGCUAAGUCUGGCUCGACCGUGGGUUUUAGAAUGUCGAGUUGGUCGGGGAAGACGAGCUCCGUUACGGUCAGUUCGGUCAUCUGGUCGUGGUUCCAGCCGAAGCUCCAACCAGGACGCACGCGGGACGGCUCGGUCAGUCUGAUCGCUACGGUCGGAUGAACGAACCCCGGUCAAAUUUUUCAAAACGUCCUGAUCUCCAUGCUGGUCGGCUCCAAUGGACCGAUCCACGAACCAGGGCACAUCACUUGUGUUGCUAUCAGUAACGAUGAUAUCGUUGACGUAUACUAGAAGAUAGACUAUGUCAUUGCCUUGUCGUAGCACAAAGAGUGAGGUAUCAGCGACAGAGUUCCGAAAAUCAAGUGAUAGUACAUAGACCUUGAGUUCUUGGUACCAAGCGCAUGGGGACUGUUUCAAGCCGUAAAUCACUUUAUUAAGGCGACAAACAUAGUCAGGUCGAUCCUUGUCCACAAAUCCCGGUGGUUGCGUCAUAUACACUUCUUCUGUGAAGCGAGCUUGCAGGAAAGCGUGGUUUACGUCGAGUUGUCAAAGAGGCCAUGUCUUAGUUUCUGCAACGCCAAGUAUCGUUCUCAUUGUUGUUGCUUUGAUCACAUGACUGAAAGUAUCUGCAAAAUCAAUCCCAUAUUAUAAACACGAGCCACGAGCCUUGAUUUGUGCAUGUCAAGUUGAUCGUUAUGGAGCAAUUUUUAUCUGUAAAAAUCCAACGACAACCAACAAUGUUUUGAUGCGGGGAUGGUGGAAUCGAAUCCUAAGUUCUGUUUUUGAUUUGAGCAUUCAACUUUACCGAACAAGCUUGUCUCCAGGAUGGAUAUCGCAACGCCUGGUUAAUGGUUUUGGGUAUUUGGUAUUUUUGUAUUUUGGUGGUGAGGGUGUUCACAUACUUUUUGUUUGGCUUGCUUAUGUUGUUUUGAGAACGAGUUUGUUGAGGUUGAACUGCAGAUUGGUUGACAUUAGAGAUCGUCGAAGGUUUUGGUUCUGGGAUUAUAGGAAUUGUGUGGGAAGACAACAUUGCGGUGAAAAGUUGAGUGGCCCAUUUAUCUUAUAUAUUACUAAGGAUCUCUUCCAACAUCCGAUGUGGGGUACUUUGUGUCUAAUACGCUCCCUCGAGAUGAUGGCUCUUUGAGCAUCAAUCUCAGAAUGCUCGGGCAAGGAUCGAUGGGCCAACUUUGGGCCAGAUCGAUGGGCCAACUUUGGGCAAGAUUGAUGUGGAUCGAGUUGAACUGUAUGAAUCGGGUUCUGAUACCAUGUUGGUUGAAUGACUUGAUUCAUUAGAAGAGUAGAUGUACAAUAUAUAUACAGACGUCUAAUGCUAGGGUAUCUAAUACAAGUAAUUACAUUGUAAUCCCUAAUCAUAUAUUUCCUUAUCUUGUCUAUAGGAGAUAGAUAUGCUCUAGCUGCGUGAUUUUACCGCUCUGAACGAGACGACCGAGCUUGGUGACUGGUGUCCAUUUCUUGUCUGGGAUGGCCUCCAUGGUGUCCGCGGCCUCUUCUAGGACCGCCUCUUCCGCCACCGCGACUGCUGAAUCCACGUCCGAAAGUGCCACGGUCACCGCCACGCUCAGUGCUGCGUUCUCCGCCUCUUUCCACCAUUGUCGAUGCAGUGAGCUUGCUUAGGGGUUUGAAGGUAUAUAGGUGGGCAAAAGAUCAGGGUUUUCUUAAACCAGAAUUAUGGGCUCGUGGACUGAAGUUUGAUUAAUUUGCCUAUUUAGGAUAACCCCGGUUUUUCAAAGAAAAAUUCAAAUAAUUCGAACUUUUUUAUAAGAUAUUGGAUAAUUCAAACAUUUUGAAAUAUUUUUGAUAAAAAAAAUUCUGAUAAUUCAGCUUUUUUUUUUAAUAAUUUGAUCUAUAAAUGAGUUUUAGAAUAUUUGGUUAUUUUAAAACUUUAAAUAUUUAAUUAAUAUUUUAUGUAUAUAAGCUGUAUUUUGAAAUUUCGGAUAUGCGUUCAGUUUUUUGUUUGGUUUUCAGUUCGAUUUUGAUUUUUUCAUCUAAAAAUAUAAAAGAAACCCAAUCAGAUAUUUACUAAUUUGUUGACAAAAAAAAAGAUAUUUACUAAUUUGAUUUAAUUUUAUUGGUUCAGUAAUGUAUGGUUCGGUUUCAGGGAAAUGUGCCCGAACUUCAAUCAAUACUAUCCUCACAUAGACCAAGCGAGUCAGAUCGACCACAUGAUGAAUUAAGGGGCUAUGUUCAACAGACGAGGCUCCUCUUUCUGGCAACCUGUUCAGAACACGUGGUGGCGGCUAUUGACAACAUGUGUGGACGCGUCUCUAAACUCUACUUUUCUUUUAACGUUUUUGACCCGCGUCUCUAAACUCUACUUUUCUUUUAACGUUUUUAACGUUAUGGUCAUCCUUAUGUGUGGAGUUCGGCUAAUUUGGGGUUCUCUAAUUCCAGUUUAGUUGCAGAGACAAUAGCUUUACUUGUGGCAAUAUAUCCUAUAAAAGCUGUCACAAUUAUUAAUGGGAAGAUUACAACUCCAAGUCAGCAGAAUGUUUGGAUAGGACGAUAUAGCAAUAUGAUCUUUGAAAGAGACUCAGAAAUCUUGGUUAAAACGAUCAAUGAUCAACUAACGAACUCAACCAUUCAUAAUCUUCUUGAAGAAAUUACUAGCUUGAAGAAUAAGCUUUUUCUAUCAAUAUUUACUUUUGUCAAACGUAAUGGAAAUCAAAUCACCCAUAAAAUCUUAACUGUCCUAAGGGUGAGUUUCUCUUCAGCCAGUAGAGUUUCUCUUCCACCACUCCCCCCUGGAUUUAUCUUCAAGAGUGAUUCAAGCCAAAACUUUUUUUUUAUCGAUAUAUAUAUUUUUUUGAUAAUAGGCGAUCACAAAGGAGUAAAGGAACAACCCGGAUCCAAGAAAUAAGAAAAGAAAAACGUGGAGAAAUGAGAAGAUGAAAGAUGAAAGAAAACAAACCAGCCAAAGUGGCUCUGAUACCACUUGAUACGCCUUAGACUGAAGGAUCACUUUAGCUGGGUGUUGGAUAUGAUACAAGAAGGCAAACAACACUUCUGGAACUGAGAUGGAUUGAAAGGAUCGUUAAGAGAUGCGGAAUGGCUCUUGAUAUACCCACGAUCUAAGGCAAAACACCAAAGAAAGAAUGAAUGUGUCGGCUAACCACCAAACAACACACAAAGAUGAAUUGGUUGACCACCAAAUCAACAAGCUGGUUCACACCAAUGAACUAGCUAAAGAAAACUCUCUCUCUCACUCAGAGAAGAAACAAAAUAAACUCAAAACAUAGACUGAUUUUAUUCAUAGAAUGAGACUACAUAUUUAUAGUGUUUGUAGUCAAAGACUAAUAAAGAAAAUACACGGAAAAGAAUGCAUAGAAAAUACAAAUUUGACCAGAUCUGAAUUAAUGAGUCAAAGACUUAGUCUUCCAUGCAGAUUGGUCAAAGAUGGCCCCUUCAGAUAAUGUUCAGGUUCAUCUGAACCAGAUGGAUGCACGGGGUAAAGAUAAGGACGCUUGCGGGACUGUCCGGAUGGUCCACCGAAUGAGAAUGCAUAUCCGUCUUCGGUUUCUUCACGACCCAAGCUAAGUCUGGCUCGACCGUGGGUUUUAGAAUGUCGAGUUGGUCGGGGAAGACGAGCUCCGUUACGGUCAGUUCGGUCAUCUGGUCGUGGUUCCAGCCGAAGCUCCAACCAGGACGCACGCGGGACGGCUCGGUCAGUCUGAUCGCUACGGUCGGAUGAACGAACCCCGGUCAAAUUUUUCAAAACGUCCUGAUCUCCAUGCUGGUCGGCUCCAAUGGACCGAUCCACGAACCAGGGCACAUCACUUGUGUUGCUAUCAGUAACGAUGAUAUCGUUGACGUAUACUAGAAGAUAGACUAUGUCAUUGCCUUGUCGUAGCACAAAGAGUGAGGUAUCAGCGACAGAGUUCCGAAAAUCAAGUGAUAGUACAUAGACCUUGAGUUCUUGGUACCAAGCGCAUGGGGACUGUUUCAAGCCGUAAAUCACUUUAUUAAGGCGACAAACAUAGUCAGGUCGAUCCUUGUCCACAAAUCCCGGUGGUUGCGUCAUAUACACUUCUUCUGUGAAGCGAGCUUGCAGGAAAGCGUGGUUUACGUCGAGUUGUCAAAGAGGCCAUGUCUUAGUUUCUGCAACGCCAAGUAUCGUUCUCAUUGUUGUUGCUUUGAUCACAUGACUGAAAGUAUCUGCAAAAUCAAUCCCAUAUUAUAAACACGAGCCACGAGCCUUGAUUUGUGCAUGUCAAGUUGAUCGUUAUGGAGCAAUUUUUAUCUGUAAAAAUCCAACGACAACCAACAAUGUUUUGAUGCGGGGAUGGUGGAAUCGAAUCCUAAGUUCUGUUUUUGAUUUGAGCAUUCAACUUUACCGAACAAGCUUGUCUCCAGGAUGGAUAUCGCAACGCCUGGUUAAUGGUUUUGGGUAUUUGGUAUUUUUGUAUUUUGGUGGUGAGGGUGUUCACAUACUUUUUGUUUGGCUUGCUUAUGUUGUUUUGAGAACGAGUUUGUUGAGGUUGAACUGCAGAUUGGUUGACAUUAGAGAUCGUCGAAGGUUUUGGUUCUGGGAUUAUAGGAAUUGUGUGGGAAGACAACAUUGCGGUGAAAAGUUGAGUGGCCCAUUUAUCUUAUAUAUUACUAAGGAUCUCUUCCAACAUCCGAUGUGGGGUACUUUGUGUCUAAUACGCUCCCUCGAGAUGAUGGCUCUUUGAGCAUCAAUCUCAGAAUGCUCGGGCAAGGAUCGAUGGGCCAACUUUGGGCCAGAUCGAUGGGCCAACUUUGGGCAAGAUUGAUGUGGAUCGAGUUGAACUGUAUGAAUCGGGUUCUGAUACCAUGUUGGUUGAAUGACUUGAUUCAUUAGAAGAGUAGAUGUACAAUAUAUAUACAGACGUCUAAUGCUAGGGUAUCUAAUACAAGUAAUUACAUUGUAAUCCCUAAUCAUAUAUUUCCUUAUCUUGUCUAUAGGAGAUAGAUAUGCUCUAGCUGCGUGAUUUUACCGCUCUGAACGAGACGACCGAGCUUGGUGACUGGUGUCCAUUUCUUGUCUGGGAUGGCCUCCAUGGUGUCCGCGGCCUCUUCUAGGACCGCCUCUUCCGCCACCGCGACUGCUGAAUCCACGUCCGAAAGUGCCACGGUCACCGCCACGCUCAGUGCUGCGUUCUCCGCCUCUUUCCACCAUUGUCGAUGCAGUGAGCUUGCUUAGGGGUUUGAAGGUAUAUAGGUGGGCAAAAGAUCAGGGUUUUCUUAAACCAGAAUUAUGGGCUCGUGGACUGAAGUUUGAUUAAUUUGCCUAUUUAGGAUAACCCCGGUUUUUCAAAGAAAAAUUCAAAUAAUUCGAACUUUUUUAUAAGAUAUUGGAUAAUUCAAACAUUUUGAAAUAUUUUUGAUAAAAAAAAUUCUGAUAAUUCAGCUUUUUUUUUUAAUAAUUUGAUCUAUAAAUGAGUUUUAGAAUAUUUGGUUAUUUUAAAACUUUAAAUAUUUAAUUAAUAUUUUAUGUAUAUAAGCUGUAUUUUGAAAUUUCGGAUAUGCGUUCAGUUUUUUGUUUGGUUUUCAGUUCGAUUUUGAUUUUUUCAUCUAAAAAUAUAAAAGAAACCCAAUCAGAUAUUUACUAAUUUGUUGACAAAAAAAAAGAUAUUUACUAAUUUGAUUUAAUUUUAUUGGUUCAGUAAUGUAUGGUUCGGUUUCAGGGAAAUGUGCCCGAACUUCAAUCAAUACUAUCCUCACAUAGACCAAGCGAGUCAGAUCGACCACAUGAUGAAUUAAGGGGCUAUGUUCAACAGACGAGGCUCCUCUUUCUGGCAACCUGUUCAGAACACGUGGUGGCGGCUAUUGACAACAUGUGUGGACGCGUCUCUAAACUCUACUUUUCUUUUAACGUUUUUGACCCGCGUCUCUAAACUCUACUUUUCUUUUAACGUUUUUAACGUUAUGGUCAUCCUUAUGUGUGGAGUUCGGCUAAUUUGGGGUUCUCUAAUUCCAGUUUAGUUGCAGAGACAAUAGCUUUACUUGUGGCAAUAUAUCCUAUAAAAGCUGUCACAAUUAUUAAUGGGAAGAUUACAACUCCAAGUCAGCAGAAUGUUUGGAUAGGACGAUAUAGCAAUAUGAUCUUUGAAAGAGACUCAGAAAUCUUGGUUAAAACGAUCAAUGAUCAACUAACGAACUCAACCAUUCAUAAUCUUCUUGAAGAAAUUACUAGCUUGAAGAAUAAGCUUUUUCUAUCAAUAUUUACUUUUGUCAAACGUAAUGGAAAUCAAAUCACCCAUAAAAUUGUUUGACAUGGUCCAGCAAAUUCUAUUUUUGAAAAUUGUAAAGUUUAUCCACCCAAGUGGUUAAUUCCAACUUUGUAUUAAGAUAUUAUGUUUUCAUAUUAAUAAAAUUUAAGUUCGUCGGAAAAAAAAAGGGCUUUUUGCAAAAGUGACUCAAAACUUGGAGUCAAACAGAAAACUAACCUUUUCUUUUGACUCCUUUUUUUUUGAGAUUUUAACCCCACACCUGCAUUUUAUCUACGAAAAUGCCAUUAACAUUUUGUUUUUUUUUUUUCGAAAAUGGCUUCUUUACUAUCUCAACCUCAUCUUCUUCAAGUAUUUACAAUAUUGCCACUGCAAUGAAUAGUGGCAACAACCUUGUACGAACUGUUUGGAGCUUUUAAUGCCCUUUAAUGCACGUAAAUCUCUUUACACUCUCUCUGUUUCAAUUGUUAUGAACUAAAAACAACAUUUCUUUCACUUUCUCUCUAUAUUCAUCCAAAAAACUCAAGCUUUUGAUUCAAAAUAUGGGCUAUGGUUGACAGAGCCAUAUUUCUUUCGUUUUUACUUACGGUUGCUUUCGUUUGAGGUUCUGGGAGAUGAUGGCUCUUUGAGCAUCAAUCUCAGAAUGCUCGGGCAAGGAUCGAUGGGCCAACUUUGGGCCAGAUCGAUGGGCCAACUUUGGGCAAGAUUGAUGUGGAUCGAGUUGAACUGUAUGAAUCGGGUUCUGAUACCAUGUUGGUUGAAUGACUUGAUUCAUUAGAAGAGUAGAUGUACAAUAUAUAUACAGACGUCUAAUGCUAGGGUAUCUAAUACAAGUAAUUACAUUGUAAUCCCUAAUCAUAUAUUUCCUUAUCUUGUCUAUAGGAGAUAGAUAUGCUCUAGCUGCGUGAUUUUACCGCUCUGAACGAGACGACCGAGCUUGGUGACUGGUGUCCAUUUCUUGUCUGGGAUGGCCUCCAUGGUGUCCGCGGCCUCUUCUAGGACCGCCUCUUCCGCCACCGCGACUGCUGAAUCCACGUCCGAAAGUGCCACGGUCACCGCCACGCUCAGUGCUGCGUUCUCCGCCUCUUUCCACCAUUGUCGAUGCAGUGAGCUUGCUUAGGGGUUUGAAGGUAUAUAGGUGGGCAAAAGAUCAGGGUUUUCUUAAACCAGAAUUAUGGGCUCGUGGACUGAAGUUUGAUUAAUUUGCCUAUUUAGGAUAACCCCGGUUUUUCAAAGAAAAAUUCAAAUAAUUCGAACUUUUUUAUAAGAUAUUGGAUAAUUCAAACAUUUUGAAAUAUUUUUGAUAAAAAAAAUUCUGAUAAUUCAGCUUUUUUUUUUAAUAAUUUGAUCUAUAAAUGAGUUUUAGAAUAUUUGGUUAUUUUAAAACUUUAAAUAUUUAAUUAAUAUUUUAUGUAUAUAAGCUGUAUUUUGAAAUUUCGGAUAUGCGUUCAGUUUUUUGUUUGGUUUUCAGUUCGAUUUUGAUUUUUUCAUCUAAAAAUAUAAAAGAAACCCAAUCAGAUAUUUACUAAUUUGUUGACAAAAAAAAAGAUAUUUACUAAUUUGAUUUAAUUUUAUUGGUUCAGUAAUGUAUGGUUCGGUUUCAGGGAAAUGUGCCCGAACUUCAAUCAAUACUAUCCUCACAUAGACCAAGCGAGUCAGAUCGACCACAUGAUGAAUUAAGGGGCUAUGUUCAACAGACGAGGCUCCUCUUUCUGGCAACCUGUUCAGAACACGUGGUGGCGGCUAUUGACAACAUGUGUGGACGCGUCUCUAAACUCUACUUUUCUUUUAACGUUUUUGACCCGCGUCUCUAAACUCUACUUUUCUUUUAACGUUUUUAACGUUAUGGUCAUCCUUAUGUGUGGAGUUCGGCUAAUUUGGGGUUCUCUAAUUCCAGUUUAGUUGCAGAGACAAUAGCUUUACUUGUGGCAAUAUAUCCUAUAAAAGCUGUCACAAUUAUUAAUGGGAAGAUUACAACUCCAAGUCAGCAGAAUGUUUGGAUAGGACGAUAUAGCAAUAUGAUCUUUGAAAGAGACUCAGAAAUCUUGGUUAAAACGAUCAAUGAUCAACUAACGAACUCAACCAUUCAUAAUCUUCUUGAAGAAAUUACUAGCUUGAAGAAUAAGCUUUUUCUAUCAAUAUUUACUUUUGUCAAACGUAAUGGAAAUCAAAUCACCCAUAAAAUUGUUUGACAUGGUCCAGCAAAUUCUAUUUUUGAAAAUUGUAAAGUUUAUCCACCCAAGUGGUUAAUUCCAACUUUGUAUUAAGAUAUUAUGUUUUCAUAUUAAUAAAAUUUAAGUUCGUCGGAAAAAAAAAGGGCUUUUUGCAAAAGUGACUCAAAACUUGGAGUCAAACAGAAAACUAACCUUUUCUUUUGACUCCUUUUUUUUUGAGAUUUUAACCCCACACCUGCAUUUUAUCUACGAAAAUGCCAUUAACAUUUUGUUUUUUUUUUUUCGAAAAUGGCUUCUUUACUAUCUCAACCUCAUCUUCUUCAAGUAUUUACAAUAUUGCCACUGCAAUGAAUAGUGGCAACAACCUUGUACGAACUGUUUGGAGCUUUUAAUGCCCUUUAAUGCACGUAAAUCUCUUUACACUCUCUCUGUUUCAAUUGUUAUGAACUAAAAACAACAUUUCUUUCACUUUCUCUCUAUAUUCAUCCAAAAAACUCAAGCUUUUGAUUCAAAAUAUGGGCUAUGGUUGACAGAGCCAUAUUUCUUUCGUUUUGACUUACGGUUGCUUUCGUUUGAGGUUCUGGGUGGUUGGAGAAGACCCUGUGUGCAAACGAAGUCAUCUCACCUAGUUUAAGGUACGAAUUUGAAUUUUUUUUCAAGAUCUGUUCGCGUAGAAGACUUACUAGUAAGUCAUCUGUAUGUAGAAGACUUACUGAUGAGUCUUCUGGUCAAACGGACGACUUAAAUUAAGUCGUCCAGCUUUGUUUGUUAAAAAAAACACUCCAGACGACUUAUAUAUACGUCGUCUACGAGAAACGGGCUAGUUUUGCAUUUGACCGAAUCGUGUCAGAUCUUUGACUAUUUCUGGACGACUUAUAAUUCAGUCGUCUCUGGGAAAGUUAAAAUUUCAAUAUUUUAUGAAAACUUGACGACUUACGUGUAAGUCGUCCUAGGUUAGUUUUGUAAUUGAAAAAUAAAACUUCAUAAUUUAACUUUAACCAGACGACUUAAUAUAAAGUCGUCCCUCCAGAAGACUUAAUUUAAAGUCGUCCGGGGAAAGCAAAGUCGUCCAGAAUUUUUCCCAAUUUUCUGGUCAAACCUUGCUUAUCCCGGACGACCUUAAAUUAAGUCGUUUAGCUGGACGACUUUCAUCUAAGUCGUCUGGAGAAAGUUAAAUUUCAAGUUUUAUUUUUCAAUUACAAAACUAACCUAGGACGACUUACACGUAAGUCGUCAAGUUUUCAUAAAAUAUUGAAAUUUUAACUUUCCCAGAGACGACUGAAUUAUAAGUCGUCCAGAAAUAGUCAAAGAUCUGACACGAUUCGGUCAAAUGCAAAACUAGCCCGUUUCUCGUAGACGACUUAUAUAUAAGUCGUCUGAAGUUUUUUUUUUAACAAACAAAGCCGGACGACUUAGAAUUAAGUCGUCCCUUUUAAUUUUCAAUUGCAAAAGUGACCUCUUUAGACGACUUACCUUUAAGUCUUCUGGACGACUUAAUGCUAAGUCGUCUGCGGCAAUGUUUAUUGAACUUCUUCAUUUUCUCUAUGUUUACUAAUGUGUUUUAUUUUGAAUAUUUGCAGAUGAUUUUUCAGUUACAUGCAGUGUAUGGAGAAUGGUUGUUGAGAGAUUUCCGUUGGGAUUUUGUGGUUGAUGAUCUCAAAGGAGCAAGAUUGUUUUUAUUGAAUGAAGAUUCAACACAUGCUGAACUUGUUGCAAUGGCUCAAGAAGAUUAUAACCUGGACAUGAGAACAGUGAGUGUGGAGAUUAGCUACUCAUUACCAGCAGAAAUGAUGAUGGCUCCAGGCAGUCUUCCCAUUCAUGUUACAAGUGAUAGACAAGUUCGAAACUUGCUGGAGAUACUCAAAACCCAUAGAGUAUGUCUUUGUGUAUCAAGCCGCAGCAAGGUCGAAACGGUUUCAGAGAAAAGGGAUAUUGAUGAAGCUGGUGAAUGGGAAAAAGAUGUUGGUGAUAAUGAUGAAGCUGGUGAAUGGGAAGAAGAUGUUGGUGAUGAUGAUGAAGCUGGUGAAUGGGAAGAAGAUGUUGGUGAUGAUGAUGAAGCUGAUGAAUGUUUUGAAGAUGUUGGUGAUAAUGAGUUUGUUGAAGAUGAAAAUCAAGAUGGGGAGGAGGAAAAUGGGGAAAAGGAUGCUGAUAAUUCUAUUGUUGGUGAAACGGAUCAGAAUGGUGGGGAUUACAGUCUUUAUGGAAAGGUUCCAGAUGAGGACGAGGAAGAUGAUGAUAAUAUUUGUUUUGAAGAAAUCCAAAAGACAUAUGCUAAGACAAAUGCUAUUGAAGGAGGAAAAUCGAAUGGUACCAGUAUCUAUGUCAACCAGAGUUUUGUUAGCAAGGGUGCACUGCUUUCAGAGCUGCGGUUGGCAGCAGUGAGGGGUAAGUUUUCUUUCAGAUUAUACAAAUCAACGAAAACUCUCGUUGUGGCAACAUGUCCGGUUAGCUAUUGUGGAUGGAAGGUCAGAGCGAGUGUCAAACAUGGGACAAACACGUUUUGGGUAACAAAGUAUGUGGAAAAACAUUUAUGCUCAGCGGGAGACCGAAUCGCUCAGCGGAGACACUGUACUCCGAAGUAUGUAGGUAGUCUUUUCAUUGAUCGUGUUGGAAUCAUUGAUGGGAUAACUCCGCAGCAUAUCACUGAUGCAAUGAGGAACAUGUUUGGCAUGGCGCUUGAUUACACCACUUCAUACAGAGCACUGUUAUAUGCACAAAGAUUGGUGAGAGGAUCAGCAGAAGAAGGGUAUUCGCGUCUGGCAUCAUAUCUCGAGCAAAUCUCCAUUGCAAAUCCUGAUUCUAUCACGGCGAUAGAACUUGAUUCUAUGAAAAGAUUUAAGUAUCUAUUUCUCUCUUUUGGAGCUUCUAUCAAAGGUUUUAAGUAUCAGAGAAGGGUCAUUGUGGUGGAUGGAACUCACCUAAGUGGAAAGUAUGGAGGAACUAUGUUAGUUGCAGCCGCACAAGAUGGCAAUUUUCAGAUAUUCCCAUUGGCUUUUGGGAUCGUGGAUGAGGAAGAUAUACCUUCUUGGGAAUGGUUUUUCACAAAAUUGGCUAGUUGUAUAUCUCAUGACAAGCCUCUGGUGAUAGUCUCCGACCGGCACAAGGCCAUUAAAAGUGCGUGUGAUAAGGUGUUUCCUUGGGCAACCCGAGGAAUAUGUUAUUAUCACCUUCAAGAUAACAUUGUCAAAAAGUUUAAAGGGAAACAUCUCAUGUACUUGGUGAAAGGGGCUGCUUAUGCUCACACGGUUUACGAUUUUGACCGGUACAUGGCUGAGAUACGGAGUGCAAACCCGGAACUUGCAACGUAUUUGGAGAAAGCCGACGUCAGGCUAUGGUCAAGGGUUUAUUGUAAGGGGAACAGGUUCAACAUAAAAACAAGCAACAUUGCUGAAUCUAUUAAUUCCGCACUGAAGCGAGCAAGAGGAUUUCCGAUUACGUUCCUGCUGGAGUUCAUAAGGCAGAAGUUAGGAAAAUGGUAUUGGAAAAGGAGACAAGAUGCUUUGAGUCUCACAACUGAACAUAGCGGGGGUGUUGAAUACUUGCUUGCUGUUCGAGAAGAGAUAGCGGGUACGAUGACGGUCGAACCAAUUGAUGGAUGGCAUUUCUUUGUCAAAGGUGGCAAAAUGGACUGUGUGGUUGAUUUGGAACAUGCAAAGUGUGAUUGUGGUGUCUAUGGAGUGGAGAAAAUACCUUGCUCUCAUGCUAUAGCUGCUGGAAUACAUGCUGGUUUGCAUAUCUCCACACUUGUAUGUCCACUGUACUCAAAGAAUUAUCUGUAUGCAGGAUACUCAGAGAAUAUAUAUCCUAUCGUGUCACAACAUAUUGAGGAACGAGAAUGCUUUCCUCCAGAACUAAAGCGUGGUCGGGGGAGACCGAAGAAAUCAAGAUGGCAAUCUUGGUUGGAGCUAUCUAGGAUGAGAGGACACAAACCCAGGAAGAAACACAGGGCACGGAGAUGCUCAAACUGCAAGGAAACUGGCCAUACAAAACCACAAUGUACACAACCAGUUGACUAGUUGUCCAGACGACCUAAAUUUAAGUCGUCCAGUCUUGAUUACCCGUCCAGACGACUAAAUUUUUAGUCGUCCAGUGUAUUUUAUUUUUAGACGACCUUCUACUAAGUCGUCCAGUGUAUUUUAUUUUUAGACGACCUUCUACUAUCCCUUCAAGUGUAUUUUAUUUUUAGACUACCUUCUACUAUCCCUUCAAGUCGUCCAAACCUUCUAGACGACUUAUUUGUAAGUCGUCCAGUUGGAAAACCUUCCAGACGACUUAUAAUAAGUCGUCCAAACCUUCUAGACGACUUAUUUGUAAGUCGUCCAGUUGGAAAACCUUCCAGACGACUUAUAUUAAGUCGUCCAAACCUUCUAGACGACUUAUUUGUAAGUCGUCCAGUUGGAAAACCUUCCAGACGACUUAUUUCUUCCAGACAACUUAUAUAUUUACAAAUCUAUACAAAGACAAGCUGAAAUACAAAUACUUCGCUCGUUAAAAAAUCAUGUUCAAAUACAAAGACAAGUUCAAAUACAAACACAAAUCUAAUCAUACAUGCCCACGAACUUAUCACCAUCCACAUUUUCUUUCAGAUGCUGAUCAACAAGCUCCUUCCAUAUAUCCACCGCCAUAUUAUCCCUCAUUUUCUUCGCGUUGCACCUAGCAAAGUCUUUAGGGUCAAAGGAGACCCCAAGAGCAUGACAUUCAAUGUACUUUACAGCGUACACGCCACAAUCACCAUUGUUGGCCGUGGGUACACCUUUCAGCGGUCUCUCAUAUGUGUAUGGCUCCAACCCGUAUUUGACCCGUAUUUCGUCGGUGGCUGCGCACUCAACAAGCAGAUAAGGGACCAUCUGGAGAAAAGGCUCCAUUAUCGCAUCCCAUGCGUCUGGUACACUAGAUGAAGGUAUGCUGUCCCAGACGACUAUGUGCCUCUUAGGGAUCGAUAUCCAAAUAGCAACCCAAUGCUUGUCGUCCAAGUUCACUGGCGCAUAGAUAUCAUCAAUGUCCUCCCCCCACUUCUUGUUUGAUUGGCAAAAUGAAGGUAUUGAUCCGUCAUAAAAAUUCGACGCCCCACCAGGUAGAACUCUUCCUAAACCUUUGUGAUCAGGUUCCGAUGUUUUGAAGAGCUGAUACUGCUCUCUCCAAGACUGGGAAAAGUUGUGAUCCAGGAAGCACAUUCGCUCGCUCCUGAAAGCUUGUGGGUUCUCCUGAUACCUCUGCCUUAGCACAUUAAUCCAAGCAUCUAUAUGCUGCAUAUUAAAUAUAACAAGUUAGAAGUUACCAGACGACUUAAAUAUAAGUCGUCUACGUGGUCGUCCAAGUAGACGACUUUCCAGACGAUUUAUCUUUAAGUCGUCUGGAAAGUAGUCUACUUGGACGACUUUGUAGACGACUUAAAUCGUGUGCAGAAGACUUACGCAGUCUUCCAGCCAUCCUCUGGCUGUCCGGAGGAAGUGGUACCACCUUGUUGGUGAUGUACGUGGUUUGUCCUCGGUCUUAGUUAAAUAAUGACUGCAAACAAAAAAGCAAUCAGUUUUGGACGACUAAAUCAAGCUAUUAUGGGUAAAGCAAUCACUUACGGAUCAGUUUUCAACCAAUCAGCGAGUUCCUUCAACUUAUCUUUGUUUACUGGCGGAAAUGGAUUAUAGGCUGCCACUUUAUCUUUUUUUUUCUCUGCCGUAUAAGGAGAUCUCACAGUGGGAGCAGGUUUCUUCGCUCGUUUACUCUUUGCACGCUUGUCCAAUACAACCAGGCUCGGUUCUGAAACUGGAUCGCUUGGCUCGGUGGAAGCGAGGCUCGGUUGUUGAUCGGUGGAAGCGAGGCUCGGUUGGUGAUCGGUGGAAGUGACAGCAACAAUCUCUUUGGAGGUGACACCAUCUGCUUUAUCCUCCGGCAAGAUCUUAUUUACCGAGUUCGCCUCGGUUGCUGUAUCCUCCGGCAACCAUCUCUGCAAUAAAAGUUGCACACAAGUUAACCCUGGACGACUUAAAUAAAAGUUGUCUGGACGACUAGUUGACCCUGGACGACUUAAAAUUAAGUCUUCCGUGGUCAACUAGUCGUCCAGACAACUUACGUUUAAGUCGUCCAGGGUCAACUAGUCGUCCAGACAACUUUUACAGUCGUCUGGACAACUAGUUAACCCUGGAUUUGAUACUAACCUCUUUGAUUUGAGGAGGCUGUUUCUUUUGAGGAGGAGGCUGUUUCUUUUGAGGAGGAGGAGGAGGCUGUUUCUUUUGAGGAGGAGGAGGCUGCUGUUUGGUUUGAUGAGGAGGAGGCUGGUUACUAACCACGGUUUCAUUGGCAUGAGGGGUAGCCUGUUUGUUACUACCCCCGGUUUCUUUGGCAAGAGGGGUAGGCUGUUUAUCUUGAGGGGUAGCCUGAUUGGUUAGAGGUGGAGGGGUAGCCUGAUUGGUGACACCAACCUUCUUCUCCACAGCUUCCAAUCUAUCGGACAACUUCCUAAACUCCCUCAUGCACUUAUUAAACCCUUUUUUCAUGCAGUCAGCUACGCCCUUGAACAUAAUUUCCAACUCCUCUCUGGUCACCCCUCUAGCCUCUUCUCUAGCCUCUUCACUAGCCUCUUUAGGAGCCUCUUUACGAGCUUUCUUCCGAGGUCUUGGAUUGUCUUCCUCCUCCUCCUCCUCCUCCUCCAACACAACCAUCUCUUUGGCCUUCUUCGAUGGAGUCACAACCUUAGGUUUUGUAUUGACCUUAGUACCAGUGACUUCCCAGCAAUCCAUGGUCCACUUCCACGGUCUCCGCUCAUACAUGACUUUAAUGAUGUUCUCCGCGGGCAGGUCCUCAACCUCAGAGUCCCAUUUUGGCCACAUUUCACUAAUGUCCUUCUCAACAAAGUUGAUCACGCGGGUCUGCAGUAAAUAGAAGAAUCGAGUUAGAUAUUUGAAAAAAAAUACUAAAUAGACGACUUAAUUAUAAGUCGUCUACUAAGUCGUCCAGCUGGAAGACCUUCCAGACGACUUAUAAUAAGUCGUCUAAUAAGUCGUCCAGAUGGAAGACUUUCCAGACGACUUAAUUAAGUCGUCCGAUAAGUCGUCCAGCUGGGAAGACUUUCCAGACGCCUUAUUAUAAGUCGUCUAAUAAGUCGUCCAGAUGGAAGACCUUCCAGACGACUUAUAAUAAGUCGUCUAAUAAGUCGUCCAGAUGGAAGACUUUCCAGACGACUUAAUUAAGUCGUCCGAUAAGUCGUCCAGCUGGGAAGACUUUCCAGACGCCUUAUUAUAAGUCGUCUAAUAAGUCGUCCAGAUGGAAGACUUUCCAGACGACUUAAUUAAGUCGUCCGAUAAGUCGUCCAGCUGGGAAGACUUUCCAGACGACUUAUUAUAAGUCGUCUAAUAAGUCGUCCAGAUGGAAGACCUUCCAGACGACUUAUAAUAAGUCGUCUAAUAAGUCGUCCAGAUGGAAGACUUUCCAGACGACUUAAUUAAGUCGUCCGAUAAGUCGUCCAGCUGGGAAGACUUUCCAGACGCCUUAUUAUAAGUCGUCUAAUAAGUCGUCCAGAUGGAAGACCUUCCAGACGACUUAUAAUAAGUCGUCUAAUAAGUCGUCCAGAUGGAAGACUUUCCAGACGACUUAAUUAAGUCGUCCGAUAAGUCGUCCAGCUGGGAAGACUUUCCAGACGCCUUAUUAUAAGUCGUCUAAUAAGUCGUCCAGAUGGAAGACUUUCCAGACGACUUAAUUAAGUCGUCCGAUAAGUCGUCCAGCUGGGAAGACUUUCCAGACGACUUAUUAUAAGUCGUCCGAUAAGUCGUCAAGCUGGACGACCUUCCAGACGACUUCCAGUCGUCUGCGCAGUCUUUUGGAUUGAAGUAAAUACCUGACUCAAGAUAGCAGCUUUCAUUGAUCUGCGGCCUCUGCUGCCCUCGUAAGCCAGUAUCGGUGGAGACGGACUGUCUGCUCUGGGACCACCAAUACUAGCACCCAAUUCCGGCAUAGCUGUGUACGUCCAGACUUGAAGAGCUUGUAUAAACCCAUCCACGGUGUAACAACCAGCAAUUUCUUUGUUCCACAAAGAGUCCAUCAGCACCUUAAACGCGACUCUCCCCCAUGGAUAAUUCUCAAACCGUUCUAAAUCCAUCACUAGCCUUGCCAGAGUAGAUCGUGUAGCGGUUGAAAACUUUCUCCCUUCAAUGAAUCCAGUGAAGAUGGAGAGGUACGCGAGCCGCUUGCGAUCUUCCCUGGACCAAUCCCCGCAUCUCUUCAGUGCUGCUAUUAUCUGAUCAGUAGUUGGCCCAGCUUCCAGAUGAACUCCCAGCAUCCCCCAGAAAGAAACCAUCUCUGGGGUAACGUCACAUUUUGGUGUCUCAAGGUCCUCGAUGUACUCGCAGUUUAGACCAGUGAGGUUUUCAAACUCUAACAGUGAAAACCUCAAAGGUUCUGGACCAACGAGAGACCACAUCUCAUACUUCUUCUUAAUGUCCAGCUUGAAACUGAGCAUGUAGUGAACCAGCCUUGAAGCCCAACCAAAUCCCUGCUCCUUGAACUUGAUGAAAACUCCCAAACUCGACUCCUUGAGCUCUUCAAAUUCGUCAUCAGUAAGAGCUUUCCUAAGAGCAGUAUGCAACUUGCUGUUAUCCGUAUGAUACGAAAUGCUAUUGUGGGCUUCUGGCUCUUCCCCUGAUGUGUAUAACCUACGGGGGAGUUCUGGAAUAUCCAUCCUUUUUGUCUGCAAAAUAAUCAAAGACAACAAUAUAAGUCCAGACGACUUAGUAGACGACUUAUAAUUAAGUCGUCUGGAAAGUCUUCCAAAUGGACGACUUAUAUUUAAGUCAUCUACUAAGUCGUCCAGUUGGAAGACUUUCCAGACGACUUAAAUUACUUACAAGUCUUCCAGUCGCAGAAGGAGUUGGAGUACUCGUCAUUGCGGUUAUUGAUCUGAAAAAAUAAACGUGAAACGGUGAGAAUGAGUAAAUUGAUAGAGACAACGUUUUAUGUUCAUCUUUUCCUCGAGAUUGAUGACUUAGCGGCGUUAGGGUUUACAGAGAAACGGCGCUAAGGUUUACAGAGAAGAAGCGGCGGCGCUAGGGUUUAGAAGAAGCGGCGGCGCUAGUGUUUAGAACGUUGGUGACCACGGUGGCGAGGGCGACGGUUUGUUCGGAAAUAGUGGAAGCGGCGGCGCUAGGGUUUAGAGGAAUCGGCGGCGCUAGGGUUUAGAGGAAUCGGCGGCGCUAGGGUUAGAAGAAGCUGCGGCGACAACGGUGAGAAUGAAGUGAGAUAGAUAGCCGACGUUGAGAACGAUGGUUUGUUCGGAAAUCGUGGGAAUUCGAAAUCGCCUUUGAGAGAGAACUGUUAGGGUUUCUGAAUUUCGCGAAAAAUGAAACAAAAAAAAAAAAAAUCACCUUAUAUAUUGGGUAAAUAAUCCGGUUAGCUUUAAAAGUACAUUGGUAAACUUUAAGGUUUGGUCCGGUUUAGACGACUUAUUCUGGCUGAUAAUGUACAACAGACGACUUAAUAUUUAGUCGUCUGUUUUCAGACGACAAAAUAUUAAGUCGUCCUAGACCCUAAAAUGAACCCCUAAACUAAAAUGACUAGAUUAACUAACUAACCACGUUAUAAAAUCAAAUUAUACUUAAAUAGUGUUUACUAUACACAGAAAUGAACACGCAUAAGUAAUUUUAAAAAUUUUCAAAAACGGUUUUAAUGCUUUCCAAAAUCUAACCCUAAGAACACAUACAAUACUACAACAUAUGUUGAUGAAACAUAAACUAAAGAAUAUCAUGACUCACUACUUUCACUCAUCUAUGCUGAAAACAAUUGAAAUUUGUUAUAUCUUAAUUUAUACCUCCUAAGACAUAUGUUAAUUACAUAAUUCCCAUUUUUCACUUAUCAAAAUAUUUUUUACAAAAUUUUUAAAUUAUGUUUAAGACUAACUGUCCAGACGACUUUCAGUUAAGUCGUCUGGACGACUUAUUUUCAAGUCGUCUAAACAGACGACUUUCAGUUAAGUCGUCUGGACGACUUAUUUUCAAGUCGUCUAAACAGACGACUUGCGAGGGGUAGAAACGUAAAAAAAAAUCCGUUUUUUUGUUUGGUCACAAGGGGAUAUUUGUAAUUUCAAUAGCCUUUUAGGUUACUUUUGCCUUUGAUCCAAGUUGGAGUAUUGUUUUGGGUUUGACUCCAAGUUUUGAGUCACACUUCGCAAUUCUCGAAAAAAAAAAAAAAGACUUCAUGAUGGGCUAACACGUUAAAAGCCCAUUGUUAGGCACUAGUUUAUACGUAGUGGCUGGUGGGUAUAUAAAAAGGAACCAAAUGUUUAACCCGAACCGGGAAGAUUCCAUUAAUAAAACAAACCAAAGAUUCGUCGUCUUCUUCAAAUUGUUAUUUGUUUCCUUUUCCUCUCUCGGCUUCCGGAGUUCCUCACUUCUUGGCUCUACACUCAUGUCACAGUCCAAAUCAAUCACGUAAUCAAAUCAUCCCCUUCUUCUACUCGCGAAUCUCACAAUCCCUAAAUUUCCGCGUCUCUCUCUCCCUCGCGCUUUUGAUGGACAUUCUUCGAUUAGGUUCGAUUUCACCUCAUAGAAGAAGGAAAUGGCUGAUUCUAUUAUCCCUUCUCGGAGUCUCGAGCUACGGAGCUUACAAAGUUUACAACUCCCCAUACAUCGCCGCGAAAAGGAAGCGUCUCACGAACCUCUUCGAAGGAAUCGCCUCCUUCGCCGAGCUAGUCACCGAUUCAGCAGAGACGAUAACUCUCGUCUCCCGAGACUUGAAGCAGUUUCUCGAAUCCGACUCCGACGAAAUCCCAAACAGCUUGAAGCAGAUAGCGAAAAUCGCCAAAUCGAAAGAGUUCACUGAUUCAAUAUCUAGGGUUUCCGAGGCCGUAGCCGUCGGUGUCCUCCGCGGGUAUAACAUCGAUAACAACGUCGAAGCAGAAUCGAAUCCAAGCGUUUUAUUCUCAGAGGCGGGAACUGGUUUCGUCUCGGUUCUUGUAGGUAGCUUCGCGAAGAAUCUCGUUCUUGGAUUCUACGAGGUUGAGAGUAGUGUUGAAACGACGAGUACGAAACCUAGGUGGAUGAGUUUGUUAUGCGAUGACAAGUUUAGAGAGGUGUUAGCUGAUUGUAUAGAGAGAUUCACUAGCUCUGCUGUAACCGUCUACAUCGAGAAGACUGCUGGGGUCAACACUUACGACCAGAUAUUCUCUGGCUUGACGAAUCCGAAACACCGAGAUGGAGCGCGAGACGUUCUCGUCUCGGUCUGUAACGGAGCUCUCGAGACGUUCAUGAGGACGUCUCGCCAAGAAGAAGAAACCGUUAGGGAUUCGUCUUCCUUUAGUGGAAAUGGAUGGGCGGAGGUGCUUACGACUACGUUAGCGGUUCCGAGCAAUAGGAAGUUUAUGUUCGAUGUUACGGGAAGAGUGACGCUGGAGACGAUGAGAUCGAUUCUUGAGUUUGUUGUCCUGAAGACGUCGCAGAGCUUUAUGAGGAGUUUCGUUGCGGUUCAAGAAGAGGUUACGGAUAGAGGACGGCAAGUGGUUGGGUAUGUUGGUGCUAAGUCUUCAGUGAUAAUCACUCUUUGCCUCGCGGUUUACCUUCAUGUUGUGAACCGCUUUGUUCGAGGUUCUCCGGUUUGCUUAAACCAGCAUUUCUAGUCGUUGGGUGGAUCUUUUAGCUCAUUAGAAUAUGUUAGGGACGUGAGAUCUUCAGCUUCCACAUUCUAUUGGUUUAUGUAGUUUAGAGCUGAAUAAUGUAGAUUUUUUGUGUUGUCCACAGAUUGAUUCUAAUUGAUAAAGCAAGUUCUUGAGAUAAUAUUUGCAUCUAAUUUUAGCAAAAAAAAAAGAAAGAAAGAUAAUAUUUGCAUCUAUGCAAGUAUAAAAGUACCAACGCAAAGCCUAAAAGAUCAUAUGAGAGUGUGUGAUGUUUUGAGAUGAAAUUAAUAUUAUUUUGUGAUUUUGGAGUCUAAAACACUCCUUGAAUCCACUUUGCGCCUCCAAAACCUCUCCUGAACUCCUCAAGUGACAGUUCUCGGCAAUUCAGAGUCCUGCCAGAGACCAUCGCCGUCAAUAGAAGAAGGGGACGAUACAACUUCUGAUGACAAUCCUCCUUCGACUGUCAACACUAAGCUCAAAUCAUCCAAGGCUUCGCUAACCCUGAGCACGUCGUGGUUCUUUACAACAGAGACACAGGUCAGAGCCGUGGAUUCACCUUUGUGACCAUGAGAAACGUCAGAAGAUCGCAACGUCAUUAUCGAAAACCUCGAUGGAAUUGUAAGUGAGAGUUAAAAGGUGUGAAGCUUUACAAACAUAAAGUCACGUUUCUAUUGUUUCUUAUUCAGGAGUAUCUUGGUAGGACUUUGAAGGUGAACCUCUGUAUCCAGAAACAGAGUACAUGCUGUUUGUUGGUAACUUGUUGUGGGCACUCACUUCUGAGUCACUAGCUGGAGGCUAGAGAGAGCGUUUCGAGAGUGUGGACUUAAUGUGGUUGGUCCUGGAGUUGUGAAUGACGGAGACACCGGGAAAUCAAGGGGUUAUGGCUUUGUUUGUUACUCCUCCAAAGCUGAAAUGGAAAACGCGCUUGGAUCGCUUGAUGGACUUGAGCUGGAGGGUUGGGCCAUUCGAGUAAACCUGACUCAGGGAAGAAAUCCUGAUAUCAUACACCAGCAUUUUGGAAUCAUUUUGAGCUUUCUAGAGGUUAUGAUUCAACUGAACUAAUCAACUCUAAAGAUCAAUGUGUUGCCCUAUGGAAUCACCUGAUAUCAUACACCAGCAUUUUUGGAAUCAUUUUGAGUUUUCUCUCUUACAUAUCUCAGAAAAAGGUCUGCCCAACUUGUGUUUUGAAUCAUCACAUCCCAGAGUUCACAUAAGUUAGAAUCAAAACGGCAAAGCAGAAAGUAACUAAUUAGAUCACUCUUGUCUGAAUGAGUUUGAGCUUCUUAAGACACAGAGUUCAAAUGCCUUAUAUCUACAACAUUCUAACAAACAUGGCCAGGGCAGAAAUACAUAUAUGAAUGAUAUGGUAAAGCAACAAUUAUAUGUUUCAACUAACAAAUUAACUUCAAAUGAUUAUUACAAGAUGACAAGAAAAAAAACUAACUAAUUAACUCAAAGAUCAAUUAAUUUUUGUAAAUCAAGGCUGCUCCUGAGGCUUGUGGUCUUCACGGUGCUUGUCUGCGGUGGUGCCAAUGAAAGAUAUGAUCAAGAAUGUACCAGGCAGGACCUGCAAGAAAGUUCAAAAGUCUGUUAUCACAAUAGCAAACCCCAGAGGAAGGGGCAAAAAAAGAAAGCCUGUCAGACAACCAUGCGACCACUCCGGAGAGGUCAAGACCUAACCAGAUAGCGAUCCUCUACAGCGCUGAGACUCCGAGGAGAAUCGUAACCGUUACUCACGCUCAAAUCGCACGGUCAUGAUUCAUCAACCAGGUUUGAGGGCCUGUCUCCUUAGAAAUCAAGGAUACAGAGGUGCAAGCCUAUAGAACAGAUCCUGUUCAAGUAAGGUCGUGACCGUCACUUCCUUCUCUCUGAUAUGUAAACAACACGAGUUCUCUGUUUUUUAACGAUAUGGGAUGUAAUAAACAACAUCACAUACAUGCUUAAUAAAUACGCCGUCGUUUCUCCCUUCAAUGAACUAAUACCAAAUACAUUAGGCAGGUGAAGAGACUGAAGCAGAGGUUUCUUCUCUGAAUCCAAAUCUUCUGAGCCCUGAUUGCGUUUCAUAACAAGUUUCCGGUAGAUUUGUUUGUGACGGCAUUUCAUGAUGUUUCUAACGCUCUGUCACCUCAGCGCCGAAGCUCUUGCCCCAUAAGUUCAUAGUCUCAUUCGCUCUCAAUCGAUUGAUUCCCACUUCUGCGUACGUUUAAUGCGGAAAGAUCUUGGGCUGUCGGAUAAUUUCUCAAGAAGCAGACCCAGGCUUUGGCUUCUGUCAAGCCAAAGAAAAUACUGGACCAUUUAGAAACCGUUCUUGUGAAUGAACUGGUUGUUGUUAACAUAAGUCGCAUUGCCAAGCUAAGAAUACUUGUCAUUCGGACCUUUUAACUCUGUUUGUGACUAAACAUGACAGACUCAAGUAUGAGAUAACAUAUCCUUCUCUUGAAGAUUCACGUCAAGUACUUUUCACCCAAACACUUGUGAUCCAUUGUGUUUCCCCUGGAUAUCAGAUUACCAAACAGCCUUACCAUAUCAUGUCUGUUAGACAGUCUUGACAAUGAUCAUGGAGCUAUGAGUCAAGUUGCAUUGUUUGAUCUCCAUUUUUUUUUGCUUGCAUAACUCUUGAUUCUUGAGUUAGUGUAGAAAGCUCUUUUAAAAGAAAAAGAAAAAAAAAAAGACGCCAUUCUGAUUGCUUCCUAAAUUUUAUCGGUGAAUUUUCAUGUUUACCACAUUGUUGGUACCAUUAUUCAUGUUUAACUUCGCUAAAGAGACAUUUUCAAAAAUUCAUUAUUCAUUAAGAGGCAAAAGACUUUUAUACAUUUGCUCUACAUAAAUAAAAAAUAAUUAUUUAAAUAAAUUAAAAAAAAAAUUCUUUUUUUAUAGUUUUCGAAUUAUACUUUUUCAAAUUCAAAAAUUAUUUUUUGAAACUAUUUUAAAAAGGAAUUUAAAAAAAUAGUUUAUAUAUAUAUAUAUAUAUAUAUAUAUAUUUAUUAGAAUACUUAACUCCAUAUUCUAAAAAUCCCUACCACACAUCUCAAUUCUAAAUCCUAAAUCAUUUAAAUAUUUUUUUUCUCUUUAAAAGUGAGGGUGAAAAUUGUUAAAGUAAAUAUGAAAAGUGAUAUUAGGAAUAUGUGCUAUUUUAGAUAAUUUCUCAAUUUUAUCCGAGUCUCAAAGAUAAAAAGGCGAAUCUGCUUCGGUCUCUACAGUUUAUUUUCAAUGUCUUAUAUAUCUAUAGAAUCUAACUGAAUCCUCUAGCAAACUUUGUAGUUAUGGUCCUGAUACUCUAUUUCGCUGCUUACUUACAUUAGUCUUCUCAAUACAUUAGUCUUCUCAAUGGUACAAACCUACAACUAUCUUUAUUGUCUGUUUUUUUUUAUAUUUCUCUCAGAAUAUUUUUAUGGAAAGGAUAUAUUAUGGGUCAUUAUUUGUAUGAAACUUGUUCUCGAGCUUGCCUCCAGGAUAACAUAAUAGCAGUGGUUAUGAAACUGUUUUGAAACUGUGGAUAGAAGCUUGCGUGACAUAAUGGGAUGCGAUGAGCCUUUUGGAGGUAAAGUUGUUGUUUUUGGAGGAGACUUUAGACAGAUUCUACCGGUAGUAACAGAUGGUGGCAGAGUAGAGACUGUUUUGGCUUCUUUGAAUUCAUCACAUCUCUGGAAAAGCUGCAAGGUUCUAAGACUUACAAAAAACAUGAGACUUAUGGCAGGAAUUACCAAUAGUGAAGCUAAAGAACUUGAAGCUUUUUCUAAGUGGAUUCUAGAUAUUGGUGAUGGAAAUAUCAAUCAACCAAACGAUGGAGAGGUUGAGAUUGAUAUUCCUGAAGAUUUGCUAAUAACUGAGUGCGAAAAUCCUAUAGAAACCAUAGUGAAGGAAGUUUACGGAACAUCAUUUGCAGAGAAACGAGAUCCCAAUUUUUUCCAGGAAAGAGCAAUAUUGAGUCCACGAAAUCAAGAUGUUGACAGUACCAACGAGUAUAUGCUAUCACAGUUAUCAGGUACCAUCUUAAUUAUUUUAAUUUUAAUUUUCCUUGCUGGAAUCAAGGCAAGUAGUCUUAUGUACGCUGAUUUAUAUUGCUAACAGGUGAAGAAAAAAUCUAUCUCAGUUCUGAUGGUAUUGAUAUAUCAGACAAAGGCCCAAAAGAUCCCAUGGUUUAUUCUCAAGAGUUUCUAAAUAGCAUCAAGAUCUCUGGAUUGCCAAACCACUGUUUGAAGUUAAAGGUUGGUGCAAUAAUUAUGCUACUUAGGAACAUUGAUCCUCAAGGUGGUUUAUGUAAUGGUACAAGGCUGCAAAUUACUCAGUUGGCUGAUCAUGUUAUUGAGGCUAGAAUUAUAACGGGUCAUAGGAAUGACAAAGAAGGUGGUGAAAGGGUCUUAAUACCAAGGAUGUUUGUAUCUCCACCAGAAACGAGAUUCCCUUUCAGGAUGCGCCGUAGACAAUUCCCCGUUGCAGUUGCUUUCGCAAUGACCAUAAAAGUAUAUGAAAUAUAUAUAUAUAUAUAUAUAUAAUUUAAACUGUGGAGAGCAUGACAAAUAAAAUUUUUUAUUAAAACAUAAAAAAUAAGUAAAUUUCUUAAAAUUGUGAAAAAUAAGACAACUAAACAAUAAACAAUGACAAAUAAUCAAAAUUAACUAAAAUUAUGGAGAAGAUGACAACUAAGCAAAAUCAAUUCUCAAAUAAUAGUAUAGAUAAUGACUCAACCUAAAUCAUGAAAUAUGACAUAUAAGUUUUUCAAAAUAAUAAAACAUAAAAUAUAAUCAAAAUAUCUUAAAAUCAUAGCGAACUAAUUUUAAUUUUCCUUGCUGGAAUCAAGGCAAGUAGUCUUAUGUACGCUAAUUUAUAUUGCUAACAGGUGAAGAAAAAAUCUAUCUCAGUUCUGAUGGUAUUGAUAUAUCAGACAAAGGCCCAAAAGAUCCCAUGGUUUAUUCUCAAGAGUUUCUAAAUAGCAUCAAGAUCUCUGGAUUGCCAAACCACAAAAUAUGACAAGUAAGAAAAAUCUCACUUAGAAUUAUUUAUUAUAAAUAAAUAAAAUUAUGAAUUAAAAUUACUAAGAAUAUGAAAUAUAUAUAUAUAUAUAUAUAUAUAUAUAAUUUAAACUGUGGAGAGCAUGACAAAUAAGAAAAAAUUAAAAUUAUUAAAACAUAAAGAAUAAUUAAAUUUCCUAAAAUUAUGAAAAUUAAGACAAAUAAACAAUGACAAAUAAUCAAAAUUACCUAAAAUUAUGGAGAAGAUGAUAACUAAGCAAAAUCACUUCUCAAAUAAUAGUAUAGAUUACUAAACAAAACUAUAUAAAGGGUUUGUCAUGUUUAAAAAAAUACUGUUUGAAUUUUUUUUAAACAUAGGAAAAAGCUUUUUCUAUUUUGAUAAAAUGUGAAUAUAUAUACCAAAAAAUGGAAAAGGGUAAUGUUUUACAAAUAUUGUUGAAGCAGAAAUCUACAUUUGGCUCAAAAAUAAAAUAAAAAACAGUAUAGAACUAUGAUUUGAGAGGACCUUACGUAAACCACAGCGACAGCUGACCAUUGCACUAGCGGUGAGGCAGACGAGCAAGGAGGAUGUCCCGUGGUGAUCUAUCUGAACAUAUAAACACUAUAUCUGUGUCCACAAUUUCUGAUUCAACCCUAAAUACAAUUAUAAUUACUUAAAAAUCACUAUAUUAUUUAUAUAAAACAUGUAUUUUAUUCAUUAUUGUAUAAAUCUACUAAACCCGCGCAUCAGCGCGGGUGAAUCACCUAGUUAUUUGUAUGAAACUUGUUCUCGAGCUUGCCUCCAGGAUAACAUAAUAGCAGUGGUUAUUGAUGGCAAGGAAACUGCAGUCUCCAUCUUUAUGCUCAAUUGGUGGAAAGCAUUGCUGACCCAAAAGCGAACUUGGAAAUUUUUAGAAGUGAUAUAGUUCUCUUGGAUGUCAAGGAGGUGUGGUAUUAAACUGCAAACAACCUCAAGAUGGCUGGAAUACACAAUAAAUUUUUGAGAUAAUGUAGACAUGCAAUUUUGAUUUAUUAAGAGCUAAAAGACCUAAAGAAAUCUAUUCCUUGUUGCUUUAUCUAUCUAGGCUGAUAUUACUGUUGUCUAUUUGGGCCAAUUGAUAUUCUCACGCUUUGACUGCCUUGUCCGCUUUCGGAUAAUUCCACCGAAUUCAACCGAUAUUCAGUUCUGCUUUCGGUUCAAAAACAAACGUGCCAAAUUAUGGUUAUUUUUAUUUUUUGGUUAAUUUUGGUUUACGUUGUAAGAGUUUGGUUCAGUUUGAUCAAUUUUGGUCUAAAAAUACAAACAUCAACCGAUUUUAUAUAACUAAAAUAUACAUAAGAUGAAACUAUAAAAUUGUUUCUAAAAUUUGAUAAUAUUCGUUAAUCAUAAUUAUCCCUGAAUAUAAUGUGAAUAUUUAUUAAAUAAUCACUAAAACUGUUUUAAAACUAACAAGUUAAAAAAUAUUUAUUAAAAAUAAUGACUCAGCCUAAAUCAUGAAAUGUGACAAAUAAGUUUUUCAAAAUAAUAAAACAUAAAACAUAAUCAAAAUAUCUUAAAAUCAUAGAGAACUUGAUAAAUUAACAAAACUAAAAUUAUCACCUAAAAUUAUUUAUGACAAAUAAAGAAAUUUAUCAAUUAAAAUUAUUAAAAAUAUGACAAAUGAAUAAGUAAUUUAAAUAUGAAAAGCAUAACUAAAGCAAAAUUAAAAUUAUCAAAAUAUAACAAAUAAGUAAAUUACCUAAGAUUAUGGAAAAUAAGAUACAUAAGCAGUAAGAUAUGAUAAAUAAUCAGAAUUACCUAAAAUCAUGUAAAAUAUGACAAGUAAGCAAAAUCUCACUAAGAAUUAUUUAUUAUAAAUAAAUAAAAUUAUGAAUUAAAAUUACUAAGAAUAUGAAAUAUAUAUAUAUAUAUAUAUAUAUAUAUAAUUUAAACUGUGGAGAGCAUGACAAAUAAGAAAAAAUUAAAAUUAUUAAAACAUAAAGAAUAAUUAAAUUUCCUAAAAUUAUGAAAAUUAAGACAAAUAAACAAUGACAAAUAAUCAAAAUUACCUAAAAUUAUGGAGAAGAUGAUAACUAAGCAAAAUCACUUCUCAAAUAAUAGUAUAGAUUACUAAACAAAACUAUAUAAAGGGUUUGUCAUGUUUAAAAAAAUACUGUUUGAAAAUUAAGUAUCAUAUUAAUGUGUUAAAUAGCUAUGGUGUAUAGUUUAACAAUAUAAUAAAUUUAAUACAACUCUUUUUUUUUGUCAGCGAAUUUAAUACAAUUAUCAAAAUACUUUACUAAUCAUUUUUUUUUAAAAAACGCAAAUAUGAUCACAGAUAAAAACACAAAUAUGAUUACAAAAAAAUACAUAUAUGAUACAAGGCAAGACACAAUUACAUACUUAUAAAACAUAUACUUAUGAAACUUGAUUUAUCUAAUAUAUUUACAAAAAUUAUCUGUUCUAUUAAAUUCAUAUCUUACAAAAAUAUGAUUAUACAAACACACAAACAUAUAAAUUAUAUUAGGUAAAAAAUUUAAAAACAAAAAAUAUACCCGCCCUCGAGUCUAGUAUAGUUUAAAUUUGAUGUGUUGAGUCAUUUUGACACUGAAAAUCAGGAGUAUAAGCAUGCAUGUAUCUCAUUUAUAUGAUUAUACUUAAUUAGCCACACAAAUAAAAGCCCCCACGUUUCCCUGUGUGUGUUUUGGUCCAAGCUCUUUAUUCAAACCCCGACAUAUAGUGUACACUACCAAAAAGUAUUUGUGAUUUUGGGAGGAACACUUUCUCUAAAUGAAACCAAUAAUCAUUGCCAAACUCAAAUAAUUUGUUUCUAAAUACAUGUAAAUAUAGCACUUCAUCGAGCUAGCCAGUUUGAAGUUUCGACCUUGAACUCCGAGUGUGAACUUAGGGAAAAUUCCUUAUAGAUAUAUGCAUAUAUAUAUAUAUAUAUGUAUAUCAGUAUAUAUAUAUAUGAAGAAAUAAGUAAGCAUGUGUUGUUAUCUUCUAAGUUUUGAUCUUUGUGCAAAUAGCAUUACACAAUAUUUCUUGUUAAGACGCUUGAGUUUAAAUCCUCAAGGUUAAAACGGAAUGAGAUGGCUGCCAAUAAACUACCAUCGUCCAGAGAGAAAGAGAAUCACGAAAGCUGAUCGGUCAAAAAAAGAAAAGGAUCAUGAUAAAAACAAGUAUGCAACGUGACUUGAUGUGUCAAAAUUUUGACCAAAGAGGAGGAUGCUUGCUUGGUGAGUGGUGUGAGAGGACGUCGGUCAGUGCACAUUAUCAUUAAUUAACAAAAUCCUUGAGCAAGACUGAGUUUUCAUAGUACGAUGAUAUGUACCUAUGUAGCCAAAUAGCGGUCAAUAAUGAUUUAUAUAGAUCAUGGUCUAGAACUUGAUUGGAAAUUAUGGUGAGCAAGCACUCUUUGAAGUCAAGAUACAUUACGCCCAUUUCUAUAUAUGGACAGUACAUCAAACUUUCUAACACAUCUAAUUAUUCAUCUUAAUCGCAAUAUUGAACAAGAAUAUAUGAAGAUCAAAGUAUUGCCUACUUAUGAUCAAAAUAUACAAAUAGAACAAAGCAAUUAUAUAUAGAUGGUGUUCAAACGAUUUUGGCAACUAAAUAGUGGUGAAAUUGAACAUGUUUGUUGCUAUUUCGAACUUGACAAUGUAAUUCAGCCUGAAGGUUUAAACCGUUCUUGUUUCGGGUUAAAACGGUUUAUAUUUAUAUCUUAGAAACGUAGAGGGAAUUAAAUUUCACAAGUACUAUAUCCAUACUUGUAUAGAAUGAUAAAAUAUGUUUCACAUAUAGAUUACACAUAAACAUUCACAUACACACAUGUAUCUUUUAGCCGAAGCGUAAAACUUCUUAGUAAAAUCGUUAAACCUCUUAACAAAUGCUCAAUCUCAAAUUUGAUUUUGUUUUUAACUUAAAUCAUAAGCUUUGAAAUGUAAUUUAAACUCGUUGAGAUUGGCGAUUGCAUGGCCACUAAAAACCGGUACAACUCUAGAAGCCUGAACUCAAGGCAAACCGAUUCAGUUUUCAAUCGGUUAUUCUCCUUUGAUAUGGCAUUACCACAGCUCAACACAUUAGCCAGCUGGUUAACAAGCUCCUGAUUCUUAGACUUCAGCCGGUUUACCUCUUCGGUUAAGUCCUCAAAACGUCUCUUCUUUCUUAACCUUGAUCUCUUUGCUGAUUCCCGGUUUGAUAUCGUUCGCUUUCUCUUCCUCUCAUCAACCGGUGCUUCCAACUCGUUUGAACCGCUAGGGUUGUCCGACGUAUCUGAUUGAAGAAAUUCCAAAAUUUCUGUGAUUUCAUCUCCGGUUAUGGUAGCAUCAUCAAAGCAGAUACGAACCGGCUCUAAACUAGUUGAGGACAUUGCUUUUAGUGGAAAAUAUAUAUCCGGUAUAGUACUAAACCGAUUAUUGGUAUGAUCAAUUUUGUACGUAUGAGAAGCAAGAGAGGGAGGGGAAGUGUCACAUGAACCAUGUGUGGCUAUUUAUAGAGAAAAAUUAGUAAGUGCACAUGGGACCCAUUUAGGGUUAGUUUGUCCACUUAAGAAGCGCCAAGUAUUUAAAAAUUAAAAUGUUAUAAUUAGAGUGAAUCUAGAGAUUAUUUGCAAUGCUUGUCCACUAGCACUCUGGAUAUAAGGUAUUACUAUUUUAUUUGUUUUUAAGUUCUUUUAAACCUUUUGUUUCGAUAUUGCUUUUUAUUACUUUUAUCCUUUUUUGUUACACAACUCUCAUCUUCUAAUCUCUUAGCUGCUUGGCACUACUUUUUAAGUGUAGAGAUAGGAUAUUAGUUUCACAUUUUCAUUGUAAUUUUCAUUGUAGGGUUAGUGUAUAUUUCAUUUGUAUUUCGAUUAAUAACUUGCAGUUAUCAUCAGCAAAGGAUGUUAAGGAUGUCAUAGUGUUAUGGAUCAAUGUCUAUAAGAACAACAUAUUAAACUAUAUAAAAGAUAAAAGACUAGAUGUCCCCUUUUUCAGUAAAAAAUAGGUUACGAAAAUGUAUAAGAUAUAAUUAAACAAUUAUUAAGCUAUGACAUGUAUUUUUUUUUUUUUUUUUUUUUUUUUUUGUAACUGAGGCUACUAUGACAUGUAUGUUUUCUUCUCUUCGGUCGUCAUAGUAGAAUUUCUUUCCUGUUUUUUUAUGUUAAAGUUAUAUAUAUACCUAAAGAAACGAAGAUUUGGAGUUUGUAUUCAGCUUUCAAAUUAGACUUACGGAGAGAAAAUGGUGUGUGGGUCUCGACGAAGACGAUUGUUUAGCUUAAUGACGAAGAAUCUAAGAAAAAGCAUAUUACGUCUAAGUUUUGAUGUGUUUUGGAUUUUCUUAUCUUUUUGAUAAGAUAAAGUAAAGAAUACAAGUGAAACUACAGCUGCAUUCUCUUUAUAAUGCAAGUAUCAGUUUAACUUUAAAUAAAUAGAUUAGUUAAUAUGUUAAUAUGUAUAACUUCAUGUGUUUAUGGUACAUUUAUAUUUACAUUAUUAUUUUAUGAAAAUAUUAUUACAAUAAAUCUGAAAAUUUGAGAAAUAGAAUAGAAAGUUGCAAAAAAAAAAAAAGAAUAGAAAGUUGCACACUGAUGUCUGAUUCAAUAUAUUUUACAAAGUAAUUAUAAUAUUGUUAAAUAAGUAAAAUAUCAGCCAUGAAAUAUAAGUCGCUUAAUUUAACAGUAUUUUUUUCUUUAAGAGGGGUGUAUUCAAUCUAAAAUUUGAGGUGAUUUGACUUUUAAUGAGGUUUUAGAUGAUUUUAAUGAAUUGCAGAGAAUAAAAUGAUUUUUGUUAAACCACUCUAGAAUAUCACCUAAAACCAUGAGAUUUGAGUUUUAUUUUUUUUAACUAAGAAACUCCAACAAAACACUCUAAAAUCACUUGAAAACUUUAAAACUCCACAACUUAAAAUAUUUUCAAUAACAUUGGAUUUCAGAGUACUUUAUAAAAUGUCAAGUUCAAUAACACUGGAUUUUAAAUGAGUUUUUAAAAUUCAUAUUUCAAUAACAGUGGAUUUGUCAUUUUGACACAAAUCACCUAAAACUCUCAAUUGAAUACACCCCCCUGAGUUAGUUAUUUUAAAUGUAAAUGUAAGUAGUUAAAUAUUAAAUUGUCCAUCUACUAUAAACGAUUAUAUGUUGUUAACCUAAAAUGUUGAAUGGGAACUCUCUUUGACAAAAACUUUUGAAUUAAAACUCCGACUAAUCUUUAGAAGCCACAAGAAAACUAGGUAUUAACAUGAAUAAUAUCUAUUAUAUUUAUUUGUUUUCUCAAAAUAUUAUCCAUGAUAUAAAAUAGUAUUGAAUUUGUAAUCGCUCUGAUAGACCAUAGAACUCAGAUGCUAACCAUUGAAUUACCAUUAAUUGGUUGAUAUGAUAGUUUCAUCUUUUGUAAUCAACAUGCCGACACAUUAUAAUUAUAUAUUUUCUUGAAUUUAUCCAUACAUAUAGUAACUUUUGAAGGUGUGGAAACAUAAUUUGAAAAGACUCUUUUAGAAAUAAUAGAUCAAAGUAGUAUUAUUUACAUGGGGACAUAAUUCACAAGUAUAUGAAAGAAACAGUACAAUAUAACAUCAAUAUGGUAAUGCCGUCUCACCAUUGGGAUAAAAUAACCAAUCUUGCCUAUUUACUUGGAAUUUGUUUUUUAUUUCACAAGUUUACGAGAGAAUUCAUUAUUUGCCAAUUACUUCCAAGCUUGUUCAUAUCAGAAACCAGGAUGAGAAAUAGCAUGAUAUAUAUUGAUGAAAACUGGUAAAUUGGAUAUUAUAAAGCACUAUCCAAAAUGUUUAUAAUAAAACAGGAAGGAUAAUCUGGAUAACAAAAAGAUUUUUUAUUUUUUUGAAUAGCUAUCAUUACCUUAACUCUAGAUAGUCAUUAUUUUAUCUACCAUAAAAAAUCUAUGUUAAACCACUAAUUAGAAAUUUAACAAAAUAUCCUAAAUUUACUCUUAUGUGAUAUUUUCCUAACAAAAAACAAUAUAGAUUGAAACAAUAACAUUUCCAACAAAAGCCAAAUACAUUUCUAUUCUACAAUUAUUGUUCAUUUCUUACCAUAUUUAGUCUAGGCCAGAUUUUACAUAUUUCUAGGUAAUUAAUUUUGAAAUUAAAUAGCAUAGGCUAAUUAUUUUUAAAAUUAUCACAUGAACGUUUUAUAUAACAAAAUAAAUAAUUAUUUCUUAGUUGUAUCAUUUUAUGUUAGAUUUUAUAGUAAAAACAAAAGCACCAAAUUGAUAUAUAAGAAAUUAAACAAAAGAAUUCAAAAUAUAAUAUUAACUAAGUUAAUUUAGUCACAUAUAUAUAUAUAUAUAUUUAAAAUAGUACAAUUUCAUCAAAAAUAAAUUUUAAUAAAUAUAAAAAAAUUAAAAUAAUAUUAUAUACAGAUAUAUAAAACUGAUAUAAAAUAUAUAUUUUAUAAUAAUUUUUAUAUUUAAAUAUUAUUUUAAAAAUAAACAUAUAUCCACAUUGAUGUGGGGGUUCAACACUAGUUUUAAAUUUAAAUAGAUGAUUCAGAUAUUCAUUUGAUAUCCAUUCUAUACAUGUUCUUUUCUUUUACAUAUUUUGUUAGCAAUAUUUUAUCUAUUUUAUUUAACGCAAAUGGCCCCAUAUAUGUAAUAAUAUAAAUGAGAACGAGAGAAAAGGAAAUUUCAAAACAAAUACAGACUAUGAUUAUUUUUUAUGACCAAAAAUAAAUAUAUAAUAAAAUAUUUAUAAAUUAAUAUUUAAUAAAUUAAUAAUUUAGUGAAUCAUUUAAAAAUAGUGUUGAAUUAAAUUUUUUAGCCAGUCAAUCUUUUGAUAAACUAAUAUUUCGUAAAACUAAUAAUAUUAGAGGUUUAGUUGUAUCCAUAUUUGUUUGUAGUUCAAAGGAUGUUAAAGGAUAUACUAUUCUUAUAUUUGACUUUUAGUAAUCACGUUUCAAGAAAAUCCAAAGUCCACUGUUUGUAACUUUUCUGGCUUUUGUUAGUGGACUCAAACACGCACCCACAUUUCUCAACUUCUAUUAACUGAAUUUAUAUUUUAACACGCGCUAGAUUUUGAUCCGCGCAACCACGCAGGUGUUUGUUUUCAGUUUUCUAUACAUAAAUUAUUGUUUUAGAACAUAAGUGGUAUAUAUUUUUAACGUUAAUCAUAUACUUAAAUAUUUAUAUAACUAUUUCAAAUACAAUAAUUUUAUAAUUUACAUGUUAUAAUUAAUCAAUUGUUUAAAACCGUAUAUAUUGGUCACUUCUUAUUAUAUAUUUAUCUUACUUUAUCUGCAUAUAGUUAUUAAGCAAAUUAAUAUAUUCAUGAGAGAAUAAAUUUAAAAAUUAUUUUUUAUUUAAUUUAUGCUAAAUUCUGACCCGUCUUUCAAAACUGGAUUUCUUUUGGGCAAAUCUCCAAAAUAGCACAUUUCUAAGUUUAUAUCACAAAAUAGCCUUCAAAAACGAAAAUGACAAAAAUAGCAUUUUAUCUUUUGAAAAUUUUAAUUUUUUUUAUUAUUCAAAAUUUGAAAUCUUAUCCCCAAAACCCCCACUCCCCAACUCUAAACCCUAAAACCUAAACUCUAAACCCUAAAACCUAAACUCUAAACCCUAAACCCUAAACCCUAAACUCUAAACCUUAAACCCUAAAUCCUAAACCCCACCCCUUAACUCUAAACCCUAAUGACUAAAUUAAUUUACCAUUGGGGUAUAAGUGUAUAUUUAUCUCUUUUGAUAAAACAUUAAGUGCAAUUUUGGUCAUUUUCAUUCUUAGAGGCUAUAUUUGUGACAAAAACUUUUUUAGUGUUAUUCCGGUCAUUUUCUCAUUUCUUUUUACCAAUAUUUUUAUGUUUAUUCAUUUUAGAUAAUUCAUAAAUAUUUUAUACUUAAGAAAAUAAAAUAUACAAAAUAUAUAAAUUUAAUACAAUUUUAUUAUAUUUAGCUCAAUAUAAUAAUUUUCUUUUAAUAUGAUUGAUUAUGAUUAUAUAAUAGAUAAAAUACUAUAGAAUUUUUUAUUUUUCAUUUUAUAAACGAUAACUGGAUAUAUUAAUGUAUAAUAAUAUUUCAAACUAAUUUCGAAAUUAGUGAAAAUAUUUAAAUAUAAUUUCAAAAAUGAAGAUCUUGUAAAAAUCUUUUAAAACAGAUUUGUUAGAAUUUUAAAAUAAAUAUAUUUAGAUUUAAAAUAAAAAGAUAUCAAAAGAUAUUAUGAUUAAAGUAUUUUAAAGAUUAUAUGUAUUAUUAGUCUUAGUAAAAUAUAUUUAAUAAGAUUUCUAUGUGGUGGUCCAAAUUAAAAAAUCACACAUGAAAGAAGUCAUUACUUUUGUUUUAAUAUAUAAGAUUUUUUUGUUAUAAAAAUUGAAACAUUUGUUUAACCUCAAAAAGAGUUUUGUCAUCUAGUUAAGAAAUGUCUAGCACCAAUCUUAUAUUUUAACACAAUUACAUUUGUUAUAAAAAAAUAAAAAAGGUUUAACCUCAAACAGAGUUUUGUCCUCUAAUCAAGAAAUGUCUAGCACCAAUCUUAUAUUUUAACACAAUUCUUUUUGCUAUAAAAAAAGAAACAUUAGUUCAAUCUCUAUACAGAAUUUUGUCAUCUAAUUAGAAAAUGUCUACCACCACGAGUUGGAUUCAUGUGCUUCUUCCCCCUUUGCCGACUCCUAUCUUUUUACUUUUACAUUUAUUUUAUUUGUUCUUCAGCAUUCCACAUUCUCAAGUAUAGUCCAAAAGAAAAGCAAAAAAUGUUUCUUUUCACAAAUUUAGUUCUCGUAACUAGACAUGUACAUAAAUAUGCCAAGCCGAUUUGGUUGAACAGAGCUGAAGUUUAGCCAAUUCGGUUUGCAUUCGGUUUGUGCACAAAACCGGUCAACAACAACAUGUUUUUAGUCAGCAUUCAGUUCGGAUUUGAAACAAAUUAUUUGAGUUUGGCAAUGACUAUUGGUUUCAUUUAGAGAAAGUGUUCCUCCCAAAAUCACAAAUACUUUUUGGUAGUGUACACUAUAUGUCGGGGUUUGAAUAAAGAGCUUUUAUUUGCGUGGCUAAUUAAGUAUAAUCAUAUAAAUGAGAUACAUGCAUGCUUAUACUCCUGAUUUUCAGUGUCAAAAUGACUCAACACAUCAAAUUUAAACUAUAUUUUAUGUUAACAUCAAUAUAUCAGUAGGGUUAAGAAAGAAGAUUUUCAACGUCUACAUUUUAUGUUAAUGUUAUUUUCAUAAGCUUUAGAAUUCGAAACCAAAAUUAUAGUACGUAGGCAACAAGACAAGUAUUGAUUCAUAUGUAUAAUAUAUCAAAGGACAAAUCAUCAAAAAAAUCUUGGAUGAAUCAAUAGAUACGCAAAACAUUGUACUGCAACUACCAACAUUAAAGAACAAAAAUAAGGUGGUGUGUCACUGUGUAUGAAGAAGGAAAAAGAGAUGUGUCUUGUGAUGGGAUCUUCUCGGUGGAUAUCAUAUAAAGCUCUUCAUAAACAACUCAAAUAAGUUUUUGUCGCUUUUAUACGGCCGACAUAUCUUCGCAUAAGUUCUACAUACAUCUUUAUCUUUUAUUAACCCUACACAAGUAAAAAACAAAAACAAAAAUGGAUAAGGAGGUCUUAGAGCCGAGUAUCACCAAACUUCAAGCCUUUGCUUGAAAGUUAAGGGCACCUACGAAGAUAUGUCAUCUUAUAUGGCAGUUGUUAACUGGUCAUGUGGCAGUAACAAGGAACUUAGCAAGACGUAAUAUGAGAUGUGAUAAUUACUGCCCAAGAUGUAGAGAUUUAGAAGAAUCUGCAACCCACACCAUUUUUGAAUGUCCGCCAGCUCUACAAGUUUGGUCCUUAUCAGCAACUCCAACAAACCCAGAGGUAUUUCCAGUAUCAAGUGUCUACACAAAUAUGGACUACCAUUUCUGAAGGAAAAACAAUAUUAUUGAGCCGGAAGAAGACAAAGACCCGUACCCCAGGAUUAUCUGGUAUAUCUGGAAGGCAAGGAAUGAUAAACUGUUCAAGGGGAUCGACAGAGAUCCUUUGGAGUUAGUUCGAUAUGCAGAAAGUGAAUGUCAGACCUGGUUUGAAGCGAAUGAAGUGGCACAACCAGUGGUACAAGAUAAAAAUAUGGAGAAUCCCCAAGUCAUAAGCUUGGGUAAUAUAUGCUUGCUGGAUGGAUUUUGGACUGCCUCUGCCAAUUAUAAUGGAUGUGGGUAGGUUUGGCUGGACAGUAGUGGAAAGACCCAGCUCAUGGGAACAAAAAAUCUCACUCGACGUGAAUCAGCCUUACAUACGGAAGUAGAAGCACUGAGGUGGGCGAUGGAGAAUAUGCUUCACCACUCAACAUGUUAGAGCUUUGGGACGGACUGCAAGGAGCUGAUUGCAAUGUUAAAUGAGCCUCAUGCUUGGCCAAGCUUUGCGAUGGAAUUGGAGAGGAUAGAGACACAACAGAUAUGCUUUCCGGAUUUCAACAUCAUACAUGUUUCACGAGCGCGCAAUCAAAUUUCAGAUUUUUUAGCUAAGACUGCUAGAUUCAUCAAUAGGGAGUUUUAUUGGUUGUUCUAUUUCGGUCUAGUUACCCAGGUCUCCUCAAGUUUGAAUAAUAGAAUAGCCGUUUGAUGUAAAAAAAAAAAAAGGGAUAUAUAUAUAUAUACUGAAGAUGCUUAAGAUGUCGGUCAUAUAUACAGAUAAAUUUCUCUGACUGAAAGAAGAAGAUACAGAUUCUCUUUCUUUCUCUUAAGAUAUAUUUUCAUGGAUGGUUGGGAUUUGACGUACGGUUCAUUGCUUGUUGAUUCGUAAUCUGAGAAUGUAUCAUUUUAAAACACUCAAGUCACCUAAAAUAUCUCUAUUUCACAUAAUAUAUUGGUGACUAUCUUGUGGGGGUAUGGGAGGUAGAGAAGUUAGAAUAUCCAUAAUGUCGCAGUUUCAUUUUAUGCUGUACAUUUAUUUGAAUGAUUGGUUGGAUUGUAUUUUUUGAUGCAACAUAUAUAUAGUUGUAGGCUUGUAGCAGAGUGUUAUUCUGAUUAUAGUUAAAAUAAAUUAAAACAUGACUAGAAAAUGAUUCCAGUUAAAUAGAAAAAUAGAAAUUAUAGUUAAAUGAAAACAUAAAUAAUAAUUGAUAAUAUUAUCUAUAUAUUAAAUAACAUCUAAGUAUGCUAAUUAAUAUAAGAUAUAUUGUAUCUAUAAGACUAUGAAUUAUCUAUACUAUUAUUUGAGAAAUUAAUUUGUUGAUUUGCUGAUUUGUCAUGUUCUCCAUAAUUUUAGGUUUAGUCAUAUUUUAUGCUUAAUUGUUAAUUUUGAUAAAUAAUUUUAGUGACUUAGCUGAUAACUUAUCUUUAUCUUCAGAAUAAUUAAAAAUUCUAACGAAAAUAUCAUAGUUAAUUUAUAUUAUAUUUAUUUUAUUAAUAUUAAAAUAUUAUAUAUAUGUUUAUAAUAUUUGGUUAGUAAAAUUAAACAGACUCUGUUUUAAUAUAUAUAUAUAUAUAUUAUCACAUAAGAUAGAAUAAAUCAUAUAUUUGUUAAGAUAAAUUUCUUAGAACAAUCAAAAUCACUCAUUGUGAUAAUUUCUGAAAAACUAUUAUGUACUACCUGUUUUUGGUCCCGAGGAACGGAGGAGGCUAGGUUAGCCGAAAGAUGGUUAUCGGUUUAAGAGCGCAAGGUGUCCCUGUUUUUCCAGGGUAAGAAGGGGUAGAGAAAAUGCCCUCAAUCAAAUACAAAAAUAACUCAAAAGCCUUAUAAAAUUACUAUCAGUACCUUUUGACCAAACAAAAAAUCAGACUGUAUUUUUACAAAUAUAAGCCGAGGAAGUCUUCUCUCAUAUAGUAGAUCUUAAAAAUAAAUUAUAAAUUUUAUAAAAAAAUAUUUUGAUGGGAGAAAUUGAAAUCAUGUAAUUAUAAACAUUUGUAAAUGAUAUAAAUUAAGAUCUAGUAAAAUUAAAUUGUUUUCAACAUAGAUGAGUGAAUGUAGUGUGUCAUGGUAUUCUUUGGUUUAGGGUUUGGUAACAUAUGUUAUAGUAUUGUUUAUAUUUUAGAGUUAGAUUUUGGAAGCUUAAUUUUCUUUUUUGAAAAAUUUAAUUUUUACUUAUAUGUAUUUAGUUUUGUGUAUAUUAAAGACUUUUAAAGUUUAUUUUAAGUUUGACAAAAAAAUUAAUCUUAAGCUUUAUGAAGUAUUUGUUUCUACUUUGUUAGUUAUUUUGAGUUUAGCGUUUAUGUAACUUAAGUCUUCCAAUAAUUAAUGCAGUAGAAGAUUUCAUAGAAAGAAUUCCUUGAAAGUCUUAUGAAUAAAAAAUAUUUAACUUUAUUAGAAUUUUGUCUCUUUACAUAAAGAAAAUUUACAUAUUCUCUCUCCUUCUCUCAAAUGGUUGCAACAAAAAUAUAAUGUUUUUCACUCUAAAACUCAUCAACCUCCCUCUAAUCUCUUUGAGCUUGAAAACACCAAACUUUAUAUUAAUUUUUCAUUUUUAUUUCAUGUCUUUCUCAUUAAUUUAUUUUGUUUUUGCAAGUUUUUCAUUACAUGGUUCUCAUCUUCCACUCCUCUAAAGGUAGAUCUAUAAAUUAUAUUUCUUCAUUUGGUAACCUCUUGUUGCUUAAAACUCUUGCCUUUUGAAAACUUCUUUUUUUUGUUUUUAAAGCUCUUACCUUAUUUUUGAAGUUUUUUUCUGUUUUGAAGUCAUUUGAAUGCUUUUGGAUAUGCAUGUUUUUCAGAUCUGAGUCAGAUUUGGAAGACUUCGAGGGAAGUCAGAUUUGGAGGACUUUUAGGGAAGUCUUCUAACAUAUAAUGCACCAGAAGACUUCCAUGACAGAGUCUUCUCCCAUGUCUCCUUUUGCAUAACAGAUCUUAACGUUUUGGUAAGUCUUCAUGUCUGGUUUUUCUUCAAUUGAUAACCUUUUGCUGCUUAAAACUCUUAGCUUUUGAAAACACUUUUUGUUGCUUAAAGCUCAUACCUUAUUUUUGAAGCUUUUCUUUGUUUUGAAGUCAUUUGAAUGCUUUUGGAUAUAUAUGUUUUUCAGAUCUGAAUCAAACUUUGGAAGACACAUAAUGCAUUACAAAACUUCAUGGAAGUCUUCUAACGGAGUCUUCUCUCAUGUCUCUUUUUUCAAAAUAGAUCUAAGCAUUUUGGUAAGUCUCCAUUUUUUAUUUUUCUUCAUUUGAUAACAUCUUGUUGCUUAAAGCUCUUACAUUUUUCCAAAGCCAUGUUUUGAAUCUUUGUUUUAGCUUCAGAUCUUGAGCUAUCAAAAUGGAGGAGCUGUCCGAUCAUCUGGUAAACAGAUCUGAGUGUGUUUAAGAUGAUGAAAGUUUCAAGUUUUAGGAAGCUUGCAUGAAGACUUUCUGGAAGACUUCAUGGAAGUCGCCCGCGAAGUAUUCAAAAACCUGAAACAUGAACACGAGAACUAUCAAAGUUUAUGAUGUGUAUGUCAAGUGCAGUCCAAACUUAUAUUUGUGGAUGAAUGAUCUCUAACUCCAAGUGUAACAAUUUUAUUUAUGGUUUAUUUUGUGAUUUGUAUGUGUACUCUUUUAGUUGUGGAUUAUUUUGUAAAUUUGAAGAAAUGUUAAUGAAAAGUUGGUAAAUAUGUUUAUGUGUACAAAAUUAUCUUGCUAAAAGUAUUUGACAUUAUUGAAAUUAUAUACAACUUCAAUAGCAGAACACAAUAAACUAAAAAUUUAGUCAAAUUUACUAAAACUAAAGGAGAAGACUUCUAAAAAAUCAUAGUUAAAUUAUAAAAGAUCAAACAUUACAUAAGUCUUCUCGGAAGACUUCAAUUUUAAACGAAAAUUUAAAAUAUAAACGGGAAAUUUAAGCGAGAAAUUAAACUUUAAGCGGAGAACUUAAAUUUUAAGAGAAAACUGAAAUUUUAAAUCACAUGAAAUUUAAAAAGUAUAUCCUAUGUUCUAAAAAGACACAAACCACAUAUUCAUGAAUUACUUAACAUUUUUGAAAGUUAAAAAACUGAUCUUAAAGUUACUUAACACUCUUGAAAAUACAAGUUCCCAAAAAUUAACGGAGAAGACUUCUUACUAAGUCUUCUCUCGUUAGCUAGAAAUCUUAAUAAAAUGAAUGUUGACAACCUUAUAAUUAUCACCAAUUAAGUUAUCAAUUUCAUUUAGUAGCUCCAAUAGUGACUAAUAUACAUGAAUUAACAAGAAAAUGUUAAAAAGUAUUUAUAAUUUUAGAGAAAAUGAAAGUUUAUUAAACAUUGACGUAGAAUUUGGCAGUCCGGCAGAAGAAUUAUACAAAAAUAUUCAGGCAUAAUACUUCUAAGAAGUUUUGCAUUUAGGUCAUUUUUGCAAUUUCAAAUUUACAAAUAACAACUUCCAAAGAAGUCUACUUUAGAGCAGACUUCUCUCGAAGUCUUACUUUGUAGAUAAUGGCUUAUUUUUGUGUUCAAAAAAAUCUUGAAAUACCAUAGUAAACAUACCAUAAAGUCUUCUCAGAUAGUCAGGUUAGUUUUACAAUUGACCGAACUGCGUCAAAAAUUUGAAUUUUUCUAGAAGACUUACCCGAAAUUCUUCUCUACAGAAGACUUCCAGGGAAGGUGACUCAGUUGUCGGUGGAAGUCUUCUCACUGUCGCUGAAAAUCGUCUUAGGUUACUUUUGGAAUUGACAAAUAAAUUUAAUAUUAACUGGAAGUCUUAUGGCUCUUAUGUCGUAACCAAAGGUUUGACCAUAAUCUUCGAAUAAAAAUGUGGACGAUUUCGAGGAAGCCUUCCGUGAGAAGACUUACAUAGAAACUUCUGGUUAAAAUAAAUAUUUAAGUUUUAUUUAUCAAUUGCAAACGUAACCUAAGAUGACUUUUAACAAUAAUGAGAAGACUUCCACAGACAGUUGAGACGAUUUCUCUGGAAGUCUUAUGUAGUGAAGACUUCCUAGGAAGUCUUUUAGAGAAAGUCAAAGUUUGAAACAAUUCGGUCAAUUGCAGAAUUAACGUGUUUAUCCGAGAAUACUUCCCGGUAAGUCUUUACUUUUUUUUGUUAACAAAGAAAAGUUGGAAGACUUCUAGGGAAAUCGUCUCUAAAACAUACAAAAAAUACAAUUGCAAAACUAACCUAUGCAUUGACCGAAGCUAAAUCUGUAAAAAAAAAAAUCAAAAUUCAUUGUCAGAUUCAAUGAGGUUAAUGUUUAGCCUCUCCAAGCACACAUCACUUCUUAAUGAAAGUUACUCACUCGUUCUUGACUAAGAAUCAUGAACUUGAGUAACUCUAAUAAGCUUAUAAAUUUUGGAAUAAAAAGUUGGGAUGUUGGGAUGAAAUGGUUUAUGUGCGUAAGAAAUAAGAAUAUGAAGAUGUUGAUGUUGAUUUUAGGUGCAUUUAGACCUUGAAAUUGGUUGUUCAUGGUGGUUGAUGUAUUGAUGACAAUGAUUAUAUAUGUUGUAAAUAUACGAGGAGGAUGAGGAUGAAUGAGUAAAACAAACAUUUUCGGAAAAAUAAAUAAUAAUCUCAUUUUCGUGAAUAAUCUGAACUUCUUCACAAAGUCAUGGGUCAGUUUGCAUUUUACAUUUCGUUUUGAGUCAUUUUUGCAAAAACCCAUAAAAAAUGGAGGAUUUACCAAAUAUGACCCAAAACUUGACUUUGAUUGCAAAAGUAUAUCAAACUUGAAUCAAAUGCAAAACUAACCUAAAAGUCUUGUGAAAUUACAGCCAUCCCCUUGUGACCAAACAAAAAAAACAUAAGUCAUUUUUACGAAUAUAGCCAUAGUAAGUCGUCUGGUGUAGUUGAUCUUAAAAAUAAUUUACAAAUUUUUUUAAAAAUAUUUUGACAAAUGAAAAAUUAAAAUCAUGUAAUUAUAAACAAUUUUAAGUAAUGUAAAUUAAGAUAUAAUAAAAUUGAAUAGGUUUCAUAGAUGAGUGAAAGUAGUUAAUCAUGAUAUUCUUUGGUUUUAUGGUUUGACAACAUAUGUUGUAGUAUUGUAUUGUAUGUAUUCUUAGGGUUAGAUUUUGGAAAGCUUGAAUGUUUUUUUGAAAAUUAAUUUUUUAGCUAUAAGUGUUUAUUUUUGUGUAUAAUAAAACACUUUUGAAGUUUAAUUUGAUUUUAUGAAGUGUUUAGCUAGUUAAUUAAGUUUAGGGGUUAUUUUCAGGGUCUAGACGACUAACUUGUAAGUCGUCUGGUGAAUAAUUUAAAUAAGACGACUUACAUGUAAGUCGUCCAAAUAUUUCCGCCUAAAAAAUUAUUUUUCCGCUUAAAUAAAUUAAACCAGACGACUUGUAAGUCGUCUGGGAAGUCUUCUAUUUUAGUUUCCCGCUAAAAAUAUUUUAGUUUCCAGCUAAAAAUAUUUUAGUUUCCCGCUAAAAAUAUUAAAGUCUUCUGGGUGACUUACAAGUAAGUCGUCUAGGAAGUCGUCUAAAUCAAAAAUAUUUAACCUAAUUAGAUUUUUUGUUUCCCUAUAUAAAGAAAAAUUUACACAUUCUCUCUCGUUCUCUCAAAUGGCUGCAACAAAAAUGUAAUGUUCAUCAUUAUAAAACUAUUCAACUUCUUUCCAAUCUCUAUGAACUUAUAAACACUAAGCUUUAUAUCAAUUUCUUGUUAUUGUCUCAUGUCUUUCUCACUAAUUUAUCUUUUUUUGCAGGAUUUUAAUCACAUGGUUCUCAUCUUUCACUCAUUUAUAAGUAUAUCUACCAAUUUUAGAUAUAUAUUUUUGUGUGUUCUAUAAAAGUAGAUUUAUCUAAUCUUCUACUCAUUUUCUCUGUUUUUAAGCCAUUUGAACGUUUUUGAAUAUGCAGGUUUUUCAGAUCUGGAUUUGGAUAUGCUGUUUUUUUUGGAUAUGCAGGUUUUUCUGAUCAGACGACUUACCUGUUAGUCGUCUAAAAUAUAAUGCGCUAGACGACUUCCUGGAAGUCGUCUGACGGAGUCUUCUCCCAUGUCUCUCCCUUUCAUAACAGAUCUGAGCGUUUUGGUAAGUUUUUAUGUCUGAUUUUUCUUCAUUUGGUAACUUUCUGUUGUAUAAAGUACUUACUUUUUUCCAAACUAAAACUCUCCAAAUCCACUCUAAUCUCUUUGACUUGAAAACACCAAACUUUAUAUGAAUUUUUCAGUUUUGUCUCAUGUCUUUCUCACUAAUCUAUCUUUUUUGCAGGUUUUUAAUUAGAUGGUACUCAUCUUCCACUAAUUUAAAGGUAGAUCUCCACGACUUCCUGGAAGUCUUCUGACGAAGUCUUCUUCCAUAUCAAGUGGAGUCCAAGUUUGUCUUUGUAGAGGAAUGAUCUAUAAUAGUUUUGUUUGUGGUCUGUUUUGUGAUUUGCAUGUCCACUCUUUUAGUUGUGAUUUUUUUGUAAAAUCAGUAAUAAUGUUUCCCAAGAUGUAAUAUAUGUGCUAACAAUGUAUUUACACAUUUACAAAUCAAUGAAAUAAUAUACUUUAAUAGCAUUUUUCUUAUAUUUGGAUCUCCCAUAUGCAAUAAUAAACUCCAAUGACCUUUUUCUCAUCUUAAUAAUUCCAGACGACUUCCACGACUUCCUGGAAGUCUUCUGACGAAGUCUUCUUCCAUAUCAAGUGGAAGUUUGUUAAACAUUGACGUAGACGACUUCCACAGAGGUCGUCUGGAACACCUCUAGGAAGUCGUCCAUUUAGAUUAGUUUUGCAAUUGAUUUUUAACCUAGACGACUUACAGGUUAGUCGUCCACCUUUGUUUGAUAAAAAAAAAAUCGAGAUGACUUACAUGUAAGUCGUCUAGAGAAAACGGGUUAGUUUUGCAUUUGACCGGAAUGUGUCAGAAAUUUGACUUUUCCUGGACGACUUACAAGUAAGUCGUCUAGUAGAAAAUUAAAAAAUUAAUAUUUUGUUUUUUCUAGACGACUAACUUGUAAGUCAUCUCAUGUUAGUUUUGCAAUUGAAUUAUUAAACAAUUUUUUUUUUCUAGACGACUUACACGUUAGUCGUCUCGAGUUUUUUUUCCUAAACGACUAACUUGUAAGUCGUCCAAGAUAAGUAAGGUCUGACCAGAAUCUUGGAAUAAAAUCCUGAACGACUUACAUGUAAGUCGUCGGACGGACGACUUCCUUGUAAGUCGUCUAGAAAAAAAAUCUUUUUUGUUUAAUAUUUCAAUUGCAAAACUAAUCUGAGACGACUUGUAUGUAAGUCGUCUAGAAAAAAAAAUAUUAAUUUUUUAAUUUUCUACUGGACGAAUAACUUGUAACUCGUCCAAGUUAGUCGUCCAGGAAAAGUAAAAUUUCUGACACAUUCCGGUUAAAUGCAAAACUAACCCGUUUUCCCUAGACGACUUACAUGUAAGUUGUCUGGAGUUUUUUUUUUAACAAACAAAGAUGGACGACUUCCAUGUAAGUCGUCUACGUUAAAAAUCAAUUGCAAAACUAACCUAAAUGGAUGACUUCCUAGAAGUUUACCAGACGACCUCCGUGGAAGUCGUCUGCGUCAAUGUUUAAUAAACUUUCAUUUUCUCUAAAACUAUAAAGGUUUUUUAAUUUUUUUUUUGUUAAUUCAUGUAUAUUAGUCAAUAUUGGGGCUACUGAAUGAAAUUUAUAACUUAAUUGGUGAUAUUUAUAAGGUUACCAACAUUCACGUUAAUUAAAGUUUCUAACUGAUCCGAGAAGACUUCUAUGCUAGUUUUUAAGUCUUCUACACUAGUUUUUGAAUAACUUGUAUAUUUAAGAGUGAUAAGUAACUUCAAGAUAUGUAAGACUCGUAUUUUCAAAAUAUGUUUUCUCUAUUAGUUUUACUAAAUUUGACUAAGUUUUCAACACAAACUUGUAAAAAAUGUGAUAUGCUUUGACUAGUUACUAUUGUUUGUUUCCAGCUCUUAAGUAUUAUUGUUAUACACACCAAUGAUGAUUAUUGUUAUGAGUUGUAAGAAGGGUUAAAAUGCUUCUUAAAAUGUUGUAUCAAUAUGAGGCCACCAACAUUCUUGUUUAUUAAGAUGAGAAGAAGGCCAUUGGAGUUUAUUAUUGCAUAUGGGAGAUCCAAAGAUAAAAAAAAAGACUAUUGAAGUAUAUUAUUUCAUUGAUUUGUAAAUGUGUAAACACAUUGUUAGCACAUAUAUUAUUAUUACUGAUUUUACAAAAAAUUCACAACUAAGAGAGUAGACAUGCAAAUCAAAAAACAGACCACAAACAAAACUAUUAUAGAUCAUUCUUCUACAAAGACAAGCUUGGACUCCACUUGAUAUGGAAGAAGACUUUGUCAGAAGACUUCCUGGAAGUCGUCUAGCGCAUUAUAUUUUAGACGACUAACAGGUAAGUCGUCCCAGAAGUCUUCCAGAUCUGAAAAACAUGCAUAUCAAAUCCAGAUCUGAAAAACCUGCAUAUCAAAAAGCGUUCAAAUGGCUUAAAAACANNNNNNNNNNNNNNNNNNNNNNNNNNNNNNNNNNNNNNNNNNNNNNNNNNNNNNNNNNNNNNNNNNNNNNNNNNNNNNNNNNNNNNNNNNNNNNNNNNNNNNNNNNNNNNNNNNNNNNNNNNNNNNNNNNNNNNNNNNNNNNNNNNNNNNNNNNNNNNNNNNNNNNNNNNNNNNNNNNNNNNNNNNNNNNNNNNNNNNNNNNNNNNNNNNNNNNNNNNNNNNNNNNNNNNNNNNNNNNNNNNNNNNNNNNNNNNNNNNNNNNNNNNNNNNNNNNNNNNNNNNNNNNNNNNNNNNNNNNNNNNNNNNNNNNNNNNNNNNNNNNNNNNNNNNNNNNNNNNNNNNNNNNNNNNNNNNNNNNNNNNNNNNNNNNNNNNNNNNNNNNNNNNNNNNNNNNNNNNNNNNNNNNNNNNNNNNNNNNNNNNNNNNNNNNNNNNNNNNNNNNNNNNNNNNNNNNNNNNNNNNNNNNNNNNNNNNNNNNNNNNNNNNNNNNNNNNNNNNNNNNNNNNNNNNNNNNNNNNNNNNNNNNNNNNNNNNNNNNNNNNNNNNNNNNNNNNNNNNNNNNNNNNNNNNNNNNNNNNNNNNNNNNNNNNNNNNNNNNNNNNNNNNNNNNNNNNNNNNNNNNNNNNNNNNNNNNNNNNNNNNNNNNNNNNNNNNNNNNNNNNNNNNNNNNNNNNNNNNNNNNNNNNNNNNNNNNNNNNNNNNNNNNNNNNNNNNNNNNNNNNNNNNNNNNNNNNNNNNNNNNNNNNNNNNNNNNNNNNNNNNNNNNNNNNNNNNNNNNNNNNNNNNNNNNNNNNNNNNNNNNNNNNNNNNNNNNNNNNNNNNNNNNNNNNNNNNNNNNNNNNNNNNNNNNNNNNNNNNNNNNNNNNNNNNNNNNNNNNNNNNNNNNNNNNNNNNNNNNNNNNNNNNNNNNNNNNNNNNNNNNNNNNNNNNNNNNNNNNNNNNNNNNNNNNNNNNNNNNNNNNNNNNNNNNNNNNNNNNNNNNNNNNNNNNNNNNNNNNNNNNNNNNNNNNNNNNNNNNNNNNNNNNNNNNNNNNNNNNNNNNNNNNNNNNNNNNNNNNNNNNNNNNNNNNNNNNNNNNNNNNNNNNNNNNNNNNNNNNNNNNNNNNNNNNNNNNNNNNNNNNNNNNNNNNNNNNNNNNNNNNNNNNNNNNNNNNNNNNNNNNNNNNNNNNNNNNNNNNNNNNNNNNNNNNNNNNNNNNNNNNNNNNNNNNNNNNNNNNNNNNNNNNNNNNNNNNNNNNNNNNNNNNNNNNNNNNNNNNNNNNNNNNNNNNNNNNNNNNNNNNNNNNNNNNNNNNNNNNNNNNNNNNNNNNNNNNNNNNNNNNNNNNNNNNNNNNNNNNNNNNNNNNNNNNNNNNNNNNNNNNNNNNNNNNNNNNNNNNNNNNNNNNNNNNNNNNNNNNNNNNNNNNNNNNNNNNNNNNNNNNNNNNNNNNNNNNNNNNNNNNNNNNNNNNNNNNNNNNNNNNNNNNNNNNNNNNNNNNNNNNNNNNNNNNNNNNNNNNNNNNNNNNNNNNNNNNNNNNNNNNNNNNNNNNNNNNNNNNNNNNNNNNNNNNNNNNNNNNNNNNNNNNNNNNNNNNNNNNNNNNNNNNNNNNNNNNNNNNNNNNNNNNNNNNNNNNNNNNNNNNNNNNNNNNNNNNNNNNNNNNNNNNNNNNNNNNNNNNNNNNNNNNNNNNNNNNNNNNNNNNNNNNNNNNNNNNNNNNNNNNNNNNNNNNNNNNNNNNNNNNNNNNNNNNNNNNNNNNNNNNNNNNNNNNNNNNNNNNNNNNNNNNNNNNNNNNNNNNNNNNNNNNNNNNNNNNNNNNNNNNNNNNNNNNNNNNNNNNNNNNNNNNNNNNNNNNNNNNNNNNNNNNNNNNNNNNNNNNNNNNNNNNNNNNNNNNNNNNNNNNNNNNNNNNNNNNNNNNNNNNNNNNNNNNNNNNNNNNNNNNNNNNNNNNNNNNNNNNNNNNNNNNNNNNNNNNNNNNNNNNNNNNNNNNNNNNNNNNNNNNNNNNNNNNNNNNNNNNNNNNNNNNNNNNNNNNNNNNNNNNNNNNNNNNNNNNNNNNNNNNNNNNNNNNNNNNNNNNNNNNNNNNNNNNNNNNNNNNNNNNNNNNNNNNNNNNNNNNNNNNNNNNNNNNNNNNNNNNNNNNNNNNNNNNNNNNNNNNNNNNNNNNNNNNNNNNNNNNNNNNNNNNNNNNNNNNNNNNNNNNNNNNNNNNNNNNNNNNNNNNNNNNNNNNNNNNNNNNNNNNNNNNNNNNNNNNNNNNNNNNNNNNNNNNNNNNNNNNNNNNNNNNNNNNNNNNNNNNNNNNNNNNNNNNNNNNNNNNNNNNNNNNNNNNNNNNNNNNNNNNNNNNNNNNNNNNNNNNNNNNNNNNNNNNNNNNNNNNNNNNNNNNNNNNNNNNNNNNNNNNNNNNNNNNNNNNNNNNNNNNNNNNNNNNNNNNNNNNNNNNNNNNNNNNNNNNNNNNNNNNNNNNNNNNNNNNNNNNNNNNNNNNNNNNNNNNNNNNNNNNNNNNNNNNNNNNNNNNNNNNNNNNNNNNNNNNNNNNNNNNNNNNNNNNNNNNNNNNNNNNNNNNNNNNNNNNNNNNNNNNNNNNNNNNNNNNNNNNNNNNNNNNNNNNNNNNNNNNNNNNNNNNNNNNNNNNNNNNNNNNNNNNNNNNNNNNNNNNNNNNNNNNNNNNNNNNNNNNNNNNNNNNNNNNNNNNNNNNNNNNNNNNNNNNNNNNNNNNNNNNNNNNNNNNNNNNNNNNNNNNNNNNNNNNNNNNNNNNNNNNNNNNNNNNNNNNNNNNNNNNNNNNNNNNNNNNNNNNNNNNNNNNNNNNNNNNNNNNNNNNNNNNNNNNNNNNNNNNNNNNNNNNNNNNNNNNNNNNNNNNNNNNNNNNNNNNNNNNNNNNNNNNNNNNNNNNNNNNNNNNNNNNNNNNNNNNNNNNNNNNNNNNNNNNNNNNNNNNNNNNNNNNNNNNNNNNNNNNNNNNNNNNNNNNNNNNNNNNNNNNNNNNNNNNNNNNNNNNNNNNNNNNNNNNNNNNNNNNNNNNNNNNNNNNNNNNNNNNNNNNNNNNNNNNNNNNNNNNNNNNNNNNNNNNNNNNNNNNNNNNNNNNNNNNNNNNNNNNNNNNNNNNNNNNNNNNNNNNNNNNNNNNNNNNNNNNNNNNNNNNNNNNNNNNNNNNNNNNNNNNNNNNNNNNNNNNNNNNNNNNNNNNNNNNNNNNNNNNNNNNNNNNNNNNNNNNNNNNNNNNNNNNNNNNNNNNNNNNNNNNNNNNNNNNNNNNNNNNNNNNNNNNNNNNNNNNNNNNNNNNNNNNNNNNNNNNNNNNNNNNNNNNNNNNNNNNNNNNNNNNNNNNNNNNNNNNNNNNNNNNNNNNNNNNNNNNNNNNNNNNNNNNNNNNNNNNNNNNNNNNNNNNNNNNNNNNNNNNNNNNNNNNNNNNNNNNNNNNNNNNNNNNNNNNNNNNNNNNNNNNNNNNNNNNNNNNNNNNNNNNNNNNNNNNNNNNNNNNNNNNNNNNNNNNNNNNNNNNNNNNNNNNNNNNNNNNNNNNNNNNNNNNNNNNNNNNNNNNNNNNNNNNNNNNNNNNNNNNNNNNNNNNNNNNNNNNNNNNNNNNNNNNNNNNNNNNNNNNNNNNNNNNNNNNNNNNNNNNNNNNNNNNNNNNNNNNNNNNNNNNNNNNNNNNNNNNNNNNNNNNNNNNNNNNNNNNNNNNNNNNNNNNNNNNNNNNNNNNNNNNNNNNNNNNNNNNNNNNNNNNNNNNNNNNNNNNNNNNNNNNNNNNNNNNNNNNNNNNNNNNNNNNNNNNNNNNNNNNNNNNNNNNNNNNNNNNNNNNNNNNNNNNNNNNNNNNNNNNNNNNNNNNNNNNNNNNNNNNNNNNNNNNNNNNNNNNNNNNNNNNNNNNNNNNNNNNNNNNNNNNNNNNNNNNNNNNNNNNNNNNNNNNNNNNNNNNNNNNNNNNNNNNNNNNNNNNNNNNNNNNNNNNNNNNNNNNNNNNNNNNNNNNNNNNNNNNNNNNNNNNNNNNNNNNNNNNNNNNNNNNNNNNNNNNNNNNNNNNNNNNNNNNNNNNNNNNNNNNNNNNNNNNNNNNNNNNNNNNNNNNNNNNNNNNNNNNNNNNNNNNNNNNNNNNNNNNNNNNNNNNNNNNNNNNNNNNNNNNNNNNNNNNNNNNNNNNNNNNNNNNNNNNNNNNNNNNNNNNNNNNNNNNNNNNNNNNNNNNNNNNNNNNNNNNNNNNNNNNNNNNNNNNNNNNNNNNNNNNNNNNNNNNNNNNNNNNNNNNNNNNNNNNNNNNNNNNNNNNNNNNNNNNNNNNNNNNNNNNNNNNNNNNNNNNNNNNNNNNNNNNNNNNNNNNNNNNNNNNNNNNNNNNNNNNNNNNNNNNNNNNNNNNNNNNNNNNNNNNNNNNNNNNNNNNNNNNNNNNNNNNNNNNNNNNNNNNNNNNNNNNNNNNNNNNNNUCUGAGCGUUUUGGUAAGUUUUUAUGUCUGAUUUUUCUUCAUUUGGUAACUUUCUGUUGUAUAAAGUUCUUACUUUUUUCUCAAAAUAAAACUCUCCAAACCCACUCUAAUCUCUUUGACUUGAAAACACCAAACUUUAUAUGAAUUUUUCAAUUUUGUCUCAAGUCUUUCUCACUAAUCUAUCUUUUUUUUGCAGGUUUUUAAUCAGGUGAUUCUCAUCUUCCACUCAUUUAAAGGUAGAUCUAUUAAUUUUAGAUAUGUAUUUUUGUGUGUUCUAUAAAAGUAGAUUUAUCUAAUCUUCCACUCAUUUUCUCUGUUUUUAAGCCAUUUGAACGUUUUUUGAUAUGUAGGUUUUUCAGAUUUGGAAGACUUCUGGGACGACUUACUUGUUAGUCGUCUAAAAUAUAAUGCGUUAGACGACUUCAAGGAGGUCCCAGACGACUUCCAGGAAGUCUUCCAGACGGCUUCCAGGAAGUACGACUUCCUGGAAGUCUUCUGACGAAGUCUUCUUCCAUAUCAAGUGGAGUCCAAGCUUGUCUUUGUAGAUGAAUGAUCGAUAGUAGUUUUGUUUGUGGUCUGUUUUGUGAUUUGCAUGUCUACUCUUUUAGUUGUGAAUUUUUUGUAAAAUCAGUAAUAAUGUUUCCCAAGAUGUAAUAUAUGUGCUAACAAUGUGUUUACACAUUUACAAAUCAAUGAAAUAAUAUACUUCAUUAGCCUUUUUCUUAUCUUUGGAUCUCCCAUAUGCAAUAAUAAACUCCAAUGGUCUUCUUCUCAUCUUAAUAAACAAGAAUGUUGGUAGCCUCAUAUUGAUACAACAUUUUAAGAAGCAUUUUAUCCCUUCUUCCAACUCAUAACAAUAAUCAUCAUUGGUGUCUAUAACAAUAAUACUUAAGAAAUGAAAACAAACAAUAGUAACUAGUCAAAACAUAUCACAUUUUUUACAAGUUUGUGUUGAAAAACUUAGUCAAAUUUCGUAAAACUAAGGGAGAAAACAUAUUUUGAAAAUAUGAGUUUUACAUAUCUUGAAGUUACUUAUCACUCUUAAAUAUACAAGUUAUUCAAAAACUAGCGUAGAAGACUUAAAAACUAGCAUAGAAGACUUCCACGAAAGUCUUCUCGUAUCAGUUUGAAACUUUAAUUAACGUGAAUGUUGGUAACCUCAUAAAUAUCACCAAUUAAGUUAUAAAUUUCAUUCAGUAGCCCUAAUAUUGACUAAUAUACAUGAAUUAACAAAAAAAAUAUUAAAAAGUCUUUAUAGGUUUAGAGAAAAUGGAAGUUUGUUAAACAUUGACGUAGACGACUUCCACAGAGGUCGUCUGGAACACCUCUAGGAAGUCGUCCAUUUAGAUUAGUUUUGCAAUUGAUUUUUAACCUAGACGACUUACAGGUUAGUCGUCCACCUUUGUUUGAUAAAAAAAAAAUCGAGAUGACUUACAUGUAAGUCGUCUAGAGAAAACGGGUUAGUUUUGCAUUUGACCGGAAUGUGUCAGAAAUUUGACUUUUCCUGGACGACUUACAAGUAAGUCGUCUAGUAGAAAAUUAAAAAAUUAAUAUUUUGUUUUUUCUAGACGACUAACUUGUAAGUCAUCUCAUGUUAGUUUUGCAAUUGAAUUAUUAAACAAUUUUUUUUUUCUAGACGACUUACACGUUAGUCGUCUCGAGUUUUUUUUCCUAAACGACUAACUUGUAAGUCGUCCAAGAUAAGUAAGGUCUGACCAGAAUCUUGGAAUAAAAUCCUGAACGACUUACAUGUAAGUCGUCGGACGGACGACUUCCUUGUAAGUCGUCUAGAAAAAAAAUCUUUUUUGUUUAAUAUUUCAAUUGCAAAACUAAUCUGAGACGACUUGUAUGUAAGUCGUCUAGAAAAAAAAAUAUUAAUUUUUUAAUUUUCUACUGGACGAAUAACUUGUAACUCGUCCAAGUUAGUCGUCCAGGAAAAGUAAAAUUUCUGACACAUUCCGGUUAAAUGCAAAACUAACCCGUUUUCCCUAGACGACUUACAUGUAAGUCGUCUCGAUUUGUUUUUUAUCAAACAAAGGUGGACGACUAACCUGUAAGUCGUCUAAAACAAAUAAAUUAAAAGUCAAUUGCAAAACUAACAUCUGCAUUGACCAGACGACUUCCAGGUAAGUCGUCUACAGCCAGAAGACUUACCUGUAAGUCGUCUGGACGAAAAGAUCUGGAAAAAAUCUCAAUUUCAUAGUUUCAACCAGUGAGAUAACUUGUUUUGCACACAUAAGUCUUCUCCAAGCACCCAGAAUCUCAAACAAAAGUGACCCACCAAGAAUCGUAAGCUUCAAUGGCUCUAUGAACCAUAAAAAAUUUAGAAUCAAAAUUUUGGGUUUUUUUGGAUGAAUAUGGAGAAAAAGUGAAAAAGAUGUUUUUUUAGUUCAUAAUAACUGAGAAAAAAAGAGUGUAAAUCGAUUUUUAGGUGCAUUAAGAGCUUCAAAUGGGUUGUUCAUGGUGGUUGGUGUAUUGAUGACAAUGACAAUAUUGUGAAUACUUGAGGAAGAUGAGGGUGAUAGAGUAAAAUAUGCAUUUUUGAAGCAAAAAAAAGUGAUGGUAUUUUCGUGAAUAAUCUUAACUUUAGGGAUGAAAGAGGCAAGUCAAAGUUCCAAAAAAAACAUGGGUUAGUUUUGUGUUUGACUUCAAGUUUUGAGUCAUAUUUGCAAAAACCCCUAAAAAAAUUAUAAAAGUUAAUUAUAUAAUUUUACAAAUAUGUUUAUCUAACUAAAAUUAAAAACCCUACAAUUAUGAAUCAAAGUCUUAUUUGAUUUUCCAAAAUAAUAAUUGAUAAUAAAAUUUAAAACAAAUAAAAAAUAAUAAUUCCAAGCAUCUUUUAGAAAAUAUAACAAUUUUUGUAUUUACAUUGUUUACAUUUUGGAAGAGUUGUUUUUGAAGAAAUAAAAAUAAAAAGACAGAAAUGAAUGCAUGACAUGUUUUAUUGUUUACAAUCCAUUCAAAAUAUAAAAACACAUACAAGACAAAAAGAUACAAUCAAACUUGAACUAUGACCACAAGAUUUUGCACAAAAUAUUUUUAACAAAAACUUGAAAGAUGAACGACAUAUACAAAGCUAACAAAUGAUUUUCAAGCUAAAAAUAAAGAAGUAAAUGCAAUAAUCAUUAGGUAAUGCAUAUCUAAUAUAUUAAAACUGAAGUACACAUUUGAACUUCCCCUUAAUCUUUCACAAUAUUUACACCCAAAUGCCAUUAUGAAUAUAUUUCCUAUUUUUUAAAUUAAUUUAACUACAUCAGGUAAUGCAUAUAUCUAAUAUAUUAAAACUGAAGUACACAUUUGAACUUCCCCUUAACCUUUCACAAGAUAAACUGGUACUCUUCUCCAAUCAAAGUGGUAUAGAAGCUGUGAUUUCUCAUGUUCUCAUCUUUCACUUUUGGAAUCUCUGCCACACUACUGAAGAACCCUAAGACAUUAUCCCCAAAUAUUUUUUUGACCCCCAUUUUAUUUGUACUUUUAAUUGAUUUAGCUUUGCGUUUAUAUCGGAUCGGGUUUUGGAUUAUGGGUAAUCGUAACCAAACGAAAUUUGGGAGAAUUAAACGCAAUUUCAUGUUUUCAAAUGUGGAAUUAGUUAAAAACUUAGAAUCGAAUAAUUUAAGUUGGUUUUCGAUGAGUACAAUAGAGAAGAACUUGCAUCCUUUUUGGGGAAUGAGUGUGGAUUUGUUUAGUAGAUAGGGUUUUAGACAAUUAACCCAAUUUAAUUUAAUGUUUAGAGUUGUGUAUUUUCAACAUAAACUGAAAUUGUCUAUCCAAAUUCUAUACGCAAUUUUAAGAAUUGUAGAAGGACACAAUUUUUUUAAAAAUAAGUGUCUUUUUACAGUUAAUAAUUAUGAGAGUAGAAAGACACAAUUUUUGUGUUAUCAAUCUUCUUUUACUAAAUGAAAAUUAAAGUAUGUUUGACAAAAAAAUAAAAAGUAGGAGUAUUUUUUUCUUUUUUGCAAAACUACAUUUCUUAUUAUGUUUGACACAUGAUUCAUGUCUUAUAUUUUCAUACUUUUAGAUUAUAUUAAAAAAUUGAUAAAUAUAUUAAAUAUUCUAAUAAUUCGGUUUGUUGUGUAAUUUAAUUAUUAUUAUAAUUUUAUAUAUUUUACAAAAUUAUCUAUAUGGCUUUCAAUUAUAUUGAAUGGUUUGUAAUAUCAUGGUUUGGUGUGGAUAUUUUUGUCUGAUCUGGUUUCAUUAUUCGGUUUUAAGAAAAGAUUUAGGUCUUAUUUAGAUAAUUUUAUUUAUUAAUAGAUUAAUAUGAAGAAAAAUUAAACCAUGUACAAAUAUUUUUUUUUUAUAUAUGUACAUUUUAAUUUAUGUAUAAAUUUGAUAUAUGUACUAUUUAUUAAUUUAAUAUCUAAUUACACAUAAAUGAUAAUGAUUGUUGGAGAUUUAAGCCAUUCUUUGAAACCAUUUAAAUGAAUUAUUGCAAUUAUCUAAAUGAACAACUGCAACUAACUAAAUGAAACAUUACAUUUGUUGGUAAUUUUAAAUUUUGGUAUAGACCACUGCAAUAUUUGGCAAUGAACCAGUGUAAUUGUUGAUAAUUGUAGCAUCUGGUGAUUAUAGCAUUUGGUGAUUGUAGGACUUGGCGAUGAGCCAUUUUAAAAUUUUGUGUUAUCUAUUGCAACCAACUAACCACAACUAAAAUAAAAUGCACAACAAUCACAAAAUAAAUUAGGAAAGGGAGAGAUUCAUUUUUAAAAGUUCAUUAAGGAUCUUGGAAAAAAACAUAUAAACUCAGGAAAGUUUUAUUACUUUGAAAAGAAUGUCAAAAUAUUUAAGGAUGUGUCUUCUCAUUCAAAAAAUUGCAUAGAUUUUUUUUAAAAAUAUUUUUUCAUUUCUUUUAUAUCUAUUUAUCUACAUUUUAAAUAAUCUUUAAAAUUAAAUAAAAAUAAUAUGGUAGUUAUAUUUUCUUAGUAAUUUGAUUACUUUAAUAAUAUUAUAUAUUUACAAAAUUAAUAUAUUAAUACUUGUAUCUUCUGAAUUUCACACUAUUUUUUUUUUGGUCGGUUAACCCCAAAUUUUCACUUAAGCACAAAACUACUAAUGCAAAAUACAUGUAUUAUCAAUAAAAAAAUAUAACUGUAUACAAGAUAUUUUGUAAUACAUGUAUUUCUUCGCAAGCAAUUGUAAAUUUUUUUUUUUAAGUUUUUCUAAUUAAAAUCACUAAUUUAAACGAUUGAAAAAAAACACUUAUUCAAUAUACAAAACUUUAGAUUAGAUAGGUAACAUGAAAUCCAAUUAGUACAACUAAAAGCUCUACAUCAAAUAUUGAUGAUGAUGCAGAAUCAACUGUCCAAAAAUAUAUAUUUAAUGGGAUGCACUCAACUUUCUAGCAUAUUAUUCACAUUUUCAUAAAAUAUUUUUAAAAAUAGUACCGAAAUUUAUAUAGAUUUUGCUUUGGAUAGGUGAAAACUCUAAACUGAAAUAGAUUCAAAAUGAACUUGACACUUAUUUAUGUUAAAAUUCCCCUUGAUUUGUGGUGUUUCUGGGAUAAAAAUGAUAAUAAUUAAAAACCAAUAUGGGAGUAGAGAAAUCUUGACGCGAGUAUGCUAUACGCGCCCCCAAAAAAUCUCUGUCGAGACAAACCUAAUUAUUUACGGCGAACUUCGGCGAAUCCGAUCGGAUACGUCGCCGGCUACUCUUCCGUUAUACACAACGGUGAGUCCAUUUUACAGGCUCAUCUUCUCCACCUCUCUCUGCCAUGGCCUCCUCGAUCUUGAAUUCUUCAAAUUUCCACGUUACGAAACCACUGGUGGAGCCUCCUGGUGAUAGCAUUUUGGUUGAAGCUGCUCUUACUCCUCCUUCAGUCGACUCUGAAACUGUUGAAGGUUCUAAAGAUUCAGAUUUGAAGAAAGUAAUGGAUACUGAUACAUCUUCAAUUUCUCCUUCUUCACGGCUUGGGGCAUGAGCUCAACCGCUCAAAUUCAUCAAUCCUUCGUCAUUGAUGAACUCGUCUCUUGAAUCAAAUGGAGAAGAAGUUGCUCGGGAUCACUGGCCGUCUUUGCCGAGUCAGAAUUCUGGAAGGAUGGGAAGAAAGGUUCCUGCGACUAUGUCUAAUAAGUUUGUAACUCAUGGACUCCCAAAACCGUUAGACAGAAAGGAGGACGAUCUUCGGUUUCCUUGGGCUGCAAAAAUGAAUCCGGCAUCGCGUAAUCUGUAUAGAGCAACAAAACCAGAAUAUCUAGAAGACGGCAUGCCAAAGGUAACCAUUCCUUCACAUGUUCUGCUCCAAGGUCUACAAAACCAGAAAGAAUACAUCUUAGGGCAAUUCUAUAGAUGCUCUCCUCCUCCUGGUGGUUUAAUUUAUGCGGUUUUCAACAAGUUAUGGGGUAGAAACUGCAGAAUUACCAUUAGGAAGUUGGGUGAAUCGAAUUAUUUGUUUCACAUUCCGGAUGAAGCCUCUAGGACUUGGGUACUUCAGAGGGGUAUGUGGCAUAUUGAUGACUGUUUAAUGGUUGUUGCUCCAUGGACUCCUGAAGCAACUUUGGCUAUCCCUAAGAUCAAAACUAUUCCUAUAUGGGCGACUUUAAAGAAGAUACCCAACAUUAUUUACUCAAUUCCAGGAACUGGAUUGGGAGCUCCAAUGGCGACUCACAAACCCCGUUUGGAUCCCAUUCACAUGGGAGAAGCAAAAAAUCUAGUUGAAGUUGAGUUGAGUAAAGCUUUCCCGGCGAGGAUCGCUGCAACUGAUACAACAUGUUUUAUUUUUAUGGUGUAGAAUAUGCUUGGUUAUCCACUAAUUGUAGUAGAUGCGGACAGUUAGGACACAAAGUGAAGCGUUGUCUGCAAUCUGACAAUGGUGAGGUGAAGAAUGGAUUUGAAAAAAAGUCUUUUGCUCCUAUUUCUGAUCAGUCUCUUGCAAAAUAAUCACUAGCUCUAGUACAUGUCACUGCUUCUAACAUUGAGGAUGUCCAUACCCCAUCAGCUUCAGUUGAUAACAAUUCUGAUCCUAUUGAGUCUUCUAUUCUUUCAGGCAUGGAGAUAUCUCUUUCUAACACUCUCCCCGCUGAUCUAGUUAAUCCAAACGAGGAUGAUCUUCAUUCACUCACGACAAUCUCGAUACUUGAGAACAUGUGUAUGUCUCCAACAGUUAUUUGCAUCAACGACCCUAUGGAGUCUCCGAUCUUGGAGUCUGCUCAAAAGUUAUCAUCAGUCACCACUCCUAUUGCCAACACAAUUUCUACGGUCCAAAGGGAUGGUAGUAGAACAGCUGAGCCUGACUUUGGCUCUAACAAAUUUGCUUUAUUGUUCAGUGGGGAGGAAGAAGAAGAUUCAUCAGAUUUGGAAGAAGAUCCGGAUUCGAUGGAUCUCAUGACACCUCCAGGCAAAAGAAUCCUUCGAGAAAGGCCAGUUAAACCAUCAACAAGUCGCGGACGGGGAAACAGAGGACGUGGGAACCGUGGUGGACGUGGUUAGAGUUGUUAUGCCGCGAACUCAUUAUCAAUUAGAGCUUGAUCUGAUUGUUUCUGGUUCAUAUUAUGUUCCCUUUAUUUUGUAAAAGCUUUUUAAAAAACUGUACGACUUCAAUAAAAAAAAAAAAACCCAAUGUGGGAGCAGAGCUCGAACCCUGGCCUACGAUAACCAGUAAAGUCACAUAACCACAUUGACAGAACAAACUCAUUGCGGGAUCUCUCAAAAUGUAUACAAGUACAUUACAUUAAGCCCAAACUGUUUAAUAUAUUAAGUUAAGCCUAGACGGUGUCUCUCUCUCUGUAUCCCUCUCUCUUUUCUUUUCUGGGGUUUUCUUCUCUCCUUCUACUGCGUUCUUCGUCGUCUCUUUCUAGGUAUCUCUACAUACAUACUGUCUCAGAUUCGUAUUUUGGUUCUCUGAUCUGUUACGAUUCUGAGAUUGAUCACUCUCAAACCUUUAUUUGUAGAUGGCGACUGGCAGAUCCGCAAGUAUGCCGUCACGGUUGCGGCAGCUUCUUUCCGGCGAAGGGUCCAUCGGCCCCUCUAUUAGGCUCGACGCUGAGCCUGUGAGUUGUCUCAAAUUCGAUUUUUAGGGUUUUUUUUAAUUGAUAUUGAUUGAAUUCAAUUAGGGCUUUUUAAUUUGAUUUUGAAAUCCUGUCACAAGCUUUAGCCUUAAUUAGGGUUUAUUAUUGUCAUGUGUUGUAGCCUCCGGAGAUCAAAUCGUUUAUUGAGAAAGUAAUCCAGAGUCCACUCUCUGAUAUUGCGAUACCUCUCUCUGGCUUUCGCUGGGAGUACAGUAAGGUAACCAUAAUAAUAAUACAUAGAAGCCUUUCUCAUAUUAUCCUUUUUUGUUGAUUGAUUGAUUAUUGUUAUUCCAGGGCAACUUCCAUCACUGGAGACCUCUUUUUCUACAUUUUGACAAGUACUUCAAGACGUUUAUAUCAACUAGGAAUGACCUUCUCUUGUCUGAUCACAUUUUGGAAGAUGCGGAUCCCUUUCCCAAGUACUCUGUUCUUCAAAUUCUCCGUGUGAUGCAGAUCAUUCUCGAAAAUUGUCCCAACAAAAGUUCCUUUGAUGGUUUAGAGGUAUGCCUCAUCUGUUUCCCAUAUCUAUCUUAAAGCUCGUUUAACUUUAUUAGUAACUCUUUCCUACAUUGUUUGUUUUUUUGCAGCACUUUAAGCUCCUACUUGCCUCCACAGAUCCAGAGGUUCUCAUUGCUGCCCUGGAAACCCUUUCUGCGCUUGUGAAAAUCAGCUCAUCUAAGCUCCACAGGAGCGGAAAGUUGAUUGGAUGUGGUUCCGUAAACAGCUUCCUUCUCUCUAUUGCCCAGGGCUGGGGUAGCAAAGAGGAGGGUCUGGGUUUGUAUUCCUGCGUUGUCGCUAACGAGAGAAACCAGGAAGAAGGUCUCAGCAUCUUUCCUUCCGACUUGGAAAAUAAUCACAAGGAAGCUGAUUUUCGGAUUGGUUCUACUGUUUAUUUUGAGUUGCGUGGACACAGUGCCCAGAGAAUAGAUGAUGGUAGUAGUAGUGCUACUUCUUCUUCUUCUUCUUCUUCAAGGGUGAUACAGAUUCCUGAUUUGCACUUGCGGAAAGAGGAUGAUCUUGUGUUAAUGAAGGAGUGUAUAGAGCAUUACAAUGUUCCCCCGGAGCUCAGGUUCUCUCUACUGACCCGUGUCAGGUAUGCUCAUGCUUUUCGUUCUUCCAGAAUAUGCCGGAGUUAUAGCAGGAUCUGCCUACUUGCGUUUAUUGUACUUGUUCAGUCAAGUGAUGCCCAAGAAGAACUUGCAUCCUUUUUUGCAAACGAACCUGAGUAUACAAAUGAAUUAAUAAGAAUUGUCAGAUCUGAAGAACCAAUCCCCGGAACCAUUAGAACUCUUGCCAUGCUUGCAUUGGGCGCUCAAUUGGCUGUAUACUCCGCCUCUCAUGAUCGAGCCAGGAUUCUAAGCAGAUCUAGCAUCAGUUUCGCCGUAGGCAACAGAAUGAUUCUGCUUAAUGUGCUUCAGAAAGCCGUUCUCUCUCUGAAGAUUUCUAGUGAUCCAUCAUCUAUUGCUUUUGUUGAGGCGCUACUUCAGUUUUAUUUGCUUCACAUUGUUUCAUCAUCGUCAUCUGGAAGCACUAUAAGGGGGUCUGGCAUGGUUCCCACAUUUCUCCCUCUCUUGGAGUAUACUGAUCCGAGUCACCUGCAUCUUGUGUAUUUGGCCGUUAAAGCACUACAGAAGCUCAUGGAUUAUAGCAGUUCUGCAGUUCCUCUACUCCGGGAUCUUGGGGGAGUAGAACUUUUGUCUCAGAGGUUAGAGUUAGAGGUUCAUCACAUUCUUAAGUUGACUGGAGAGAACAACAGUGAUAUGGUGGUUGGUGAAUCGUUAGAUAUAAAUGGUGAUCAGUUGCUCUCCCGAAAGAGACUCAUCAAGGUUCUUUUGAAGUCUCUUGGUUCUUCUACGUAUACUCCUGGAAAUGCGAAUAGGUCUCAAAGUUCUCAGGAGAGCACGUUGCCUGCCACUUUGUCUUUGAUAUACAGGAAUGCAGAUAAAUUUGGUGGCGAUAUCUAUUACUCAGCUGUGACGGUUAUGAGUGAUUUAAUCCACAAAGACCCCACAUCUCUUACUUCCCUGUUUGAAAUGGGCCUCCCUGAAGCAUUUCUGUCUUCAGUUGUAUCAGGAGUACUUCCUUCUUCCAAGGCUAUUGCAUGCAUUCCAAAUGGCCUCGGUGCAAUAUCUCUUAAUAGCAAAGGUUUGGAGACUGUAAAAGAAACUUCGGCACUGCGCUUCCUUGUUGAUGUAUUUACUUCCAAGAAGUAUGUUCUAGCUAUGAAUGAGGCCAUCGUUCCGUUUACAAAUGCCGUGGAAGAGCUUUUGCGUCAUGUCUCAUCUCUAAGAGCCACCGGUGUUGAAAUAAUCAUUGAAAUUGUGGAUAGAAUUGCAUGCUUUGGAGAGAGUGGUUCUUCAUCAUCCUCUGUAAGUACUGCAAUGGAAAUGGAUUCAGAUGUGAAGAACAUAAAUGGCGUCAGCCAUGAGCAGUUUGUUCAACUCUGCAUCUUUCAUCUGAUAAUUCUGCUCCACAGAACAAUGGAGAAUGCUGAGACUUCUCGUCUCUUUGUGGAGAAGUCUGGCAUUGAGGCGUUACUUAAGCUUCUCUUGCGACCUAGCAUUGCUCAGUCUUCUGAAGGGGUGUCUAUUGCCUUGCACAGCACCAUUGUUUUUAAGGGUUUUACGCAGCAUCACUCUGCUUCUCUUGCUCGGGCCUUUUGCUCUUCUCUUCGUGAUCAGGUGAAGAAAGCUUUAGGAGGACUGCAAGAUCUCUCGGGGACAUUCUUACUUGAUCGAAAACUUUCUCCAAGCUGUGGAAUUUUUUCUUCUCUUUUCCUUGUGGAGUUUCUUCUGUUUCUAGCUGCAUCAAAGGAUAACCGUUGGAUGACUGCAUUGCUUUCGGAGUUUGCAAAUGGAAGCAAGGAUGUUCUGGAGAAUAUAGGCCAUUUGCACCGUGAAAUUCUAUGGCAUAUAGCAGUUUACGAGAGUGGAACGCUGGAAAGUCCAAAUACUUCUCCCGAGUCAGAGCAAACAGAGCUGUCUUCAAAUGGAACGGAAGGACAAAGGUUCAGUUCUUUUAGACAGUUUCUGGAUCCAUUAUUUCAGAGGAGAACGUCAGGAUGGAGCGCAGAAUCGCAAUUCUUUGAUUUAACCCUACAAAGUGUAGAUUCGCGGUGGCAUCAGGAGAAUUUCUCGGGUACCUAGUCACGUGUCGUGGGAUCGAAGCCAAUCCUAAGCAGAUAAGCGCGUUAAUAGAGAUGGUCUCGCCAAGGAUGAAACGGGAAGUCCAAAGGCUAACCGGAAGAGUCGCGGCCUUGAACCGUUUCAUCUCGCGCUCGACGGAUAAGUGUCUUCCUUUCUACAACACGCUAAAAGGGAAUAAGAAGUUCGAAUGGUCGGAGGAAUGUGAGAAAGCUUUCCAACAGCUAAAACGUUACCUGGCCACUCCUCCCGUCCUCGCAAAACCAGUGGAGGGAGAACCCUUGUUCCUGUACAUCGCAGUCUCCACAACAGCGGUAAGCGGCGUUUUGAUUAGAGAGGAACGCGGUGAGCAAAAACCAAUCUUCUACAUAAGCAAAACGUUACUGGACGCUGAGACCCGGUAUCCCCUGAUGGAGAAACUAGUAUUCGCAGUUGUGACAUCGACAAGGAAACUCCGGCCGUUCUUUCAGUCGCAUACCAUAAUAGUCCUCACCACCUUCCCCCUGCGAACGAUCUUGCACAGUCCGAGUCAGUCAGGACGACUCGCAAAAUGGGCAAUCGAACUAAGUGAGUACGACGUGGAGUACCGCCCANNNNNNNNNNNNNNNNNNNNNNNNNNNNNNNNNNNNNNNNNNNNNNNNNNNNNNNNNNNNNNNNNNNNNNNNNNNNNNNNNNNNNNNNNNNNNNNNNNNNNNNNNNNNNNNNNNNNNNNNNNNNNNNNNNNNNNNNNNNNNNNNNNNNNNNNNNNNNNNNNNNNNNNNNNNNNNNNNNNNNNNNNNNNNNNNNNNNNNNNNNNNNNNNNNNNNNNNNNNNNNNNNNNNNNNNNNNNNNNNNNNNNNNNNNNNNNNNNNNNNNNNNNNNNNNNNNNNNNNNNNNNNNNNNNNNNNNNNNNNNNNNNNNNNNNNNNNNNNNNNNNNNNNNNNNNNNNNNNNNNNNNNNNNNNNNNNNNNNNNNNNNNNNNNNNNNNNNNNNNNNNNNNNNNNNNNNNNNNNNNNNNNNNNNNNNNNNNNNNNNNNNNNNNNNNNNNNNNNNNNNNNNNNNNNNNNNNNNNNNNNNNNNNNNNNNNNNNNNNNNNNNNNNNNNNNNNNNNNNNNNNNNNNNNNNNNNNNNNNNNNNNNNNNNNNNNNNNNNNNNNNNNNNNNNNNNNNNNNNNNNNNNNNNNNNNNNNNNNNNNNNNNNNNNNNNNNNNNNNNNNNNNNNNNNNNNNNNNNNNNNNNNNNNNNNNNNNNNNNNNNNNNNNNNNNNNNNNNNNNNNNNNNNNNNNNNNNNNNNNNNNNNNNNNNNNNNNNNNNNNNNNNNNNNNNNNNNNNNNNNNNNNNNNNNNNNNNNNNNNNNNNNNNNNNNNNNNNNNNNNNNNNNNNNNNNNNNNNNNNNNNNNNNNNNNNNNNNNNNNNNNNNNNNNNNNNNNNNNNNNNNNNNNNNNNNNNNNNNNNNNNNNNNNNNNNNNNNNNNNNNNNNNNNNNNNNNNNNNNNNNNNNNNNNNNNNNNNNNNNNNNNNNNNNNNNNNNNNNNNNNNNNNNNNNNNNNNNNNNNNNNNNNNNNNNNNNNNNNNNNNNNNNNNNNNNNNNNNNNNNNNNNNNNNNNNNNNNNNNNNNNNNNNNNNNNNNNNNNNNNNNNNNNNNNNNNNNNNNNNNNNNNNNNNNNNNNNNNNNNNNNNNNNNNNNNNNNNNNNNNNNNNNNNNNNNNNNNNNNNNNNNNNNNNNNNNNNNNNNNNNNNNNNNNNNNNNNNNNNNNNNNNNNNNNNNNNNNNNNNNNNNNNNNNNNNNNNNNNNNNNNNNNNNNNNNNNNNNNNNNNNNNNNNNNNNNNNNNNNNNNNNNNNNNNNNNNNNNNNNNNNNNNNNNNNNNNNNNNNNNNNNNNNNNNNNNNNNNNNNNNNNNNNNNNNNNNNNNNNNNNNNNNNNNNNNNNNNNNNNNNNNNNNNNNNNNNNNNNNNNNNNNNNNNNNNNNNNNNNNNNNNNNNNNNNNNNNNNNNNNNNNNNNNNNNNNNNNNNNNNNNNNNNNNNNNNNNNNNNNNNNNNNNNNNNNNNNNNNNNNNNNNNNNNNNNNNNNNNNNNNNNNNNNNNNNNNNNNNNNNNNNNNNNNNNNNNNNNNNNNNNNNNNNNNNNNNNNNNNNNNNNNNNNNNNNNNNNNNNNNNNNNNNNNNNNNNNNNNNNNNNNNNNNNNNNNNNNNNNNNNNNNNNNNNNNNNNNNNNNNNNNNNNNNNNNNNNNNNNNNNNNNNNNNNNNNNNNNNNNNNNNNNNNNNNNNNNNNNNNNNNNNNNNNNNNNNNNNNNNNNNNNNNNNNNNNNNNNNNNNNNNNNNNNNNNNNNNNNNNNNNNNNNNNNNNNNNNNNNNNNNNNNNNNNNNNNNNNNNNNNNNNNNNNNNNNNNNNNNNNNNNNNNNNNNNNNNNNNNNNNNNNNNNNNNNNNNNNNNNNNNNNNNNNNNNNNNNNNNNNNNNNNNNNNNNNNNNNNNNNNNNNNNNNNNNNNNNNNNNNNNNNNNNNNNNNNNNNNNNNNNNNNNNNNNNNNNNNNNNNNNNNNNNNNNNNNNNNNNNNNNNNNNNNNNNNNNNNNNNNNNNNNNNNNNNNNNNNNNNNNNNNNNNNNNNNNNNNNNNNNNNNNNNNNNNNNNNNNNNNNNNNNNNNNNNNNNNNNNNNNNNNNNNNNNNNNNNNNNNNNNNNNNNNNNNNNNNNNNNNNNNNNNNNNNNNNNNNNNNNNNNNNNNNNNNNNNNNNNNNNNNNNNNNNNNNNNNNNNNNNNNNNNNNNNNNNNNNNNNNNNNNNNNNNNNNNNNNNNNNNNNNNNNNNNNNNNNNNNNNNNNNNNNNNNNNNNNNNNNNNNNNNNNNNUCUGAAGCAGGGGAAAUUAUGCUGCGGUCGAAUCAUGAUUCCAUGACCGCUGAUCAUGCGGAGAAUUUUGGCGGUUCCCACACUUUUGUUGGUUCAGAAGAUGUGACAGAUGACAUGGAGCAUGAUCAAGACUUGGAUGAAGGAUUUGCCGCAGGUGGGGAUGAUUAUAUGCAAGAAGCAGCUGAGGAUGCUAGGGGGUUGGAAAACGGGAUUGGGUCGAUGGGUAUAGAGUUUGAGAUGCAUACCCACGUGCAGGAAAAUCUUGAUGAAGAGGAAGACGAAGAGAUGUCUGGUGAUGAGGGUGACGAAAUAGAUGAGGAUGAAAACGAUAAUGAAGAAGAAGACGAGGAGGACAAUGACUUGGAAGAAGAAGAAGAUGUACAUCACCUGCCUCAUCAUGACACAGAUCAAGAUGAUCAUGAGCUUGAGGAUGAUGAAUUUGAAGAGGAAAUACUGGUUGAAGAGGAUGAAGAGGACGAAGAUGAUGAAGAUCGGGUAAUUCUCAGGUUUGAGGAUGGAUUCAAUGGGCUAAACGUUCUUGAUCAUUUGGAGGUUCUUAGAGAUCAUAGAUUUUCCGAUGAAACACUUCAUGUAAUGCCUGUUGAAGUGUUUGGCUCGAGACGUCAAGGACGAACAACUUCUAUUUACAGCCUUCUUGGCAGAACUGGGGAUGGUGCUACUCCUUCACAGCAUCCUCUUUUAUCGGGAUCUCCAUCACUUCCAGCGUCGCAAAGUCAAACAGGUACUCUUUUGUUUUUACUUGUGUUCAUUUCCCUUUAUGUUAUGUUUUAUUUGGGUUUGCUACCAGAUUACAUUUUGUUUGUGUUGAUCUUCCUAAAGGAAUAAUUUGUUAAUCGACCGUUUUCUUCUCUUUGUAGAAAGCACACAUGAUCAUACUGUUGGAGGUAGGGAUUCCAACGGUAGUUCUUCGUCACGGCUGGAUGCUAUAUUCCGAUCUUUGAGGAAUGGCCGGCAGGGGCAUCGUUUGAAUUUAUGGGCUGAUGACAGCCAGCAAAUUGUUGGAUCUGGCGCUUCUACCGUACCACAAGGCCUUGAAGAUUUGCUGGUAUCUCAGUUGAGACGUCCCGGCUCUGAUAAUCCUUCUGAUCAGAAUCCAUCACCUUUGGAACCCCAGUCACAGGCCGAGAGUGGGCAGCCACAGGAGGCAACUGUCAGACCUGAAAUUCCAGAUGAAAACGCCACUGAUAAUGGAGGUGCCAAUGUGUCUGCUCCCUCUAUCGUUUCGCCAGUUGCAUCUGCUACCCCGGAUACACGAGCCCCUGCUACUGAUU